AAAUUUCUUUCGUCCAGCUUCUUUAAUUAAUAUUAACUGCUUAACAACGUACCUUGUUGUUUCCAUCUUGUUUGUUUAACUGGUCUUAUUUGUAAACACCUGAAAUCAUACAUCUUAAUUUCUGAUAAUUAGAUGUUAUUUUAGAUAUCUGUAUCUGUUAACGUUCUUUCAAGUCUGAUUCCAAUGCAUAUUUAGUUAAACUGCUCUUUACUGCAUUUUGGAUUAGUUGAUAUCUUCCUUUCCUAAAAACAGAAUCAUUCAGGACAUAUGCCAUGCUUGGCUGCAAUUUGAACGGGAAUUUUGUAAUAAAAUUUUUAAUGAAUUUAUGGGUUUGAUGAGUAAAAUUAGGGGUUCAUAUAGACUCACCCAUAAAUUGAACCCUUAUUUUAUGUGUCAGAAUCAAUUUCACUGAAAACUGAGGUAUCCAAGUCAUUUAACUCAUCAACUGUUUUGUCAACAAAUUUUUUUAAAAUUUGAUAUGAAAUCUGGUUUUUGGCAAAUUCAAAUUCACCCUAAAGACCGUUACAAAACUGUUUUUACUGUUCUAUUUGGACAGUACGAAUGGACAGUAAUGCCAUUCAAAUUCAAAAAAUUAUAAACAGUAAUUCAUUGCAAAAUAUAUAACAUGACAUGACUAUUUUUAUUUUUAUAAAAUAAAUUGUGAAAAAAUGAAAUAAAAUUGAGAAAGGAACAGAAAAAGAACCAGACUUUGCACCGGCAGGACGGCAUGGUUGAGCCGUGCGGUCGAACGAGAGAAGAGAGAGAGGUCUCACAUCUGCUGCUUCAGUUGCAUUUUGGCCCCCGCCGACACACAGCGUUUUCUGUUCUUUUUUUUCUUGAGAAGAGAGCGUUUUCUUUCUCUGCCGUUUAUAUUUCUUUUUUACCCGAGAACGAAUCGCCUUUUUUUCUUUUUUUUUUUUAUUACUCCCGAAAUGUUGCUUUAAAUUUUGUAAUUUAAAUUUCUUUUAAAAUUAUAAAUAAAAUAAUAAAAAAAAAUUUGUGGCUGACAUGGGUUGAUUGUGACAUAACAAGUAUAACAUUUAAUAAAAAGAACAAAAAGUUAAAAUUCGUAAUUAUUAGAUCUGAUGUUAAUUAUUAGAUCUAAUGUUAAUUAUUAGAUCUGAUGUUUGAAUUGAUUAAAAUUUAAAAAAAUUAAAUUUAUUACGCUAAUUGAUUUGAUAGUAAUAAGUAAAGCUGACAAAAUUUGAUACGAUCCGAUUAUCCGAUACGAACACGAUAUAAAUAAAUAGGUACGAGUCGUCGAAUUUGACACAAUUAUUAAAUAUGUUGGGUUUGAGUCGACACGAUUUUUUUUCGUGUUGGAUUAGGGUUAAAGUUCUUGAUCCAUUUACCCAAUCAAUGACCCGAUUAUAUUUUUAUUUUAAAAUAAUUUGUAGGUUCUUGUUAUCAAAACUCAAAUAUUAGAGAUGAUUCUCUCUUUUAUUUUUAUUUUUUGAAAUGAUGAAUAUAAACACAGUAUUUUAUUUAUAAAAUUUUAUAUACAUUUAGAGCUUUAAUAAUGUAAAUGUGUAAAAUAUUGUUAGACAUGUAUAUUUUAUAAUAUUAAUAUAUAAUAUUAUUUGUAUAUAUAUAAUUAAAACUUCAAUAGUGUAAAUGUGUAAUAUUUUCUUAGAUAUGCACAUUUUAUAAUAUCGAUAAAUUAUGUAUUUACGAUAGUGUAUGAAUGUUUGAUGUAAAUUUUAUUUAAUAUAUAGAUAUUAAGUAGGUUAUUGGGUAACCUGAUUAUUUUUCCGUGUCGGGUUUGGGUCGAUAUAAAUUUGACACAGCAUCAAGCUGACACGACAAGAACAUGACCCGAUGACCCAUUUUGCUAGCUCUCAAUUGAAAAAUAUAUAAGUUAAAUCCACAUCCAGAUCUAUAUUUUUUGUGUGGAUAUGAAUGCGGAUCCGGUUUCACAAGUCACAUUUUAAUACUUUUCAAUAAACUCAUCACUAUUUGGUAUUUUAGCAAUAUAUUGUUAGAUGUAAUCAAUAGUGCACAUUAAUUUUAAUAAAAAAAUUUGUAUUAUUUUGAAAUAAUACAACCAAUUAACAAUUAUAGUAUAUUAUAAAAAAAUUAUAUUAUUUUGAAAUAAUACAACCAAUUAAUAAAUAUAUUAUUAACUAUAAUUAUUAAAAAUUAUAGUUCUUGAAUAAAUAAUCACAAUAAUUAAUUUAUUAUUAUUGUUAUUUUAAUUAAUUAUUUAUUUAUUUAUUUAUUUAUUUAAUAUACAAUUAUAAUAAUUAUUAAUAUAAUAAAUUUAUAUAUUAUUAUUAAUGAAUUAAUAUAAUUAUUACUAUUAAUUAAUAUAUUAUUAACAACAAUUAUUAAUAAUUAUAAUUUUUGAAUAAAUAAUCACAAUAAUUAAUAUAGUAAUAAUUAUAUUUUUUAUCUUUUGCUUUAAAAGAUAUACUUUCAUAAUUGACAGUAUAGGGGGUAAUGAGAUUUAUGAAAAGAGUUCCUAAAAUGACAGUAUGAUGUAUGUCAUUUGUGAGAAGGAAAGAGGUUUUAAAUUCAAAAUCAUUGUUAUAAAUUGAAGCAUCAACUUUGGAUUUAACAUUGAGUUUUGAAUUAUUGGCGCAUUUGUGAGAAGGAAAGAGGUUUUAAAUUCAAAAUCAUUGUUAUUAAUUGAAGAAUCAACUUUGGAUUUAACAUUGAGUUUUGAAUUAUUGGCGGCAGAAAGCCUUUCUUUAGUUUUCUCAUGAAAUCUUUUAGGGACAAUGUCUUCUUUAAUGACAAUCCUGACUAUUUACCUUGAUCCUCUGAUACCAGUAGGUGUAUGUCAUUUGUGAGAAGGAAAGAGGUUUUAAAAACUUGUUUGGAUUUAAGAAUGACAUUGAUUUGGUUCUGGUAAAUAGAGAAAUAGAUAGAUCAAUCGAAUUGUUUUCGAUAAACGAAAUAUGCUUGCAGUAGAGAAUGAACUCAAAGGAGACCCGAGGCUACAUGGUUUGGAGAAGCAGAUUAAGGCAAAUGCACAGGAUACAUUUCAUGAAUUAGUAUAGCACUCUCUGUAAGGUGACGAGAAAAAUAGAGUCAUGGGAUUUAAUGUGGGAAAAGAGCAGUUGUUCGUUUUCUGGUUUGUUGUUAAGGUGUAGUGCAGAAGAUUGAAUAAUGCGAUUUAAUGUGGGAAAAGCAACAAUUGUUUGUUUCCCAAUUUGUUGUUAAGGCUAGGGAUUUAGUAUUUAAGGGUUAGGAUUAUGGACGGGAGCGUGUAGCUGACAGAACGAAGAUAGGAUUCUCUCACAGCGGGAACCCUUUCAAACACAAAUAACUGUAAAAGAACUAAAAGAAAUUAGUAUUCAGGUUUUGCAACAAUAGAAAUACCAAUAGCAAAUUCAAAGAACAUGUGGCUGGUCCUCACCAUAAGCAUAUACAAAAAACCACCAAUAUUUGCAUUCCUUUUCUUUUUGAAAGCCUUCAAGGAGGUAUGAAGACAAGCUAAAACUGCUGCCCCCCAUGCAUAAUCAUUUACCCUAUCUAAAUCUUCCAAAAGAGGAAGGUAAGAAGAUGAAACAAUAUUUGUAGAUGUACUUGUAAAGAAAAAAGACCCAAGCAAAUAUAAAAUGUAUGCUCGGGUAGCACACGAAACAGCUUCUUCGCUGUCCAGAAGCAUACCUUUAAAAUGAGCUCUAAGUUUGCUCAUAUUAACAAAUUUUCCUACAAAAAAACCUACAUCUUCUCUAACACCCAAGUAUUGGGCAGCUUUCUCUAUACUUAUUACUUUUUCUGUAACUGGCAGGCCAUCUACUGGCAAACCAGUGAGGAAAUAAACAUCUUCUAAACCUAAAAACAAAGACAAAAUUUUGAAAAAGAAAACAAGACGAUUUUACAUCAUACUUCCUAGCUAGAUAUUCUAUGAGGUCUAAAUCCUUUUCCAUUUUAUCCUUUAUUUGUAAAAAGGGUGAAAAACAGGUAUCUUUCCUUUUUUCUUCAACCCUUUCAUCUGGUCUCCAGCUGAGUAGGUUGUUCAUAAAACAACUAAUUUUACCUGCAUAAUGAAAGACAGUGUUAGCGAAAUGAAACUUAUUGUUCAAAUCUAAAAAUAACUUAGCAAAAUGUAGUUUAGACUUAAAAAUAACUUACUUUUCGUGCCAUAGCAGCUGAUGUAUAUAACAGGGCACUUGUCACUGAACAAGAAUAACUGUGAUCAACAUUUCAACAACCACUUAUGAUUUUGCAACAAAAAAUAGGUUAUCAUUACAAAAACUCAAAAUUUCAUAAUGUUAUAACUUAUAAUAUCCUAAAUUGAACAACUAUCACGAUUUAAUUAAUAAUAAAAACAAUAACAGCAACAACAUUUGGGAAUAUAUAUAACUUUGCCGAACAACAAUUAAGUUAAACAAACAAUAAUAAUAACACUAAUAAUAACUACGAAUCAGCAAUUCAGCAUAUUGCCAUUUUCUAAAUUAAAAAAACAGCACAAAUUAAUCAAUUAAUCAAUGAAUUAAUUAACAAUCUCCAAUUUAAUUAAUAAUAACAGCAACAAACCCACUCCAAUUUAAUUAAUAAUAGUCUCCAAUUGUUCAAUUAUCAGUAAACCCACUCCAAUUUAACUAAUAACAAUCUCCCUUGGUUCAAUUACCGGUCAACAACAACAAACCCACUCCAAAUAAUUCAAUAAUUGCCAAUCAAUUAAUUAAAAAUAUACAAUUUAAUUAAUAGCAACAGGCUGUUAAAAUUCGAUUCCGGUUUCGUCAAAAAAAAAAAAAAAAUUCGAUUCCGGUUGCCAACAGCUGCGUGCAAGUCAGCAACUAACCCACUCCAAAAUCCAAAUAUCAGUAUUAAGUGAAAAACCUUGAUCUCGGAGAAGCUACAGCGUCGGCAGAGCGAGAACGUGUUAGGCUGAGUGGGACCCGAGGUGAACGCACGGCGCGGCUGCGGGCGAGGCGUGCUGGCUGACGGCGAGUGGGCUGCGGUGAAUGGCUGGUGUCUGUUGGAGCUGGACGGGGCUGCUGGCUGCUGCUGUCGAAAGUGAGAGUUUAGGGAUUUUAACGGUUGCCGCUGCCCGCUGGUAAUGAGAGGAGUAUGAGACCGAGUGUGAGAAACUGAGAAGUGAAGAUUCUCUCAAAGAGGGAGCAGGGAUUAGGAAUGCAAAACAUCGGGUCGAGCUCGGGCUUGGCCAAACCCGACCCGACCCGAUCAACCAAAAAAAAAUCCGACCCUAACAAAAAAAAAAGGUCGAGGUAGGCCUUUGUUAGGGUCGGAUUUGUUUUUGGUUGAUCGGGUCGGGUCGGGUUUGGCCAAGCCCGAGCUCGACCCGAUGUUUUGCAUUCCUAAUCCCUGCUCCCUCUUUGUUAGAAUCUUCACUUCUCAGUUUCUCACACUCGGUCUCAUACUCCUCUCAUUACCAGCGGGCAGCGGCAACCGUUAAAAUCCCUAAACUCUCACUUUCGACAGCAGCAGCCAGCAGCCCCGUCCAGCUCCAACAGACACCAGCCAUUCACCGCAGCCCACUCGCCGUCGGCCAGCACGCCUCGCCCGCAGCCGCGCCGUGCGUUCACCUCGGGUCCCACUCAGCCUAACACGUUCUCGCUCUGCCGACGCUGUAGCUUCUCCAAGAUCAAGGUUUGUCACUUAAUACUGAUAUUUGGAUUUUGGAGUGGGUUAGUUGCUGACUUGCACGCAGCUGUUGGCAACCGGAAUCGAUUUUUUUUUUUUUUUUUGACGAAACCGGAAUCGAAUUUUAACAGCCUGUUGCUAUUAAUUAAAUUGUAUAUUUUUAAUUAAUUGAUUGGCAAUUAUUGAAUUAUUUGGAGUGGGUUUGUUGUUGUUGACUGGUAAUUGAACCAAUAGAGAUUGUUAUUAGUUAAAUUGGAGUGGGUUUACUGAUAAUUGAACAAUUGGAGACUAUUAUUAAUUAAAUUGGAGUGGGUUUGUUGCUGUUAUUAUUAAUUAAAUUGGAGAUUGUUAAUUAAUUCAUUGAUUAAUUGAUUAAUUUGUGCUGUUUUUUUAAUUUAGAAAAUGGCAAUAUGCUGAAUUGCUGAUUCGUAGUUAUUAUUAGUGUUAUUAUUAUUGUUUGUUUAACUUAAUUGUUGUUCGGCAAAGUUAUAUAUAUUCCCAAAUGUUGUUGCUGUUAUUGUUUUUAUUAUUAAUUAAAUCGUGAUAUUUGUUCAAUUUAGGAUAUUAUAAGUUAUAACAUUAUGAAAUUUUGAGUUUUUGUAAUGAGAACCUAUUUUUUGUUGCAAAAUCAUAAGUGGUUGUUGAAAUGUUGAUCACAGUUAUUCUUGUUCAGUGACAAGUGCCCUGUUAUAUACAUCAGCUGCUAUGGCACGAAAAGUAAGUUAUUUUUAAGUCUAAACUACAUUUUGCUAAGUUAUUUUUAGAUUUGAACAAUAAGUUUCAUUUCGCUAACACUGUCUUUCAUUAUGCAGGUAAAAAUUAGUUGUUUUAUGAACAACCUACUCAGCUGGAGACCAGAUGAAAGGGUUGAAGAAAAAAGGAAAGAUACCUGUUUUUCACCCUUUUUACAAAUAAAGGAUAAAAUGGAAAAGGAUUUAGACCUCAUAGAAUAUCUAGCUAGGAAGUAUGAUGUAAAAUCGUCUUGUUUUCUUUUUCAAAAUUUUUUCUUUGUUUUUAGGUUUAGAAGAUGUUUAUUUCCUCACUGGUUUGCCAGUAGAUGGCCUGCCAGUUACAGGAAAAGUAAUAAGUAUAGAGAAAGCUGCCCAAUACUUGGGUGUUAGAGAAGAUGUAGGUUUUUUUGUAGGAAAAUUUGUUAAUAUGAGCAAACCUAGAGCUCAUUUUAAAGGUAUGCUUCUGGACAGCGAAGAAGCUGUUUCCCGAGCAUACAUUUUAUAUUUGCUUGGGUCUUUUUUCUUUACAAGUACAUCUACAAAUAUUAAAACUCACUAUUACCGCUUUUGUUUUCAUUCUUAGAACAGAUUAGUUUCUUUUGAGAAAAUUCAAACUCAUUCCCAUUACUUCCUUUUCAAUAAUCACCUCUCAAUUUUUUCAUCAAUCACUCAAUUUCGACUUUCAUAUCCAUUCUCUUUCGAAGAAGAACGCACGAAUAAUUUUAGCUUGCUUUAGCUGCUUCUCGAAUUUCAGGUAUUGUUUCCUUUAAUUUUGAUUUUUUUUUUUUACUUCUCUCUUUCUAGUUUGAUAAUUUAGGGUUUUAGUUAAAUUAAUUGUAUUUUUAAGCAACCUAGAUUGAUUUAAUUGAUUCCAAGUCUCAAUUUCCUGUUCAACAAACAAGGAACGCACAAAUAAUUUUCAUUUUCAUUCUCAAUUUUGAAAGAAUCAAUCAAUUUAUUUUAUCUUUGGUUAGUACACUUCUGUUCAAUUUUUGUUUAUUUAACUUAAGACAUUAUUUUCAUUCUUUUCUUCAAGCAGAUUAUAGCGUUGCUCCUCCCAUUGAUUAUAUUGAUAAAAUUACAACGUUGAUUUCAGGUAAUAAUUGAAUGUGUGAUAUUUUCAAUUGAAAUUAAUUGAAUCUCGUAAUAAUAAUAGGGAUUUGAGGUUUACAUCCUGUUGAAAUGAUUUUAGAGUGUUCUGCUAUUUGAAUGCGCAUUAAUUGUUUGAUUAAAUGUCUCUUUAAAAGAUUAUUUUUGUUUUUCGCAAACAUCUUACUGAGAUGUCUCUCGUAAUAGUAUUACCGUAAUGCACUUUGCUUCAAUUUGGUCUGUUUAUACAUUUUAACAAGGGAAAAUUAUAGAACUGCAACAGUUUUCAAAUUGAUUGCAUAUUAGAAGUAAUGUUAAUUUAUGCUGCAACAGUUCAAUGGGCUGGGCACAAGUUUAGGACUUUAGUUGCUCAAUUAAUGAAUCCACCACUCAUCAGACUUGGAACUUAUAUCUACUGAAUCAAUAAAAAUAGUUGAUGGAAUCAAUACCGAAAGCUCCAUUUGAUUAAUAAUGAACUGCAGACAUUUAUUUACAACAUCUGUUAGUAGCAGAAACUAUGAUCGAGACACUGUAGUUGCUUAAUUAGUGAAAUUGUGAUCUCAUUGCCCCCUUUUUUUGGUUGAUUUUAUAAUUUUAUUAGUUGUUCUUGGGGUUGUAAACAAUAUCAAUUUCUAAUAUUAAUAAAACUGAAUGAAUAUAAUGCAAUGCAUUUGCAGGAAAGUUAAUAGUUUAAAUAUGGAAAAAUCUUGGAUGUUGAUGGAUAGGUCUAUAGAAUAUGAGAACGCGGUAAAUGAGUUUCUCAAGUUUGCAGUACUUCAUGCUAGUCAUCCUGAGCUUUUGAGAUGUCCAUGCCAAGCAUGUCUUAGUUUAUAGGCUCAAACAAUUAAGAGUAUAGAAAAUGCAUGAUAGAACACAGAACUCAUAUUUUAGCAACAAUCCUCGGCUCACUGGCCCUUAGUUCAGAAUGACAAUUCUUAUUAGCCAAAGAUUCAAAAUGAUUUUUAGUUGUUAAUAAGUAGAGCACUAGAUCAACAAAUAAUUGAAGCACUAUACGAUGAUGGCAAUUCGAAGACUACAACUUGACUCUGCCAUUUGAAGUAAGCAACGCAGCUGCCCAAAGUCUGCCAAGCCAUCAAGGCUCCAUCAAGUAUACUUCAAAGCCACAUCAAGACAAUACUAAGAUACAACGUCAAUAAUAAUAACACCAAGAAAUACAUGGAGGCCAUUGCAUGCUACAGCCACCCCAAUAAGAAAUUAAUAAAUACAGUCCUAGAAAUUUACAAACCCAUGCAGUAGGAAUAACUAAUUAAUUUAUACAGUUCAGUACUUGUUCCUCUGUUUCAAAUCCAAAUCCACUGGUCUACUAUUCAUUAUGACGCAAUGCAUAUGCCGAUAUUGUCUUCCACCCUUUAUGUAACUUUCAAUUUAGUGAGGUUUAGACAGGGGUUCCAGAUUUGGUAAAUCAACAAUCACCAGAUAUGAUAGAGCGGCCGGAAGAGAAGCAUGGUUCCUAAUCCUAAUCUUGAUUUAGAGCAGAUUAGGUAACAUGUGGCAUUCUACAGGUUAAGCAGAUCAAAUAAACAGAACAGAGGAAAUAAGUGAUCAAUUUAUUACUUUGUGCAAUGGCCACAGCAACAGCGAAAAUAUGUCUACAUGACUACAUUAUACGACUGGCAUGGUAGUAUCACCGUGCAGCAUUACACUAACAUUUCCUUAUCAAUCAAUUGUGAUGGAAUGAUAUUAAAAACAUCGAUUUCAUAAUUUUAUGUAAUUCAAAGAAAAGAUAUAAUUGAUUUGAGUUAGUUUAACAUAAAAGGAAAGAGUAAUGGGGAAUAAUGUCGAUGUGGCAUGUGAUGAGUAAAGAUAGACAACAAAUAUUGAUCGUGUAAUAAUGAAAUAUGUAUUUAAUGAAAAUAAAUUGACAAUUAAAAUUAAUAGAUAUUUAUCCAAUGCAUCGAGUUUAUUUUAUCACUUUGCUAACCAUUUUGUAACUACAUGUUAAUUAGAAGUUCAAUUAAUUUUGACCAAAGACUCUAGAGAAUGUUGAAAAGAGAUUUGAUUUUUGUCUUAAAAAAAAUUAGAAAUGAAAUAAGUCAAAAUCAAUCACAAGAACAACAAUAAGAGCAUAUUUUAUAAAACCACAAAUACAUAAUAUAAAUUUAGUUUCGAAUUAGAUAAUUAUUAAUUUGUAUAGUAAGAGAGUCUUAUAGAAAAAUAGGAAUUUUUUAAAAGGAGAUUUGCUUAAGGAACAACUUUAGUUUGGUUUAAUUUGUGAAGACUCGAGUAAUUGAAAGCAACGCAAUGGAAGGAAAUACAAGCUUUUGAUUUUGACAAAAUAAUCACUAAAAUAUUUGACAAGUUUGAGAUGUUAAAAAACUGGAAAAAUAGACAAAUAAUGAAAACCCUACAAGUUGGCAAAGCAAAUAAACAGAGGAAAACAGAGCAAAUAUUUACCGUUGUACAUAUAUUUUUUUAUUUUUUUCCGAAAAAGAAUGUUGCGAUAUUUUUUCCCAAAAAGAAGCACAGUUUGAUAUUACUACCAUAGAACUUUAGCUACCAUAUGUAAGCACGUGUCUAAUUACCAAAUGAAUUCCGCUAUAACAAAGAAUAAAAGGUAAAUUCAUUGAUGGCAUAUGUUGUGCUUUCUUUUAUUUUAUUUUAUUUUAUUUUAUUGAAGUUACUUUGUAAACUGCUCCAAGCUAAAUACAAAAUUUACUCUUACACUAGGAUCUUUGCAAUGGUCCAGCAAUUUGUAUUUCCUUUCGGUGAGAUUGGUUUUUUUCUUUAAAUAAAAUUUCAGGGAUGAGAAAUCUUAUCCAUUGAACAUCAACUUUGAAUUUUCUUAAUAUUCAAACUUAGAAAGUACUGCAGGAACAAAGUGCAUUCAUAGCAGAAAAUGCUAAGGAGCGAGAGGAACGAGAGAAUGAUGAGAGAAACGGCAUUCUCUCCUGCCGUUUCGCUUCUCGUUCCUCUCGCCACAUAAAACAUUAAAAUAAGAAAAGAAUGAAUAAAGAAAGACUGAUUUAUCACUUCGUGCAGAGGGAAAUCUUAUCAAGUUAUCUCCAGUCCUCACUUUCCUCUCUCCCUCACGGCUUCCGGCGUGCCUCACCAGCUUCUCUCCCUCACGCUUCCGGCUUGCCUCACCAGCUUCUCUCUCCCUCAUGCUUCCGGCUUGCCUCACCAGCUUCUCUCUCCCUCACGGUUCCAGAAACUCCCUCACGGCUUCCGGCGUGCCUCACCAGCUUCUCUCUCCCUCACGCUUCCGGCUUGCCUCACCAGCUUCUGUCUCCCUCACGCUUCCAGAAGCUCCCUCACGCUUCCGGCGUUAUGACGAGAUGGCUGAGAUUUCUAGGGGGAUUGCGAAGCAAAAGACAAAAUUGGACUCACUGAGGUGGCAAACACAGCAAGGGAUAUCGAGUAGCGCUUUUCAAAGAUUGAGAGUGGAUGCUGAGCAACUUAGUAAAGCUAGGGAAUUUGGGUUGAAGAAAGCGGGCAUGCAUAGCAAACUGCUGUGAUUUUUUUUUUUUUUUUUUGUAAAUUACCACAUUAAAGCCAAUAUCCUUUGUAUUAAAUUCGCAAUAAACCAUUUGGCUGAUGUAUUUCUGGUUUAUUAGUAUUGGAAAGAUGACUUUUUGUUUUACUUGAUGAAUUUGCUGUGACUUUGGAGGUUAGCAUUAUGCAGUUUAUUUAUCAUUAAUUUGGUUUUCCUGUUUGGUUGUUGUACUUUUUUACCCAUCAAUAUUCAAGUAUUUCUGUUGAAUAGCUAACCUGAGUUUUGCUAGAAAUUACGUUAUGGCCUUGAAUAUUGUUGAAAGGUGAAAAUAUAAACUCUUUAGAGGGCAAAGGUGAAAUUAUAAUUCACUUAAUCUAUUUUCGGUAAUUUGUAUUUAACUUUCAAGAUUAGUUUCUCUGGGGUUUUAAUUCUCGCAACUUCACAACUCAUCAUUUAUUGGUUGGCACUUUUGGUAAUACAUUAAAAACAUAUUUUUAAUCAACAAUUGAAGCAGUUCUAAAAUCCAAUAUUAUUUUGUAAAAAUUAAAUGUAAUUUUGUGAUCUGAAACCUUUGCUGAAGGAAUUUUAUUGGUUGUUGUCUAUGCACAAAAUAAUUACUAUUUAAUAAACAAUUUGUUAUAGAAAAUUGCUUAAUUCACUUAUGCAUAAAAAUGAACCGUGAGGGAGAGAGAUGAUCGGCCAAGCUUAAGGAAUGUGCAUAGAACCGUAAAUUUUAUGCACAAAAUAAUUUUAUUGGUUGUUGUCUAUGCACAAAAUAAUUAACAUUUAUAUUCAGUUUCAUAAAAAUUAAAUUUACAAAAUUUCUAAAACAAAUAGUAUUGAGAUAAAACAAAAUUCAUAAUAUAUCCCACAACAAAAUUCACAACAUAAACACCAAAUAAAAUAAAAUUCAUAACAUAACCCGCAACAAAAUUUACAUUGCUUAAAUUCCAGAAGCUUACAUUCCAACGAGACCCACCAAAAUUUCUAAAACAAAUAGUAUUGAAAUAAAUUCUGCAUACCAUAAGAUAACCCGCAACAAAAUUCACAACAUAAACACCAAAGUUGAAAUAAAACAAAAUUCAUAACAUAACCCGUAAUAAAAUUUACAUUGCUUAAAUUCCAUAAGCUUAAAUUCCAACGAGACCCAGCAACAACACCCAAAAAAAACAAACUUAAAUUCCACAAUACGCUUAAAUUCCACGCCAGAUCUUUCACAUAACAGAAAAUUAAAACAAAAAGAACAAGCUGAAAAAAGCCACCGCUCACUUAAUGUUUGCCGAGAGAGCCGAGAGAGGGGGAGAGGGAGGAGGUCGUGAUCGGUUGCUGGCUGGAGAGGGAGGAGGCCGUGAAUAGUUGCUCGGGCUGGAGAGGGAGGCCGUGAUUUGCGUGAGAGAGGAAAGUGAAGAGUGAAGCCUGCGUGAGAGAGAGAGGAAAGUGAAAGCUGGAUUUCACGCCAUUUUUUAAUUCAUUUUUUUUUAUUUUUUUAAUGUUUAAUGAGUGAGAGGAACGAGAGGAGAAACGGCAGGAGAGAAUGUCGUUUCUGUCGUCCUUCUCUCGUCCCUCUCGAUACCUAGCAGCACUCAUUCAUAGCCGGUUACACUAUGUCUAGCUACAAUGCAAGUUUCACUUUUACUUAAUUAAAUAUACAAAAUUAAAUCACAUGAGCCUCUCGUUUCAUUAUACUUCAACUCAAAAUUAAAACACAGAAUUGACGGUAUUGGAGUUUCAUAUUUAAUUUAAGUAGAGCACUAGAUCAAACUGGCUCAACAAAUAAUUGAAGACUUGCACACAUAAAAAAUCUCCAUUUUAUUGUUCAAACUGGCAGUUCUUAUUAGUCAAAGAAUCAAAUUGACUUUUAGUUGUAUAUAAGUAGAGCACUAGAUCAACAAAUAAUUGAAGACUUGCUUGGCUGUGGAACCAUAGGAAGGCAAUUCGUGAACAGCCUUGAUAUUUCGUUUGGUUUUAUUUAAUUCUUUGUAUAGUUGUAUUUUAAGUAAAAUUUUUGUUAAAUGAAAUCGGUAGGUGAAGAGAAUUUUUAAAAGCAACCAUCAAAGUCACGAUCAAAAGGAAGAAAUCAGUAUAAAUAUUGAUUGUCUCAAGUUAGAUUAUACAAAGAUGAAAUAAUGCUAAUCUAAAAAAUUCGAUGAUUAUAAUUUGAUUUCCAUUAUAUUAAUUAUAUUCAAUCAUGCUAUUUAAAUGAAGAACACUCUAGCAUUUAUAUACACUCAGCUUAUGAUAUUAAUUACAAAACGAUCUUUGACAAAGUCUGAUGAAAAAAGUACAAACUUAGACUUCCCGAUCAUGCAACCACCCAUCGAAUUGUGUAUUGUGUCAUCGUUGAGCUCUUAGAAGGAUUCAGCGUCUGAGGAGAAGAUAUAAUCUGUUUUUGUGUGAGAAGCUAUGUACUAUGCUUUUAUGGUGUUUCUCUUGGUAGUUGUCGGACAAACUGUAAUGUGAAUUUCUAUCUAAUGGGUAUCGUUUUAGUUAGUUUGGGAUUGUUGAUUUAUAUAUGAUGUUUGGUAUCUAAAAUUCAGAUUAUGAUAAUCUUGGCAGUACUUUUGUCAAAUUUUCUUGUGUUGUUGUUGGUUUAAUAAAAUAUCACAAAGGUGCAAAAUACAGUAAAAUUAACAUUAGAUAUAUUGAAAAAGACAUUGACACAAGAAACUGGAAAUUAGUUGUUAAUUAUGAUGGGAAUAUGAUCUUGGUAUUUCAAUUAUAUCAUUUGCACUAAUCUCAUUUGUGUCUAUCACUGAAAAGCAGAGUGACUUGAUUGAAUAGUGUCAUAUUACGUCACAGCAAUCACAGAAACUCACCCAAAAGUACAUGAGCAUUGAACAUUCAGCUAAUUUAUACUAAUUAAUUAAUAAUACUAACAAGAGAAGUUGGAUCUCGUCUUCUCUUGGAUAUAUCCGAUGACUUUGAGCUCUCCAGCCUCCCAGCCGGAAAUGUUCUUCCUUCACAUUCGGUGAUUGUUUUUCAUUAUUGCGGCUACUUGACUCAAAUAUGCUAUUGCAAGAGGAGAUUUCUAUUUUGUCUGAUUUAAGCCAUAAGACGGGUUUCAAGGUUCAUUCUGAUUGGUUAUCUGUUAGCUUUUUUGUUUUAAGAACUUCUUAUUUACGGAAGCAAAAUUCUCCUUUCCAGGAUGAUCUAGAUUUAGAAGUUGCUUUUGUCAUAUCAGACGAAGAGGCCAUCUUUAAGGCCUUGUCUAAGAUUGUUGAAUUUACUAGAAGGGACUACUGCUCUGAUUGGUCAAAACUACUAUGGCUGUCUUUUUCAUGAGCUUCUAAUAUCGAAUCAGUUUUAAUGGUAUGAUAUUAAAAAAAUCGAUUUCAUAAUUUUAUGUAAUUUCAUAGAAAAGAUAUAAUUGAUUUGAGUUAGUUUAACGUAUAAAGAAAGAGAGAUGGGGACUGAUGUUGAUUUGGCAUGUGAUGCGUAAUAAUAGACACCAAAUAUUAAUCAUGUAAUAGUGAAAUAUAUAUUUACUGAAAAAUAUUUGGCAAUAAAAUGAUGCUUCAAAAAAUUAAUAUUAUUUGCAAGAAAGUAAUUCGACAAUUAAAAGUAAAAGAUGUAUAUGCGACACUUCGAGCUUAUCUUAUCACUUCACUAGCCAUUUUGUAACAACAACUUUAAUAGAAGUUCAAUUAAUUCUGACCAAAGACUUUAGAGAAUGUCGAGAAGAGAUUUGAUAUUUGCAUUUCAAAAAAUUAGAGAUGAGAUAAGUUAAAAUCAAUUACAAGAACAACAAUAGGAACACAUUUUGUAAAACCCACAAAUAUAUAAAAUAUAAAUUUAAUUUCGAAUUAAGUAAUUACUAAUUUAUAUAGUAAGAGAGUCUUAUAGGAAAGUAGGAAUUUUUUAAAAGAGAUUUGCUUAUGGAAAAAGUUUAGUUUGGUUUAGUUUGUGAAGGCUCAAGUAAUUGAAAGCAAUGCAAUUGAAGGAAAUAUAAGAUUCUAAUUUUUUUAAAGUAAUCGCUAAAAUAUUUGACGAAUAGUGAAGACCCUACAAGUUGACAAUGCAAAUAAACCGGGGAAAAUAGGGCAAAUAUUUACUUUCUUCCAAAAAUAAUAAAAGCACAGUCUGCUACUACUAUUAUAGAAUGUUAGCUACCAUAUAGCUACUAUAUAUGAGCACGUGUCCAGUUACCAAAUAAUUUCCACUUUAAAAAGGAAUAAAAGCUAAUAUCAUUGUUAGCAAAUUUUAUUUAUUUAUUAUUAUUUUUUAUUAUCCUUUUUUUUUUUUUGCGCUUUUAGUUAUAGGCCUAAAAAGAUAAAGCUAAAAAUCAAUCCCAAAUCUAAAGUGAAAAAUUGUGUCUAGAACAGAAUCUAUGUUUUGAUGUCUUUGUUUACAAGCUUAAACAAUUCAUAGUAUACAAAAUGCAUGAUAGAGAACAGAACUCAUAUUUUAGCAAUAAUCCUCAGCUCACUGGCCGUUAGUUCAGAAUGACAAUUCUUAUUAGUCAAAGAGUCAAAAUGAUUUUGAGUUGUAUAUAAAUAGAGCACUAGAUCAACAAAGAAUUGAAGACUUGCUUUUGCUAUUAAACCACGCGAUGGCAGUUCGAAGACUACAGCUUAGCUCUGCCAUUCGAAGUAAGCAAUUCAGCUGCCCAAAGACUGCCAAGCCAUCAAGACAAUACCAAGAUACAACAUCAAGAAUCACGUACAGGCCGUCACAUAUUACAUUUGUCGUCUGUUUUAAGAAAGAUUUACGAGCCCAUGCAGUAGGAGUAAUUUAUUAAUUUAUACAGUUCAGUACUCAUUCCUCUUUCUUCUGUUUCAGAUCGAAAUCUAGUGCUCCAUCAUUUAUUAUGACGCAAGGUAUAUGGGUUAGCAUGUGUCGAUAUUGUCCUCCAUUCUUUGUGUACCUUUCUUCGAACAAGGGACAACCCGAGAUCUCUAAUCGCAAAAGAGAGGCAGGCAGGCCCUUCUCUGGAAAGUACUUGAGCUUGGGACAAUUACAGAGUUUAAUGAAAUGAGGUUUUGAUGCUCAACAAUUGAAGAAGACAGGCGUUCCAAAUUUAGUAAAUUAACAAUCACCAAAUAUGGUAGGGUGGCAGGCAGAGGAAGCGUGGUUCCUAAUCCUAAUCAUGAUUGAUAACUGGCUAUGUAACAUGUGGCAUUCUACAUUCUUGCAAUGCCAUUUCUUGUUAUGGCAGCAGCGUUCUUUCAUCAUGGCGUCACAAGCAAAUGUUUGAUUUGAAGACUUGCUUAGCUGAGAAAAAUAAGGAGAGCAAAGGUAAUGAAUUUUGGUGUGAUGAAUAUUUUUAUGGAUGUACUAAGAAAAAUAAAGAUAAUAGAAGUGAUGUUAUUGAGGAGCAUUUUGAUAUUUACAAAAGUGUUCAAAGAAAAAAGUUAUUUUUUGAAAUCUAUUUGCUGGUGCACAUAACAAAAGGGCAUUCUGAGUAAAUUUAAAACUACAAAUAGUCUCACUCUUUUAAUAAUAUUCUUCAAUUAAUUCUGUUUAUUUAAAAAUAAAUAUUCUAUCUCUUUAUUACUUUCUAACUAGUCAUGCUAAUAUGCUAAUAAUUAUGAAGAACUAGUGUAAUUUAUAUGAUAUAAGAAGCCCUUUAGCACAUUAACCCGAAUUUUGCUAAUACAUGUGCCUAAUAUAGCGAAAUCAACAUUCAGCGCAUUAGAGUGCCAUUAUAUAUAUUGAGAGAGAAAUUAACACAAAAAAUGGAAUAUUAAUUGACAUUGGAUCAUGUUGGAUUGUCAGUUGUUAAUUAUGAUGGGAAUACAAUCUUCAUCUUUUGAUUAUCAGCUAGCUAAUGCAUGUGCACUUUCAUUUGUGUCUAUCACUGAAGAGUAAAGUUACUUGAUUGAGUAGUAUCAUAUCACAGGAACUCCAAACUCAAUUUCAUUGCCGGAGCAUACUAUGCCAUAUGUAGCUUAAAAGUGCAGCUAUCUUAUACUAAUUAUUUAAUACGACUAUUAGCUCUUUAUGAUUAAUUAAAAGAGAAAAUGUUUGACAAUCACGAAAAUAAUAACAAUUCACUCCUAUAAACAACAUAACAAUACAUGGUCUAUAUUGCAAAUCUUUUUAUGAUUAUAAUUAAAAGAGAAAAUACGAAGACAUAUUUUAUAUAAUAAUUGAAUGUUCUCCUUGAUAAUUAGACAAAAUAACACCAAUCUAGCUAAUUAAUCCAAUCAUCAUACUAAUCCAAUUUUCAUUAUUUAAUUAUGUCCAAUCAUGCUAAUUUAAUAAAGAGCACUGAACACUCGAGUACUUAUAUGUUCAACAACUUUGGCCGAGUUUGAAAAAGAUUAGAGCUGCAUUUAUGCUUUGUGUUAUUACUGACGACAUGAUCAUAUUAUGUCGCAUUUGUCAGAGAACCGAAAAACUGUGGGGGAAAAAAAAAUCCUAAAAGAGAUGUAACGAAAGCAAAAUGAGAAAAUAAUGCACACAUCAUAGCAAUGCUUCAUUCAUUUUGAUUCUAUCUAUACAAAAACUUGUAUCCGAUGGUUUACAUUUGUUUAAUCUAACGGCUAUAACAUGUAUACAGUCAAACGCUACUGCUGCCAUCUUUCUUUGUCCUCGUUGUAUCCUUGAUCUUAUAUUAUCCUGGUGAUUCUUGAAAGAUCUUCUCAUUCUCAUAUGCUGAGUCGCUUGUUGGGAUGAUUAAUACUCGAAGGUCCUUCAUUGAGACAUUUCAGCAAACACCUGAUUCAUUCUAUCAAACAUCUGCAUCACUAAUCGCUAAAUGAUAUAAAAUAGUUCUGUUUUGAAAAAUUGAUAUAAAUCAGUCGCCUUAGAUUUUCUUAGUCUCAGAGCACAACGGGUGAUGAUUCGAUGAGAAAUAUUAAUAUGCAUGCAUCCGCUGCAUUAGUUAGAGCUGCUUGUCAUUUUCUUCUUUCUUUUGGAUACUAUUUUAAAUUUUUAAUCAGUCUAAUUCAGCUGCAUGUUUGCUUUCAGUCCAAAUCGAAAUCAGAUAUUAAGUGCUUCUACUGGUAUGGACACACCCAAAAAUCUAUGGGAUCCGUAGUUCUUGCAGAAGCGGCAGAAUGCUGCCAGCAAUUCAGGCAGAUAGAGGCUUGGCUGAGUGGUUGUUCUUCAAUGUGAAAUUCUACAUAAUGGCGAUCCUUUUAAUGGGGUUUAAAUUUUUUUUUUUUUUUGAGUUGUUGAUUUAGAGCAGAUUAAGUAGCAUGUGGCAUUCUAUAUUCUUGCAAUGCCAUUUCUUGUUAUGGCAUCAACAUUCUUAAUUUUGAUUUGCUUAAUUUUGCUUUCUGUUUUUGAUAUUUUCUUCGCAUUGUUGUUGUGGGAUUUGUUAUUUGUAGAUAGUGUAUAUGUAUGAAGAUAACGUAAUAAAGUGCUUUUGAUAAAUUCCCCUGGUCUGUUUACUUCACUAAUUCAUUAAUGAGCAAGUCCUCUAUAGAGCUGUGUUGUGCGUACAAGUUUUGCUACAUGAAAUCGUUAGGUGAGGAGAAUUUUUAAAAGCAUACAUCAAAGUAAUGAUUAAAGGGACAAAAUCAACGUAAAUAUUGAUUAUCUUGAGUUAGAUUAUACAAAGAUGAAAUAAUGAUAAUCUAGUAAAUUUAUCAGAAUACACUACUAAAAAAUGCAUUUUAAUGACACAAAUUUUAUGACAUACAUCUUUACGUCAUGAAAAUAUUAUGAAAAUACUUGCAUGAUGUAUAAUGCUUUCGUGAUUAUUUGAUGAUAAAUUCAUAAUUGACGCUAAUAUGAAAUGAAGUGAUCAUAGGUAAAUAUCAUGCAUUUUUUUUUUAUGGGUAAGAAUAUUUGAACCCACCAAAUUACUCUUUAAAUUUAUUUUUUUAUUGAUAAUUUUAUUACAAAAUUACCGAUAAUUUGAAUUACUAUUACAGACAAACAAUAAUUAUAUAAAAUUAUUUUAUUUUUACUCAUUGUUUAAACCUACCGCAAAACUCAAUCAAAGUAUGCUUAUUUUUUUCUUCUACAAGUGUUUAAUAAGUUCAUCCUUCAUCCACAGUUGAGAACUUUCUAAUUUUUUUUCUUGUUCUAGUAAUUUGGAUAUGCUGUGUUAGAUACUGAAUUUAUUAAAUUUCUUCUUCUCUUUUGAAUAAAAUCUCUUUAAAAUUCAAUUCAUAAAAAAAUAAAAAAUUAAUCUCCUUAUAAUUUAAUAUGUUUCAGCUGUCUUAGUGGAAUGAUGCAAUUUGUUUCCAUCAAAGUUUUGAAGCAUCCCGAAAUUUUGAGAUCGACAUGAUAACAAAUUAAUUUAAUUCAUUGUGUACUCUAAAUUUUCAGCCACAAAAAAAUAGCCAAAUUGAAGUGUACCUGGGCAAGAAGAAACUGCGAUUAUACAAUUUCAGUGUUCGACUCUAUCAAUAAAAAAGAAAAUAAAAAAGAACUCUCAUUGUUCCAUUAUUUUUCCCAUAAAUAAUGAUAUACAGAGAAUUCAGUUUGAUAUGGGAUAUAAUAAGUAUUUAGGUGAGUUUAUAAAGUAAAUUUUAAAAUUUUAAAAUUUAGUAAUGGGUUUAUAAAUAAUUGAGUUCAUAUAAUAUUUUAAUAAAUUCAAAUAACCCACCCUUUUUUUUUUUUAAAAAAGAUCUAAUUACAAAAAUACCAUUCCAAUCGGCAGCAUUUUAUAUUUUAUUUUAUUAAAUAUUAUUUUAUUUUUAAAUUACUAGUGACGCAAGAAACGGCAUCAUUUAUUGAUAUUUUUAAAUUGUUUAAGAUUUGUUUAAUUAGAAAAUUGCCAUUGUUGAUAUUUAAUUAAUUUUAAAAAAUAAAAAUAAUAAAAUUGGUAAGCUCUACUCCAUAAGUGAUGAACGAAUUGACAAAUUUGCAGUAAGUGAUGAACGAAUUGAUAAGCUCUACUCCAUCGGUUCCUUAAUUGAGAAAAAACCCAAGCCCGUGCAGCGCAGCCUCACAAUUGAUAGAGACCCUAAGCCACCAAACUCGACAAUCAUCACUCAACGUCGUCGCAAGCUACCGGUCGCUCAACAAGCACCAGUUCCUUGCUCUACAGCCAUCGCUCAACCGCUGCCAUUACCUGUUAAUUAUUCGCUUGAAUUAGGGUUCUGAUAUUUUGGGAUUUUUUGUUAGUCGUGGAAUUAUGAAGCAAGGACGACGAUGACGAAGAUGUGGUGGUUGACGACGGCAAUGGCAACGUUGAAUAUUGAGGCACCGGAGGAAAAAGCAUUGGCUAUGUAUCUUGGUCGAUUUGCCUCGAAUUGAUCACUAAACAUGGGGAUAUCGUGGGCCGAGCUUCAACGCAGUGGCAAAUUUCAUUUGGGUAACUGAAUUUUUUUUUUUGUUUAAUUUGUUUAGAGUUCAAUUGUUUAGAUCUAGGCUAAUUUUUAAUGAUAAUUUUUAUGAUUAAAUUAUAUGAGUAUGCUUAAAUUUUUUUUCCUUCAAAUUUAUUUUCUGAUGUUGCAUUUGGUUAGCAAAAAGAUAAAAAUAGUAGAAAAUGUCAGAAUUAUUGUUAUGAAAAUGUUGUUUUAGUCUGAUAUUGGGAAAAUAUCAUUAUACAUAUUGGCAUGAUAUUCAUGGGAGACAAAAUUGAGAAUGAUGACAGACUAUGCAUUGCUCACAACUAAUUUAAAACUCACUAUUUCUAUUGUUUGUGUUUCAGUAACUUUGGGGGAAUUCCAACUAUAGUUAAUAAGCUAUAAACUUGUUUAGGAUUGCUGAUCAAUUUGCUAGAAAGAGUUGCAAAGUAAUUAGCUUUCUCUUAUAACUUUUACAGAUCAUCUGUGGAGGAGAACUGCAAGGAGUUGAAGACUCUAGACCCUAAACUUCAUAUCUUGAUUUAUAAGUGCAAUGGGCAUAAGUCCGAAUUAUGGGCUGGAGAUGGUAUAUGUAAUCUUUCUACUCUUGGUGUUUUUUUUUCCUCUAGUUAUUUUUUGUUCUCUACUCCAUUGUAUAUUUGUAUUCAAAAGUAUUUUUUCUUUGUUUUAAGCUUUUAAAUUUAUGGAGAUGAUCUUAUUAGGUGUUAAAAAAAAUAGUUGUAGAGCUUUACUAAAACUAUGUAAACUCCUAUUGAGAUUUGGGUUUGAUUUUGUAAGAUUGCUAAAAAUUUCAUAUUUUAUACUUGUUUUAUACUUUUCUAGUUGAAUUUCUUGCUUGUGGAAGAUAAAAUAAAAGUCCAAUUCAUGUUGUAAAAUUUUUUUUCCUCCCUUCUUUCUUUCCUUAUAAUCUGGCUCUGGCUUUGGUGCUAUGCUUGGUGCAGUUUAUGGUUUCAAUGCAGGGAACCAAUUUCAUCAUAAUCAUCUUAAAGGAUCAAAAUGGCUUUCUUUUGUAACUGGGUAAGUCAAUGCUACUUCCUGAAUUCGAUUUGGAGUUCUUUCGGAAUAGAUUUCCUUCCCUUACAUCACUUGGCUUCUAGUUGCAUCUUCUUGGCUUUCUCCAGCGGACUUUUUUAUUGGCAAAAUUCCUUUGUUUCUAUUGUUUUCAAGUGCUAGUGCUGGAUUUAGAGGUAUGAAUGGUGCCUUCAUUUUUAUUUUUUUAUUUUUAUUUUGGGUGUAUAGUACUGUAAUAUACUUCUUUGUAUAGCUAGUACAAAAUAGUUCUUCAACUUCUUACUUUUGGCUUUAAUGGGUUCGAUAUAUGAUAGCGGAGCCCUAUCAGCAUUUGAUGUCAGACAACAAAUAGGGGACAGAUGGGAUUAGAAAAAUAAGAAACAUGACCAAAAUAAAAAUCUAAUCUACUCAUAUAAGCAACUCAUCAAAUAAGUGUAUCACAUACUUAAGUGAAUAAGAUUCCGUGAUUUCUAGGAAUCCAAGUCAAAUUAUAACAUUCUUUAAAUAAGACUCACAAGCUUAUUAGGUGUUAUAUUGAAUCAUCUAAGUUGAAUAAUCUUUUGGGUUGAAUAUGUUAAUUUCUUAUUCCAUAUGUUUCAGCCUCUCAAUAGUUGAAUUAGCAAUGAAAAUUUGAAAAUGGAAAAACUCAGUGCAAUUAUUUUAGGUGCUUAUCAUAGAUAAGAAUUUCACUUUUUACACUUCAUUGUCUGUUGUCAAAUUUAUUAAGUAUGAACCCGGAUUAGGUUUGUGCUCUCAAGGAUUUAUAAAUAAGUGCUACUUGACUUAGAUGUAAGAAAAUUGAAAAGCAGAGUUGCUUGAUUGAAUAGCUUCAUAUUUUACAUCACAGAAACUCAAUUUUCAUUGCCAUAUGUAGCUCAAAAGAGCAUGAACAUUGAACAUUCAGCUAAUUUAUACUAAUUAAUUAACACAACUAUCAGUUCUUACUUCUUGGUACCCGGCAACAUCCAUCCAUAAGAGUGAAACCCCCAUUGAUUUCAUAUAUACAAAAUAAAUAACUUACAAAGACAAUACCUGACAAUCACAACAAAAACACCAAUUCACUCCAAUAAACAACAUAACGAAUACAUGGUCUAAAUUGCAAGUCUUGUUACGAUUUUAAUUAAAAGAGAAAAUGCGAAGGACAUGUUAUAUAUAAUUGAAUGUUAUCCUUGAUAAUUAGACAAAAUAACACUAAUGUAGCUAACUAAUCCAAUCAUUGUAAUAAUUGGAUUUUCUUUUUUUAAUUAUGUCUAUUGAUGCUAAUUUAAUCAAGAACACUGAAUACUUGAGUGUUUUUAUGUUCAACAACUUUGGCUAAGUUUGAAAAGAUCAUAUUAAUUAUUAAUAUAAAUAAAUAAGCCAACAAGGUACAUAUUACAUAUAUGUGUAGUUGCAAUAAAUACAUAUGUAAUAAAGAUCAUAAAGCUCAGGGCCAUUAAUUCAACAUUACCAAAUCAAUAUCCCAAUAAUGGUUUGAUUACUAAUCUAAGCAUUAAAUGAUCAGCAAACUUUAUUUGGCCAAAACAAAUGCUUCCUUGUUGCCUCCUUGAUCUUUUCCUGGCUGGUGAUUCCUGAAUGUUCUUCUCAUUUUGAUAUGCUGAGUCGUUUGCUGAUUAUAAAUGCUAAUCACCUUAAAUUUUCUUAGUCUUCUUCUUCAUGUGAAAUUCUACCUAAUGGCUAUCCUUUUAUCUGGUUUGAAUUCUUCUUUUUUCUUUGAAUUGUUGAUUUCUAAUGUUCUUGUCAUUCGCACAUGUGGCGUUCUGCACUCUUGCAAUGCCAUUUCUUAUUAUGGCAGCAGCAUUCUUGGUCAUGGCAUCACAAGCAAAUGCUUUUGAAUUGCUUUGUUUGAUUUUUGUUUCUAAUAUUUUUUUUUUUUGGCAUUGUGGGAUACUGUUUCUCUUUUGAUUUUCUGUCUUUGUUGUUAUGGGAUUCUGGUAUAGUAUGCAUCAGUACACAUAUGAAGAUGAUGUGAUAAAGUGCUUUUGAUAAAUUGCCCCAGUCAGUUUACUUCACAAACCAACCAUUAAUGAGCAAAUCCUUCUAAUGACCCUUGUACACAUUAGAAUAAAUACAAUUCUAUAUAUACACAAAAAUAAAUAACUCUCAAGUAUAUUAUUUGAUAAUCGCAAAAGCAACAAUUCACUCCAAUAAAUCUCAUAACACACUCAUGUUCUAUGUUGCAAGUCUUUGUAGAGAAAAAAUGAAGGACACACAAUUGAAUUUUUUCUAUAAUAAAGAACUCUAAACAAAUUCAUAUACAUAUUGCAGUACCCCUUACAAAUUCAUUUGUUUCUUCUUUUCCUUUGAUCAAGUGCUAAUUACAGCCUUGAUAUUUCAUUUGGUUUUAGUUAAUUUUCUAUAGGGUUGUGUUGUGUGAAAUUAAUUACAAAACAAUCUUUAACGAAGUCUUAUGAAAAUACCAUAUUAUAACUACAAAGUUAGGCUUCCUAAUCAAGCUACUGUUCAUCAGAUUGUGUAUUGUGUUACUGGUGAGCUCUUAUGUCAAUUAUGACCAGAUGGCGCCUUGGCUAACUGUGAGUUAUGUGCGAACAUAAGAGCUGCAAAUGAGUUAUGUACUAUUUUUAUGUGACAAGGUAUGUGCUCUGUUUUUAUGGUCUUUCUCUCUGUAGUUCCCUCUGUAGUUUUUUUUUUUUUGGGAUACAUUGAUAAUAAAAUUAGAAGUCUACUAAUAUGUACAACCAGAAACCUAUUGGGGACUUUUUGUCUUUUGAUGCAGUUGUAGGGCACAGCUCAAAUAUUCUUUCCUCAUUUAAUAUUGGAGAAAUCCGACUCCCAAGCGAUUCUGUCUACGGUUGUUGGACAAACUGUAAUGUGAAUUUCUAUCUAAUGGGUGUAUCAUCCUUGCAGUCAGUUUGGGAUUGUUGAUAUAGAUAUGAUGUUUAGUCUCCAAAAUUCAGAUGAUGAUAAUGUUGUGAGUACUUUUUGUCAUAUUUUCUUUUGUGUUGGUGUUGGGAUCUUAAUUUUGUAUCCACUGUUAGGACAAUAUGAACCCAUUUUAAGUGAUAUGAUGCAAGUUCAUGUUCAAGAAUCCAUUUAAUGAAACAUUCCAGUGUUUAAUAAUGAGUAAUUGGUUUAAGAUUAAUACCAAAUAUUUUAAGUAACAUGUGGCGUAUUCUAGUGAGAUCCUCCAACUCAGAUUUCUAACUCAAAUGGAAACGUUUCGAAUUUCUUCAGAACAUUCUGCAGAACGGUUCGUCUUGUCUUUACAGUUUCUUUUGUGAAUUUCUCCCAGUUUCUUUUGUGAAGACUUCUGAAUAAGCUUCCAGAUAUUGAGAUACAAUCCAAUCUAAGCCCAUACGUAUAUACGCCUCACAUUUGUCCAUUUCCCCAGAAAAUCAAAAAGCACUUUAGUUCGAAACAAACACUCUAAAAAAAACCAUCUAGCUACCCAGAUGGCGAAAUCAAGAAUCUUGCAAUGGCAAUGCCAUUUCUUGUUAUGGCAGUAGCAUUGAUGAUCAUGGCAUCACAAGCAAAUGCUCUGAUGCCGUACACACGAUCACCUUUCUUUGACGUGAUGUUCCCAAUGACGGAAGAUCCUUUCAGGGUUCUUGAACAAACCCGUUAACAAUCCCAAAAGGAGCUGAACAUCAUCAAACUCUAGCACUGGCGAGAGCAGACUGAAAGGAGACACCAACAUCACACGUGAUCACACUCGACAUUACAGGGAUGAAGAAAGACGAUGUGAAGAUUGAAGUUGAAGAGAACAGUGUACAGAGAGUGAGUGGGGAGAGGAAGAGUGAUGAUUAUUAUAAGGAGGAAGUUGAAGGAGAAAAAUGACACAGAGCUGAGAGAACAUUUGGCAAGUUUUGGAGGCAGUUUAGGAUGCCUAUGAGUGCUGACUUGGAUCAUGUUAAGGCUCAUUUGGAAAAUGGUUCUAAGGAUCACAGUGCCAAAACUUGCUGAGGGGAAGAAGAGGCAGCCUAAGGUUAUUUAAAUAUUUUUAUUAGUUAUAAUAAGUUAUAAAUUUAUUAAUAAAUUAUAAUGUAAAAAUAAAAAAUGCUAUUAUUGAAUGAUAAAUUAUUUAUUUAUUAAUUUAUAUUAAUAAUUAUAAUGUAAAAACAAAUAAAAUAAAAAUAUUAUAUUAAAUUAAAAACUAUAUUUAUUUAUUUAUUAUUUUAGUAUUAUAAUAAUAAUAAAACAAAAAGCAAAAGUUAAAAGCAAAAGCAAAAAAAAAAAAAACAAAGCUAAUGUGUCAGUUGAUGCAUUAGCUACAGUGCUUUUAACCCAUGUCAUGUUUCCCCAAACAUGGUACAAGUAUUAACUUAAUGUAAAUAGUAAUUUAAUACCCCCUUAAUACUACAACCAAACACAUUCAAAGAUAUUCAUCUUCUGUCAUAUUAAUGUGUUAGUACGAAGGUUUAUUGGAAUUAUAAUAGUUUAGAUUAAUCCAAAAUAUUCAAUAAUUGAUAAAUAGUAUAUAUAAAUAUUAAUAGCAAUGGCACAUAAUCAAUUAAUUCAAGAACUUGCCCAUAGUGCAUUAAGUUAAAAGAGUAAAAAUAACAUUGCAAUCAGGGAUAUUUAUAACACUGUUGCUGAUGAGGCAGCUGUUAAUUCUUCUGGUGAAGAUGUUAAGACCACUAAAGCUGGAAUGUAAUCAGGGAAAUAUAAUGUAUUCACUUAGUUUGCUAUUUGUGUUUUUUAUAUUUGUUUGGCUAAUUCUUUGCUCAGAUUGCUUUUUUGUUUUUGAGAUUUUAUUGGCUUAGUCGUGGGAUAUUAUUUAAUCUUUUAAUUUUGUGUUUUUAUUGUUAUGGGAUUUGAUGAUGGCAUACAUAUAAGAAAAUUAUGCAAGAAAGUGCUUUUAAUAAAUUAUGGUCAGUUUACUAUUAAUUAACCAAAUUUAAUUUACUCAAAUUACUCCUAUACACGAUCAAAAUAAUUUCAAUUCCAUGAUAUAAAUACGCGCAUGCGGACACACAAAAUGUAAGUAACUUUUAAAUACAAAAUAUUUAAAAUAAUCAUCACACUAACAAUUCACAAGUUAGAUUAUAUUAAGGCCACCAAGGCUUAAAUGUAAUUGAUUAAGGAAAGAAGUGCUUGCUUUGCUUGAUGUGCCAUUUGUCUAUGAUGUUUUCUUGAUUUUGUUGUGUGAUGCUUCUCUUUAGAUGUGCUGUUUAUUGUAUUUUGAUGGGUUUUUGAGGAUGGUUGUAUGUAUUAGCAACAACAAGGUGCUUUUUAUAAAAUCCGGGUUCUAAUUUUGUAAAAGAAAUUAAUACUCUCGGUUUAUUGUUAAUAAAAAAGAAAAAAGAAAAAGCCUUUUUUCUUUGGCAUAUAUUAUGCAUUUUAAGAAAGAAAAAAAAUCACAUUCCAAUUCAUGAAAGACAUUCAUUCUGUCAUAUUGAUGUGUUAAUAGAAAGAUUUAUGUGAAUUAUAACAAUUUUGAUGAAUCUAAAUAUUUAAUAACUGAUAAAUUGUAUUUAUAAAUAUUAAUACCGGUGGCACAUAAGCACUUAAUUCAAGAACUCGCCUAUAGUGCAUUAAUUUAAAGAGUAGAAAUAUUUAAUAAAUCAUGCUCGGUUUACUAUUAAUUAAUCAAAUUUAAUUUACUCAAAUAUACUCCUCUACAUGAUCAAAGUAAUUUCAAGUAUACAACACACAAAAAUGUAAAUGACUUUGAAAUAUAAAAUAUUUAAAAUAAUCACCCCGCUAACAAUUCACCAGCAAGAUUAUAAAUAGUCGAAAUAAUGAUAAUCUAGGGGGUACAGUCAUAAUAAUUUGAUUUUUAUUUAUAUUAAUUAUAUCAAAAAGAGUACUCGAGAUUAUAUAUAUCCAACAGCUAAAAUUUCAAAACAAUAUUUGUCAAAGUCUGAUGAAGAGAAUAUAUAUAUAUAUAUAUAUAUAUCAUGCACUCGCACACAUUCUAUUGUUUAAUUAAAAAAUUUGAAAGCCCAUUAUAUACAUGAUAAAGACUCACCGACACUGAACCAUAUUCAUUUAAAGGAAUUGUUUUCAACUGAGAUUUGAAAUUAUAUACACAAACACACCCGUUUUUUUUUUAAAAUUACUAAUAAUAAAAUAUUUCAGUCGUGCUCUGUUCAGCCACCAAAAAUCCAUUUAUAUAUCUAACAGAUAAGAUGUCAAAACAAAUUUUGCCGAAAGCAAAAAGUCUGGUGAAAAGAAAUGUUAUAUGUAUAUAACCGUACAGGCGCAGGGGAAGGAUAAGUCAAAAGAAAAACGAAGUUUCAACAAGAAAUUAAUUACACAUUUACACUUAAUGAGAAAUUAAUUCAUUACUUUCUAGCGCUUGCAGUCUAUUUUUUAAUAAAAAAAAUUCGAAAACCGAUUACAUGAUAAAAACUCACCGACACCGAACCUUAUUAAUUUAAAAUAGUUUUCAACUAAAAUCGACACGCGGUAGAAAAUGGUAAACAAACUAAAGGAAGACUAAAGGACGACAAAAAUUAGCGUGGUUUCACGCGUUCUCUUACGUCAAUUCAAAAAUGCAUGGGACCAUAAUAAAUAAUAAAAUAAAGAAUAAGAAAAUGAAAAAGCAGCUCAAAUUUCUUCAUUUUAUCUUUUUCCUUAUACUUUAUCCAGCAAAUCUCCCCAGAGAGAUAGAGAGGAUAGGAAACUAAUUUUAAUCCUUUUUCCUCUUAAUUUCAGCUUAGCACCGUGUGAGCAUUCCCUUUUCAUCAAACGAUGUCGCUCUGCUUUGCUUCAAUUCAUUUCAGCUGGUCAGCACGUUGUGAGCUCUGCUCUGUUUCGAAAAUAAAUCAGAACAUAAAAAAUUUUGUGCCCAGGCCAAACUGACAAAAUUGGAAAACUGAACUGACUUUUAUUGAUUAUCUCUAUUACAAACAUUGAUUUUGUGCCGAGGCCAAACACUUAUUAUAGAAGCUUGUAGUUGAGACAGGAAUAGAAACAGAGACAAACAAAAACACACAAACACAAAAAAAAAAAAAAAAAAAUUCCAGCAGCAACAACUCCAGCAUCAAUUCCAGCACCAAUAACACUUUCAGCAAAAAAAAUUCCAGUAACACUUCCAGCAAAAAAAUUCCAGCAGCAACAACCUGGCUAAGGGGAGCCGUGGUGUGGCGCUUUGUGAGUGGAUGAGGAGAUGAGAAGGGAGAGAGGUUGCCCCAGUUUGACCCACGAACCCGACCCGCGAACGUGACCCGGUUGGAUUUCACGAUCCCGGCCACUCUACCGGCCAAUCAAGGUAUUGAUCUGAAGCUUGGAAGCCAGCCCUCGUUUCCCUGCCAUCCUUGCCGCCGAAAACCAACAAGAACGCCGUCGAUUUAGCUCAAAAACCGCGAACCCGACCCGACCCACGAACGUGACCCAGUUGGAUUUCAUGAUCCCGGCAACUCCACCGGCCGAUCAAGGUAUUGAUCUGAAGCUUGGAAGCCGACCGUCGUUUCCCUACCAUCCUCGCCGACGAAAACCAACAGGAACGCCGACCUUUUAGCUCGAAAGAACCACGGCUCCAACACACCACCGCGUGAGUUCUACUCCCUCGAUCACGUGAUGGUUGUGGUCCGUCGUCUGUGGGCUCGUCCGUCGUAUGUGGUUUGUCAAACGGAAAGUAAGAGUGCGUGGCUGAUUGUUGAUUGUGGGUGUGAUUCUGUGGUUUGUCAGAAGGGAAGUAAAGAGUGCGUGCGUGAGUGAGUUUGUGGUUUCUAUUCCAGCUAAAAGGGAGGUGAGAGAGAAAAAAAAAUUCUUGUUAAUGCUUUAUUGGCUCACGCAUUAUGUUUAAUUUAAUUUUUUAAAUUGAUUGUGGGACUAACUUAAAAUUCACGCAUGCUCAUUUUCUAAAGAGAGAGGAUAGGAAACGACAGCAUGUGCUGCCGUUUCUGUCUUCCUUUUGUCGUCCCUGAGUCUCAAUAUAAGCACUCUAUUUCAUUCGUCCAAUUUAAAAAAAAAACUAAUAAUAAAAUAUUUCACCAACACAUAAUACACGCCCAAUUUAAAAAAAAAACUAAUAAUAAAAUAUUUCAUUCGUCCUAUGUUGAGUCGUCAAAAACCACUGGAAGAUGGAUUCUAACACGCGGUAUAUGGGUUAACAAGUCCCAAUAUUGUCCUCCAUCCUUUCUGCACUUCUCUUCUAUCAACGGACAUUCGUCGAUGUAUAAUCGCAAAAGUGAGGAAGGCAGGCCCUUCUCCGAAAAGUAUUUGAGCUUGGGACAAUCAUAGAGUUGCAAGUAUUUGAGGUUUUGAAGAUCAACAAUUGAAGAAGAUAGGCGUUCCAGAUUUGGAAAAUCUCCAAUCGUCAGGGAUGCUAGAGAGGCAGGAAGAGGAAGCGUGGUCCCCAAUCUUCUGUCCUCUGGUGGGAAUGACACCAUGUCGUCAUCACAUCCUUCGAUUGUAAGAUGUCGCAGAGAGGAGAAUUUGUGAAAUCCCCGCUCAAUCAUUGACUUCCAAAUCUCCAUAUUACGCUCAAUCUUCAGAAAAUGAAGGUUGGUGGGAAGGCCAUCUUCUUCAAGGCUUGGAAGCUUACCUCCUAUUCUUAAUUUUUUAAGAGACUUCAGAUUGUGCAAUCCCUUGGGUAAGGCCUCUAGUCUCUCACACCUAUAGAUCCCGAGCUUACUCAGUUUCGCACAAGGCAAUCCCCCUUCGGGAAAGGACACCAGAUUUUCACAUCCCCAUAAUUGGAUCUCUUGAAGCUGGCGGAGAUUAUGUAAACCACUCGGUAAAAAUUUCAGAUUUUCACACCAUAAAAUACUGAUCAUUUCAAGAGAUGUGUUGUUGUCCAACCUUUCUGCUAUUGACUCCAGCUUUGAACAACUCCAAACAUUAAGGCUCUUAAGAGACGGAGGUAGAUUGCCAACUUCAAGGGACUCAAGCGUGGCAGGUAACUCGUUUUUUGAAAAUAUACAUGUCAGUGAUGGACAAUCCCAAAUUUCCAACUUCUCGAGAAGAUAUGAGGUGUACCUUCUGCUGCUACUCUGGAUGCCGUCUUCCACUGUCAAAGUCCUUAUAUUAUCGCAAUGGCUGAUGUCCAACCUCUUAAGGCUCGGUGGUAGCUGGACUCUAGCAAUAUAUGGCAACGAAUGGCAACUCCAAAUCUUCAAGAUCUCGAGAGAUGAAUUGGUGCCGCACAUCCAUGCCUCUGGUAACGAUUUCAGUGCAUCACAUUCUCUAAUCUCAAUUUUCUUCAACUUGGAAGGCAGAGCAACCUCAGGAAAGGAAACAAGGGAAUGACAACGGCAGAUUUCUAUCUCUCUCAAGGAACUGAGGCUGAGAGAUGAUUGUGGCAGCUUCACAAGGCCUUUGCAAUAUCUCAAUAUUAGAUAUUCGAGUCUGCAUGACAACUCGCAGAGCUGCUGUUGUUGGUCUUUCUCUUCCUCCGCCACCAAGGAUUGAAGUUUGGGACAGCUGUCAAUCGUCAAUCUUUUGAGAGAGCAAAUGUCUUGUAGUAAUCCGUCAUGACUCUUCCAUAUAUAUGUUUGCUCUUUUGUCGACAAAAUUAAUUCUUCCAAUUUCUGUAGUUGUGGCUUCAAUGGCCCCGCAAGAAACACUUGAUUUGAUGUAUCUCUACAAACCACUGAAUUCUGUGAUCCGAGAUGAUCAGUUGCACUUCUCCACACAACCUUUUUACAUCCACCAAUCUGUAAUUUGCAAAGAGCUGGAAGACUCGAAACUGAAACUGACAAUUCUUCACAUCCUUUAAUAACAAGCUUCUCCAAUGCAGGAAGGUGCUCUGGAAAUGUUCCUUGCAGCUUAGAACAUCUUAAAAUGUGAAGCUCUCUCAAUUUAGGAAACCCUUCAACUCCUUGACCGGAUCCAUGAGGAAUCCAGUCUUCCCAUUCUUCCAUGUCUUCAAAACGAAGAGUCUCCAAGUAUGGAAAAGGAAUUGAAGCAUCCUUCCCAUAGAACUCUGGAUCUAAUCUCCUUACGCUGCUCAUUCCACAUACUACGAGAUGCUUUAGAGAGGGUAGUUGCCCGACUGACGGAAGGGCCGUACAUAUGCCACAAUUUUCAAAUUUUAAGGUCACUAAAUUUGAGAACAAGGAAUCUCCCAACCAAGUUGGAAAUUUCAUACCUCCAUAGCCUUUGAUACAAAAUUGCUCCAGAUUUGCAUGAGGUUUUAGCACGUCAAGCACGCCCAUUUCAGUUUCUGCCUCCCUUGAAGAUGAACCAUCGGUACUGCAAGUCCAAUUAAGCGAUAAUUCUUUCAGAUUCUUCUUUCCAUCCAUUUGAGCCUCCAUGGCAUCACCAACGCAUUUUACAUUCUCCAAUUUUGAAAUUUUAAGUGUCCUCUCAAGAUGCGUCAACGACUUCAGCUCUCUUAACCCGGAACCACUGUCUUUUGCCACAACAAAAUUACACAACGUUUGAAGACAAGUCAGCCUGACAAUUCCUAGUGGCAUUUCCUCCAAGGAAUCUGUAUUUGAAUUUUUAAGAUGAUGCAAUUUGAUGAGGUUUCCCAUGUCUGCACACAACUUCUUCAGCCGAUCACAAUCUUCCAACAAAAGACUAUGCAAAUUGUAAAGCUUGUUGACUGAUUCAGGCAGAGAUCUAAUCACAGCUCCAGACAGGUUAAGGUACCUUAAAUACCUCAAAUCACCAACUGAAUCCGGCAGCUCAGGGAUGCAGUAUCCACGCAAAGAGAAGACCCUCAAGCGUUGGAGUUUGAGCAACUUAGGAAGAAUGCUAGGAGCCAAGUAGCAAGGCCCACUAUUUGUCAACAUUACUGGUAAAAAAGUUCUCAAAUGUUGGAUAUCAUACAAGUCCCCAAACCUUUGAACGCCAUCAUAAUCUCCACGAAUGUAUGAUAGAUGACGAAGAUUUCUGGAAAAACAUUGUCGCUUGUUAACCUCAGAGGUAUACUCCAGUGUGAAGUAUGUCUCCCCCCCUGCAGCCCAACGGGCAAGGCCGUUGAUAAGAUCGUGCAUAACAAAUCGUGAUGCAUCGGUGGCCGAUUGCUGGAAAAAAGAUCUUGAACGUAGCUCUUGAAAGAACUUUCGACCUAGAUCUUCGUUAGGAUUCCCACUCUCUUUAUGAUCCAAGAAACCCGAGGCACACCAUAACAAAAUUAUCUCCUCCUCGUCAAAUUCAUAAUCCUUCGGAAACAACGAGCAGUAUGCAAAGCAUUGUUUCAAAAUUGGAGGAAGAUAAUAAUAGCUCACUGCAAGAGCUGGUAUAAUGGGACAUCUAUCUUCUGGUAAUUCCCAUAUCUUGCUACUGAGCACGCCUUUCCACUCACGUUUGUAAGGUUUUCCAUGUAAAAGUCCUCCCAGUGUUUUUGCUGCCAAGGGCAAGCCGUUGCAUUUGAUCACUAUCUCCUUGCCAAUUUCCUCCAAUGACUUGUGUGAACUGAAAUCUGUUGUCUCCAAAGAGUGCUGAGCGAGUACAGACAGACAGUCCUCAGUUGACAAGCUUUUGAGUUCAUAAGCUUGAUCCAGGCUCAUGAUUUUGGCAACCUCUUCAUUGCGAGUAGUGACAACAAUCUUACUUCCCUGUGCGCCAGCUUGAAAUGGAAGGCUGAGGCGAGCCCAAUCAGUGUAAUUCUCAUUCCAAACGUCAUCUAAAACAAGCAAAAAUUUCUUUCGAGACAACUGCUUCUUUAGCUCCUCUUGAAGAAAAUUUAAAUCAUUAUUAUCAACAGUCUGCUUAGUAAUGGAGCUUAGAAUUGUUCUUGUUAGCCCCUUAACGUCGAAAUCCUCAGAGACACAAGUCCAUGCCUUGAGAUCAAAGUGAUCCUGCACUCGCUUAUCAUUGUAGACAAGCUGAGCAAGAGUGGUUUUACCCAGCCCGCCCAUACCUAUAAUAGGAAUAACUGCGAAUCCACCAUCAUUUCUUGAAUCAUCCUUCAACAACAAUUCAACAAUUUCCUUCUUUUCUGUUUCCCUGCCAUAAACUUUGGCCUCCACCAAAGAAGUUGUAUCUCGCCUUUGCCUGGCUUUUUUGGACCCCCCAGCUGAACUUUUUAUCAAAUUCAGCGGGCCUAUUCCUUCUUCAAUAUCUUGAAAUCUGUCGUUGAUCUUUUUGAUUUUGGACAUCAUGGCGUAAUCGAACUGAAUCGACCGUGGAGUUAAAGUGGUGCAGCAAGUAGGAAUGAGCUUCCGAAACUUACUCUUCGUGCUUGUACGACUGCUGCUGGCUUGAUCAUGAGCAGCAGCUGGUUCUCCAUUUCCAAGCAGCAACUUCCUCCGGAAAGCCUCAGUUUGGAACUCAUCCAACAAGUCUUCAACGUCAUAAACCAAGUUCUGAAGCUCGCCAAGCCACAACUUCACAGCAUCAUUAGUCGUCUUCUUCUCCUCAGCAUCAUCAAGCACCGCCUUGAUCGUCACCAACUUAUUCUUCCACUUCACUAGAUCUGCUUGGAUUCGACCUUGGCGUGCAAACAACCGAAUCCCCUCUGAAGCUAAUUUAUUGAUCAGCAUCUCAACGGACGCCGUAAGGAUUGCCUCUCCGAUGAUCGACAUUUUUUCUUUUUUCUUUUUUUGGGUUUUUUUGGACAGAGAAAGAAACUGAAUUAUGAGUUUGUGGAAAGCAAAAUGAGAAAAGUGAAUAAGCGGAAUGUGUUUGUGAUUGUGUCUAGCAAGCCUAGAAAUCAAGAAAAACCCACUGUAAAAGUGAAAAGUAAAACGGAUCCCACCACAAAUAUAAAAUCAGAGGAGCACAGAAAUUAUAAAAAAAAAAAUCAAACAUGUAAUGAUUUGUAAAGUUAUUAGCGAUUUGUAAAAAUCAAACACGCGUCUUCUUCCUCUGAUUGUAUUUUUUAUUUUUUCUUUUUCAAAAGAGAUGGUGGGGUUGGGUUGUUUGCAAAGUUAAUUGCGUGGGUCUAUUUGUUUUUUUUUUUAACUUUAUUAAUUAAUUAGUGAAGCAUGUAAUGAUUUGUAAAGAUCACGGGCAUCAAAUUAUUGAGAGGUAUUGCGCUUAGUAUUCACAAUUUCUUGUAAGAUGAAUUUGUAAGACUUAUUAAUUUUGAUGAAAAUAUAUCGUUAUUAAGUUAUUAUUUAAUUCAUUAAGUUAACUUGAGGUAUUAAUAUUCAUUAAUUGUGGUGCACUGGUGCUGGUGAAUUUACUUAAUUUGUCAUUAUUUAUAAUUAAAGAAUGAGGUUCAAUCAAUUUAUUGGAGAAAAUUUGAUUUUAAUUCUUAGGAUUUGAUUUCACUCUCUUUUAUUUUUUGACGUUGCUAAAGAUGCAGUAACAAACUUGCUAAAUGUCAUCAAAUGCUUGUAUCUUAUCUCACAAAUUGGCAAUAUUUGUUUGGUAUUUCAUCUCAACGGGACGCCGUAAGGAUUGCCUCUCCGAUGAUUGACAUUUUUUUUUUCUUUUUUCCAGCACAGAAAGAAACAGAAUUUUGAGUUUUAAAGCAAAAUCAGAAAAUUGAGCAAAAUGCAGGUAGCAAGUCUUCCGCUUGUUUAUUCCAGUAAAGUGAAAAUAAAAACAGAGCCCACCACCCAUUGAUAAUUGGAAAAUGAUAAACGAACGAAAGCGCAACGAAGGGACGACAGAAAACGCGUUUCCUCAUCCAAUUUUAUUCUUACCGAUAAUAAAUAAUAAAAUAUUUUUUUAUGGGACCGACAACAAAUAGUAAAAUAAAGAACCAAAAAAAAAAGAUAGUGUGAACGAACGGAAGCACAACGAAGGAACGACAGAAAACGCGUUCGCGCAUCAAAAUUUUCUUUUAUGGGACCGAUAAUAAAUAAUAAAAUAUUUUUUUGUGGGACCGAUUAUAAUAGUAAAAUAAAGAAUAAAAAAUGAAAAAAAGGAUAGUGUGCAAUUUUUCUUUUAAUAAUUUGGCAAUUCACCAAUCACCAGUCACCACCACUUGUUACCAGAUUCAAUGAACGUAAAAUCGCACCUCGACAUUUGUAGGGUCAAGCAACAUUAAUCCAGUUGUCCGGGUAAAUGCUGAAUAAAGUGGAAACUGGGAUGUAUCUACUACGAACCUUCCCUUUACAAAUCUUCAAACUGAUAAGCCAGAGGCAGCCCCCACCACCAUCAAUAAUUCAGCAAGUUUCACAUGCUUGUGCUUGUCUGCUUGACGAACCGGAAAUGGGUGGACCAGGCACCAUUGAAUAAUUGGAAAAAAAAUGAAAAAUAAAAAUCCGUGUCCAGCAAAAAGAAUGCAUCUUCAUGUGUUGCUUCCUAUUCAGUACCUCUAGUCAUCUACCUAGCAUUUAAAAAAAUGGAAGUAGUAAUUAAAUCUGACUUUUUUAGAUAUGGCUCAUAUAUAUUACAAGUAUCAAGAUUUAAUUAGAGUACACGUAUUUACAAUGCGUCUAGUUUUAAUUGAGAGAUAAACUAAUCAUUAAUAAUCAGGUUUUUCUAAAUGAUUGAAUAAUGAUAUUAAUUAUUGAUAUUUAUAAAAUUUCUAAGAAGUGAUAACUAAUACGUUGGGGAUAUGUAUUUGUGCGGAAUGGUAAAUAUAAAGAAUAGCAAUAAAAAUGGUGGAACUUUAAUAUGAUAAAAAAAGUAAACUGUAGAAAAUUAAUAUGUAAUUUAAGGCACGUUAUAAAUAUCACUUUUCUUAAGACAUUAUUUACCCCUACCAAUUGAGUGAUGCACAUGAGUUAAACAAAUAUACCUCUAGGAUAUAAUGAAAUGCUUCUUUAUUUGCUUGCGUUGUGCAUCGAAGAAAGUAAACCUGAAUACUCUUGAAUGUUGCAAGCCUGCUAGGAAUCAAUAUGUUGAUUCUGUUAAAAAAACAAUGUAUUGGAUAUUUGAUGCAUAAAAAAUAGAUGUUAUUUGAUGAAAUUCAUUUUAAGAAAUAGGGGUAAGAAAAGAGUAGUGCAUGAUUAUCUUAUUCAUAUCUAAAAUUCUAAAUAUAUGGAUUUAUUUAUUAUGGAGACAUAAUAGUAAUUGUAAAUUAAAAAUAAAUUUAUUAAUAAAAAUAAGGGUUAUAUAUCUUUUUUAAAAUGUUAAGAAGUUUAAUAUCCUUUUUUAGAUUAAAUUUUCUAUUUCAUAUUAAGCAAAACCCACGUCAAAAGUGAAAAGGAUAAACAGAGCCCACAAAACAGAGCGCAUUACAAAUAUAAAAUCGGAGGAGCUCAUGGUCAUGCCUUUUGCUUUACCUACUAAAUUAAAUAAAAGCCAAACCAAAAUCUUACCUUUGCUUAACAUGAUUAAUUAGGCACUGCAUCAGAGAGAACACGAAGGCAAUGAACCAUUUUGUUAAUCUUAAAUGUCAGGAGUAUAAUUAGCUUGGAAUAAAGUUGCAUUCUUCUCCUCUGACCGUCUCUUCAGGUUCAUUUCAAAAGUUUGAAGAGAGUUUCAAUUCUUCUACACUUUAGAUUUUCUAUUUUUUAAUUGUACAGAAAAUGGGACUAAUUUUCAAAUAUUUUCAAAUUCACUUAUUAACAAAAGCUGUACAAAAUGAUUUCCUUUUUAUUUUGAAAUAUUAUACGGAAUCAAAUAACAGUGAUUGAAAGAGUGUAAAGUGGUAAUUUUCUGAUCGUAUUUUCUCUCUUUUUUAAAAGGAGAUGGUGGGGUUUGGUUGUUUUGCAAAAUUAUUGGUGUGAGGGUCUAUUUGUUUUUGUUUUCACUUUAUUAAUUAAUUACGAAGCAAACAUGUAAUCAUUUGUAAAGGGGCAACUAGCAUCGGAUCAUGUAAGAUGAAUUACUUAUUAAUUUCGAUGAAAAUGGAGCAUUAUUAAGUUAUUAAUUCAUUAACUUGAGGUACUAAUAUUUACUAAUUGUGGUGAUUAAUUUAUUUAACUUUGUCAUAAUUUUCAAUUGAGAAUGAAGUUCAAUCAAUGUAUAAAAAGAUAAUUUUUUUAGAUUUUUAAUUCCUAUGAUUUAAUUUCUCUCUGUUUCGAUUAUUGACGUGUUAAAAGCUUGUAGAAUAUCAUGAAAUGCUUGUAUCUCACCUCACAAAUUGACAAAUAUUGGUUGGUUUCUCCAAAGGCUCCCUUGACGAAUUGAAAGUAAAAACAACCACCAUUGAAAAUUAAAUUUUAAAAAUCUUUUUUACUUGAAAUUUUUUAAAAGAAAAAUUAAGUAAAUUAGAUUACAGAUAUCAAUCUUAAUAUUUUGUUGAUGAAAAUUAAUUAAUUAAUCCCAGUACUUUCUUAAUUUUGUGUUGUGCACCGCAUUGGCCACUUCUGAUUGUGUUGCACAUUUGUUAAUUCAAAAAAAUAGAACUUUUGUAUUGAUCAAACUUAUUUUAUUAGUAUUAUUCAUCAUAUGGUUAAUGGCUUAGCCAAUGAAGGAGAAGGGGUCAGCCAAAACAAAUAAAGUACUUUCUCAUGCAUUAACCUUUAUUAAAAAGCUUUAUUAACUGUUGUAGUUAAAAUAAUUUUAAAACAAGUUAAAACAGUUCCAACUCAAAAUCAGUAGGCUGCAAUUGGGUUGUUACACAUAUUUCUAAAUUUCAGUCUAAUUUAAUUGUGUAUGGACAAACUAAGAAAUAAAGUUUCCACCACCGUACCAGUAUGUCGAUUUGCGAAUACAUUCAUUCAAAUAUUAAACGUUCAGAGAAGAAAGCAAACCGUGGCAGGAUAGCAAAACCUGCGAAUGGUCAUUCCCAACACGAACCCCUAUGGCUGUUUUCCUUUUAAUUUUCUUCUUUGAAUUCUCCUUUUAUUAAUAAUUAGAAAAACUCCCUUUUUUUUUAAAUCACGUGUUAUUAACAUUUACAUGGUUAAUGUCAUCGAAAUCAAAUGGUUUUUAUCUACGAAAAGAAAAUUGCUAGAAAUUUUGUUAGUCCCAUUGCAACAAUAUAUUGUUAUAAAUUGCAUUGUGUCCCAUAUAACAAAUAUAAUAAAAUCUCAAUAAAUUAAUAAUUUUGGGAACCAUAAAAAAAUUUAUUAAAAUUUAACAAAUAUCAAUUAAUCAGUAAAUUAAUAAAUUAUUAAUUUAUGAAAAUAUUCAUUAUUUUGGAAAAACAUGAUCACGUUUUUAAUAUUGAUUUACCUUGAGUUAAUAUCUAUUAUGUUUUAUUUGUCUAUUAGUUUUAUCUUGGGAAGAUUUUUCAAGAGUUAGCUGCUUUAUAUUAAGUUAUUAACAGUAAUAAAAUUAUUAGUUGAUACAGGCGAAUUUUCUGACCAAAAUCGUACAAAGAAGUUGAAAGUGUUUAUUUUUGUUAUUUCAAGACAUUCUAACAAACUAUAAGGGGUCACAAAAAGGUUGAUACCCCUACUUGUUCUUUUUUUCCUCAAGAGUCAAGCAAAAUACGACAUAAAAUGUGGCAAGUCUUCCCACUUGUUGUUCUUUGCAGCUAAGAAAAGAAAAACAGAUUCCGCAAUGGAGUCCCCUUAAGUGGCUUGACUGGGUUUGCUCCCCAGUUCGAGUCGCAAGGAAGUCGCCUUUGUUGGGAGAACCUGUGUCCCCCAGUUCGAGCGGGGACUUCUAGUCUAGGUUAUGGUACGGGUUUAAAAGUGCCUCACACAGUUGGGACCUCCCCAGGAUACCUCGUGGUUAAAAAAAAAAAACAAGAAAAACAGAGCCCGCCACCCAUUAAUAAUUUAGCAAUUCACCAAUCACCACAAAAUUCCAUUAGAUAUUCGUCGAUCAAGUAGUUAAUCCAGUGUCUGUUACGUAGAGCCUUCACUUUACAAAUCUUCAACUCAUAAACCAAGUUAAAUCAAGACGUUUCUCUGUAUAUAUAUAUAUAUAUAUUAACUCCUAAAACGUUUCUUUUUAGGAAUAUUUUACUUUAUUCAUCUAAUAUGUUAUCUAACAAAUAGACACAGAUGAAAUCACUCUAAAGUGAAGAUGAAAAGGGAGAAAAAAACAUUCCAACCACCAAUAAUUUAGCAAGCUUCACUUUUAUUCCACCAAAGUGUAAAUAAAGCCAGCCCCCACCACCAUCAAUAAUUUAGCAAGCUUCACACGCUUGUUGUCUUCUCCUUGACGAACUGGACGGGGUGGACCAAGAAUCAAUGAAUGAAUUUUAAAAAUAAUAAUAAAAGAAAAACAUAAACAUUUUGGACUCAGAGUAGAACCGUAAUUAAUGCUAAAAUUUAUUCCGCUAACGUUUUCAAAAUAUUGUUCUUUAUAAUUGUACAGCAAAUAAGACUAAGUUUUGGACAUUUUCAUAUUCACUUACUUUCAAAAGCAGUAUUUCGAAACAUUUUACAGAAUCAAGUAACAGUUAUAUAACGAGAAAAGUGCAAAGUUGUGUAAUUCUAAUGUUUUUUUUUUAUCACAGACACUCAGAUAAUUUUUUAUUUGGGUCGCCAACUCGCCAAUGAACCCAUGAUUGAAUGAGUGUUUAGAAAGAAAAUCAAUAAAAAACAGUUUAUUUUUUGUCGUCGAAAUAUAGUAAGUGAGAAAGAUUAUUCUGUUUUUUUGUUAAUUAGGCUAGUAUUUAUGAUUGAGUGACUCAGAACUAUAUUUUAGAUUGAGAAUCAAUGGUUCUCCCACACUGAGAGGCUGUAAGUUUAAGAUUGUCGUUUGCUAUUUCAUCGACAAGAGAGCACUCGAUUUUAUUAAAUGGAGAAAGUCUUCCUUUUUACUUGAAAAUUUAAUAUACAAAAACUUACUAAUAAAUGACAUAUUAUACAUAAAUUAUUAAUUCAUUUGAUAGUUGAUUAUCGAAUGACAUGUGACCCAUGGGAGCAUGCAGUCUAUAAAAUAAUUCUUCUUUUUUUUUUAAACAAAAAAUCGGUGAUGUUGAAAAGCAUUUCUGUAUAUUAUUAUUACUCUAAUUGGGGUGAACAUUUCAUAAAAAGAAUGCCGUAUGAAACUAAAUUAUUAAUUCAUUUGAUAGUUGGUUAUCGAAUGACAUGUGACCCACAACAAGACAAACUUAAAGCAACGCAGAGGUUUUCCUUCGAAAUACAUAAACAGUUCGAAUAUGAAAUUUCAAUAUCACAAUAAUAUUGAUCAUGAUUCAAUUUCUUUUUCUUGUUUCUUUUUUUGAUUUCCAAUCUUUACCAAAAGAAAAAAUUUAUUGAUCCCUUUUAUCAACUUGCUUUUAUUGACUUUCUUCCAAUAAUAGAAGUGAAAAAGAGAAACCAAUAAUUUAGUACAUGUAUAUAUAGAUAUACACAUGCACAUGCAGCACAUCUAUCUAAAAUUUAAAAAAACUGAAUUAGAAACCUUCUUGAAUAAAUGAAUAGGAAUAGAAAUACUCUCUAAUAAUACUUCCUAAAAUAAUUAACCCUAAAUAAUUUGUCCUGCAUCAUCGAACUCCAGAUCUUAUAAAGUAUAACAGACAAAUUUGAGUUUUUUUUUAAUUAAAAAAAGGAUUGGAAAAAUAAACAAAUAAUGAAGACAGAAGUUAAGCAGACAGAGGAAAAUGAAUUACAUACUGUCCUUGAGAACUCAAUUCUUUAAUAAACUCAAAUUUUUAAAUGUAUAUUUUUUUUUUGGGUAAACUCAUGUCAUAUACUAUAGUCUUUAAUUCGGGCUUUGUUGUAUCAAUUUUUUGGUGGUUAUCUUGUUUUAUUUAUUUUUUAUGCAAUAUUUUUGGUAGAAAUACAUCAGGAAUAAAAGUGAAAUCUCAAUUUUAAAAUUUAGGGGAAACGAAAUACGAUAUAUUUUUUUUAUGAAUAAAAAAAAUUAAUUUUUUUUAAUUCUACCAGGAAAAACUAUUAAUUUAUCAACCCAUCAAGUUAUUGGUUUCAUUUUACAACUGACAGUCGGUUUCUUAGUUUCAUUCCUUAAUUAUCUUUUAAAAGAUAUUACAAUGCUCUGGCCAUUUGGUAAUUACAAAUUAGAAAAGUCAAAUAUUUCUGGCCAAAGACACUAGUGGAAGAGAUUUUGAUUCAUUUUUGUGUACACGCACAACACAAUUAUUUAAACGUCAAAUAAUUGUGAAAUAUAAAUGACAGUUUAUUUAAACGUCAAAUAAUUGUGACGUUUUAUCAAAUAAGUGACAAAUAUAUUACAUAUUUAUUGAAUCAUUAUCAUUUACCUUUUCCUUUUAUUGACUAAGAAAAAAAAAACAAAAAACUUGCUAUACCGCUUCUGUUUUCGUUCUUGGAACAGAUUAGUUUCUUUUGAGAAAAGUCAAACUCAUUCCCAUUACUUUCUUUUCAAUAAUCACCUCUCAGUUUUACAUCAGUCACUCAAUUUCGAAUUUCAUCUCCAUUCUCUUUCAAAGAAGAACACACGAAGAAUUUUAGCUUGCUUUACCUGCUUCUCAAAUUUCAGGUAUUGUUUCCUUUAAUUUUGAUUUUUUUUUUUUACCUCUCUGUUUCUAGUUUGAUAAUUUAGGGUUAUACUUGAAUUAAUUGUAUUUUUAAUCAUCCUAGGUUGAUUUAAUUGAUUCCAAGUCUCAAUUUCCUGUUCAACAAACAAGGAACGCACGAGUAAUUUUCAUUUUCAUUCUCAAUUUUGAAAGAAUCAAUUUAUUUUAUGUGUUCAAUUUUUGUUUAUUUAACUUAGGAUAUCUUUUUCAUUCUUUUCUUCAAGCAGAUUAUAGCGUUGCUCCUCCCAUUGAUCAUAUUGAGAACAGUGCUUUCUCCUUAAUUCCGCCAAGAACAACUUUGAUUUCAGGUGAUAAUUGAAUGUGUAAUAUUUUCAAUUGAAAUUAAUUGAGUCUCGUAAUAAUAAUAGUGAUUUGAGAUUUACAUCCUGUUGAAAUGAUUUUAGAGUGUUCUGCUAUUUGAAUGCGCAUUAAUUGUUUGAUUAAAUGUCUCUUUAAAAGAUUAUUUUUGUUUUUUAGCAAACAUCUUACUGAGAUGCCUCUCGUAAUAGUAUUUACCGUAAUGCACUUUGCUUCAAUUUGGUCAGUUUACACAUUUUAACAAGGGAAAAUUACAGAACUGCAACAGUUUUCAAAUUGAUUGCAGAUUAGAAGCAACAUGUGGCAUUCAACAUUCCUGCAAUGCCAUUUCUUGUUAUGGCAGCGGCAUUCUUGGUCAUGGCAUCACAAGCAAAUGCUUUGACUUGAAGACUUGCUUGGCUAUGAAAAAUAAGGAGAGCAAAGGUAAUUAAUCUUGGUGUGAUCAAUAUUUUUAUGGGGGUACUAAGAAAAAUAAAGAUAAUAUAAGGAAUGUUGUUGAGGAGUAUUUUGAUAUUUACAAAAGUGUUUAAAGUAAAAAUUGAUUUCUUAAAACUCAUUAGCUAGGGCACAUAAUAAUGGGGAGUAAAUUUUAGACUACGAAUAAUCCCACCCAUUUAAUAAUAUUCUUCAAUCAAUUAUGUUUACUUCAAAAAAAAAAAAAAACCCAUCUCUUUAUUACUUUCUAACUAUUCAUAUUAAUGUGUUAAUAAUUAUGAAGAACCGGUGUAAUUUAUAUGAUGUAGGAAGCACUUUAGGCAAAAUCAUCUGAAUCUCAAAAUUUCGUGAUAUUGUGCCAAAUAUCCAAAACAGAGCUUCCUACAUUGCUAUAGCAGUUUUUAAAAGUUGAGGACUCCAAAUAUCCAAUAACUGAUAAAUUGUGUAAAGAAAUAUAAAUAUUAAUGGUGAUGACACAUAUGCAUGGAAUUCCUCUGUUUUGAGUUUGACUAAAACAACCUGAAUAAUUUCAAACAAUCCAUCAGCCCAAAGUCCUUGAGAGAUCGAACUGGAUUUCAGUGCAUCACAUUCUGAAAUUGAAACUAACAUUAAUUAGAAAGGCAGAACAACCUCUGUUUUUUACUAUAAUACAAAAGGGGAAGUCAAACCAAUUCAAGGAACUCUCCUAUUUUUGACUGAAACAUACAUAAUCCGAACAAUUUACAAUUAAAUAAAUCGUUCAAAAUCUCGAACCCCCAUUUCCAUGGUUUAAUAGAAUAUCAUAAAGGUGCCCAAUACAGUGAAAUUAACGUUCAGCUCAUGAAGUUGCCGUUAUAUAUAUUGAAAAAGAAAUCAAUAAAAGAAACUGAAAACCAAUUGACACUGGAUCACGUAAGAUUGUUCGUUGUUAACUAUGAUGGGAAUAUAUACUUGGUCUAUUACUUAUCAUCUAGCUAAUGCAUGUGCACUUUCAUUUGUGUCUAUCACUGAAGAGUAGAGUUACUUGAUUGAAUAGUAUCAUAUCACAUAAACUCAAAACUUAAUUUCAUGGAAAAUGCUUGGUGUAGAGAAGCACAAGAGAAAGAUGAGAGAAACAAUGAAGAAAUGGGUAGAGAGAGAGUGAGUGGGUAGAGAGAGAGAGAGCAAAAUUCUCUCGUCUUUCUCUCAUGCUUCUCUCUCUCUAGCACUACUCUAAUUUCAUUGCGCGAGCAUACCAGGCCAUAUGUAGCUCAAAAGUGCAAUAACAUUGAACAUUCAGCUAGCUAGCUUAUACUAAUUAAUUAAUACGACUACUAGUUCUUUAUGAUUAAUUAAAAGAGAAAAUAUUUGACAAUCACGAAACAUUGUACCAUCACUGAAGAGUAGAGCUUCCUACAUUGUUACCCAAGCUCUUUUAUAUCUCCCAAACAUUAUUAGAGUCCCACAUUUGUGGCACAUCAUUAAGUAAAAUGUGCCGAUUAGGAAGAACUAGCUUCUUUUUUCUGAUUUCUUGAAUGUGUUGCAACUUUUAAGUAUCACUCAAAAUUUUACACCAUCAACACAUGAAAAUUAUACAUAUUCUGUCAGCACUUGCAUAUGUUGCAAGUGCUGACAGAACUUUUCAUUUGAUUUGAUAAUUGGCUAAGGGUGAUUUCAAUAACAUUUCCAAAGAAGAUAUAGAACAUAGAUCAAAAAGAAAAAUAAGUAAUUUGAUCAGUCGAUGCAAAAAAUGAGCGAGCUUCGUAGUCUGACUAACAAGACAUGGCUUGGAGCAAGGAUCAAUGGACAAGUUUGAGGUUUAUGAAAUAUUGGGAUAAGAGAAAUAAUAAAGCCACUACAAGUUAAGCAGAUCAAAUAAACAGAACAGAGGAAAUAAGUGAUCAAUUUAUUACUUUGUGCAAUGGCCACAGACAGCGAAAAUAUGUCUACAUGACAACAUUAUCCGACUGGCAUGGUACUAUCACCGUGCAGCAUUACACUAACAUUUCCUUAUCAAUCAAUUUUGAUGGUAUGAUAUUAAAAACAUUGAUUUCAUAAUUUUAUGUAAUUCAUAGAAAAGAUAUAAUUGAUUUGAGUUAGCUUAACAUAUACGGAAAGAGUAAUGGGGAAUGAUGUCGAUGUGGCAUGUGAUGAGUAAAGAUAGACAACAAAUAUUGAUCGUGUCAUAAUGAAAUAUGUAUUUAUUGAAAAUAAAUUGACAAUUAAAAUUAAUAGAUAUAUAUCCAAUGCAUCGAGUUUAUUUUAUCACUUCGCUAACCAUUUUGUAACUACAUGUUAAUUAGAAGUUCAAUUAAUUUUGACCAAAGACUCUAGAGAAUAUCGAAAAGAGAUUUGAUUUUUGUCUUAAAAAAAAUUAGAAAUGAAAUAAGUCAAAAUCAAUCACAAAAACAACAAUAAGAGCAUAUUUUAUAAAACCACAAAUGCAUAAUAUAAAUUUAGUUUCGAAUUAGAUAAUUAUUAAUUUGUAUAGCAAAAGAGUCUUAUAGAAAAAUAAGAAUUUUUUUAAAGGAGAUUUGCUUAAGGAACAACUUUAGUUUGGUUUAAUUUGUGAAGACUCAACUAAUUGAAAGCAACGCAAUUGAAGGAAAUACAAGCUUUUGAUUUUGACAAAGUAAUCACUAAAAUAUUUGACAAGUUUGAGAUGUUAAAAAAGCUGGAAAAAUAGACAAAUAAUGAAGAUCCUACAAGCUGGCAGAGCAAAUAAACAGAGGAAAACAAAGCAAAUAUUUACUGUUAUACAUAUAUUUUUUUUUAUUUUUUUCCAAAAAAGAAUGUUGCGAUAUUUUUUCCCAAAAAGAAGCACAGUUUGCUAUUACUACCAUAGAACUUUAGCUACCAUUUAUAAGCACGUGUCUAAUUACCAAAUGAAUUCCACUAUAACAAAGAAUAAAAGCUAAUUUCAUUGAUGGCAUAUGUUGUGCUUUCUUUUAUUUUAUUUUUCUCCUUUUAGUUAUUGAAGUUACUUUGCAAACUGCUCCAAGCUAAAUACAAAACUUACUCUUACACUAGGAUCUUUGCAAUGGUCCAGCAAUUUGUAUUCCUUUCGGUGAGAUUGGUUUUUUUCUUUAAAUAAAAUUUCAGGGAUGAGAAAUCUUAUCCAUUGAACAUCAACUUUGAAUUUUAUUAAUAUUCAAACUUAGAAAGUACUGCAGGAACAAAGUGCAUUCAUAGCCGGUUACACUAUGUCUAGCUACAAUGCAAGUUUCACUUAAUUAAAUAUACAAAAUUAAAUCACACGAGCCUCUCGUUUCUGUUGAAAAUUGAUUAAAAAAAAGUUGAAAAGUCAAAUUCAAAGACAUCAUUUGAAUUCAAAUGGGAGGUGGCCGAGAACUUUGAAAAGUAAUUGGAAGUGGCCAAAACUAUUUUGAAUGUUGAAUGGUGGCUAUUGAAUGUUGAAAAAAUAGAUUGAUUUUAGGCAAAAUUUUGCCUAUAAAAGGAAGCUCUCAUUUGAGAGCUUGGCAUCCCAAAUCCCAGAGAAGCGAUCCAAGUUUUGGUGAGAAAUUGAGAGAGAGAAAUGUUCUUAAGCAUGUAGUUAUAUUGUAGGAGUAUUUGACUCCUCAAUAUAGGUGUUACGGGUUUGCUUUGUUAAAGGAUAUUUCUCAGGAUUAUGUAUUUGGGGAUUGGGUGAGAGAAAAUUAUUUCUCAGAGUGUGGUUGUAAUAAUUUUCCACAUAGUGAAUAUUUUUUCUCUGGUUGGCUUUUGACAACGGCCGUGGUUUUUCUCCAGAUUUGGAGUUUUCCACGUAAAUCUACUGUUGUGUGAUUGGUGUAUUCUCCAUUUAAUUUUUUCUGUUAAUUUGUUGCUUGACAAAUUGCUUAGAGUGAUCUUGGGAGGAAGCUCAAUUUCCUAACAGUUUCAUUAUACUUCAACUUAAAAUUAAAACGAAGAAUUGACAGUAUUGGAGUUUCAUAUUUAAUUUUGCUGCAGUUAUGGGGAAUCAGAUGGCCAUCCAUUUUGACGUCUAUUUUAUGGCCAUCCCCACUAAGUAGCUUGGUCAUAUACAAUAUGUGUGUGCGUGUGUGUGUGUGUGUAUUGGGAUGUCACAGGCGCUAAAAGAUAAAGCUGAACAUCAAUCCCAAAUCUAAAGUGAAAAACAGUAGCUAGAACAGAAUCUUUGUUUCGAUGUCUUAGUUUAUAAGCUGGAACAAUUGAUAGUAUACAAGAUGCAUGAUAGAACAGAGAACUCAUAUUUUAGCAAUAAUCCUCAGCUCACCGCCCCUUAGUUCAGAGUGGCAGUUCUUAUAACAAAUAAUUGAAGACUUGCUUGGCUAUUGAACCACACGAAGGCAAUUCGUGAACAGCCUUGAUAUUUCAUUUGGUUUUAUAUAAUUCUCUGUAAAGUUGUCUUGUGUGUAAAAUUUUUGUUAAAUGAAAUCGGUAGGUGAAGAGAAUUUUUAAAAGCAAACAUCAAAGUAACGAUCAAAUGGAUGAAAUCGGUAUAAAUAUUGAUUGUCUCAAGUUAGAUUAUACAAAGAUGAAAUAAUGCUAAUCUAGAAAAUCCAAUCAUUAUAAUUUGAUUUCCAUUAUAUUAAUUAUGUUCAAUCAGGCUAUUUUAAUGAAGAACACUCGAGCAUUUAUAUACAUUCAGCUUAUGAAAUUAAUUACAAAACGAUCUUUGACCAAGUCUGAUGAAAAGAUCAUCUUGCAAGUACAAAGUUAGACUUCCCGAUCAUGCAACUAUGCAUCAAAUUGUGUAUUGUGUUAUCAUUGAGCUCUUAGGAAGAUUCAGCUGCUGAGGAGAAACUAUCCAUCAAAUUGUGUAUUGUGUUAUCGUUGAGCUCUUAGGAAGAUUCAGCUGCUGAGGAGAAGAUAUAAUCUGUUUUUAUGUGACAAGCUAUGUACUCUGCUUUUAUGGUGUUUCUAGUUGUUGGACAAACUGUAAUAUGAAUUUCUAUCUAAGGGGUAUUUGUAGUUGGUUUUGGAUUGUUGAUUUACAAAUGAUGUUUGGUAUCCAAAAUUCAGAUGAUGAUAAUCUUGGCAGUACUUUUGUCAAAUUUUCUUUUAUGUUGGUGUUGUUUUAAUUAAAUAUCACAAAGGUGCAAAAUACGGUAAAAAUAACAUUGAGCUCAUGAGAUUGCCAUUAGAUAUAUUGAAAUAGAAAUUGAUACAAGGAACUGAAAAUUAGUUGUUAAUUAUGAUGGGAAUAUAAUCUUGGUAUUUUAAUUAUAUCUAUCUAACGCAUGUGCACUAAUCUCAUUUGUGUCUAUCACUGAAAAGCAGAGUGGCUCGAUUGAAUAGUAUCAUAUUACAUCACAGCAAUCACAGAAACUCACUCAACAUUCAACUAAUUUAUACUAAUUAAUUAAUACGACUAACAGGAAAAGUUGGAUCUCGUCUUUUCUUGGACAUAUCCAGUGACUUUGAGCUCUCCAGCCUCCCAGGUUCCGAAUGGGGUCCUAAAAUAUCUUGCCGGAAAUGUUCUUCCUUCAGAUUCGGUGGUUAUACGUGGCCUUGCUAAAAAUCAGGUGAUUGUUUUUCAUUAUUGCGGCUACUUGACUCAAUUAUGUUAUUGCAAGAGGAGAUUUCUAUUUGUCUGGUUUAAGCCAUAAGAUGGGUUUCAAGAUUCAUUCUGAUUGGUUAUCUGUUAGCUUUUUGUUUUAAGAACUUCUUAUUUACGAAAGCCGAAUUCUUCUUUCUAGGUUUAUUCAUAUUCAGAAGUUGCUUUUGUCAUAUCAGAAGAAUAGGCUACGACUGUUGAAGUACUAGAAGGGAACUUAACAAUGCCAUUUAUUUUUUUCCUCGUGUGACCUCUUCACAAUGCCAUUGAUUCCCAUAGUUCAUGUUGCUAGGUGAACUUAACAACAACCAUCUAUUAUGCCUUGUGGAUAACUGAGAAAAUUUAUUGCUUUUGACAAAUUGCUUUUUGAAAUAGAGUGCAAGUAGAUUGACCAAUAAUGAACUUAUUGUAUCAAGUUGUUACAUUUGAACAUAUUAAGGUCAUAUAAAUCAUACUUGUUAUACUUCUUUUUUUCUUUUUUUCCCUCCCCAUUUCCCUGUCUGGAGGGUUUCGUGGACGAUCAGUUUGGCUUCGGUCUAAUUGCUGGAGCAGUUAAGGAAUUACUGUUAUCAAAAUAAAGUUUCCUCUCACUCACUAGCCAGUUAAGCAGCUCGUCACCAGUCGGAUUCAUUGCCGAUUGUAGCCCAUCUCCAUUGCUCAUCACUGUUCGGAUUCGUCAGUUCUGUCAUGUCAGUUCAGUAGCUUGUCGCCGCAGUCAUGGUCGGCCUCUUUGUUGUCAUCGAAGAACCAAUCAAUAAUGAUAACGAUGAUGUUUUAUGACAAUAAUGAUGAUGAUUGAUGAUGAUGAUGAUUAUUACCAUUGUUGAUGAUUAAUAUUAUCGAUGAUGAUGAUGUAGAUGAUGUAAUUGCGGUGAGAUGAUGAAGAUGAAACUGAAUUGUGAUGUUGAUAAUGAAAUUGACAGAAGGAAGAAGAAGAUAAUUGUGGUGAUGAUGAUGAUGAUGUUGAUGGAGAAGAUGAAAUUGACAUGAUUGAUGAUGAAGUAACGAAGAAUUUGUAAAACAGAGAGAGAGAGAGAGAAAGGAGAAGAGGAUAAAAAAAAAAGAAAGAAAAACAGGAGAGAAAAUAAUAAUAAAAACAAGAGGAAAAUAAUUAUUAUUGUUAUUAUUAUUAUUAACAAUAACUUUCUUAAUAACCAUAAUCAUAUAAUAGAUAAUAAAUAUAGUGGUAAUAAUGAAUUUAAGGGUAUUUUAAUAAUUUAAAUAAUUCAUUGUAAUUUUAAGGUAAAGUAAAUACAUUAAUGAUAAUACAAUUUAUUUUAAUUUUGAUUCUUAUAGUUGAAGUAAAUAAUUUAUUUUAAUUUUUUUAUUUCACAUUUCAAUUUUAGUCCAUUCCGAAUUAGUAAACGUAUCAUAAAAUCAUGUGAUUCUACUCCUUUAAAUGUGAGAUUGAUUUUUUUCUUUAAGGCCUACGACAUCCCAAUACGUCUAUAUAUGACCAAGCUACUAAGUGAACGGCCAUAAAAAAGGCAUAAAAUUGGAUAGCCGUCUAAUUAAUUCCCCAUGACCUACAACAAAAAUUUAAGAAGGAACUCUGAUACCAUCAAUUAUGCAUUUUAAUUUGAAGUUGGAAAAUAGUGAAAACAGAAGGUUCGGGUGAUUUAUACAUAUUUAAUCAAGUAAAAAUGGCACCUGUUGUAAUUUGCACAUUUAUCUUUACUUUGAAUAAUAACAAAGUUCAAAUUUUGUAUUCAGUGAAAAAUCAAAUCUAAAGUGAAAAACACUAGCUAGAAAAAAAUCUAUGUUCUGAUGUCUUAGUUCAUAAGCUCAAACAAUGAACAGUUUACAUACAACGCAUGAUAGAACACAAAACUCAUGUAGAUUUUCAGUUUCGAAAUUCAUUUCAGAAAAUCUGUUCUGUUCAACAGGUUAAAGUAGAUUAUCAACUAAACUCUACCCACAUACUUGCGUACAAUUAGAGCACUAUGUCAACAAAGGAGCACAUCUUUCGGAAGAUAAUUGAAGACUUGUUUGGCAAUUUGAAGAUUACAUCUUUGCUCUGCCAUUGGAAGCAAGCAACUCAGCCACCCAAAGACCGCCAAGCCAUCAAGACAACACCAAGAUACAACAUCAAUAAUAAUAACAUCAAGAAUUACAUAGAGGCCGUCGCACGUUACACCCACCCCAACAAGAAACUAAUUAAUACCGUCUUAGCUCCUCUGUAAUUGUCCUCCAUCCUUUUGAGUACCUUUCUUCUACCAAGGGACAACCCGAGAUCUCUAAUCACAAAAGAGAGGGAGGCAGGGCCUUUUCUGGAAAGUAUUUGAGCUUCAGACAAUUACAGAGUUUCAAUUUGCUGAGGUUUUGAUGAUCAGCAAUUGAAGAAGACAGGCGUUAAUAAUUAUGAAGAACCGGUGUAAUUUAUAUCAUGUAGGAAGUCCUUCAGUUACUUCUUUGACCUUGCCCAAGCUCUUUUAAGGGCUAAUAUCAAAAUUUCGUGAUAUUGUGCCGAAAGAGCUUCAUACCUCAUUGUAACUGUUUCUAAAAGUUGAUGAGCCCAAAUAUCCAAUAAGUGAUACAGACGCAUGGAAAUCCCCCGUUUUGAGUUUAUGCUUGUUCUUGUCUGCUUGACAAAUAGGACAUCGGUGGACUAAGCAUCAUUGGAUAACUUGGGGGAAAAAUAGUGUCCAGCAAAAAGAAUCCAUCGUUAUGUGCCGCUUCCUAUUUAAUUACAUUUAUCUAACAUUUAAAAGAUGGAGGUAGAAAUUAAAACUCAGUUUUUCAGAUAUGGCUUAUAUACAUUAAUGCAAGUAUCAAGAUUUAAUUAGAGUUCACAUAUAUACAUGCGUCUAGUUCUUAUUGAGAGAUAAACCAAUCAUAAAUACUCAGUUGCUUCUAAAUGAUUGAAUAAUGAUAUUAUUGUUAUUUAUAAAUUUAUAAGGAUAAAUAACUAAUAGUCCAUCAUAAAUACCGAAAAGGGUCCCCAGCAUAACUUGAACAACUUUACUUGUGUUUGCUCAUUGAAUAAUGUUAUCAAAAAGAAAUACAUAUGUCAGAAGAUUCAUAGUAUAUUGGAGUGUUUUUUGUACUUGAAUGAGAAUGAAUGAAGGUAUGUUAAUUAUAUUUAAAUAAUUGUCUAAAAGGAAUAGAAAUGCUCUAUAACAUAUCAAAUACUACCUUAAUCAAAAUUUAGUUGACAAAAUUUUUUUAAAAAUGGAAUAAAACCCUAAUUAAAUAAUUGUCUUACAUCACCAAACUCUUUUUUUUUUUUUAAUUUUAAGGCAUCACCACACUCUGUAAAGCAUAAAAUAUAAUAGGCAAAUUUGAGUUAAAAAAAAAUGAAGUUAGGAAAAUGACUUGCAUACUGUCUUUGAUGAGCGCAUAAUUUUCUUGAAAAAAAAAGGAUUUUUGUGUGUUUUUUUUUUUUUGUAAAUUUAUGUCGUUUACUAGUCUUUUGGGUUUUGUUGUAUCAAUUCUUUGGAACGUGUUUAUCUUGCUUUUGUAUAUGUUAGGAAACGGAGUGAAAUCCCAAUCUUAAAAUAUGGAAAAAUGAUUUUUCAUGAAUAAAAUGAUUUAAUUUAUUUUUAUUUCUACAACAAAAAUUAUUAAGUUAUCAACAUAUUGAUUUCAUCUGUAAGUUCCAGUCAGUCAGUUUCUUACGUUCCAUUGUUAUCUUUUAAAAGAUACUGCAAUGCUUUAAGUGUGUUUGAUCACUUCACUAAUCAUUUGAUAUUUACAAAUUGAAAAAAUAAAUUAUUUCUGACCAAAGGUACUAGAGAAUGUCGAAAAGAGUUUGAUUAAUUUUUGUAUACGCACACAACACAAAAUUAAAUUACAUGGCAAUGUUGAUAGUGAGUCGUUUUUGGGAAUCCAUAAGUUCACAUGUGCACAGACGUCUGUUGCCUGCCAGCCCUUUCCUUUUUUUAUAUCUUCAAAACAUUUAUUAGAGUCCCAAAUUUAUCACACAUCAUUAAGUAAAAUGUGCCAAUUAGUAAGAGCCAGCUUCUUUCCUCUGUUUUCUUGCGUAUGCUGCAUUCAAGUAUCACUGAAAAUUUUAAUUAUACCGUCAACAGCUGCAGGAAAAUUAUAUACAUUCUAUCAACACCUGCAUGCUGCAAUCCUCAAUGACUGCCAAAUCUUCAUACCAUGAAUAUCAAGUAACUUCCAACUCUUCAUAUAGUGAAUCAGCAGGAUUCACGUCCGACCAACUCCACAGGCACGGCUAAAGCGAAAGAUUAUUUUUUCAGAUAUUAUCAAGAAAUUAAUUUAAGUGAAAUAAGCUAAGAGUGAUUUCGAUAAGGUUUUCAGAGAAGAUAUAGAAAGAAGAUAAAAUAAAUAAAUAAGUAAUUUCAGUCGAUGCAAAAAAUGGGCAUGUGUCUGACUAACAGGACAUGGCUUGGAGCAAAUAUCAAUGGAGGAAAUAUCAGCUUAUAAUUUUAUAAAAUAAGCAUCAAAAUAUUCGACAAGUUUGAGGUUUAUGAAAUAUUGGGAAAAUAGACAAAUAACAAAGACGCUCACACUACAAGUUAAGCAGAUCAAAUAAACAGAACAAAGGAAAUAACUGAUCAAUUUAAUUCUUUGUGCAAUGGCCACGGCAACAGCGAAAAUAUGUCUACAUGACUUUAAUGCUACUGGCGCGGAUGGUACCAUCACCGUGAUGAUAUGAGAUUAAAAGCAUUGAUUUCAUAAUUUUAUAAAAUUUCAUAUAGAAGAUAUAAUUGAUUUGAGUUAGUUUAACAUAGAAAGAAAGAAUAAUAAGGAAUGAUAUCGAUGUGGCGUGUAAUGAGAAUUGAUAGAGACAAAUAUUGAUCAUGUAAUAAUGAAAAAUUUAGUUACUGAAAAAUAUUUGGCAAUAAAAUGAUGCUAUAAAAAUUUAACAUUGUUUACCAGAAAAUAGUUUGCAAUUAAAAGAGAUAUAUAUGCAAUGCUUUGAGUUUAUUUUAUCAUUUCACUAACCAUUUUGUAACUACAUAUUAAAUAGAAGUUGAAUUAAUUCUGAUCUAAGACUCUAGAGAAUGUAGAAAAAUGAUUUGAUUAUGUAUACAAACAAUAUUAGAGAUGAGAUAUCAGAUAUGUCAAAAUCAAUGACAAGAACAAUAAAAAGAACAUAUUCUACAAAAGUUUUAAUUCAUAUAAUAUAAAUUUAGUUUCAAAUUACAAAAUUAUGAAUUUGUAUAGUAAAAGAGUCCAAUAGAAAAAUAGAAUUUUUUUAAAAAGAGAUUUGCUUAGGGAACAACUUUAGCUUGCUUUGGUUUGUGAAGGCUCAAGUAAUUGAAAGCAACGCAAUUGAAGGAAAUACAAACUUCCGCUUUUGACAAAGUAAUCGCAAAAAUGCUAAAAAUGUUGGGACAAUAGACAAAUAAUGAAGACCCUACAGGUUUGUGGAGCAAAUAAAUAGAGUAAAAUAGAGCAAAUAUUUACCAUUAUACAUAUAUUUUUUAUUUUUUAUUUCAAAAACGAUUGUUGCGAUUUUUUUAAGACAAAAAUGAAGCACAGUCUCCUAUUACUACUAUAGCAUGUUAGCUAUUAUAUAAGCGCGAGUCUAAUUAUCAAAUAAAUUCCACUUUAACAAAGAACAAAAGCUAAUUUCAUUGAUACUGCCUGUUGUGCUUUCUUUUAUUUUAUUUUCUUUUUGUUAUUGGAGUUGCCUUGCAAACUACUCCAAGCUGAUUACAAAAUUUCCUCUUGCUUUAGGAUCUUUUGAAUGGUCCUGCUAUUUGUAUUCGUUUAUGUGGGACUGGUUUUUUCUUUAAACAAAAUUUCAGCGAUGAGAAACCUUACCCAUUGAAUACCAACUUUGAAUUUUAUUCUUAUUCAAACUUAGAAAACUGCAGAAACAAAGUGCCUUCAUAACACCAGUUAAACUGUGUCUAGCUACCAUGCUGGUUCUACUUUUACUUUAUUAAUUAUAUACAGCAUUAAAUCACCUGAGCCUCCAGUUUCUCUAGUUUCCAACUUGAAAUUAAAACGUAGAAUUGAUGGUAAUGGAGUUCCUUAUUUAAUUUUGCUGUAGGUCAUGGGCAAUUAGACGGCCAUCCAUUUUUAUGUCUAUUUUAUGUACUAUUGGCCACUAAGUAGCUUGGAUAUUUUAUACGUAGUUUGAAAUAAGUCAAAAUCAAUUACUAGAACAACAAUAAAAGCAUAUUUUAUAAAGGCCAAAAAUACAUAAUAUAAAUUUAGUUUUGAAUUUUGUAAUUAUUAAUUCAUAUAUUAAGAGAGUCUUAUAGAAAAAUAGGAAUUUUUUGAAAGAGAUUUGCUAAAGUAAAAAAUUUCGUUUGGUUUAGUUUGUGAAGGCUCAAGUAAUUGAAAGCAAUGCAAGUGAAGGAUAUAUGAACUUGUAAUUUUUACAAAGUAAUUGCUAAAAUAUUUGACAAGCUUGAGAUUUUAAAAAGGCUGGGAAAAUAGAAAAACAAUGAAGACCCUACGAGUUGGCAGAGCAAAUAAACAGAGGAAAACAUGACAAAUAUUAUGUUGAUGCACAAUCUUAUUUUAUGUUGAUGCACAAUCCAACUUUUUAACAAAAAUAAUAUUUAAAUUGUCACAAAACGUAUUAUUCUUUAAAAAAAAUUCAUAUACAGUAGUUAAUUUUUCUUUACUCCAGGAUCCAACUACAUACCCCUCUUUUUUGUCGUUAUUCUGCUCAGUCGUUAGAUUUUAAUUACUGUAAAGAAUUGUGGAAAUGCUCAUAUAUUAUUUGUUGCUGUGUACAAGAUCCUUAUAUACAAAAAUACUAGAAUCAUCUAAGGCAAGUACCAAACGGUCAAAUAAUAGAAAAGGAAAGAAUAUAAAGGAGAAUGAAUAUUACAAUAUGCUAAGUUAGUGGCUAAGAUCAAGGACUGAUUGAUUCUUGUUCUAAUACUCCCCCUCAAGUUGGGAAGUGAAGAUCCGUAACUCCCAACUUGCCAAGAAGAUAUUGAAAUUGAUGUUUACCAAGAGCUUUGGUAAAAAUGUCAGCCAAUUGUUGUCGUGAAGGCACAUAAGUUAAGGAAAUGAUUUUGGCAUGAAGCUUUACACGAACAAGAUGGCAGUCUAUUUCUAUGUGCUUGGUACGCUCAUUGAAGAUGGGAUUGGCAGCGAUAUGAAGCGCAACUUGAUUGUCACAAUGUAAAGUUAUAGGCAUUGGAUGGGUCACAUGAAGAUCACGAAGUAGAGUUUUCAACCAAACCAAUUCACAUGUUGUUGUCGCCAUGGCUCGAUAUUCGGCUUCAGCGGAAGAGCGCGAUACAACUGGUUGCUUCUUGGUUUUCCAAUAAAUAGGACUAUUGCCAAGCAUGAUAAAAUAUCCAGUAGUGGAUCGACGGGUCAUGGGGCAACUUGCCCAAUCUGAAUCUGAGAAGGCAGAGAGUUCCAAAGAGUUAGUGGAGGACAAGAGGAUACCAGCGCCGGGAGAAAAUUUGAUGUAACGUAAGACACGCAGGGCAGCAUCAUAAUGUGGUCAUCUUGGAGUGUGCAUAAAUUGACUAAGUAUGUUCACAGCAUAUGUAAUUUAUGGCCGGGUGAUUGUCAAAUAGAUGAGACGUCCUACAAGUCGUCGGUAUUGGUCAGGAUUUUGACAAAGGGUUCCUUGAUCGUUAGAGAGCUUCAAGUUUUGUUCCAUUGGAAAAGAAGAUGGCCGUGUGCCUAAUUGUCCACUGUCUUGAAGUAUAUCUAAAGCAUAUUUCCUUUGAUUGAAGAAAAUCCCUUGCUUUGAGCGAGCCACUUCAAUUCCUAAAAAAGAUUUCAAAGUUCCCAAGUCUUUAAUAUGAAAUUGAGCCUGCAAAAACAUCUUCAAUGCAGUUAUAGUGUCAAGAUGGUUACCAGCAAUUAUUAUAUCACCAACAUACACAAGCACCAAUGUAAAAUGAGAAUCAUGCAUUUUAGUAAACAAACAAGAAUCAACAUAAAAUUGAAUGUAACCAAUUUGUUUAAGAGCGGAUGAGAAUUUUUCAAACCAAUUUCGAGAAGCUUGCUUGAGACCAUAAAGGGACUUGUUUAACUGACAAAAUUGAUAAGACUCCCCCUGUUUACAAACUCCUGGAGGUAAGGUCAUAUAAAUUUCCUCAUGCAAGUCACCAUGAAGAAAUGCAUUAUGAACAUCUAACUGAAAUAAUAACCACCCUCGAAUAGCUGCCAUUGCCAAUACACAUCUAACAGUCACAAGUUUUGCAACAGGUGCAAAUAUCUUAUGGUAAUCCAAACCUUCAGUUUGUGUGUAUCCUUUAGCAACAAGGCGUGCUUUGUAUCUCUCAAUAGAACCAUCAGCUUUUCUUUUAAUUUUGAACACCCAUUUACAACCAAUUGGUUUCUUGCCGGGAGGUAGAUCUUGUAUAGGGAUGGCAAAUUGGUCCAUCCAAAUUGGAUAUCCAUAUAUCCAAUCCAAUUGGAUUGGAUAAUAUCCAUCCAAAAUCUUCUUGGAUAUGGAUAUGGAUAUUUUUAAAAAUAUCCAAUUAGAUAUUGGAUGGGUAUGGAUAUUUAAUGGAUAUCCAAAAUCCAAUUAAUUUAUCCAUUUAAAGUUAAAAAAAUUUAUAUUGUUAAACUAAAAUAAAAAAAAAAAUCUAAUUUUCUCUUAUAUUAACUAGUGAAAAAUUUAAAUUUCUCUUAUAUUAAAAACUAAAGUUUUCAAAAUUACCCUUUAAUUUUUUAACUUAUUUAAUACUAUUUAUAAUUGUUAUUUUAUUUUAUUGAUUUAAUAUUAUAAAUGGAUUUCCACCGGAAAGUCACCGGACCACCACCGGAGUUCGCCGGACCACCGUCGGAUAUCGCUGGAAUUACCGCCGGACCUCGGCGGAAAGUCACCAGAAGACCGCCAGACCACCGUUGGCUUCACCGGAAGAUUGCCGGACCACCGCCGGAAUUCGCCGGAAGGUCGCCGGACUUUGCCGGAAAGUUGCCGGACCGCCACCACCGACCACCGGACCGCCAUUUUAUUAUAUAUAUAUAUUAUUACUAAUAUAAAUAGUUUAAUAGCCAAAUUUGAUAUUGAAAUUUUAACUAUUUUAUAUUAUUAUUUUUAUAUAAUUAAAAUAAAAUAUCCAUGGAUCUCCAUAAACUAUAUGGAUAAAAUCCAUAUCCAUGUCCAAUAUUAAAUAGUGGAUAUGGAUAUGGAUAUAUCCAUUAUGGAUAAUUAUGGAUUUAUGUUUAUCCAUCCAUCAUUGGAUAUUUGUCAUCCCUAAUCUUGUAUUGUCCAAGUGUUACUUUGCUCUAAAGCUUUAAUCUCUAUAUCCAUAGCAUUGCGCCAAUGAGCAUGUUGAACGGCUUGAGAAUAUGUAGUUGGUUCAACAUCGUGAGAUAUGGCUGAAAGAAAGGCUACAUGAUCACUAGAAAACUUGUCAUAUGAUAAAUACUUGGAUAAUGGAUAUAAAGAACUUACCAAUAGUGGAUGAUUAGUAAAAGUAUUAGAGUUGCCAAAUGUACCGUGAAGUGCAGUAGAGCAAAUAUAAUUCUGAAGAUAAUUUGGAUGACAAGACUGUCGUUGGGACCGUCGAAGAGGUGGAGAAGGGAGAACUACUGAAUCAGAUGUACCUUGGUGGAGUGGCUGCUCAUUGGAAGAAGUUGGAAGGAGCUGUGCAUUUUCAUUGGCAAGAAGUAUGAUAGGAAGAGGUAAAACAUUGUUAUUUUCUUGUUGAUUGGUGAUAGUUUUGAAUGGGAAUUCAGUUUCCACAAAAGUAACAUCACGAGAAAUAAAAGUCUUUUUGUUAAUGAUAUCAUAAACUUUGUAUCCGGGAUACCCAAAUGGGUAACCAACAAAUAUACACUUGGUAGCACGGGGAGCAAAUUUAUGAUGAUUAGCACUGUUGGUAUGAACAUAACAAAGACAACCAAAGACACGAAGACGAUCAUAGUGAGGUUUAGUCUUAAAAAGCAUUUCAUAAGGAGAUUGACCACCAAGAUUAGGAGUGGGUAUACGAUUAAUCAAAUGGGUUGCAGUUAAAACACAAUCUCCCCAGAAAGAUAAAGGUAAAUGUGCUUGAAAACAUAACGCACGUGCAACUUCUAAAAAAUAUGUCGGUGCUUGCGUUCUGCUACCUAAUUUUGUUGAGGUGUUUCAACACAAGUCCGUUCAUGCAAGAUGCCAUGCUCAUGAAAAAAAGAUUGCAUCUGAUUUGAUAAAAAUUCACGUCCUUGAUCAGUACGAAUUUUUUUAAUUUGUGACUGAAAUUGUGUUUUGAUCAAGAAGUAAAAGUUUUUUAAUAAUUGAAAAGCUUCAAACUUGUGCCGCAUGAGGUAAACCCAAGUACAACGAGUAUGGUCAUCAACAAUAGUAAGAAAAUAAUAUGAUCCCGUAUAUGUAGAUGUGCGAUGAGGUCCCCAAAUAUCACAAAAAAUUAAUUGAAAUGGCAUAUCAGAACGAUUUUUAUUCAAUUGAAAUGAACUUCUAGUGUUUUUUGAAAGUUGACAAAUUUCACAACAAGAAUUAAAUGAUGCAAUAUCAUAAAUAAAAGACAAACGCUGCAUUCGGUCUUUAGAAGGGUGACCGAGUCGCAAAUGCCAAAGAUUGGAAUUGGGUUCCUUUGCAACGUUCAUUACUGAAGGAAGGGAAGAAUGACCAUUGAUAUGCUCAUAAUAAUAUAGUACAUCCCGAACUUCACCCUUUCCAAUCAGCUUCUUCGUUGAAAGGUCCUGAAAAACACAAAAUGAAGGGAAAAAUAUAGCAGCACAGUUCAAAUCCUUGGUUAGCUUGCUUACAGAUAAUAGUUAAAAAUUAAAAUGAGGAACUAAUAAGGCAUUAUCUAAAGUCAAAGAGGAGGAUAAUUUAAUGGAUCCACAUUUUGUUGUAGGAACAGUUGUGACAUUUGGUAGUCUCACGGGUUUGACAUGAGACAUGGGCACAAAAUUUUUAAAGGAAGAAAUAUUAGGGUCAUGUGAUCAGAUGCCCCACUAUCAAUUAUCUAAGAAUUAUUAUAUGAGUUAAUAGCAGAAUUGCAAAAAGGAAUGAUUUUACCAGCUAAGUUUACAGUAGAUGGCUGCUUACUUGUUGAAAGUAUAGAUAAUAAAUGUUGAUAUUGUUCAGCCGUGAGACCGGGAAUUUGGAUAGUAGGCUGAGGUGAUGAAUUCUUGUCUUUUGGAAUGGGAUGAUCAUCUAGUUGUUGUGGCUUCGUGGUUGCAGGAGCAGCAACAUGCGAUCGAUUUGAAUGUUUCCAGUUUGGUGGGUAGCCAACAAUUUUGUAACAUUUGGCUUUUAUAUGCCCAUAUUUCUCGCAAUGAUCCCAUAAAGGUCUACCUCGUCCUUGUGUCUCUUGUACUCCAUGCAAUUGGCUAGGAUGUGAAUGAUUUUGACGGCUGGUCAUUUGAGUCUUAUUAUUGGCUGUCAAGGCUGUUGAUUCAAUAGAUGGUUGACUGGAAACAUGGAGAAGUCGUUGACGUUCUUCCUGAUGAAUAAUUGAAUAUGCUUUUCCAACAUUUGGAAGUGGUUCCAUGGCUAAGAUUUGACUUCAUACCGAAGAAUAUGAAUCAUUGAGACCCAUUAGGAAUUGAAACACCUUUUCAGUCUCCAGUAAUCCCUGUAAUUCAUUUGAAGUUUCACACUUGCAAGAAGAAAUAGUGGUUAAUGUGGACAAUUCAUCCCAAUAAAAUUUCAAAGUAUUAAAAUAAAUCACUAAUGAUUUUUGCUCUUGCUGGUGAUUGCAUAUGGCUCUCUUAAGUUCAUAAAUCCGUGGAUUAUUACUUUGUGAAAAACCUUCUUCCAACCCAAGCCAAAGAGAGCGUGGCGUAUCACAAUAGAUGAGGCCAUUGGCAAGAUUUUUCUCUAUUCCAUUGAGCAUCCAUGAAAGGACCAUGUCAUUGCAUCGCUCCCAAGUUUUUAAAUCUUGUGAGGUUGAUGAAGGUUUUUGUAUGCUUCCAUCAAUAAAACCCAAUUUGUUUUUGGCAUUUAAUGCCAUCUUCAUGGAUCUUUUCCAUGUUGAAUAAUUAUCACCCGUUAGCACAUUAGAUACAAGAAUGGCUCCAGGAUGAUCAGAUGAAUGAAGAAAGUAUGGUGAAGAAACAUCGGUAAUGAGGGAAUUUGAUGUUUCUAAUAUUGGAUUCAAACUACUAGACAUGAUUGUCAAAGAGAAAAGCAGAAAUGAGCAAAAUUUGCUCUGAUACCAUGUAAAGAAUUGUGGAAAUGCUCAUAUAUUAUUUGUUGUUGUGUACAAGAUUCUUAUAUACAAAAAUACUGGAAUCAUCUAAGGCAAGUACCAAACGGUCAAAUAAUAGAAAAGGAAAGAAUAUAAAGGAGAAUGAAUAUUACAAUAUGCUAAGUUAGUGGCUAAGAUCAAGGACUGAUUGAUUCUUGUUCUAAUAAUUACGUUGAUCUAACGGUUGGGAUUUGUAAAUGAAUAACGAAGUGGUGUUUUUGGCUACCGUCUGAACCCAUUGCAUCUAAUUGGUUUUGUGAUUUUUCGCUUUCUUCUCUGCAACGCUUGACUAGUUCUAGAAAUAUCGACAGCAAAUUUGGAGCAUGUAUUAUUUUUCAUUAAAAUAAGUUUCCACCACCGUACCAGUAUAUGGAUUUCUGAAUUAAUUAUUAAAAGAAGCAAACAAUACUGAGAAUAUAUUAAUUAUUAAUUUAUAUAAUAAUAUGUUUGCUUCAAAAUAUACUAUUUGAAUUUGAAAUAAUAUUUUUUUAAAAUUUUAAUAUCACAAUAAUAGUCAUGAUCCAAUUGGUUUGAUUUUUUUUUUUCAGAAAAAAUUUGGAAGAAUAGACAAAUAAUGAAGACACAACCUAAGGAGAGCCAAUAAACAGGGGAAAGUGAAUUGCGUACUGUCCUCGAGCUCUCAAUUAUCCAACAUUCUCAAAUUUCUAUGUACAUUUUCGUAAAUUCAUGUCAUAUACUAGAGCUAGUAUUUUGGGUUUUGUUGCAUUAGUUCUCUGGUGUUUAUCUUGUUUUAUUACCUUAUGAUGCAAGAUUCCUGGUAGCCAUACACCUCGAAUAAAACUAUUUUUAUUUUUUUGGCAUUUUUAUUAGCAAAAAUCAUUAUUAAUUAAUGAACCCAUCGAGAUAUUGGUUUCAUUUGUAACAACUUGCUAAUUGCUUAAUACAUUUUUGUAAUUCUAGUCAUGAAGUCAUAAAGAACCUGCAAAUAAAAUCAUAGAUGAGGUACAUUGUGAUGUGAUAAAUCUAAUUCAAAUCUAAACUAAGAGAUGAUUCCUAUACAGGUACAUAUAGAAUAAAGAUAUUUAAACAUAAGCAUUCAAUUUUAUGAUAAACCUAACUGUCAUUGGCUUAUUGCUAUUAAAGGAAGUGAACAGAAAUAGAUGUAGAAAGUCAGAAAUAUGAAUGAGUGGACUUGAUUUCUCGAAUAGAAAAUUAAAUUAAUAUCAUUUUUAAUAAAUGUGAGAUGAUUUAUACUCUAAAAUUUAUUUUGAACACUCAUAUUUUUAUUACAAAAAAUUUCAUAGUUCAAUUUAUUAGUAUGGACAAUUCAAUAUAAGUAAACAAAAUAAUAAUACUUUUGAAACUCAUCUAACCAUAGUGCGCACGCACCCAUAUAAACCUUAAACCAUAAUAAAACGUUCUUCCUCAACAUAAAGACUAAUUCAUUAUUUAAAAGCAUAUAUUAACAAAUUUGUACACACAGAUUCUAUGGUUCUAAUUUCUUUGACUUUAAUUUUUUACUUCUCCACCAAAGGAGGUUCUACACAAAUAAACAACAGCAGAAAAACAAAUAUAAAAUGUGAUUCGUGUGUAGAAGAUAUAUACUCAUCAUAACAAUAACUGAUAAAUUGUAUUAAGAAAUAAAAAUAUUAGUAGUGAUGACAUGAAAGAAGUCUGUUGUCUUCACUUUGACUAAAAAUAAUUUACAAUAAUCGACCAAGCGAAAUUCCUUAAGAAAUGAACUAGGUUGGGAAGGCAGAGCAGCCUCUGUUCUUUUUACUAUAAUGCUAAGAAUUGACUUCAAUUGGGAAGUCAGGCCAAUUGAAGAAGCUCCCCUGUUUUUCACUGAAUCAUAAUCCGAACAAUUUAUAAUUAAAUAAAUCAUUCAAAAUCUCCUUUAAUCGAACCCCCACUUCUGUGGUUUAAUGAAAUAUUAACGUUCAGCUCCUGAAGUUGCCAUUUUAUGUAUUGAAAAAGAAGAAAAUACAAGAAACUGAAAAUUAAUUGAUGCUGCAUCAUGUUGGAUUGUUAGUUGUUAUUAUGAUGGGGAUAUAAUCUUUGCCUUUUAAUUAUCAUCUAGCUAACGCAAGCCCACUAGUUUCAUUUGUGUCCAUCACUAAAAAGUAGAGUUGUUUAAUUCAAUAGUGUCACGUUACAUCACAUAAAGUCACUCAAUUUUCAUUGCCAUAUGUAGCUCAAAAGUGCAUGAACAUUGAACUUUCAACUAACUUAUAUUGAUUAAUUAAUACGACCAUCAGUUCUUAGUACCCAGCAACAUCCAUCAAUAAGAGCAAAAUCCCCAUUAAUUUCAUAAAUAAAAAUAAUAAUAAGUUACAAAGACAAUAUUUGACAAUCACGAAAACAACUAUAAUUCACUCCAAUAAACAACAUAACAGAUACAUUAUCAAUAUUGCAAGUCUUUUUAUGAUUUAAUUAAAAGAGAAAAUAUGAAGGACAUAUUUUUUAUAUAAUUGAAUGUUCUCCUUGAUAAUUAGACAAAAUAACACCAAUCUAACUACCUAAUUCAAUCAUCAUAAUGAUUCAAUUUUCAUUUUUUAAUUAUGUCCAAUCAUGCUAAUUUAAUAAAGAUUACUGAGCACUUAAAGUACCUAUAUCUUCAACAACUUUGGCUAAGUUAGAAAAGUGUUAGAGCUGCAUUUAUGCUUUGUGUUAUUAAGCAGGACAUGAUCAUAUUACGUUGCGUUUUUCCGAAAACUGAAAAUUAUUAAAAAAAAAAUCUGAAAAGAGAUGUUGAAUCGCGAGCUUAAACUGAGUUUUAGACAUGUUUGACUUGUCGGUUGAUAUCCCUGAUUGUGCAUGUGCUGUCGGUUUUUGGACGGAACACAAGAAUAUGACAGCUGUGUGUUGUCGUCUGGAUCACAUGUUCUUCACGUGAUUUCAUUUACCCUAUGCGGCACAUUUGGCAGUCGUUUUGGUCACUCAUUGAAGCACGAAUUAAGAACGUCAUUCAAGGUUGUUCAUUGACCUUUACAAGGCGGGAAAAUUCUGGGUUUGUUUUAACAAACCCAGAAUGCAGCUUGUGAGUGGGGGGAACUUUCUAGAUUCUUCAUGAUCUGUGUAUAUAGUCUUAGAGGCUACAGUUGAGGCAUAUGAAAAGCUUGUAACUUCUUCUUAAUGAUUGUAGUUUGAUCUCGGUGAUGGAGAUAAGAUUGCUGCCCUGUUCUUCACUUGAUAUAGGCUAUCUCCAAGCGGAACCACUUAAAUUGUGCCUCUGUUUUGCUUGUUUCGAGGUGUGUGAUUUGCUUGUCAUUUCUAAAUCAUCAAUUAGAGAGUUUAGUGAGAUCUUGGUGGUUUUAGAAUGAGUUUAAUCGAUCAAGAAUCAACAAGAUGUAAUGAAAGCAAAAUGAGAGACUAUUGCACGCACAUCAUAGCAAUGUUUCAUUCAUUUUCAAUCUAUAUAUACAAAACUUAUAUCUGGUGGUUUGUGUUUGUUUAAUCUAACGGCUAUAACAUGUAUAUUGUCAAAAGUUAGAGCGGCCAACUUUGUUUGUCCUCAUAGCAUCCUUGAUCUAAUAUCAUCCUGGUGAUUCUUGAGAGCUCUUCUCAUUCUCUCGUGUUGAGUCCCUUGCUGAGAUGAUAAAUACUUGAGGGUCCUUCCUUGAUAUAUUUCAGCAAACACUUGAUUCAUUCUAUCAAACAUUUGCAUCACUAAUCAUUAAAUGGUGUAAGAUAGUUCUGUUUUGAAAAAUCAAUAUAAAAUCAAUCACCUUAGAUUUUCUUAGUCUCAGAGCACAAUGGCUGAUGAUUUGAUGAGAAAUAUUAAUAUGCAUGCAUCCCCUGCAUUCGUUAGAGCUGCUCUCAACCUCUGUUUAAUAAGCUAGUCCUCUGCUGUAUCCUAGAAGGUGGAACAUUAUGCUUCCCAGCUGGCUCAAGAGGGAACUAUGCUUCUGCUGCCAAAUUUUUGAAAGCGAACAUCGUGGGAAGAGGUUGAUCUGAAGCCAUUGCAUCUGAUUGGUUUUGUGAUUUUUUGCUUUCUUCUCUGUAACGCUUGACUAGUUCUGGAAAUAUCGACCAUCAUCGAUGGCAAAUCUGGACCAUGUAUUUGCCCACUACUAAGAAAUAAAGUUUCCACCACCGUACCAGUAUGUCGAUUUACGAAUACAUUCAUUCAAAUAUUAAACGUACAGAGAAGAGAGCAAACUGUGGCAGGAUAGCAAAAACUGCGAAUGGUCAUUCCCAACACGAACGCUUAUGGCUGUUUUCCUUUUAAUUUUCUUCUUUGAAUUCUCCUUUUAUUAAUCAUUAGAAAAACUCCCUUUUUUUAAAUCAUGUGUUAUAAACAUUUACAUGGUUAAUGUCAUCGAAAUCAAAUGGUUGUUAUCUACGAAAAGAGAAUUGUUAGAAAUUUUGUAAGUCCCAUUGCAACAAUAUAUUGUUAUAAAUUGCAUUGUUUCCCAUAUAACAAAUAUAAUAAAAUCUCAAUAAAUUAAUAGUUUUGGGACCAUAAAAAAAUUUAUUAAAAUUUAACAAAUAUCAAUUAAUUGGCAAAUUAAUAAAUUAUUAAUUUAUGAAAAUAUUCAUUAUUUUAGAAAAACAUGAUCACGUUUUUAGUAUUGAUUUACCUUGAGUUAGUAUCUAUUAUGUUUUAUUUGUCUCUAUUAGUUUUCUCUUGGGAAGAUUUUUUAAGAGUUAGCUGCUUUAUAUUAACAGUAAUAAAAUUAUUGUAUGGUUUUGUUUUUCCAUGUUAAAGAUCGAUUAGUCCUCUGCUUCUCCUCAGAGUCAUCGAGCACCGCCUGAAUCAUCAACAGCGUGCUCUUCCACUUCAUCAGAUCGUCUUCGAUCUUCUCUUGGCGUGUGUUAAGGAAGUUAAGGAAGCUCAUAUUUGCAGUCAAGCAGAGGAUCACAGCAGCUUCUAUAAUCAGUUGCAAGUUGAUGACAUGUACUGCCAGCUGGCACCAGGUGGUUAUGUAGCUGCUUGUACUUAUACACGUGAUAAGUUUGUUAAUUAGUUUGUAAUUAGUUAGUUAGUUUUGUAACCAUCAGCUGAGAAGCAACACUUGUAUAUAUAUGCUUGUAAUCGUUCAGUAGCAUUUAAAAAAAAAGCUUGAGAAAAUAAAAGAAGAAAGUUUUCUAAAUCUCAGUUUAUUUUCUUAUUAGCCAAACACUCAUUUUCUGUUUUAUAACUUGGUAUCAGAGCCAGUCAUGGCAUCUCUGAAUAUUGCCUCAUCAAAUCACACUUCGAAUAUUCAUACAAACUCAACAAACUUCUCAUUCACAUUCAAUACCCCUGUGAAACUGGAUCAGGCAAACUAUCUGAUCUGGAGGUCCCAAGUUCUAGCUUCCAUACGCGGCAAUAGGCUAGAAAAGUUUAUUGAUGAAAAAUGUCACUCCUCCUCCAUCUCAUAUUGCUCAAAGGAUUGACGAUGAACUUAGAUCUGUUGAGAAUCCAGAUUCAUCAAGCUGGAAAGCACAAGGUCAAGUACUUCUUGGCUGGUUGUUGUCAUCGAUGAGUGAAGGUAUUAUAAGUCUGGUGUUUAAUUUGGAAACUUCUCUUGAGGUAUGGAAAGCUAUUGAAACUCAAUUUGGAUCACAGUCAAAAUCCAGACUCUUACAUUUGAGAUAUUUGAUGAAUUCAACUAGGAAAGAUGAUCUGAAAAUCAAUGAGUAUUUCAUUAAAAUGAAGAAUAUUGCUGAUAACAUGGCUGCGGCAGGAAGUGCCUUAAGCAGUGAUGAUUUAAUUUUGCAUGUACUCUCAGGACUAGGACCAGAUUAUAAUGCUGUUGCUACUUAUAUUACUGGUCAAAUAAGUGGUGAUAAAAUGAAUUUAAAUGAGGCUUAUGCUAUGUUGUUGACUCAAGAAGCUAGAAUUGAGCAACAAGCACAUAUGCUUUCUGGAAUGGAUGUUAAGCAUAAUUUUGAAGCUAAUUUUGCUCAGAACAGAGGUUUCAAGAAAGGAAAUUUCUCAGGUGGUAGAGGAUCUGGUAAUCAUGACUAUUUUACUGGAUUAGAUAAUGCUGGAAAUUUUGGAAAUAAUUACAGAAGUGGCUAUGGAAGAUCUGGUUUCUUUGGUAAUGGUUUUGGAAAUAAUCAUAAUAACCAAUUAAGAGGAUUUCAAAGUGAUAAUCAAAGGGGAUCAGGCUCAGGAAAUUGGAACAAUGGUGGGGGGUGGUAACAAUAACUCUAUCAGGCCUCAAAUGAAUCCAAAACCUCAGUGGAAUGCUUCUAAACCAACUUGUCAAAUCUACUUAAAAACUGGUCAUACUGCAAAUGUCUGCUGGAAGCUUGAAGAAUUCUUUACCUCUGGUGCUUGCAAACCUCCUCCAAACAGAAAUCCCAAAGCUGCAUAUCUAGCUGAUAUGGAUGGUGCAGUUGAUGCCAACUGGUAUCUGGAUAGUGGAGCUACACACCAUCUUACCAAUGACAUGAGGAAUAUGACUAUGGCAGAAUCCUUUGCAGGUAACUCUAAACUCAUCAUUGGAAAUAGUACUGGUUUACAUAUAACACAUGUUGGAAAUGCUGUGUUAAGAAUGCAUAACUCUUCUGCUCAUCAUAUACUCAAAUUAAACACAUGCUUCUUGUUCCACAAAUAUCCAAGAAUCUUAUUGGCAUAUCUCAGCUAACCAAAGAUAACAACAUUGUUAUUGAAUUUACUGAUAAAUCCUGUGUUGUGAAGGACAAGGUGAGGAAUUUGAUCAUACUGCAGGGCAAAGCUGAAAAAGGUUUAUACAGAUUGCUAUUGUUUCCCUCUAAUAAAGUCUCUUCUCAAUCAUGUCAAAGGUCUCUUGAAGCCACUCAAUCCAAAAUUUCAAAUGUUCCUAAUGUCUAUGUUUUCAGUUGUUCAGUCAGUUGUCAAUAAUCAAACAAGUCCUGCUUGCAUACUGCAGCAGAACCUUGUAUCAGUCCAAAUUGUAUGCUGAGUGUUUCUGUUUUGCAUCAGAAACUUGGUCAUCCUAAUUCCAAAGUUUUAAGUCAUGUAAUAAACUCUUGUUCAGCUUUCAAGAAUUUAAAUGGAAGUAACUUUCUUGAUUCAUGUGAUGCAUGUAAAAUGGGAAAAAUGCAUAGAUUACACUUUCCCAGUUUCUACUACAAAAACAAAGCAUGUAUUAGAAGUUUUGCACACUGAUUUAUGGGGACCUGCCCUGUGCUUUCAGUUCAAGGUUACAGAUAUUAUGUGAGUUUUGUGGAUGAUUUUUCGAGGUUCACAUGGAUAUUCCCAUUAAAAACCAAGGAUGAAACACUAGCUGUGUUUAAAAUCUUUAAGAAGCAAAUUGAGAAACAGCUAGAUAGAUCCAUUAAAUGCAUUCAAUCAGAUUGGGGUGGGGAGUAUAGAUCAUUUGUUAAUUUUCUUCAUGAGGAAGGUAUUCAAUUCAGACACUCAUGUCCCUAUACUCACAAUCAGAAUGGCUUAGUUGAGAGAAAACAUAGACACAUAACCGAGCUAGGUCUCACCUUAGUUGCUCAAGCUUCUUUGCCUCUCAAAUUUUGGUGGGAUUCCUUCCAUACAGCCACCUAUAUUAUCGAUAGACUUCCCACACCCAUACUAUCUAUGCAGUCACCUUAUGAAUAUGUCUUUAAAACCAAACCUGAUUACAAAUUUCUCAAGGUCUUUGGUUGUUCAUGCUUUCCAUUCUUAAGGGAUUAUAAUACUCACAAAUUCCAUUUUCAUACCUCAAAAUGUGUAUUUCUUGGUUACAGCCCUUUACAUAAGGGUUACAAGUGUAUGCAUUCUUCUGGAAAGAUUUUUAUAGCCAGUCAUGUGUUAUUUGAUGAAACUUCUUUUCCUUACACAUCAAAUUCACAAUUCUUAACUUCAUCAUUCAAACCCUCUGAUUUCCAUUACAGUCUUCUUCAAUCUUGUACUGUUUCACUUCCCAAUAGCAAUCAAGAAACCUUUGAAGCUAGCUCUGCAGAAAAUGAAGCUCCAUCUCAUCAUUUCAGUGAUCAUUCCUCACCUGACAGUCAUAAUACAACCUUUGAUGUUUCACCUUCUCAAAUACAUCUUCAACCCUCUACCAUAGCUACUUCACAAACACAACAGCCAUCCUCAUCUACUAUUCAAUCCACACAACCAUCCUAACAUCCUCUGCCGAAUCAUCCCAUGAUUACCAGAGCAAAAGCUGGUAUAUUCAAGCCUAAAGCAUUCUUAACAUCACAUAACAGCCUGGAACCAUCUACUGUUGAUGAAGCUUUGUCUGAUUCUAAGUGGAAAGCUGUAAUGCAAUUAGAGUUUGAUGCUUUAACCAGAAAUAAUACCUGGAAUCUAGUACCUAUGACAUCUCAGCACAAGUUGGUUGGUUGUAAAUGGGUCUUUAGAACCAAGUACAAUACAGAUGGUACAGUUUCUAAACACAAAGCAAGAUUGGUAGCCAAGGGCUUUCACCAGNNNNNNNNNNNNNNNNNNNNNNNNNNNNNNNNNNNNNNNNNNNNNNNNNNNNNNNNNNNNNNNNNNNNNNNNNNNNNNNNNNNNNNNNNNNNNNNNNNNNNNNNNNNNNNNNNNNNNNNNNNNNNNNNNNNNNNNNNNNNNNNNNNNNNNNNNNNNNNNNNNNNNNNNNNNNNNNNNNNNNNNNNNNNNNNNNNNNNNNNNNNNNNNNNNNNNNNNNNNNNNNNNNNNNNNNNNNNNNNNNNNNNNNNNNNNNNNNNNNNNNNNNNNNNNNNNNNNNNNNNNNNNNNNNNNNNNNNNNNNNNNNNNNNNNNNNNNNNNNNNNNNNNNNNNNNNNNNNNNNNNNNNNNNNNNNNNNNNNNNNNNNNNNNNNNNNNNNNNNNNNNNNNNNNNNNNNNNNNNNNNNNNNNNNNNNNNNNNNNNNNNNNNNNNNNNNNNNNNNNNNNNNNNNNNNNNNNNNNNNNNNNNNNNNNNNNNNNNNNNNNNNNNNNNNNNNNNNNNNNNNNNNNNNNNNNNNNNNNNNNNNNNNNNNNNNNNNNNNNNNNNNNNNNNNNNNNNNNNNNNNNNNNNNNNNNNNNNNNNNNNNNNNNNNNNNNNNNNNNNNNNNNNNNNNNNNNNNNNNNNNNNNNNNNNNNNNNNNNNNNNNNNNNNNNNNNNNNNNNNNNNNNNNNNNNNNNNNNNNNNNNNNNNNNNNNNNNNNNNNNNNNNNNNNNNNNNNNNNNNNNNNNNNNNNNNNNNNNNNNNNNNNNNNNNNNNNNNNNNNNNNNNNNNNNNNNNNNNNNNNNNNNNNNNNNNNNNNNNNNNNNNNNNNNNNNNNNNNNNNNNNNNNNNNNNNNNNNNNNNNNNNNNNNNNNNNNNNNNNNNNNNNNNNNNNNNNNNNNNNNNNNNNNNNNNNNNNNNNNNNNNNNNNNNNNNNNNNNNNNNNNNNNNNNNNNNNNNNNNNNNNNNNNNNNNNNNNNNNNNNNNNNNNNNNNNNNNNNNNNNNNNNNNNNNNNNNNNNNNNNNNNNNNNNNNNNNNNNNNNNNNNNNNNNNNNNNNNNNNNNNNNNNNNNNNNNNNNNNNNNNNNNNNNNNNNNNNNNNNNNNNNNNNNNNNNNNNNNNNNNNNNNNNNNNNNNNNNNNNNNNNNNNNNNNNNNNNNNNNNNNNNNNNNNNNNNNNNNNNNNNNNNNNNNNNNNNNNNNNNNNNNNNNNNNNNNNNNNNNNNNNNNNNNNNNNNNNNNNNNNNNNNNNNNNNNNNNNNNNNNNNNNNNNNNNNNNNNNNNNNNNNNNNNNNNNNNNNNNNNNNNNNNNNNNNNNNNNNNNNNNNNNNNNNNNNNNNNNNNNNNNNNNNNNNNNNNNNNNNNNNNNNNNNNNNNNNNNNNNNNNNNNNNNNNNNNNNNNNNNNNNNNNNNNNNNNNNNNNNNNNNNNNNNNNNNNNNNNNNNNNNNNNNNNNNNNNNNNNNNNNNNNNNNNNNNNNNNNNNNNNNNNNNNNNNNNNNNNNNNNNNNNNNNNNNNNNNNNNNNNNNNNNNNNNNNNNNNNNNNNNNNNNNNNNNNNNNNNNNNNNNNNNNNNNNNNNNNNNNNNNNNNNNNNNNNNNNNNNNNNNNNNNNNNNNNNNNNNNNNNNNNNNNNNNNNNNNNNNNNNNNNNNNNNNNNNNNNNNNNNNNNNNNNNNNNNNNNNNNNNNNNNNNNNNNNNNNNNNNNNNNNNNNNNNNNNNNNNNNNNNNNNNNNNNNNNNNNNNNNNNNNNNNNNNNNNNNNNNNNNNNNNNNNNNNNNNNNNNNNNNNNNNNNNNNNNNNNNNNNNNNNNNNNNNNNNNNNNNNNNNNNNNNNNNNNNNNNNNNNNNNNNNNNNNNNNNNNNNNNNNNNNNNNNNNNNNNNNNNNNNNNNNNNNNNNNNNNNNNNNNNNNNNNNNNNNNNNNNNNNNNNNNNNNNNNNNNNNNNNNNNNNNNNNNNNNNNNNNNNNNNNNNNNNNNNNNNNNNNNNNNNNNNNNNNNNNNNNNNNNNNNNNNNNNNNNNNNNNNNNNNNNNNNNNNNNNNNNNNNNNNNNNNNNNNNNNNNNNNNNNNNNNNNNNNNNNNNNNNNNNNNNNNNNNNNNNNNNNNNNNNNNNNNNNNNNNNNNNNNNNNNNNNNNNNNNNNNNNNNNNNNNNNNNNNNNNNNNNNNNNNNNNNNNNNNNNNNNNNNNNNNNNNNNNNNNNNNNNNNNNNNNNNNNNNNNNNNNNNNNNNNNNNNNNNNNNNNNNNNNNNNNNNNNNNNNNNNNNNNNNNNNNNNNNNNNNNNNNNNNNNNNNNNNNNNNNNNNNNNNNNNNNNNNNNNNNNNNNNNNNNNNNNNNNNNNNNNNNNNNNNNNNNNNNNNNNNNNNNNNNNNNNNNNNNNNNNNNNNNNNNNNNNNNNNNNNNNNNNNNNNNNNNNNNNNNNNNNNNNNNNNNNNNNNNNNNNNNNNNNNNNNNNNNNNNNNNNNNNNNNNNNNNNNNNNNNNNNNNNNNNNNNNNNNNNNNNNNNNNNNNNNNNNNNNNNNNNNNNNNNNNNNNNNNNNNNNNNNNNNNNNNNNNNNNNNNNNNNNNNNNNNNNNNNNNNNNNNNNNNNNNNNNNNNNNNNNNNNNNNNNNNNNNNNNNNNNNNNNNNNNNNNNNNNNNNNNNNNNNNNNNNNNNNNNNNNNNNNNNNNNNNNNNNNNNNNNNNNNNNNNNNNNNNNNNNNNNNNNNNNNNNNNNNNNNNNNNNNNNNNNNNNNNNNNNNNNNNNNNNNNNNNNNNNNNNNNNNNNNNNNNNNNNNNNNNNNNNNNNNNNNNNNNNNNNNNNNNNNNNNNNNNNNNNNNNNNNNNNNNNNNNNNNNNNNNNNNNNNNNNNNNNNNNNNNNNNNNNNNNNNNNNNNNNNNNNNNNNNNNNNNNNNNNNNNNNNNNNNNNNNNNNNNNNNNNNNNNNNNNNNNNNNNNNNNNNNNNNNNNNNNNNNNNNNNNNNNNNNNNNNNNNNNNNNNNNNNNNNNNNNNNNNNNNNNNNNNNNNNNNNNNNNNNNNNNNNNNNNNNNNNNNNNNNNNNNNNNNNNNNNNNNNNNNNNNNNNNNNNNNNNNNNNNNNNNNNNNNNNNNNNNNNNNNNNNNNNNNNNNNNNNNNNNNNNNNNNNNNNNNNNNNNNNNNNNNNNNNNNNNNNNNNNNNNNNNNNNNNNNNNNNNNNNNNNNNNNNNNNNNNNNNNNNNNNNNNNNNNNNNNNNNNNNNNNNNNNNNNNNNNNNNNNNNNNNNNNNNNNNNNNNNNNNNNNNNNNNNNNNNNNNNNNNNNNNNNNNNNNNNNNNNNNNNNNNNNNNNNNNNNNNNNNNNNNNNNNNNNNNNNNNNNNNNNNNNNNNNNNNNNNNNNNNNNNNNNNNNNNNNNNNNNNNNNNNNNNNNNNNNNNNNNNNNNNNNNNNNNNNNNNNNNNNNNNNNNNNNNNNNNNNNNNNNNNNNNNNNNNNNNNNNNNNNNNNNNNNNNNNNNNNNNNNNNNNNNNNNNNNNNNNNNNNNNNNNNNNNNNNNNNNNNNNNNNNNNNNNNNNAUAACACAUGUUGGAAAUGCUGUGUUAAGAAUGCAUAACUCUUCUGCUCAUCAUAUACUCAAAUUAAACAACAUGCUUCUUGUUCCACAAAUAUCCAAGAAUCUUAUUGGCAUAUCUCAGCUAACCAAAGAUAACAACAUUGUUAUUGAAUUUACUGAUAAAUCCUGUGUUGUGAAGGACAAGGUGAGGAAUUUGAUCAUACUGCAGGGCAAAGCUGAAAAAGGUUUAUACAGAUUGCUAUUGUUUCCCCUAAUAAGUCUCUUCUCAAUCAUGUCAAAGGUCUCUUGAAGCCACUCAAUCCAAAAUUUCAAAUGUUCCUAUGUCUAUGUUUUCAGUUGUUCAGUCAGUUGUCAAUAAUCAAACAAGUCCCUGCUUGCAUACUGCAGCAGAACCUUGUAUCAGUCCAAAUUGUAUGCUGAGUGUUUCUGUUUUGCAUCAGAAACUUGGUCAUCCUAAUUCCAAAGUUUUAAGUCAUGUAAUAAACUCUUGUUCAGCUUUCAAGAAUUUAAAUGGAAGUAACUUUCUUGAUUCAUGUGAUGCAUGUAAAAUGGGAAAAAUGCAUAGAUUACACUUUCCAGUUUCUACUACCAAAACAAAGCAUGUAUUAGAAGUUUUGCACACUGAUUUAUGGGGACCUGCCCCUGUGCUUUCAGUUCAAGGUUACAGAUAUUAUGUGAGUUUUGUGGAUGAUUUUUCGAGGUUCACAUGGAUAUUCCCAUUAAAAACCAAGGAUGAAACACUAGCUGUGUUUAAAAUCUUUAAGAAGCAAAUUGAGAAACAGCUAGAUAGAUCCAUUAAAUGCAUUCAAUCAGAUUGGGGUGGGGAGUAUAGAUCAUUUGUUAAUUUUCUUCAUGAGGAAGGUAUUCAAUUCAGACACUCAUGUCCCUAUACUCACAAUCAGAAUGGCUUAGUUGAGAGAAAACAUAGACACAUAACCGAGCUAGGUCUCACCUUAGUUGCUCAAGCUUCUUUGCCUCUCAAAUUUUGGUGGAUUCCUUCCAUACAGCCACCUAUAUUAUCAAUAGACUUCCCACACCCCAUACUAUCUAUGCAGUCACCUUAUGAAUAUGUCUUUAAAACCAAACCUGAUUACAAAUUUCUCAAGGUCUUUGGUUGUUCAUGCUUUCCAUUCUUAAGGGAUUAUAAUACUCACAAAUUCCAUUUCUCAUACCUCAAAAUGUUGUAUUUCUUGGUUACAGCCCUUUACAUAAGGGUUACAAGUGUAUGCAUUCUUCUGGAAAGAUUUUUAUAGCCAGUCAUGUGUUAUUUGAUGAAACUUCUUUUCCUUACACAUCAAAUUCACAAUUCUUAACUUCAUCAUUCAAACCCUCUGAUUUCCAUUACAGUCUUCUUCAAUCUUGUACUGUUUCACUUCCCAAUAGCAAUCAAGAAACCUUUGAAGCUAGCUCUGCAGAAGAUGAAGCUCCAUCUCAUCAUUUCAGUGAUCAUUCCUCACCUGACAGUCAUAAUACAACCUUUGAUGUUUCACCUUCUCAAAUACAUCUUCAACCCUCUACCAUAGCUACUUCACAAACACAACAGCCAUCCUCAUCUACUAUUCAAUCCACACAACCAUCCCAACAUCCUCUGCCGAAUCAUCCCAUGAUUACCAUAGCAAAAGCUGGUAUAUUCAAGCCUAAAGCAUUCUUAACAUCACAUAACAGCCUGGAACCAUCUACUGUUGAUGAAGCUUUGUCUGAUUCUAAGUGGAAAGCUGUAAUGCAAUUAGAGUUUGAUGCUUUAACCAGAAAUAAUACCUGGAAUCUAGUACCUAUGACAUCUCAGCACAAGUUGGUUGGUUGUAAAUGGGUCUUUAGAACCAAGUACAAUACAGAUGGUACAGUUUCUAAACACAAAGCAAGAUUGGUAGCCAAGGGCUUUCACCAGGCAGCAGGAGUGGAUUAUAAGGAAACUUUUAGUCCUGUGGUAAAGUCUUCUACAGUAAGAACUAUACUAAGUUUGGCAGUGAUGAAAGGUUGGAAAAGUCAGGCAAAUCGAUAUAAAUAAUGCCUUUCUUAAUGGAGAUAUUUCAGAGGAUAUAUACAUGACACAACUAGAGGGCUUCAUCACCAAAGAGGGCUAUGUCUGCAAACUUAGCAAGGCUCUUUAUGGCUUGAAGCAAGCUCCUAGAGCUUGGUAUGACAAACUCAAAGGGUGUCUUACAAGCUGGAAUUUCUUCAACUCCAAGGCUGAUACAUCCCUGUUCAUCAGACAUGACACGAGAGGUAUCAUUCUUGUUCUUAUCUAUGUGGAUGAUAUUCUUAUUACAGGACUAGAUUCUUCCCUGUUGGAAACAUUCAUCACUAAAUUUAGUAAGGUUUUUGCCUUAAAAGAUUUGGGAUUGGUAUCCUAUUUUCUGGGUGUUGAGGUGUGUUAUACUGAUAGUGGGAUGCAUUUAUCACAAACAAAAUAUAUUAAAGACCUCUUAAGUAGAGCUUCAAUGCAGAACUGUAAAGGUUCUGAUACACCUCUCAGCACAGGUCAAAAGUUAGAAAAGGUAGCAAAGGUCUGUUUGGGGAAAGAAUUUGAAGAUCCAACUCUCUAUAGAAGUAUUGUUGGACGGCUCCAAUACUUGAUACUCACCAGACCUGAUAUUGCAUACUCAGUUCAUAAGCUCAGUCAAUAUUUGAGUGCUCCUACACUUCAGCAUUGGCUUGCUGUAAGAAAGUACUUAGAUAUCUUCAAGCAACUGUCACUCAUGGAAUAUAUAUUCAGAAGGAAGGAGAGCUUGAAGUUACAGGUUUGAAUGGAUACUCAGAUGCAGAUUGGGCUUGUAAUACAGAUGAUAGAAAGUCCAUUGGAGCAUAUUGCAUCUAUCUUGGCAACAAUUUAAUUUCAUGGUCCUCUAAGAAACAAGCCAUAGUGGCCAAAUCCAGCACUGAAAGUGAGUAUAGAGCACUGUCAUCAGCAAGUUCAGAAAUCUCUUGGCUUGAAUCUCUAUUUUCUGAGCUCAACAUUGUAAAGCUGCCAACACCAGUGCUUUGGUGUGAUAAUCAGAGUGCUGGGGAAUUAGCCAAAAAUCCUGUGUUUCACUCCAGGUCUAAGCAUAUCGAGUUGGACAUUCAUUACAUUCGAGAUAAGGUACUUCAAAACCAAUUAGAAGUGAGAUACAUUCCUACAGAUGAACAAGUUGCUGAUGUCCUCACCAAAGCUUUAUCACUUCCAAAAUUCAGCUACUUCAGGUCCAAGCUCAAUGUCGUUAGCAGACCCUUGAGCUUGAGGGGGGAUGUUAAGGAAGUUAAGGAAGCUCAUAUUUGCAGUCAAGCAGAGGAUCACAGAGCAAAGGAUCACAGCAGCUUCUAUAAUCAGUUGCAAGUUGAUGACAUGUACAGCCAGCUGGCACCAGGUGGUUAUGUAGCUGCUUGUACUCAUACACGUGAUAAGUUUGUUAAUCAAUUUGUAAUUAGUUAGUUAGUUUUGUAACCAUCAGCUGAGAAGCAACACUUGUAUAUAUAUGCUUGUAAUCGUUCAGUAGCAUUUAAGAAAAAAGCUUGAGAAAAUAAAAGAAGAAAGUUUUCUAAAUCUCAGUUUAUUUUCUUAUUAGCCAAACACUCAUUUUCUAUUUUAUAACUGCGUGCAAACCACCGAAUCCCCUCUGAAGCUAACUUUGGCGUGCAGCUCUUCGAUGAUUGGCUUUUUUUUUCUUUUUUUUUUGGUUGUGUUUUUUUUUGGCUCCUAGUUUGAUUUAACUUUGUUUCGGUUAUUGACAUUGCUGAAGAGGCAGUAAAAGCUUGUUGAAUGUCAUCAAAUGCACAAAUUGGCAAUAUCGGUUGGCUUCUUUAUAGGCGCAUCCAUCACAAAAUGAAAGUAACAACAACCACCAUCGAAAAUUAAUUUUAAGAAUCUUUUUUACCUAAAAUCUUUGAAAAGAAAAAUUAACCUGACAUUUAUUUAUUUAUUUAUUUUUUGGGGGGCAAAGAAAGAAAGGAACAGAAUUAUGAGUUUUGGAAAGGAGAAUGAGAAAAUUGAACAGAUGAGAAAAUGGAUAAUUAACCAGAAUGAAUUUGCGAUUGGUCCAGCAAGCUUAGUAGAAAUCACGCGCUGAUACUUCAUUGACCAAUGACUAAUAAUUUGGCAAUUCACCCAUCACCAGCACUUGGUAAGCAAAACGAAAAUGCUUAGUAAGUGUCAAGGGUCAAGCAAGAUAUGACGUAAAAUGAGGCAAGUCUCCCCACUUGUUGUUCCUUGCAGCUAAGAAAAGAAAAAACAGAGCCCACCACCCAUUAAUAAUUUAGCAAUUCACCAAUCAAUCACCACCACUUGUUACGCAAUUCCAUUAGGUAUUCGUAUGUCAAGCAGUUAAUCCAGUGUCUAUUACCUAGAACCUUCACUUUACAAAUCUUCAUCUCAAAUGCCAAGUUAAAUCAAAACGUUUCUCUCUCACUCUUUCUUUUUAAACUCCGAAAACGUUUCUUUUUAGAAAUAUUUUACUUUAUUCAUGUAAAUAUGUUGUCUAACAAAUAGACACAAUUGAAAUCACUCUAAAGUGCAAAUAAAAAAAAAAAUCCAAUCACCAGUAAUUUAGCAAGCUUCACUUUAUUCCACCAAAGUGUAAAUAAAACCAGGCCUCACCGCCAUUAAUAGUUUUACAAGCUUCACACGCUUGUUGUUGUCUGCUUGACGAACUGGACAUGGGUUCAUCAAGAAUCAAUGAAAGAAUUAAAAAAAAAAACUGAAAUUUUCGAUUCAGAGUAGAACAGUAAUUAAUGCUAAAAUUUACUCCGCUAACAUUUUCAAGAUAUUGUUCUGUAUAAUUCUACAGCAAAUAAGACUAAGUUUUGGACAUUUUCAAAUUCACUACUUUCACAAGCAAUAUUUUGAAACAUUUUACAGAAUUAGCGAUUAUAUAAAGAGAAAAAUGCAAAGUUGCGUAAUUCUAAUGUUUUUCAGGCUGAGCUGCCUUUGGAUUUAACCUGAAAUGAUCCGAAGGCCAGAAAUUGUAACGGCGGGCUUAAAUGUCAACACGCCAAGACAGUUAAUAGCAGCUAAAUUGGAAAAAAAAAAAAAAAGGCAAUAGAAGUAUAGAUGGAACAAUUUUUCGCUUAGGUCAUAGGUGCAAGAUGAAACUAAAAAAAGGUGGCAGGCAAUUUUAUCACAGACGCUCAUGAUCGUUUUUUAUUUGGGUCGUCAACUCGCCAUGACCCAUGAUUGAAUUAGAGUGUCUAGAAAGAAAAUUAAUAAAUAACGGUUUAUAUAUUUGGCCGUCGGAAUAUUGUAAGUGAGAAAGAUUAUCUUUUUUUUUAUUAUUAUUAAUUAGGUUAGUAUUUAUGAUUGAGUGACUCAGAGCUGUAUUUUAGAUUGAGAAUCAAUUGUUCUCUCAUACUGAGAGGCUAUAAGAUUGUCGUUAGCUAUUUCAUCGAUAAGAGAACACCCAAAUUUAUUAAAAGAAGAAAUGUAUAAGGUCUCCUUUAUGAGAAAAUGUAUCUGAUCAUUCUUUUUGACUUGAAAAUCUCAUAUAUAAAAACUUAUUAAUAAAUAACAUAAUAUAUAUAAAAAUGAUACUCAAUGAUCCUGUACUAAAACUAUAAUUUACCUGCACUAGUAGUUUCCAUAAUUUUAAAUUCAAAAGUAAGCAGUUGAACGUGCUCUCUCUUCUGGUUAUAGAUAUCAUAUAUAUAAAUUGAAGUAAUCGCGCGACAAGUAGCAAAACAGAUAAUGCACGGAAGAUAAUGAUCAAUGGCUGAAGUUUAAUUUAAUUGCAGAUAAAAUGUCAAUCAAGAUUAAGGUCUACUUACAAUUUUAUUUUAUUUUUUAUGAUUUUCAAUCUUUACCAAAAGAAACAUAUUUAGUGAUCCCUUUUAUCAACUUGCUUUUAUUGACUUUCUUCCAAUAAUAGAAGUGAAAAGAGAAACAAAGGCCACCACCACCAAGUGUUACCGGAUUCUAUAAAGACAAAAUCAGUGCCCAGCAAAACGAAUCCAACUUUUCGUUAUGUGUUGCUUCCUAUUUAGUACAUGCACAUAUAGAUAUAAGAUAUCCACAUGCACAUGCAGCGCGUCUAUCUAAAAUUUUAAAAACAGAAUUAGAAACCUUCUUGAAUAGGAAUAGAAAUACUCUCUAAUACUUCCUAAAAUAAUUAACCCUAAAUAAUUUGUCCUGCAUCACCAAACUCCGGAUUUUACAAAGCACGCAUAAAGGAUAAUAGACACGUUUGAGGUUUUUUUUUUUAAAAGAAAAAAAGAUUAUGAAAAUAGACAAAUAAUGAAGACACAAGUUAAGCAGAGCAAAUAAAUAGAGGAGAAUGAAUUAAAUACUAUCCUUGAGAACUCAAUUCUUUAAUAAACUCAAUUUUUUAAAUGCAGGGGUAAACUCAUGUCAUAUACUGUAGUCUUUAAUUUGGGCUUUGUUGUAUCAAUUUUUUGGAGUUUAUCUUGUUUUGUUUUUUCGUUUUUAUAGUGCAAGAUUUUCGGUGGAGAUAAAUCAGGAAUAAGAGUGAAAUCCCAAUCUUAAAAUUUGGGAGAAAUGAAAUGCGAUAUGUUUUUUCAUGAAUAAAACAAUUCAAUUUUUUGUUAGCACUUGUAUAUGUUGCAAGUUAAUUACACCGUCAACACCUGCGGGAAAUUUAUAUAUUUUCUGUCAGCACUUGCAUACGUUGCAAUUUUCAAUGACUUCCAAAUCUUCAUAUCAUGAAUUAGCAGGAUUCAGGUCCGACCAACUCCCCGUGGCUAAAGCAAAGGAUUAAUUUUUGAGAAAUUAUAAAGAAAUUAAUACAAGUAAAGUGAGCCUAUUCAUUUGAUUUGAUAAUUGGCUGAGGGUGAUUUCGAUAACGUUUUCAAAGAAGAUAUAGAACAAAGAUCAAAAAGAAAAAACAAGUAAUUUCAGUCGAUGGAAGAAAUGAGCAAGAUUCGCACAUGCAUGCAUGCGUCUGACUAACAGGACAUGGCUUGGAGCAAGGAUCAAUGGACAAGUUUGAGGUUUAUGAAAUAUUGGGAAAACAGACAAAUUAUAAAGCCACUUGUUAGAGUGCAAUUUAUGCACUAGUUUUGCAUUGUUUACUUCCCUUAAUAUCGAUGUUUUGCAUUUAAUAAUAGUGAUUUACUUGUGUUUUACUUUUGUAGGUGCAAUUCUAUUGAUUGGUGAUAAAAUUGAGCUAUAAGAUGAUGUUUAAGGAUGAUUGUUCUCUUGGAGAAAUUAUAAGCGGCAGAAGAACUUUGUUGAUAAGGCGUGGGCGCGUGCUGUCAACUGCGGACCUGCAGUUUUUAGUUUAACGUGUUUUGUAUUUUUGGCUAUUUUUUAAUUACGAAUUUAAUAUUUCAAAUAUUAGUAUUUUAUUUUAAAUAGAACUCUAAAAGAGAAGAGAGAGAGAGUAUUUAAAGGAGGAAUCUAUUGUGAAAAAGGAGGGAAUUUUGAUUGGAGAAAAAGAAAAGAAACCCUAGAUCUAAUUUUUCUCUUCUCUCUAUGAAGAACUAAACUUAUUUUUCUGGUUGAAGAAUAAUGAAGCUUUGAUUCAUCACUACUGUGAGAUCUUUCUUGUGCUUUAAUUGUUUUAUUGCUUUUUGGGUAUUUGUUUAUUCUCUGAAUUAUUUUCAUGAUUAUGUUUGUUAAUUAGAUAAUUGGCCACUAUUUAAUUAUCAACUUAAUCUAUUGUCAAUUAAAGGAUUCAUCGUAUGAAGAAUUUAAUGUUUGUGACAAAUAACAUAGCAGAGAGUUGUGUUGUGAGAAUAAACAAUCUAAUUUAAAUAAAUCAUCAUAUGUGUUGAUUAGGAUUUGGGUCUCUCUGGUUUUUUAGGCUGUCAAUUGAUUAAAUCCUAUGAUCGUAUCUAGGGUUGUCUAUUGAUUAGGGAAAUAUCCAACGGUCGUACCUUGGUUAUCGACUAAUUAAGGAGAGAUUGGCUAUUAGAGGGUCUCAGUAGCUAUAACCGGUCUAUUCAUAAGUAAUAAUAAUUUAUAUUUGAAUCAAUGAUCAGUAGUCGAAUCAAGCUGAGUUAAUUCCUUCAACCAGAGCUUUCUCCAAUUUGAAUCACAACUUUAAUUUACAUUCUCGUUAUUUUAAUUUGAUUUUUAUUAUUGUCAACAAUUCCCCCAUUUUACAUUUUACGUUUCAAAAGGAUUUAAAUAAUUACCGAUCUCUGUGGACACGACCCUGCUCAAUCACUAUACACAAUUUAUUUAGAGUAGGAAUUUAUUUUUGUUGGCUUCGACAACCAUCAAAUUUUGGCGCCGUUGCCGGGGAUUGGUGUCAUUUAUUUAAUCCUUUUUACGUUUUACUUGGUGUAUGGUUCGUUCUUCUCGUACAGGUACACUUUCGUUUGAUCCUGAAAUUGAGAAGACAGCUCGCCAGCUGAGACAGCAGACGAAGCGAGCUAAGCAACGAUCCUCGUCGCCUUUGCUUUCUGAAACAGAUACGGUGCCUGAUUUAGUUCAAUCAUCUAGCGAUUCGGAAGAACAAGUGAUGAAUAGAGCUGCACCUGUAGAAAGAACUCUUAGAGAGUUAGCUGAACCAGACUUGAAUCAGCAACCACUCUGCAUUCAAUAUGUAGACUUGGAGGUAAAUUUUGAAUUAAAGUCUGGUUUUAUUCAUUUAUUACCCAAGUUUCAUGGUUUUGCAGGUGAAGAUCCUCAUAAACAUCUUAAGGAGUUUCAUGUUGUAUGUUCAAGUAUGAGACCACAAGGCGUGACUGAAGAGCAGAUUAAGCUGCGUGCUUUUCCGUUCUCUGUAGAUGGGCUAGCUAAAGAUUGGUUGUACUACUUGCCUCUUGGAUCGAUUACAACGUGGAAUGGUUUGAAGAAGCAGUUCCUCGAGAAGUACUUUCCUGCUUCAAGAGCUGCCAACAUCAGAAAAGAUAUUUGUGGGAUCAGACAACUUCCUGGGGAGACUUUGUAUGAGUAUUGGGAGCGAUUCAAACAAUUGUGUGCCAGUUGUCCUCAGCAUCAGAUUUCUGAUCAACUUCUUAUUCAAUAUUUUUACGAAGGACUGUCAUUGAUGGAUAGGAGUAUGAUAGAUGCUGCUAGUGGAGGCGUGUUAGUGAACAAGACCCCUACUCAAGCAAGGGAGUUGAUAUCAAAUAUGGCUGCCAACGCACAACAAUUUGGCAGCAGGCAAGAUCCUACUUCAAGGAAGGUGAAUGAGGUAAAUAUUUCUUCUGUUGAACAACGUUUAGAUAAACUUACUUCUCUUGUGGAAAAGUUUGUUGUAGGCAAUGUGCAACAGGUGAAGACUUGUGGCAUUUGUUACAAUAUGGGUCAUUCAACUGAUAUGUGUCCUACACUUCAAGAAGAACCUGUUGAACAAGCCAAUGUAGUUGGAGGAUUUCCAGGCAUGCCUCAGAGGAGGUAUGAUCCUUAUGCACAAACAUACAAUCCGGGAUGGAAGGAUCAUCCCAACUUCAGCUAUGGAGUUAGGCCGUCAGGAUUCCCACAACAGUAUCCACCAAGACAACCAGCACCUCCACAGUCAACCUCCAAGUCAGGUAUAUCUCUUGAAGAAAUUGUUAAAUCGCUUGCGACUAAUACUCAACAAUUUCAGCAGGCAACUACAGCAAGCAUUCAGAACUUGGAGAACCAAAUGAGUCAAUUGGCGACUACAGUGAGCCGUCUGGAGUCUCAAGUAUUAGGGAGAUUGCCUUCACAAUCUGAGGUGAAUCCAAAGCAAAACGUUAGUGUUGUCAUCCUUAGAAGUGGGAAGGAGUUGCAAGAGCCUAGUAAGAAAGUGACAGAGCAUGUAGAAGAUGAGCUUAAGAAGAAUGAAUUGAUGCCUCAAUCUCAAGAUGCACAACCCACCAGAGUGAAACCCCUACCUAUUGUGAUACCUCCUCCUUUUCCAAGCCGGUUUGCAAAAUCCAAGAAGGAGGAACAAGAGAAAGACAUCCUUGAGACAUUUCGCAAGGUUGAGGUAAAUAUUCCUUUAUUAGAUGCUAUUAAACAAAUACCUCGAUAUGCUAAAGUCCUUAAGGAACUGUGCACCUCUAAGAGAAAAUUAAGAGGAGAUGAAAAAGUUCAUAUGGGGGAGAAUGUUUCAGCAGCUCUCCAAAAGAAAUUACCUCCCAAGUGCAAGGAUCCAGGUAUGUUUACUAUCCCUUGCAAAAUUGGUAGUGUUAGAGUCGAGAAGGCUAUGUUAGAUCUAGGAGCUUCUAUUAAUGUCAUGCCUCGUUCCAUUUAUUCAUCUUUGAAUGUUGGUCCAUUAAAAAAAACUGGCGUGAUAAUUCAACUAGCUGAUAGGUCUAAUGCAUAUCCUGAUGGGGUAUUAGAAGAUGUCUUAGUACAAGUUAAUGAGUUGGUUUUUCCUGCUGAUUUUUAUGUACUUGAUAUGGAAGAUGAUAACUCCUCUAAUUCUGUCUCAAUUUUGCUAGGAAGACCUUUUCUUAAGACUGCUAGAACUAAAAUGGAUGUACAUAAAGGGACUCUCACUAUGGAGUUUGAUGGAGAGGUUAUAGAAUUCAAUAUGAAUGAUGCCAUGAAAUAUCCUAGUGAGGAACAUUCGGUAUUUUCUGUGGAUGUUAUUAACCCUAUAGUGCAGGAAGUUUUUUACAAGAAAAAAACGAAGACAUUUCAUGAUAGAAUGAUUUUGAGAAAGGAGUUCUCUGUUGGUCAAAAAGUUCUUCUUUUUCAUUCUAAGCUUAAACUUUUUCCGGGUAAAUUACGUUCUUGCUGGGUUGGACCUUUUAUUAUUACUAAUAUUUUUCCUCAUGGUGCAGUUGAGAUUCGGAGUCCGACCUCUGACAAAGUUUUUAAGGUUAACGGUCAUCGCUUAAAACCUUUUUAUGAAGGUUUUUCGGUGAAUAUUGUGGAGGAUGUGGCUCUCGAGAGUCCCAAUUAUGGAGAUUGAUGCAUAAAUGUGUCUAGCCAAAGACAUAAAACAAAGGCGCUUUUUGGGAGGCAACCCAAAGGAUUUAUUUAUUUUGACUUUUGUUAUAUCUUUUAUUUUUAAUUUAGAUUUAGAUUUUUUUUUAUAAUGUUUUUGCUUAUUUUGGUCAGAAGAAAAUUUUUGAUAAGGCGUGCCCACGUCUUAACUAAUAAGUACUUUUGUGAUUUUUAAAGUAAAAUGGUUUUAAGGCGUGCCCACGUCCUUAUUAGAAAAGUACUUCUGAAAUUCUUUGUGUCUCAAAGUGAUUCAUCACUAAAAAAAAAUUAUUUAUUUAUUUGAAAAUUAAAAAAAAGGAAAAAAAAAACUUUUUUUUCCUUUCUUUUCUUGCUUUUUUAUAUAUAUUUUUUUAUUUGAAAAAAAAACGAAAAAAAAUUUACUGUUCACAAAAUCCCUAAUUCACAGAAUUGGUUUUCUUCUCCAGCUUUCACCGACCAGCCCACGCAGCAGCAGCAGCACGCAGAACCAGCGUCAGCCCAGCCCUCGCGUGCAAUCAACCCCAGCACGCAAAUCCAGCAGCCCACUAGCGCAACAGGACCAGCCCCAGCAGCGCACAGCAGAAUCAGCCCCAGUGCACAGCAUCCCGCACGCAACCAGCGUCACCAGCGCGCAACCAGCAAUCCACCAUCGGGCCAAGCUCCAGCCGAGCAGUAAUCGUCCGCAACCAGCCUACGCCCUUAUUCCAGCCGGGUGAAUCGAAAUCCGUGAGUGAAAUUAUUGUAACAAUGCCGAAGAGGAAAGCAUCAACUUCCAAGUCAUCUAAAAAGACACCCGUCGCAAAGAUAUCCAAGAUUGCCGCUCUCAUUACAGUUUCAUGGAACACAGUUUCAGAUUCACGCCAAGUCGUGAGACAAAGAUCGAACCAUGGAAAAGGCAUGAGUGUUUUGCCACUUGCGGAAUCCAAUCUCGGAGGGUGCCUUGAAUUUACGACUCAACAAGAGAAAGAAAGUUUACUGAACCAGGACCCACUCAACCUCCAAAGAAGCUUUAUGCUAGAAGUGGUGCUACCUCUGAUGACGAGUUUGACGACGACACUGCUGCCCCGCCGACUAUUCCUUCUACAUCCACACCACCUUUGAGCAUUCAGUUAGAGAAAAUGGAGCACAAGUUGAACAAGAUGGAGCAGAAUUUGGCCGCAUACUUCAAGAGUGUAGGAUUUAUCCCACCAUUUCCGCCAAGCUCAUAGACGUUAUGAGGAUCAAAGCUCACAAUUCAGGGAAGUUUUUGCCUUUAAUCUUUUAUCCUUACGCUUUAAUUUUUAUGUGAGCUUUGAUUAUCUUACAUUGGGGACAAUGUAAGUUCUUGGUGUGGGGGAGGGAUUUUUGCAUUAUUGAUGUCUGGAAGUAUUAUUUUCACUCUACUAAUCUAUUUUCAUUCUACUCAUCCUUAAAUGAUUUUGGAGUUAGUAUGCUUCAUAUAUUAUUAUUUUUCUUUUCUUUUCUUUCUCACUACUCUUUUUCCAUCUAUCUCAAAUUAUUUACAUCUAUUUUUAUUCUAUCAUACUCUUUCAUCACUCACAUUUUAUCUUUCACUUUUCAUAUUACUACGUACAUCUUUCUCACUUCUUAUCAUUUUUACCUUUCCUUCACUCAUACAUUCUUCUCAUUCUACACCACUAUUGAUGGUUGAUUCAUUUGAAGAGUGUACAUGAUUUGAUGGCAAAUUUACCAACUUUGUGAGGAUUUGAGCCAAUGAGCAACCACUUUGCUCUAAUUAUUUUUGUUAUGUGAAUAUCAAUCUUAGUUUGUUUAUUCUAGAACUUGCUUUGUUAUGCAUGUUGAAGCCACAUUACGGGAUUUUUUGCAUUAAAAUGAUAAGGGCAAACCAUUUACCAUUUUUCUAUUCUCGCAUUUUCCUUUUUCUCUACCCGAAGACCUUUAUUUGCUACCUUUGUUUGAGCCUUAACCAUUACCCAUCUAAUUCUCUCCGUCUACUUAACCAUUUUUCUUCUUUUUGAGCCUCAAUUUAAAGAGAUUUUUGGACUCAUUGUGUGGAUAUAUUUUGUUGCUUUUUCUACCUUGUAUUAAAGUUUCUCAAUUAGAUCAACAAGCAUUAUGCUUGAAUUAAAUUGUGCAAGGUUCGUUUCUUUUGUUUGAUUCAAAAACAAAACAAAAAAAAAGAAAAAAAAGAACAAAAAAAAAGAAAAAAAAGAACAAAAAAAAAGAAGAAAAAGAAAAAUAAAAAAAAAAGAAAAAAAAGUUUACAUUCUUGGUGACUUGAGUAGAAAUAAGCAUUUUGAUAUCACAAGUUCAUUCAAUGAGUUCAUUCUUCUCAUUUUAAUAUCUUUUUCUUUCGUAAACCUUUCUUUUCCAUUCAACCUAUUUAACCUCAUUACAACCCUUAGAUUUUUGCAUUUUAUUCAUGUUUUGUGGAUUGAGAUGUGAUAUAUGAGCAAGCUUAUGGUAAUAGCAUUCUUUGAUUUGAUUUGAGUGCAUAAAUGAUACCCUAAACACUUUGAGUGCAUGGAGUGAAGUUAUUGAGAGGGCUAUUAAAUCUUGUUGCACUUGAAUUUUGAAUGGAUCCUCUUGGUGGUUGAAUGUUCUUAUUCUAUCUUAUGAAAUUCUAUGCUCUAAAAUCCUUGUCUCUCGAAUGUUGAUCGACUUAAUUUCUUGAGGUAUGCUUGCUUAAAAUUGUUUUUGGAUGAGUUGAGAUGAGAAUUGAGUGGAGAUUUGAGAUUAAUCUUGAGUUAUAUGCUUGAGGACAAGCAUCAUCUUGGUGUGGGGGAAUUUGUUAGAGUGCAAUUUAUGCACUAGUUUUGCAUUGUUUACUUCCCUUAAUAUCGAUGUUUUGCAUUUAAUAAUAGUGAUUUACUUGUGUUUUACUUUUGUAGGUGCAAUUCUAUUGAUUGGUGAUAAAAUUGAGCUAUAAGAUGAUGUUUAAGGAUGAUUGUUCUCUUGGAGAAAUUAUGAGCGGCAGAAGAACUUUGUUGAUAAGGCGUGGGCGCGUGCUGUCAACUGCGGACCUGCAGUUUUUAGUUUAACGUGUUUUGUAUUUUUGGCUAUUUUUUAAUUACGAAUUUAAUAUUUCAAAUAUUAGUAUUUUAUUUUAAAUAGAACUCUAAAAGAGAAGAGAGAGAGAGUAUUUAAGGGAGGAAUCUAUUGUGAAAAAGGAGGGAAUUUUGAUUGGAGAAAAAGAAAAGAAACCCUAGAUCUAAUUUUUCUCUUCUCUCUAUGAAGAACUAAACUUAUUUUUCUGGUUGAAGAAUAAUGAAGCUUUGAUUCAUCACUACUGUGAGAUCUUUCUUGUGCUUUAAUUGUUUUAUUGCUUUUUGGGUAUUUGUUUAUUCUCUGAAUUAUUUUCAUGAUUAUGUUUGUUAAUUAGAUAAUUGGCCACUAUUUAAUUAUCAACUUAAUCUAUUGUCAAUUAAAGGAUUCAUCGUAUGAAGAAUUUAAUGUUUGUGACAAAUAACAUAGCAGAGAGUUGUGUUGUGAGAAUAAACAAUCUAAUUUAAAUAAAUCAUCAUAUGUGUUGAUUAGGAUUUGGGUCUCUCUGGUUUUUUAGGCUGUCAAUUGAUUAAAUCCUAUGAUCGUAUCUAGGGUUGUCUAUUGAUUAGGGAAAUAUCCAACGGUCGUACCUUGGUUAUCGACUAAUUAAGGAGAGAUUGACUAUUGAGGGUCUUAGUAGCUAUAACCGGUCUAUUCAUAAGUAAUAAUAAUUUAUAUUUGAAUCAAUGAUCAGUAGUCGAAUCAAGCUGAGUUAAUUCCUUCAACCAGAGCUUUCUCCAAUUUGAAUCACAACUUUAAUUUACAUUCUCGUUAUUUUAAUUUGAUUUUUAUUAUUGUCAACAAUUCCCCCAUUUUACAUUUUACGUUUCAAAAGGAUUUAAAUAAUUACCGAUCUCUGUGGACACGACCCUGCUCAAUCACUAUACACAAUUUAUUUAGAGUAGGAAUUUAUUUUUAUUGGCUUCGACAACCAUCAAAUAAACAGAGAAAAUAACCGAUCAAUUCUUUGUGCAGUGGCCACAGCAACAGCGAAAAUAUGUCUGCAUGACUACAUUAAUUAAUCCUACCAUCACCAUGCAACAUUAAAUCAACAUUUGAUCAUCUAUCAAUUUUCAUGAUAUGAGAUUAGAAACAUUGAGUUCAUAAUUUCGUGUAAUUUCAUGUACUAGAUGUAUAUAAUUGAUUUGAGUUAGUUUAACAUCUAAAGAAAGAGUAAUGGGGAAUGAUGUCGAUGUGGCAUUUGAUGAGUAAUGAUAGACAACAAAUACUGAUCAUGUAAGAAUGAAGUCUGUAUUUACUGAAAAAUAUUUGGCAAUAAAAUGAUGCUUUAAAAAAUUAAUAUUAGUUGCACGAAAAUAAAUUGGCAACUAAAAUUAAUAGAUAUAUAUCCAAUGCUUCGAGUUUAUUUUAUCACUUCGCUAACAAUUUUGUAACUACAUUUUAAUUAUAAUGUCGAAAAGAGAUUUGAUUUUUGUAUUAAAAAAAAUUAGAAAUGAAACAAGUCAAAAUCAAUCAUAAGAACAACAAUAAGAGCAUAUUUUUAUAAAAACCACAAAUACAUAAUAUAAAUUUAGUUUCGAAUUAGGUGAUUAUUAAUUUACAUAGUAAGAGAGUCUUAUAGAAAAAUAGGAAUUUUUUUAAAAGAGAUUUGCUUAAGGAACAAAUUUAGUAAAUUAACAAUCACCAAAUAUGGUAGGGUGGCAGGCAGAGGAAGCGUGGUUCCUAAUCCUAAUCUUGAGUGAUAACUGGCUAUGUAACAUGUGGCAUUCUACAUUCUUGCAAUGCCAUUAAUUUCUUGUUAUGGCAGCAGCGUUCUUUCAUCAUGGCAUCACAAGCAAAUGUUUGAUUUGAAGACUUGCUUAGCUGAGAAAAAUAAGGAGAGCAAAGGUAAUGAAUUUUGGUGUGAUAAAUAUUUUUAUGGAUGUACUAAGAAAAAUAAAGAUAAUAGAAGUGAUGUUAUUGAGGAGCAUUUUGAUAUUUACCAAAGUGUUCAAAGAAAAAAGUUAUUUUUUGAAAUCUAUUUGCUGGUGCACAUAACAAAAGGGCAUUCUGAGUAAAUUUAAAACUACAAAUAGUUUCACUCUUUUAACAAUAUUCUUCAAUUAAUUCUGUUUAUUUCAAAAUAAAUAUUCUAUCUCUUUAUUACUUUCUAACUAGUCAUGCUAAUAUGCUAAUAAUUAUGAAGAACUAGUGUAAUUUAUAUGAUAUAAGAAGCCCUUUAGCACAUUAACCCGAAUUUAGCUAAUACAUGUGCCUAAUAUAGCGAAAUCAACAUUCAGCGCAUUAGAGUGCCAUUAUAUAUAUUGAGAGAGAAAUUAACACAAAAAACUGAAUAUUAAUUGACACUGGAUCAUAUUGGAUUGUCAGUUGUUAAUUAUGAUGGGAAUACAAUCUUCAUCUUUUGAUUAUCAGCUAGCUAAUGCAUGUGCACUUUCAUUUGUGUCUAUCACUGAAAAGUAAAGUUGCUUGAUUGAGUAGUAUCAUAUCACAGGAACUCCAAACUCAAUUUCAUUGCCGGAGCAUACCAUGCCAUAUGUAGCUUAAAAGUGCAGCUAUCUUAUACUAAUUAUUUAAUACGACUAUUAGCUCUUUAUGAUUAAUUAAAAGAGAAAAUGUUUGACAAUCACGAAAAUAAUAACAAUUCACUCCUAUAAACAACAUAACAAAUACAUGGUCUAUAUUGCAAAUCUUUUUAUGAUUAUAAUUAAAAGAGAAAAUACGAAGACAUAUUAUAUAUAAUAAUUGAAUGUUCUCCUUGAUAAUUAGACAAAAUAACACCAAUCUAGCUAAUUAAUCCAAUCAUCAUACUAAUCCAAUUUUCAUUAUUUAAUUAUGUCCAAUCAUGCUAAUUUAAUAAAGAGCACUGAACACUCGAGUACUUAUAUGUUCAGCAACUUUGGCCGAGUUUGAAAAAGAUUAGAGCUGCAUUUAUGCUUUGUGUUAUUACUUACGACAUGAUCAUAUUAUGUCGCAUUUGUCAGAGAACCGAAAACUGUGGGGGGAAAAAAAAUCCUAAAAGAGAUGUAACGAAAACAAAAUGAGAAAAUAAUGCACACACAUCAUAGCAAUGCUUCAUUCAUUUUGAUUCUAUCUAUACAAAAACUUGUAUCCGAUGGUUUACAUUUGUUUAAUCUAACGGCUAUAACAUGUAUACAGUCAAACGCUACUGCUGCCAUCUUUCUUUGUCCUCGUUGUAUCCUUGAUCUUAUAUUAUCCUGGUGAUUCUUGAAAGAUCUUCUCAUUCUCAUAUGCUGAGUCGCUUGCUGGGAUGAUUAAUACUCGAAGGUCCUUCAUUGAGACAUUUCAGCAAACACCUGAUUCAUUAUAUCAAACAUCUGCAUCACUAAUCGCUAAAAGAUAUAAAAUAGUUCUGUUUUGAAAAAUUGAUAUAAACCAGUCACCUUAGAUUUUCUUAGUCUCAGAGGACAACGGGUGAUGAUUCGAUGAGAAAUAUUAAUAUGCAUGCAUCCGCUGCAUUAGUUAGAGCUGCUUGUCAUUUUCUUCUUUCUUUUGGAUACUAUUUUAAAUUUUUAAUCAGUCUAAUUCAGCUGUAUGUUUGCUUUCAGUCCAAAUCGAACUCAGAUAUUAAGUACUUCUACAGGAAUGGACGCACCCAAAAAUCUAUGGGAUCCGUAGUUCUUGCAGAAGCGGCAGAAUGCUGCCAGCAAUUCAGGCAGAUAGAAGCUUGGUUGAGUGGUUGUUCUUCAAUGUGAAAUUCUACAUAAUGGCGAUCCUUUCAAUGGGGUUUAAAUUUUUUUUUUUUUGAGUUGUUGAUUUAGAGCAGAUUAAGUAACAUGUGGCAUUCUAUAUUCUUGCAAUGCCAUUUCUUGUUAUGGUAUCAACAUUCUUGACCAUGGUUUGAUUUGCGUAAUUUUGCUUUCUGUUUUUGAUAUUUUCUUCGCAUUGUUGUUGUGGGAUUUGUAGAUAGUGUAUAUGUAUGAAGAUAACGUAAUAAAGUGCUUUUGAUAAAUUCCCCUGGUUUGUUUACUUCACUAAUUCAUUAAUGAGCAAGUCCUCUAUAGAGCUGUGUUGUGCGUACAAGUUUUGCUACAUGAAAUCGUUAGGUGAGGAGAAUUUUUAAAAGCAUACAUCAAAGUAAUGAUUAAAGGGACAAAAUCAACGUAAAUAUUGAUUAUCUUGAGUUAGAUUAUACAAAGAUGAAAUAAUGAUAAUCUAAUAAAUUUAUCAUAAUACACUACUCAAAAAUGCAUUUUAAUGACACAAAUUUUAUGACAUACAUCUUUAUGUCAUGAAAAUAUUUGCAUGAUGUAUAAUGCUUUCGUGAUUAUUUGAUGAUAAAUUCAUAAUUGCUGCUGAUAUGAAAUGAAGUGAUGAUAGGUAAAUAUUAUGCGAUUUUUUUUUUAUGGGUAAGAAUAUUUGAACCCACCAAAUUACUCUUUAAACUUAUUUUUUUAUUGAUAAUUUUAUUACAAAAUUACCGAUAAUUUGAAUUACUAUUACAGACAAACAAUAAUUAUAUAAAAUUAUUUUAUUUUUACUCAUUGUUUAAACCUACCGCAAAACUCAAUCAAAGUAUGCCUUUUUUUUUCUUCUGCAAGUUUUUAAUAAGUUCAUCCUUCAUCCACAGUUGAGAACUUUCUAAUUUUUUUUUCUUGUUCUAGUAAUUUGGAUAUGCUGUGUUAGAUACUGAAUUUAUUAAAUUUCUUCUUCUCUUUUGAAUAAAAUCUCUUUAAAAUUCAAUUCAUAAAAAAAUAAAAAAUUAAUCUCCUUCUAAUUUAAUAUGUUUCAGCUGUCUUAGUGGAAUGAUGCAAUUUGUUUCCAUCAAAGUUUUGAAGCAUCCUGAAAUUUUGAGAUCGACAUGAUAACAAAUUAAUUUAAUUCAUGGUGUACUCUAAAUUUUCAGCCACAAAAAAAAUAGCCAAAUUGAAGCGUACCUGGGCAAGAAGAAACUGCGAUUAUACAAUUUCAGUGUUUGACUCUAUCAACAAAAAAGAAAAUAAAAAAGAACUCUCAUUGUUCCAUUGUUUUUCCCAUAAAUAAUGAUAUACAGAGAAUUUAGUUUGAUAAAAGGAUAUAAUAAAUAUUUAGGUGAGUUUAUAAAGUAAAUUUUAAAAAUUUUAAAAUUUAGUAAUGGGUUUAUAAAUAAUUGAGUUCAUAUAAUAUUUUAAUGAAUUCAAAUAACCCCACUCCCUUUUUAUUUUUUAAAAAGAUCUAAUUACAAAAAUACCAUUCCAAUCGGCAGCAUUUUAUAUUUUAUUUUAUUUUUAAAUUACUAGUGACGCACGAAACGGCAUCAUUUAUUGAUAUUUUUAAAUUGUUUAAGAUUUGUUUAAUUAGAAAAUUGCCAUCGUUGAUAUUUAAUUAAUUUUAAAAAAUAAAAAUAAUUAAAUUGGUAAGCUCUACUCCAUCAGUGAUGAACGAAUUGACAAAUUUGCAAUAAGUGAUGAACGAAUUGAUAAGCUCUACUCCAUCAGUUCCUUAAUUGAGAAAAAACCCAAGCCCGUGCAGCGCAGCCUCACAAUUGAUAGAGACCCUAAGCCACCAAACUCGACAAUCAUCACUCAACGUCGUCGCAAGCUACCGGUCGCUCAACAAGCACCAGUUCCUUGCUCUACAGCCAUCGCUCAACCGCUGCCAUUACCUGUUAAUUAUUCGCUUGAAUUAGGGUUCUGAUAUUUGGGAAUUUUUUGUUAGUUGUGGAAUUAUGAAGCAAUGAUGACGAUGACGAAGAUGUGGUGGUUGACGACGGCAAUGGCAACGUUGAAUAUUGAGGCACCGGAGGAAAAAGCAUUGGCUAUGUAUCUUGGUCGAUUUGCCUCGAAUUGAUCACUAAACAUGGGGAUAUCGUGGGCCGAGCUUCAACGCAGUCGCAAAUUUCAUCUGGGUAACUGAAAUUUUUGUUUUGUUUAAUUUGUUUAGAGUUCAAUUGUUUAGAUCUAGGCUAAUUUUUAUGAUUAAACUAUAUGAGUAUGCUUAAAUUUUAUUCCUUCAAAUUUAUUUUAUGAUGUUGCAUUUGGUUAGCAAAAAGAUAAAAAUAGUAGAAAAUGUCAGAAUUAUUGUUAUGAAAAUGUUGUUUUAGUCUGAUAUUGGGAAAAUAUCAUUAUACAUAUUGGCAUGAUAUUCAUGGGAGACAAAAUUGAGAAUGAUGACAGACUAUGCAUUGCUCACAACUAAUUUAAAACUCGCUAUUUCUAUUGUUUGUGUUUCAGUAACUUCGGGGGAAUUCCAACUAUAUUUAAUAAGCUAUAAACUUGUUUAGGAUUACUAAUCAAUUUGCUAGAAAGAGUUGCAAACUAAUUAGCUUUCUCUUAUAACUUUUACAGAUCAUCUGUGGAGGAGAACUGCAAGGAGUUGAAGACUCUAGACCCUAAACUUCAUAUCUUGAUUUAUAAGUGCAAUGGGCAUAAGUUCGAAUUAUGGGCUGGAGAUGGUAUAUGUAAUCUUUCUACUCUUGGUGUUUUUUUUUUCCUCUAGUUAUUUUUUGUUCUCUACUCCAUUGUAUAUUUGUAUUCAAAAGUAUUUUUUCUUUGCUUUAAGCUUUUAAAUUUAUGGAGAUGAUCUUAUUAGGUGUUAAAAAAAAUAGCUGUAGAGCUUUACUAAAACUAUGUAAACUCUUAUUGAGAUUUGGGUUUGAUUUUGUAAGAUUGCUAAAAAUUUCAUAUUUUAUACUUGUUUUAUACUUUUCUAGUUGAAUUUCUUGCUUGUGGAAGAUAAAAUAAAAGUCCAAUUCAUGUUGUAAAAUUUUUUUUCCUCCCUUCUUUCUUUCCUUAUAAUCUGGCUCUGGCUUUGGUGCUAUGCUUGGUGCAGUUUAUGGUUUCAAUGCAGGGAACCAAUUUCAUCAUAAUCAUCUUAAAGGAUCAAAAUGGCUUUCUUUUGUAACUGGGUAAGUCAAUGCUACUUCCUGAAUUCGAUUUGGAGUUCUUUCGGAAUAGAUUUCCUUCCCUUACAUCACUUGGCUUCUAGUUGCAUCUUCUUGGCUUUCUCCAGCGGACUUUUUUAUUGGCAAAUUCCUUUGUUUCUAUUGUUUUCAAGUGCUAGUGCUGGAUUUAGAGGUUAAAUGGUGCCUUCAUUUUUAUUUUUUAUUUUUUUAUUUUGGGAGUAUAGUACUGUAAUAUACUUCUUUGUAUAGCUAGUACAAAAUAGUUCUUCAACUUCUUACUUUUGGCUUUAAUGGGUUCGAUAUAUGAUAGCGGAGCCCUAUCACCAUUUGAUGUCAGACAACAAAUAGGGGACAGAUGGGGUUAGAAAAAUAAGAAACAUGACCAAAAUAAAAAUCUAAUCUACUCAUAUAAGCAGCUCAUCAAAUAAGUGUGUCACAUACUUAAGUGAAUAAGAUUCCGUGAUUUCUAGGAAUCCAAGUCAAAUUAUAACAUUCUUUAAAUAAGACUCACAAGCUUAUUAGGUGUUAUAUUGAAUCAUCUAAGUUGAAUAAUCUUUUGGGUUGAAUAUGUUAAUUUCUUAUUCCAUAUGUUUCAGCCUCUCAAUAGUUGAAUUAGCAAUGAAAAUUUGAAAAUGGAAAAACUCAAUGCAAUUAUUUUAGGUGCUUAUCAUAGAUAAGAAUUUCACUUUUUACACUUCAUUGUCUGUUGUCAAAUUUAUUAAGUAUGAACCCGGAUUAGGUUUGUGCUCUCAAGGAUUUAUAAAUAAGUGCUACUUGACUUAGAUGUAAGAAAAUUGAAAAGCAGAGUUGCUUGAUUGAAUAGCUUCAUAUUUUACAUCAUAGAAACUCAAUUUUCAUUGCCAUAUGUAGCUCAAAAGAGCAUGAACAUUGAACAUUCAGCUAAUUUAUACUAAUUAAUUAACACAACUAUCAGUUCUUACUUCUUGGUACCCGGCAACAUCCAUCCAUAAGAGUGAAACCCCCAUUGAUUUCAUAUAUACAAAAUAAAUAACUUACAAAGACAAUACCUGACAAUCACAACAAAAACACCAAUUCACUCCAAUAAACAACAUAACGAAUACAUGGUUUAAAUUGCAAGUCUUGUUACGAUUUUAAUUAAAAGAGAAAAUGUGAAGGACAUGUUAUAUAUAAUUGAAUGUUAUCCUUGAUAAUUAGACAAAAUAGCACUAAUGUAGCUAACUAAUCCAAUCAUUGUAAUAAUUGGAUUUUCUUUUUUUAAUUAUGUCUAUUGAUGCUAAUUUAAUCAGGAACACUGAAUACUUGAGUGUUUUUAUGUUCAACAGCUUUGGCUAAGUUUGAAAAGAUCAUAUUAAUUAUUAAUAUAAAUAAAUAAGCCAACAAGGUACAUAUUACAUAUAUGUGUAGUUGCAAUAAAUACAUAUGUAAUAAAGAUCAUAAAGCUCAGGGCCAUUAAUUCAACAUUACCAAAUCAAUAUCCCAAUAAUGGUUUGAUUACUAAUCUAAGCAUUAAAUGAUCAGCAAACUUUAUUUGGCCAAAACAAAUGCUUCCUUGUUGCCUCCUUGAUCUUUUCCUGGCUGGUGAUUCCUGAAUGUUCUUCUCAUUUUGAUAUGCUGAGUCGUUUGCUGAUUAUAAAUGCUAAUCACCUUGAAUUUUCUUAGUCUUCUUCUUCAUGUGAAAUUCUACCUAAUGGCUAUCCUUUUAUCUGGUUUGAAUUCUUCUUUUUUCUUUGAAUUGUUGAUUUCUAAUGUUCUUGUCAUUCGCACAUGUGACGUUCUGCACUCUUGCAAUGCCAUUUCUUAUUAUGGCAGCAGCAUUCUUGGUCAUGGCAUCACUAGCAAAUGCUUUUGAAUUGCUUUGUUUGAUUUUUGUUUCUAAUAUUUUUUUUUUGGCAUUGUGGGAUACUGUUUCUCUUUUGAUUUUCUGUCUUUGUUGUUAUGGGAUUCUGGCAUAGUAUGCAUCAGUACACGUAUGAAGAUGAUGUGAUAAAGUGCUUUUGAUAAAUUGCCCCAGUCAGUUUACUUCACAAACCAACCAUUAAUGAGCAAAUCCUUCUAAUGACCCUUGUACACAUUAGAAUAAAUACAAUUCUAUUUAUACACAAAAAUAAAUAACUCUCAAGUAUAUUAUUUGAUAAUCGCAAAAGCAACAAUUCACUCCAAUAAAUCUCAUAACACACUCAUGGUCUAUGUUGCAAGUCUUUGUAGAGAAAAAAAUGAAGGACACACAAUUAAAUUUUUUCUAUGAUAAAGAACUCUAAACAAAUUCAUAUACAUAUUGCAGUACCCCUUACAAAUUCAUUUGUUUCUUUUUUUUUUUAGAAGAAAAUAGACUUUCUAUUAAGCAAAAUUUUUAAAAAUACAAGCAAUCUCAUUCGGGAAAGAGUCCAUCCAAACACUAGACUUUUUACUCUUGAGGGCAUACUUAGCUAAUCUAUGAGCAAGUUCAUUGGUGAAUCUAGGGGUGUGUUGAAAGGUAACCUUGUGAAAGUCACCUGUCAUAUCUUGAGCAGCGGAUAUCACCCAGCAAAUUUCUGUUUUACUCCAUUUCUUAUGGUUGACCAGAUCAACAACUUCCUGGCAGUCUGUCUCAAUGAUAAUCGAUGUCAAUUGAACAUCUUUGGCCACUUGAAGUCCCAGCUCGACAGCCUCUGCUUCUGCAAACUGCACGUCCAAGCUUAGUCUUGAUGGUUUAACUGCAGCUGCCACUACUCUUCCUUUAUCAUCCCUGAUAACAGCCCCCAAGCCUACUGAUUUAGCUUCAACAUUGAUAGCAGCAUCCACGUUAAUCUUGAAACUUCCAGCAGGGGGUGCAGUCCACUGAUGAUGCUUCUUGUCUUCUCGGUUUGCAGCUUGAGAGCUUCCACCAUGCUUCACUCUUCGAUAGUCUUCGACUAUAGCUUGGGCCUUUGCAGCUGAGACAUUUGAGUUAAUUUUCUCCCCUUUGAAAAGCAGCCGAUUUCUAGCAUUCCAAGUAAUCCACCAGGUAGCACCUAAUAAUUCCAAAUCUGCUUUGCACAGCCUCUUAGACAUCUGAAACCACACUUCCAGCAUAUCUUGCCCUUUAUAAACUUCAAUGCCUUUAUCAGCUAGGAUUGACUUCUUCCAAAUCUUACCCGCUGCUUUGCACUCGAUCAGGGCAUGAGAAAUAGUUUCCACGCUUCUUCUGCAAAUUUGGCAUAGAGGGGAUGCAGUCACUUUCUUUUUCCAUAAAUUCUCCACCAUUGGUAGCAUGUUUUGAGCAGCUCUCCAUAAGAAGAUUUUUGUUUUUUCAGGCAGCUCCAAUCUCCAUAUGGCCUUCCAGUAACAAGAGCAAUCCUCCGAGGUGCUGGGGAUAUCAGGAUAUUUCAGUCUUAGAGCAAUCUGAUAGCCGCUCUUAACUGUGUACAUGCCUUUCUUGUCAAAAUGCUAGCAAACUUCAUCCAUCUUUGGGCUUCUAGGGAGAGGGAUCCUCAUUAUGGCUGCUGCAUCUUCUUUAUUAAAGUGCUCCAAAAUUAGAUCUGCUUUCCACUGGUUCCUUGCAUCAAUUAGCUCUGCCACUUUAGCAUCCUCCGACAGAGAUGGUACUGAGAAGGGUUUAAACGUAUUUGGCCUUGGGAUCCAAUUACUCUUAUAAACUUGCACCAUAUCGCCUCUACCUAUUCUCCAUCUAGCCCCAUUUUUUAAAACUUGUCUACCCCACAACAAGCUCCUCUAGAGGAAGGAUGGGUUUGAUCCCAAGUUAGCAUUCCAGAAAUCUGAACAUUUAAAGUAUUUGGCUUUUAGAACUUGGGCAGUCAAAGAAUUCGGAUCCUGAAGUAUUCUCCACCCCUGCUUUGCCACCAUCGCUUGGUUGAAACUACAAAAAUCUCUAAAGCCCAUACCACCUCUACACUUUGCAUGGCUUAGUCUCUCCCAUCUUGUCCAGUGAAUUUUGUGUUUGUCUUCCUUGGAGCCCCACCAGAAUUUUGCUACCGCUCUUUGAAUAUCUUCGCACAGCCCGAUAGGGAGCUUAAAAACACUCAUGGCGUAGGCUGGAAUCGCUUGAGCUACUGCCUUAAUUAACACCUCUUUCUCUCCAGUUGAAAAGAAUUUAUCCUGUCAAUUAGAUAUCUUACUCAAUACCCUGAGCUUUACAUCAUUAAAAAAGCUCAUCUUUUUCCGACCAAUCAUCGAAGGCAGCCCCAAAUACUUCUCGUGUCUCGAUAUUACAUUGAGCUGGAAGAUAUUUUUAAUGGUUUCAGCUUGCUGCUCACUCACCUUGCCGCCAAAGAACAACGAUGACUUCUCAUAGUUGAAUAUUUGCCCUGAGGCUGAUGCAUAAGAGUCAAACAAAGCUUUCAACUGAUUACACUCAUUUGUUGAGGCUCUUGCAAAAAUUAAACUGUCAUCAGCAAAUAAUAAGUGAGUGAUGGAGAUCUCCUGCCCAAACCAUAGCCCAUGGAUCAAGUUUUGUCUUUCUGUCUGCAGCAACAGAUUUGAAAAAGCUUCCGCACAUAUAAGGAAUAGAUAUGAAGAUAGAGGGCACCCUUGCCUAAGACCUCUUUGAGCACGGAACAGCCCUUUGGGUUUUCCAUUUAUGAUUAUAGAAAAAUUUGCUGUUGUAAUACAAUUCAAAACUAGCUUUAUCCAUUUAUGCGAAAAGCCUAGCCGCUCCAUAGUUUGUUCAAGGAACCUCCAUUCCACUCUAUCAUAGACCUUACUAAUAUCUAGUUUUAAAGCUACCAACCCCUUUUUUGUACUUUUAUUAUGCCUAAUUUUGUGAAGACAUUCAUACCCAAUAAUAAUGUUAUCUGUGAUAAGUCUAUUAGGAAUAAAAGCACUUUGUGUAGGUGAGAUAACUUGAUGCAGGAUCUAUUUUAGUCCAUUAGCCAUAGUCUUCGCCACUAUUCUGUAAAUCACAUUACACAAAUUUAUUGGCCUAAACUCGGUCACCUUUUUAGGCUUGGCAACCUUCGGGAUAAGAGCUAUAUAAGUGUGGUUAAGUGGAGUAACAUCACCUUGUGCAUUGAGGAUGUGUAAGCAUGUGUCGAUGACUCCGCUGCCGACAAUUUGCCAAUGCUUUUGGAAGAACGCUGCUGGUAGCCCGUUAGGUCCAGGAGCCUUAGUUGGACACAUUUGGAAUAGAGCGUCAAAGAUCUCCUCAACUGUGAAUGGUUGAUCUAAUGCUUUAUUCAUCUCUACAGUCACCUUUGGGUUCAGGCCUGCUAAGACAUCAUUGAUUUGGUUUUGGUUUGGACUUGAGGUUGUGAACAGAUCUUGGAAAUAUUCACCAAACUCUCUCUCAAUCUCUUCUCCAUCUUCCAGCCAAUGCCCUUGCUGAUUUUCAAUGCCAGAGAUCCUAUUCUUUCUCCUUCGCGAUGAAGCUUUAAAGUGAAAAAACUUCAUGUUUUUAUCCCCCUCCUUAAGCCAAUCAGCCCUUGAUCGUUGCUUCCAAUAAAUCUCCUCAUCAGUUAAUAAGUUGUUGAUCUGUCUUUCCAGGUUCUUGAUUUCAGCACCAUUGUCAUACUACAAAUUAUUGCUUACAGCACACUGGAGCUUUUCCAUCAGAAUUUUCAGCCUUUCUUUUCGCUCCCCGAACUCUCCUUUACUCCACCAUUGCAAUUGGGCCAUCGUAGCUUUUGAUAGCCUUUGGCAAAUCUGCAUUGGAUUUAUAUCAUCUUUACAACCAACACCUGACCACACCUCCUUAACAAUAUUUUUACAGCCUUCAUACGGAGUCCAAAAAUCCUCAUAAUGAACUCUAGAGAAAGUUCUUUGAUCAUAGCUUACUCUACUUUUUUUCUCUUGAACAUUCAUCACAAGCAAAUUAUGAUCUGAUUCCCACAUAACCAUGUUUGUCACAGUCUCUUCCUGAAAAAGGUUCCCCCAAUCCUUACUACAUAAAGCUCUAUCCAGCCUCUCUUCAAUAUGGUGAGAUCCGAAUUGUCUAUUGGACCAUGUAUAGGGAUGCCCUUUAUACCCCAUGUCAAUAAGGUUACAUUCAUAAACUACUUCUCUGAAUUCGGAGAUCAUGCUUACAUUUCUAGCAUUCCCACCAGAUUUUUCAUUUGGAUGCAUAAUUUCAUUGAAAUCACCAAUGCAGAGCCAAGGCAGAGGAGACAAACCUUUCAAUCUUCGCAUCAAAGUCCAUGUAUGCCUUUUUUGCUGAGCUUCUGGAUGACCAUAGAUUCCGAUACAUCUCCACCUUUUACCACUCUCAUUUUGAAUUAUGGCGUCAAUAUGAUGGCUACUGUAAGAGGUAAUGUUUACAGUUAUCUCUGAGUUCCACAUCAUUGCCAACCCCCCACUCAUCCCAGUUCUACUAACCGCAAAAUAAUUAUCUAAGUUCAGUCUUCUACACUCUUCAUCUGCUUGCCUAGACAAUAGCUUUGUUUCAUAGAGAAACAAUAGCUGAGGCCUAUGCAAUUGGAGAAUUUUCUUCAUUGCGAGACGCGUUCGGGGAUUCCCCAAACCCCGAACGUUCCAGCUUACGAGUUUCAUGGCUGUCGGCGGGGCUGGCUCCCAGCCUCCGCCGCUGAUUUCUCCAUUUGCUGAACUGUGUCACUUUCAUCAGCCUUUCCUUUGGUUUCCCAGGCCAGCUUCAGCUUUGGCGCUAUGGGAGUUUCCUGGGGGCUCACAUUCUUCAACCUCUUACUGUUUGGACUCGGCCAAUCUAAUUCACUGCAUGACCUUUUCAUAGAAGUAGGUCCACCAGUCAUCUUGGUAGUAAGGUUUGAGUCUCUAGCUUGCGUUUUCCACUUUCGGCUCUUUGAGUGAGAUUUUGGUUUCGUGGGCUCAAGAUUUGAUUCUGUGCCUCUUGAAGACCCCUGGGUUUGGUUUUCGUUUUUGGCAUGUUGGCCCAUCAAGCCCAUUUUUCGUUCCCCACUCCUCAAUGCAUCUACUUUCUCUUUCCCGCCUAAGUUUCCUUUUGUCUUGCCCUCUGCUCUGUGGAUUUCCCCAGUUGUAGCUGCUGCCCCAGCAAGCUUUUCAUAUUCUAGGUACGACUCUCUCGAUUCCUCAGCCGCUUUCAUUAAUGAUUCCUCACCUACUUCUGCCACAUAAGUCACCUCCACUGACAUUUCCUCAUUGGGGCUAUCCAUUUGGGUUGCACCCGAUCCAUCAUGCUUACUCGGGUUUGGGUUUCUUGGUUGCUCUUUCGGUUUUGGUUGUAUCUGUAUCUUAACACUUGUGUUUCCGGUGGUUGCAUCUGGUUGAUCAUCCCUCCUACCUUUUCUGUUUUUGCCUUUGUUGAGCUUAGCUAAUUCAAAAGGGGUAAGUGCUUUCAUCCAUCCUCCAUAACUGAGCUUCUCCUUUGGUUGGCCCUUGUACUGGAUGCAUUCCCUAAACUGAUGUCCAAUAAGUCCACAGCAGAAGCAAAAAUCUAGUAGCCUCUCAUACUUACUAAGCAUCACAAUAUCUUCCUCGACUUCCUGUUUUAGUAUAAGGAUUCUCUUUAAUGGUUUAGUAAUGUCCACUGAAAUUCUCACCCGAGCAAAAGGACCUAUGCAUUCCCCUUCUUCGUCGGUCUCUACUUCCUCCACUCGUCCUAUCUUUUCCCCCAAUUUUUCAAUGGUUCCUUUCACCAUACACUUGAUGGGCAUUCCAUGGAUUUGCACCCAAAAGGAUGUAUGUGUAAAAGGCUGCCAUUUUAUGCUCCCCAUUCCCACAGGUUCUACAAGCACAAUUAAAGCUUUGUCGAAAUGUCAUGGCCCUUCUGUCAGUACUCUCUUUUUAUCGUGUUCUGUAGCAAGCUUAAAGACAAAAAUGUUGUCUCCCUGACUCUCCACCUUAAUCUCCUUAGUGGUUUUCCAAGCUAGUUGCAUUGCGUAUCUCAACCCCUCCUUAUUUACAUCUCUGUUGAGAAGAAUCUUACCCACAAGACAAUGGGCUGCUACCCUUUCUCCAUCCUUUUCCAUUUCUCCGAUGAACAUGACUGCAUCCUCUUCUUCCUCCUUCAAAGUGAUAGACUUACAUCUACGUAUGAACUCCUCUGUAUCCAUUUUCUGAUCUCGUAUUUAAACCUUCCUUAAUAAAUGGCUCUCACCAACCACUACUUUCGCAACAAAUUAAGUUCUUCAGAAAGUAACCAACCACCCGCCAACAGUAGUUAAGCUUCUGUAUUUGACUGCCUUUUACACUACUUCCAGAACUUAAAUGCUGAAAAAACACCCAACAUGUGAGUGACGUAAAUCGGGUUAUGGCAACCCCCCUAUUCUUCCAUACCGAGUUCUUUUUCUAGAGAGGAAAAGAACUCUCAUAGGAGAUCUCCGUUUGAGGCGUAUUUUUAUCACUUAACUUUCUAUUGAAAUUUUCAAAUUCAUUUGUUUCUUCUUUUCCUUUGAUUAAGUGCUAAUUAUAGCCUUGAUAUUUCAUUUGGUUUUAGUUAAUUUUCUAUAGGGUUGUGUUGUGUGAAAUUAAUUACAAAACAAUCUUUAACGAAGUCUUAUGAAAAUACCAUAUUAUAACUACAAAGUUAGGCUUCCUAAUCAAGCUACUGUUCAUCAGAUUGUGUAUUGUGUUACUGGUGAGCUCUUAUGUCAAUUAUGACCAGACGGCGCCUUGGCUAACUGUGAGUUAUGUGCGAACAUAAGAGCUGCAAAUGAGUUAUGUACUAUUUUUAUGUGACAAGGUAUGUGCUCUGUUUUUAUGGUCUUUCUCUCUGUAGUUCGCUCUGUAGUUUUUUUUUUUGGGAUACAUUGAUAAUAAAUUUAGAAGUCUACUAAUAUGUACAACCAGAAACCUAUUAGGGACUUUUUGUCUUUUGAUGCAGUUGUAGGGCACAGCUCAAAUAUUCUUUCCUCAUUUAAUAUUGGAGAAAUCCGACUCCCAAGCGAUUCUGUCUACGGUUGUUGGACAAACUGUAAUGUGAAUUUCUAUCUAAUGGGUGUGAUCAUCCUUGCAGUCAGUUUAGGAUUGUUGAUAUAGAUAUGAUGUUUAGUCUCCAAAAUUCAGAUGAUGAUAAUCUUGUGAGUACUUUUUGUCAUAUUUUCUUUUGUGUUGGUGUUGGGAUCUUAAUUUUGUAUCCAAUGUCAGGACAAUAUGAACCCAUUUUAAGUGAUAUGAUGCAAGUUCAUGUUCAAGAAUCUAUUUAAUGAAACAUUCCAGUGUUUAAUAAUGAUGAAUAAUUGGUUUAAGAUUAAUACCAAAUAUUUUAAGUAACAUGUGGCGUAUUCUAGUGAGAUCCUCCAACUCAGAUUUCUAACUCAAAUGGAAACGUUUCGAAUUUCUUCAGAACAUUCUGCAGAACGGUUCGUCUUGUCUUUACAGUUUCUUUUGUGAAUUUCUCCCAGUUUCUUUUGUGAAGACUUCUGAAUAAGCUUCCAGAUAUUGAGAUACAAUCCAAUCUAAGCCCAUACGUUUAUCCGCCUCACAUUUGUCCAUUUCCCCAGAAAAUCAAAAAGCACUUUAGUUCGAAACAAACACUCUAAAAAAAACCAUCUAGCUACCCAGAUGGCGAAAUCAAGAAUCUUGCAAUGGCAAUGUCAUCUCUUGUUAUGGCAGUAGCAUUGAUGAUCAUGGCAUCACAAGCAAAUGCUCUGAUGCCGUACACACGAUCACCUUUCUUUGACGUGAUGUUCCCAAUGACGGAAGAUCCUUUCAGGGUUCUUGAACAAACCCCGUUAACAAUCCCAAAAGAGCUGAACAUCAUCAAACUCUAGCACUGGCGAGAGCAGACUGAAAGGAGACACCAACAUCACACGUGAUCACACUCGACAUUACAGGGAUGAAGAAAGACGAUGUGAAGAUUGAAGUUGAAGAGAACAGGGUACUGAGAGUGAGUGGGGAGUGGAAGAGCGAUGAUUAUUAUAAGGAGGAAGUUGAAGGAGAAAAAUGGCAGAGUAGAGAGAACAUUUGGCAAGUUUUGGAGGCAGUUCAGGAUGCCUAUGAGUGCUGACUUGGAUCAUGUUAAGGCUCAUUGGGAAAAUGGUGUUCUGAGGAUCACAGUGCCAAAACUCGCUGAGGAGAAGAAGAGGCAGCCUAAGGUUAUUAACAUUGAUGAAGAGCCUGGUAAUUCUUCCGGUGAAAAUAUUAAGGCGGCUAAGGCUCAAAUGUGAUUGAUUAAAGAAAGAAGUACUUGCUUUGCUUGAUGUGCUAUUUGUUUUGUGAUCUUUUCUUGGUUUUGUUGUGGGAUGUUUUUCUUUGGAUGUUCUGUUUAUUGUAUUUUGAUGGAUUUUUAAAGAUGGCUUGUAUGUAUUAACAAUAAUAAAGUGUUUUUUUUAAAUCCGGGUCCUAAAUUUGUAAAAGAAAUUAAUAAUACGCUUGGUUUCUUGUUAAUAAAAAUAAAAAAGAAGUCUCUUUUUCUUUAGCAUAUAUUAUGCAUUUUAAGGAAAAAAAAUUAUCACAUUCUAAUUCAUAAAGAUAUUCCUCUUCUGUCAUAUUAAUGUGUUAAUACCAAGGUCUAUUGGAAUUAUAAUAGUUUAGAUGAAUCCAAAAUAUUCAAUAAUUGAUAAAUAGUAUAUAUAAAUAUUAAUAGCAAUGGCACAUAAUCAAUUAAUUCAAGAAUUUGCCCACAGUGCAUUAAGUUAAAAGAGUAAAAAUAACAUUGCAAUCAGGGAUAUUUAUAACACUGUUGCUGAUGAGGCAGCUGUUAAUUCUUUUGGUGAAGAUGUUAAGGCCACUAAAGCUGGAACGUAAUCAGGGAAAUAUAAUGUAUUCACUUAGUUUGCUAUUUGUGUUUUUAUAUUUGUUUGGCUAAUUCUUUGAUCAGAUUGCUUUUUGUUUUUGAGAUUUUAUUGGCUUAGUCGUGGGAUAUUAUUUAAUCUUUUAAUUUUGUGUUUUUAUUGUUAUGGGAUUUGAUGAUGGCAUACAUAUAGGAAAAUUAUGUAAGAAAGUGCUUUUAAUAAAUUAUGGUCGGUUUACUAUUAAUUAACUAAAUUUAAUUUACUCAAAUUACUCCUAUACACGAUCAAAAUAAUUUCAAUUCCAUGAUAUAAAUACGCCCGUGCGGACACACAAAAUGUAAAUAACUUUCAAAUACAAAAUAUUUAAAAUAAUCAUCAUACUAACAAUUCACAAGUUAGAUUAUAAUAAGGCCACCAAGACUUAAAUGUAAUUGAUUAAAGAAAGAAGUGCUUGCUUUGCUUGAUGUGCCAUUUGUCUAUGAUGUUUUCUUGGUUUUGUUGUGUGAUGCUUCUCUUUAGAUGUGCUGUUUAUUGUAUUUUGAUGGGUUUUUGAGGAUGGUUGUAUGUAUUAGCAACAACAAGGUGCUUUUUUAUAAAUCCGGGUUCUAAUUUUGUAAAAGAAAUUAAUACUCUCGGUUUAUUGUUAAUAAAAAAGAAAAAAGAAAAAACCUUUUUUCUGUGGCAUAUAUUUUGCAUUUUAAGAAAAAAAAAUCACAUUCCAAUUCAUGAAACACAUUCCUUCUGUCAUAUUGAUGUGUUAAUAGAAAGAUCUAUGUGAAUUAUAACAAUUUUAAUGAAUCUAAAUAUUUAAUAACUGAUAAAUUGCAUUUAUAAAUAUUAAUACCGGUGGCACAUAAGCACUUAAUUCAAGAACUCCCCUAUGGUGCAUUAAUUUAAAGAGUAGAAAUAUUUAAUAAAUCAUGCUCGGUUUACUAUUAAUUAAUCAAAUUUAAUUUACUCAAAUUACUCCUCUACAUGAUCAAAGUAAUUUCAAAUAUACAACACACAAAAUGUAAAUGACUUUGAAAUAUAAAAUAUUUAAAAUAAUCACCCCCACUAACAAUUCACCAGCAAGAUUAUAAAUAGUCGAAAUAAUGAUAAUCUAGGAGGUCCAGUCAUAAUAAUUUGAUUUUUAUUUAUAUUAAUUAUAUCGAAUCAUACUAUUUUAAUAAGAAAGAGUACACGAGAUUAUAUAUAUCCAACAGGGGCUAAAAUUUCAAAACAAUAUUUGCCAAAGUCUGAUGAAGAGAAUACAUACAUAUAACAUGCACUCGCACACAUUUUAUUGUUUAAUUAAAAAAUUCGAAAGUCCAUUAUAUACAUGAUAAAGACUCACCGACACCGAACCAUAUUCAUUUAAAGGAAUUGUUUUCAACUGAGAUUUGAAAUUAUAUACACAAACGCAUCCAAUUGAAAAAAAAAAUCAAAAUAAUUAUAAAGUAUUUCAGUCAUCCUCUGUUCAAUCAUAAAAGAAUAAAAUCUAUGCGAACACGCGGUAUAUGGGUUAACAAGUCCCAAUAUUGUCCUCCAUCCUUUCUGCACUUCUCUGCUAUCAACGGACAUGCCUCGAUCUGUAAUUGCAAAAGUGAGGAAGGCAAGCCCUUCUCCGGAAAGUAUUUGAGCUUGGGACAAUCAAUGAGUCGCAAUUCAGUGAGGUUUUGAAGAUCAACAAUUGAAGAAGAUAGGCGUUCCAGAUUUGGAAAUCUACAAAUCCACAGAGAUGUUAGAGAGGCAGGAAGAGGAAGCGCGGUCCCCGAUCCUUUGUCAUCUGCCUUUGGUGGGAAUGACACCAUGUCGUCAUCACAUUUAAUGAUUCUAAGUUUUCGCAGAGAGGAGAAUCUGUGAAAUCCCCGGCCCCACUCAAUCAUUUGUGGGGGACAAUCCUUUCUGUACUUCUCUGCUAUCAACGGACAUCUAUGGAUGUAUAAACGCAAAAGUGAGGAAGGCAGGCCGUUCUCUGGAAAGUAUUUGAGCCUGGGACAAUUAUAGAGUUCCAAUGAAGUGAGGCUUUGAAGAUCAACAAUUGAAGAAGAUAGCCGUUCCAGAUCAACAUUUUUAUGGGGGUACUAAGAAAAAUAAAGAUAAUAUAAGGAAUGUUGUUGAGGAGUAUUUUGAUAUUUACAAAAGUGUUCAAAGUAAAAAUUGAUUUCUUAAAACUCAUUAGCUAGCGCACAUAAUAAUGGGGAGUAAAUUUUAGACUACGAAUAGUCCCACCCAUUUAAUAAUAUUCUUCGAUCAAUUAUGUUUACUUCAAAAAAAAAAAAAAAACCCAUCUGUUUAUUACUUUCUAACUAUUCAUAUUAAUGUGUUAAUAAUUAUGAAGAACCGGUGUAAUUUAUAUGAUGUAGGAAGCACUUUAGGCAAAAUCAUCUGAAUCUCAAAAUUUCGUGAUAUUGUGCCAAAUAUCCAAAACAGAGCUUCCUACAUUGCUAUAGCAGUUUUUAAAAGUUGAGGAGUCCAAAUAUCCAAUAACUGAUAAAUUGUGUUAAGAAAUAAAAAUAUUAAUGGUGAUGACACAUACGCAUGGAAUAUCUAUAUCCAACAGGUAAAAUUUCAAAACACCAUUUGCCAAAGUCUGAUGAAGAGAAUACAAAUACACACGCGCGCGCUCAUAUAUAUAACCGCACAGCAGAAGGAUAUAUAAAAUAAAUUGAAGUUUCAACAGUUGAACAAUGCAAACUCAUUUUAAAAAAGCCUUCUAUUGUUUAAUUAAAAAAUUCGAAAGCCAUUAUAUACAUGAUAAAGACUCACGGACACCGAACCAUAUUAAUUUAAAAUUAUUUUCAACUGAGAUUUGAAUUUUGAAAUUACAUACACCAACACGCCCGAUUUAAAAAAAAACUAAUAAUAAAAUAUUUAAGUCAUCCUCUGUUCAGUCAUCAAAAACCAAUUUACGAUUUAUUUCAACACAAACACACCCGAUCUAAAAUAAAAUCAAAAUAACAAUAAAAUAUUUCAACCGUCCUCUGUUCAGCCGUCAAAAACGGAUUUCCAAUCUAUGCGAACACGCGGUAUAUGGGUUAACAAGUCCCAAUAUUGUCCUCCAUCCUUUCUGCACUUCUCUGCUAUCAACGGACAUGCCUCGAUCUGUAAUUGCAAAAGUGAGGAAGGCAAGCCCUUCUCCGGAAAGUAUUUGAGCUUGGGACAAUCAAUGAGUCGCAAUUCAGUGAGGUUUUGAAGAUCAACAAUUGAAGAAGAUAGGCGUUCCAGAUUUGGAAAUCUACAAAUCCACAGAGAUGUUAGAGAGGCAGGAAGAGGAAGCGCGGUCCCCGAUCCUUUGUCAUCUGCCUUUGGUGGGAAUGACACCAUGUCGUCAUCACAUUUAAUGAUUCUAAGUUUUCGCAGAGAGGAGAAUCUGUGAAAUCCCCGGCCCCACUCAAUCAUUUGUGGGGGACAAUCCUUUCUGUACUUCUCUGCUAUCAACGGACAUCUAUGGAUGUAUAAACGCAAAAGUGAGGAAGGCAGGCCGUUCUCUGGAAAGUAUUUGAGCCUGGGACAAUUAUAGAGUUCCAAUGAAGUGAGGCUUUGAAGAUCAACAAUUGAAGAAGAUAGCCGUUCCAGAUCAACAUUUUUAUGGGGGUACUAAGAAAAAUAAAGAUAAUAUAAGGAAUGUUGUUGAGGAGUAUUUUGAUAUUUACAAAAGUGUUCAAAGUAAAAAUUGAUUUCUUAAAACUCAUUAGCUAGCGCACAUAAUAAUGGGGAGUAAAUUUUAGACUACGAAUAGUCCCACCCAUUUAAUAAUAUUCUUCGAUCAAUUAUGUUUACUUCAAAAAAAAAAAAAAAACCCAUCUGUUUAUUACUUUCUAACUAUUCAUAUUAAUGUGUUAAUAAUUAUGAAGAACCGGUGUAAUUUAUAUGAUGUAGGAAGCACUUUAGGCAAAAUCAUCUGAAUCUCAAAAUUUCGUGAUAUUGUGCCAAAUAUCCAAAACAGAGCUUCCUACAUUGCUAUAGCAGUUUUUAAAAGUUGAGGAGUCCAAAUAUCCAAUAACUGAUAAAUUGUGUUAAGAAAUAAAAAUAUUAAUGGUGAUGACACAUACGCAUGGAAUAUCUAUAUCCAACAGGUAAAAUUUCAAAACACCAUUUGCCAAAGUCUGAUGAAGAGAAUACAAAUACACACGCGCGCGCUCAUAUAUAUAACCGCACAGCAGAAGGAUAUAUAAAAUAAAUUGAAGUUUCAACAGUUGAACAAUGCAAACUCAUUUUAAAAAAGCCUUCUAUUGUUUAAUUAAAAAAUUCGAAAGCCAUUAUAUACAUGAUAAAGACUCACGGACACCGAACCAUAUUAAUUUAAAAUUAUUUUCAACUGAGAUUUGAAUUUUGAAAUUACAUACACCAACACGCCCGAUUUAAAAAAAAACUAAUAAUAAAAUAUUUAAGUCAUCCUCUGUUCAGUCAUCAAAAACCAAUUUACGAUUUAUUUCAACACAAACACACCCGAUCUAAAAUAAAAUCAAAAUAACAAUAAAAUAUUUCAACCGUCCUCUGUUCAGCCGUCAAAAACGGAUUUCCAAUCUAUGCGAACACGCGGUAUAUGGGUUAACAAGUCCCAAUAUUGUCCUCCAUCCUUUCUGCACUUCUCUGCUAUCAACGGACAUGCCUCGAUCUGUAAUUGCAAAAGUGAGGAAGGCAAGCCCUUCUCCGGAAAGUAUUUGAGCUUGGGACAAUCAAUGAGUCGCAAUUCAGUGAGGUUUUGAAGAUCAACAAUUGAAGAAGAUAGGCGUUCCAGAUUUGGAAAUCUACAAAUCCACAGAGAUGUUAGAGAGGCAGGAAGAGGAAGCGCGGUCCCCGAUCCUUUGUCAUCUGCCUUUGGUGGGAAUGACACCAUGUCGUCAUCACAUUUAAUGAUUCUAAGUUUUCGCAGAGAGGAGAAUCUGUGAAAUCCCCGGCCCCACUCAAUCAUUUGUGGGGACAAUCCUUUCUGUACUUCUCUGCUAUCAACGGACAUCUAUGGAUGUAUAAACGCAAAAGUGAGGAAGGCAGGCCGUUCUCUGGAAAGUAUUUGAGCCUGGGACAAUUAUAGAGUUCCAAUGAAGUGAGGCUUUGAAGAUCAACAAUUGAAGAAGAUAGCCGUUCCAGAUCAACAUUUUUAUGGGGGUACUAAGAAAAAUAAAGAUAAUAUAAGGAAUGUUGUUGAGGAGUAUUUUGAUAUUUACAAAAGUGUUCAAAGUAAAAAUUGAUUUCUUAAAACUCAUUAGCUAGCGCACAUAAUAAUGGGGAGUAAAUUUUAGACUACGAAUAGUCCCACCCAUUUAAUAAUAUUCUUCGAUCAAUUAUGUUUACUUCAAAAAAAAAAAAAAACCCAUCUGUUUAUUACUUUCUAACUAUUCAUAUUAAUGUGUUAAUAAUUAUGAAGAACCGGUGUAAUUUAUAUGAUGUAGGAAGCACUUUAGGCAAAAUCAUCUGAAUCUCAAAAUUUCGUGAUAUUGUGCCAAAUAUCCAAAACAGAGCUUCCUACAUUGCUAUAGCAGUUUUUAAAAGUUGAGGAGUCCAAAUAUCCAAUAACUGAUAAAUUGUGUUAAGAAAUAAAAAUAUUAAUGGUGAUGACACAUACGCAUGGAAUAUCUAUAUCCAACAGGUAAAAUUUCAAAACACCAUUUGCCAAAGUCUGAUGAAGAGAAUACAAAUACACACGCGCGCGCUCAUAUAUAUAACCGCACAGCAGAAGGAUAUAUAAAAUAAAUUGAAGUUUCAACAGUUGAACAAUGCAAACUCAUUUUAAAAAAGCCUUCUAUUGUUUAAUUAAAAAAUUCGAAAGCCAUUAUAUACAUGAUAAAGACUCACGGACACCGAACCAUAUUAAUUUAAAAUUAUUUUCAACUGAGAUUUGAAUUUUGAAAUUACAUACACCAACACGCCCGAUUUAAAAAAAAACUAAUAAUAAAAUAUUUAAGUCAUCCACUGUUCAGUCAUCAAAAACCAAUUUACGAUUUAUUUCAACACAAACACACCCGAUCUAAAAUAAAAUCAAAAUAACAAUAAAAUAUUUCAACCGUCCUCUGUUCAGCCGUCAAAAACGGAUUUCCAAUCUAUGCGAACACGCGGUAUAUGGGUUAACAAGUCCCAAUAUUGUCCUCCAUCCUUUCUGCACUUCUCUGCUAUCAACGGACAUGCCUCGAUCUGUAAUUGCAAAAGUGAGGAAGGCAAGCCCUUCUCCGGAAAGUAUUUGAGCUUGGGACAAUCAAUGAGUCGCAAUUCAGUGAGGUUUUGAAGAUCAACAAUUGAAGAAGAUAGGCGUUCCAGAUUUGGAAAUCUACAAAUCCACAGAGAUGUUAGAGAGGCAGGAAGAGGAAGCGCGGUCCCCGAUCCUUUGUCAUCUGCCUUUGGUGGGAAUGACACCAUGUCGUCAUCACAUUUAAUGAUUCUAAGUUUUCGCAGAGAGGAGAAUCUGUGAAAUCCCCGGCCCCGCUCAAUCAUUGACUUCCAAAUCUCCAUAUUACCCCGAAUCCCAAGUAAAUGAAGGUUGGUGGGAAGGCCGUCUUCUUCAAGGCUUGGAAGCUCACCUCCUAUUAUUCUUAAUUCUUGAAGAGAGGUCAGAUUGUGCAAUCCCUUGGGUAAGGCCUCUAGUCUCUCACAGCUUUCGAUCCAGAGCUUAGUCAGUUUCGCACAAGGCAAUCCCCCUUCGGGAAAGGACACCAGAUUUCCACACCUCUGUAUAGUAAUCUCUUGAAGCUGGCGGAGAUUGUGUAAACCACUCGGUAAAAUUUUCAGAUUUUCACAAUCAGAAAUCCUGAUUAUUUCAAGAGAUGUGUUGUUGUCCAACCUUUCUGCUAUUGACUCCAGCUUUGAACAACCCGAUAUCCUUAUCUCUUGAAGCUGGCGGAGAUUAUGUAAACCACUCGGUAAAAAUUUCAGAUUUUCACAAUAAUCAACUGUGAUUGUUUCAAGAGAUGUGUUGUUGUCCAACCUUUCUGCUAUUGACUCCAGCUUUGAACAUUUAUAAACAGAAAGGGACUCAAGCAUGGCAGGUAACUCGUUUUUUGAAAAUAUACAUGUCAGAGACGGACAACUCUCAAUGUGUAAGUGCUCAAGAAGAGAUGAGGUGUACCUUCUGCUGCUGCUGCUGCUACUCUGGAUGCCCUCUUCCACUGUCAAAGUCCUUAUAUUAUCACAAUUCUGGAUGUCCAACUGCUUAAGGCUCGAUGGUAGAUGGACUCCAGCAAUAUAUGUCAACGAAUGGCAAUCCCGAAUCUUCAAGAUCUCGAGAGAUGAAUUGAUGUCGCACAUCCAUGCCUCUGGUAACGAUUUCAGUGCUUCACAAGAACUAAUAUGAAUUUCCCUCAACUUGGAAGGCAGAGCAAUCUCAGGGAAGGAAACAAGGGAACUGCAGUUGCUGAUUUGUAUCUCUCUCAAGGAACUCAGGCUGAGCGAUGAUUGUGGCAGCUUCACAAGGCCUUCGCAUCCGCACAAUGCUAGAUAUUCAAGUCUGCAUGACAACUCGCAGAGCUGCUGUUGUUGGUCUUUCUCUUCCUCCGCCACCAAGGAUUGAAGUUUGGGACAGCUUCUUAUCUCCAGACUUUUGAGAGAGCAAAUGUCUUGUAGUAAUCCGUCAUGACUCUUCCAUAUAUAUGUUUGCUCUUCUGUCGACAAAAAUAAUUCUUCCAAUUUCGGUAGUUGUGGCUUCAAUGGCCCCGCAAGAAACACUUGAUUUGAUGUAUCUCUACAAACCACUGAACUCUGUGAUCCGAGAUGACCAGUUGCACUUUCCCACACAACCUUUUUGCAUCCACCAAUUUCCAAUUUGCAAAGAGCUGGAAGACUCGAAACUGAAACUAACAAUUCUUCACAUCCUUCAAUAACAAGCAUCUCCAAUGCAGGAAGGUGCUCUGGAAAUGUUCCUUUCAGUUUAGAACAUCUUAAAAUGUGAAGCUCUCUCAAUUUAGGAAACCCUUCAACUCCUUGACUGGAUCCAUGAGGAAUCCAGUCUUCCCAUUCUUGCAUGUUUUCAAAAAGAAGAGUCUCCAAGCAUGGAAAAGGAAUUGGAGGAUCAUUCCCAUAGAACUCUGAACCCAACCUCUUUACUCUGCUCAUUCCACAUACUGCAAGAUGCUUUAGAGAGGGUAGUUGCCCGACUGACGGUAGGGCAGUACACAUGUCACAAUUUUCAAAUAUUAGGGUCACCAAAUUUGACAAUGAGGAAUCUCCUAACCAUAUUGGAAAUUUUGUACCUCCAUAGCCACUGAUAAAAAAUUGCUCCAGAUUUUUAUGGGGUUUCAGCAUGUCAAGCACGCCCUUUUGAGUUUCUGCCUCCCUUAAAGAUGAACCAUCGGUACUGUUUGUCCACCGAAGCAUUAACACUUUAAGGUUCUUCUUUCCAUCCAAUUGAGCCUCCUUGGCAUCACCAACGUAUUUUACGUUCUCCAAUUUUGAAAUGGUAAGUGUCCCACGAAGAUGCGUCAACAACUUUAGCUCUCGCAACCGGGAACCACUGUCUUUUCCUACAACAAAAUUACACAAUGUCUGAAGACAAGUCAACUUGCCAAUUCCUAGUGGCAUUUCCUCCAACGAAUCUGUAUUUGAAUUAUUGAGAUGAUGCAACUUGAUGAGAUUUCCCAUGCCUGCACACAACUUCCUCAGUCCCCGACAACCCUCCAACGAAAGGGUGUGCAAAUUGUAAAGCUUGUUGACUGAUUCAGGCAGAGUUCUAAUCUCAGUUCCAGACAAGUUAAGGUACCUUAAAUACCUCAAAUCACCAACUGAAUCCGGCAGCUCAGGGAUGCAGUAUCCACGCAAAGAGAAGACCCUCAAGCGUUGGAGUUUGAGCAACUUAGGAAGAAUGCUAGGAGCCAAGUAGCCAGGCUCACUAUUUGUCAACAUUACUGGUAAAAAAGUUCUCAAAUGUUGGAUAUCAUACAAGUCCCCAAACCUUUGAACGCCAUCAUAAUCUCCACAAAUGUAUGAUAGAUGACGAAGAUUUCUGGAAAAACAUUGUUGCUUGUUAACCUCCGAGGUAUACUCCAGUGUGAAGUAUGUCUCCCCUGCAGCCCAACGGGCAAGGUCGUUGAUAAGAUCGUGCAUAACAAAUCGUGAUGCAUCGGUGGCCGAUUGCUGGAAAAAAGAUCUUGAACAUAGCUCCUUAAAGAAAUCACGACCUAAAUCUUCACUAGGAUUCUCAUCUUCUUUGUGAUCCAAAAAACUGGAGGCACACCAUAAUAAAAUUAUCUCCUCCUCUUCAAAUUCAUAAUCCUUUGGUAACAAUGAGCAGUAUGCAAAGCAUUGUUUCAAAGUUGGAGGAAGAUAAUAAUAGCUCACUGCAAGGGCUGGUAUAAUGCGACACCUCUGUUCUGGUAAUUCCCAUAUCUUGCUACUGAGCACUCUCUCCCAAUAACAUCUGUCAUCGUUUCCUCGCAAAAGUCCUCCAAGUGUUUGCGCCGCCAAGGGCAAGCCAUCGCAUUUGGCCACUAUCUUCUUGCCAAUUUCCUCCAAUAACUUAUCUGACCCCAAAGAAUGUUGAGCGAAUACAGCUAGACAAUCAUCAAAUGACAACUUUUUUAAUUGAUAAGGUGAGGCAGUUCCCAUGAUGUCUGCAACCUGUUGAUUGCGAGUUGUGACAAUAAUCUUACUUCCCUUCGCUCCAGCUUCAAACGGACGGCUGAGGCGAACCCAAUCAUUGUAAUUCUCAUUCCAAACGUCGUCUAAAACAAGCAGAAAUUUCUUUUGAGAUAACUUGUUCUUCAGCUCCUCUUGAAGCAAAUUUAAAUUACUGUCAUCAAUAGUCUGCUUGGUAUCGGAUAUUAGAAUUUUUUUUGUUAGCCUGUUAACGUCGAAAUCCUCAGAGACACAAGUCCAUACCUUCAGAUCAAAAUGAUCCUGCACUCGCUUAUCUUUGUAGACAAGCUGAGCAAGAGUAGUUUUGCCCAGGCCACCCAUACCUAUAAUAGGAAUAACAGAGAAUCCACCAUCGUUGCUUAAAUCAUCCCUCAACAGCAGUUCAACAACAUCCUUCUUUUCUGUUUCCCUGCCAUAUACUGUGGGUUCCUCCACCAAAGAGGUUGUCUCCUCUAGCCUUUGCCUGGCUUUUUUGGACCCCCCAGCUAAACUUUUUAUCAAAUUCAGCGAGCGUAUUCCUUCUUCAAUAUCUUGAAAUCUGCUGUUGGUCUCUUUGAUUUUGGACAUCAUGGCGUAAUCGAACUGAAUCGAUUGUGGAGUAAAAGUGGUGCAGCAAGUAGGAAUGAGCUUCCGAAACUUACUUGUUCUUGUACGACUGCUACUGGGUUGAUCAUGAGCAGCAGCUGGUUCUCCAUUCCCAAGCAGCAACCUCCUCCGGAAAGCCUCAGUUUGAAACUCAUCCAACAAGUCUUCAACAUCAUAAGCCAAGUUCUGAAGCUUGCCAAGCCACUUCUUCACAAACUGAUUAGUCGUCUUCUUCUCCUCAGCAUCAUCAAGCACCGCCUUGAUCAUCUCCAACAUAUUCGCCCACUUCAUUAGAUCGUCUUGGAUCUUCUCUUGGCGUGCAAAAAACAGAAUCCCCUCUGAAGCUAACUUAUUGACCAGCAAAUCAACGGACACAGUUAGGAUUGCCUCUCCGAUGAAUGACAUUUUUUUUUCUUUUUUUGGGCAAAGGAAGAAAGGAGCAGAAUUAUGGGUUAUGGAAAGCAGAAUGAGAAAAUGGAACAUGAGUGAGAAAAUGGAUAAUUAAGCAGAAUGAGUUUGUGAUUGUGAAGGGUCUGGCCCAGCUAGAAAUCACGCGUUUAUACUUUAUUGACCAAUGACUAAUAAUUUGGCAAUUCACUCAUCACCACCACUUGGUGAGGAAAAUGCUUAGUAAUUAAGUGUCAAGGGUCACGCAAAAUACGGCGUCAAACGUGGCAAGUCUCCCCACUUGUUGUUCCUUGCAGCUAAGAAAAGAAAAAACAGAGCCGUAAUUAAUGACAGAAUUUUAAAAAUAAUAAUAAGAGAAAAACCUACAUUUUUUUUUAAUCUCAAUGCGCAGUCGUAUCAUAAUGUUAUAUUCAUGUUGUAAAACGAAAUUUUAGAUAAAACAAAUUCGACUCAUUUGUUAACGAUAUAUAUUUAGUAGGUUUCUAACAUAACUAAUAAAACGUGAUUAUUACACUAAAUGAAAUAAAAGACAGUACUUCCUCUAAUAGUUUAGCAAGUUUCGCAUGCUCGUGUUUCCGGAAACAUUAUAUGGAAUCAAUCAACAGUGAUACAAAGAGAAAAAUGGUAAUCCUAUCGCUGUUUUUUUUUUCUUUUUCAAAAGAGAUGGUGGGGUUGGGUUGUUUGCAAAGUUAAUAGCGUGGGUCUAUUUGUUUUUGUUUUAACUUUAUUAAUCAAUUAGUGAAGCAAACACGUAAUGAUUUGUAAAGAUCACUAGCAUUAGAUUAUUGAGAGGUAUUGCGCUUAGUAUUCACAAUUUUUGUAAGAUGAAUUUGUAAGACUUAUGAAUUUCGAUGAAAAUGUAUGGUUGUUAAGCUAUUAUUUAAUUCAUUAAUUCACUAAUUGUAACAGUAAGUGUGAAUUAAUGAGAAAAAGUGUGAAUUAAUUCGUUAUUAAGCUUUUUUUUUUUUUUUUUUUUGCAAAGAAAGAAACAGAAUUUGGAGUUUUGAAAAGCAAAAUGAGAAAAUUGUAACAGUAAGUGUGAAGGGUCAAGCAAAAUGCGUGUAGCAAGUCUUCCACUUGUUGUUUAUUCCAGUAAAGUGAAAAAUAAAAGGGAGAGCCCACCACCCAUUAAUAAUUUAGCAAUUCACCAAUCACCAGUCACCACCACUCGCUGCCAGAUUCAAUGAAUAUAAAAUCGCACGUUGAUAUUUGUAGGGUCAAGCCACGUUAAUCCAGUGUCCGGGUAAAUGCUGAUUGAAGAGGAAAAUGGAAUGCAUCUACCACGAACCUUCGCUUUACAAAUCUUCAAACUAAAUCAAAACGUUUCUCUCUCUCUCUCUCUCUUUCUGCCAUUAACUUACUUUAUUUAUUGAAUUAAUUUCCAUGCUGAAACGAAGACUUAAAAAGUACACCACAAUUUUUUAAUAAUUACAAUGAGAAUUCCUACCAUCAUGUUAUAUUACUGCCGUGCCAAAAUAAAUUAUAACAAAAUUUUAGCUGACCAUAAAUUUGACUCAUUUAUACUUAAUAAAAUAACAAGACGAUUAAUGUGUCAUCAACUGAAAUAACUCUAAUGUGAAAACAAAAAAAGUCCCGCCACCAAUAAUUUAGCAAACUUCACUUUUUUUUUUUCUUUUUUUUGAAAAAGUAGCAAACUUCACUUUAUUACACUAAAGUGAAACCAAGAGUCAGAAGCAGCCCCCACCACCAUCAAUAAUUUAGCAAGCAUCACGCGCUUGUGCUUCUCUUCUUGACGAACUGGACAUGGGUGGACCAAGCAUCCAUUGAAUAGUUGGAAAAACUAAAAAAUAAAAAUCAGUGCCCCGCAAAAAGAAUCCAUCUCAUAUGUAAUACAAGUGUCAAGAUUUAAUUAGAGUUCACAUAUAUACAUGCGUUUAGUUUUAAUUGUGGGAUAAAUUAAUCAUUAAUACUCAAGUAUUUCUAAAUAAUUGAAACAGUUAUCUGUUGUAAUAACAGUUGUAAAUAUUUUAAUAUUUAAAAAUAAUAAUAUUAUUGAUAUUUACAAAAUUUUUAGGAAGUGAUAACUAAUAUACUAGGGAUAUAUAUUUGUGGGGAAUGGUAAAUAUAGAGAAUAACAAUAAAAAAAUAUUAGAACUGUAAUAUAAAUUACUAUAAGUAAUUAUAUUUAUUUGGUUUGUCUAUUUAUAAAAUUAUGAAAUAAAUUAAAAAUAUAUAUACAUACAUAUAAUGUUAUAAAAUAUAAAAUCCAACCUUUCUAGGGUGAAAUAAAAGCCUAGCCCAAUGUGCCCCAAAAAUAUGUCUGGGUUGGAUCCAGGCAUUGCCAUACCCGAACUUGACCCCUAGUUUUGCCAUUACUCUAGAUCGUUAUAAAUAUUCUAAAUUUCAGUCUAAUUUACUUGUGUGAUGCAAAAAUUACAUUUAUCACUUCUUUCAAAUAAAUACUCAUAAAUUUCACCUAAAUUGUCACCCAAAAAAAGAGAAAAAUGUAUAGUUAAUUUUUCUAUUUCUUUACUCCAUUAUUCAAUGGGAAUAUAAUAAAUUAGGAGAAAGGAGAAAUUAAAGACAAUAUUAGAGUGCUUGUUGCAAUGAUAAAAUCUCAUGCAAAUGCUUAUUUCAGAUGUAAGCGAGGCAUUCAUUAAUUUGACCAAAAAUAAGUGAAUUUAUUUGUAUUUUAAUCAAAAUCGAGGGAUAUAAACAAAAUUUUCCCACUCCAGAUAUUUAUCAUUUUCUCGUUAGAAAAUAAAAUUGCAUAAAAUUAAGAAACCAGUAGGCACUGAAAGAGAGAAACAGACUGAGAAGAGAUCAAAAGAUGGAUUUGGAACUGAAAGAGAGCUUGGGCUGAUUCAUUCAUGAUAAUAUUCUGCGUUCGCUGUGAUAGAGACAAAAGUUGGCUCUUUGUAUGGUUCCCCACUGACGGCGCCAAAUGUCGAUGCCAAAAUUUGGACUAAUUAGUUACAUACUGGAUACCAAAUUUUGCGUCAGCAUUAAAUUUAUUUGUUAGGGAAGCGGCUUACAAAUCACCAAGGACGCCCUGCGAUCACUAGCAGAUAACUCGCAAACACCUGAAAUCAUAAAGAAUGGUAAGAGGCGCCAUAAGUUUUUCCAGCGUGAACUCUCUAACAGUCAAGUUAGUUAUCGGGUUUACAAGAAAAAUAAAAUAUGCAAUUUCUAUUUUUUUUAAUAAAUAAUCUUAAGUAAAUGUAAAAGAAAAAUCAAAAUUGAGAAAGAAAGGUGAGCCUCCCUCUUUAUUUAUUCCCCUAGGGAUUUUUUAUAAAGAUUUAACUUUCCCCCCACUCCCCCCCCCGCCCCCCAACAAAAUCUUUGUGAUCAGAAGAUGGAUGAGAUAAAAUAUGAGCCCCCCAAAAUGAUCUCAAUCAUGGAGGAGUCCUCCCUAGUUUGUUGCCCUAUUUUCGAAUUUGUUCUCCUCUUCUCUCGAAAGUUAAGGAUGAGAUAAAAGUAACCCCUUCACUCUCCAUUUUUUUCCUCACCAAACAGUUACGAAUUUAAAAUAUGAGUAUGAUUUAAUAAGAGAGAAUGAGAAUUGAUGAUGUCCCAAGAGACUGAAAAUAAAAGAUUAUACAAAUUUGCAUGGAGGCAUAUCAUAUAUUAAUCUUAAUUUUUUGUUGUUCAAAUAAUAAAUUAAUUCCAUUAAUCCUUUUUCUAAUUAUAUGGUGUGUAACACAUUGGCCACUUCUGAAUUAUGUUGAAUAUUUGUUAACUCAAAUAAAUAGUACACUUUUCUAUCAAUCUAACUCACUUUAUUAAUAUUCUUCAUCAUUAUGGUUAAUGGCUUAGCAAAUGUAGAACAAGGAGUUUUGAGUUUUCUGUUAUAAUACCAGGUCAUCUGGUCUUGAUUCUUUUCCUAUUUUGUUGCAUUAUUUGUUUAGUUUCCAGCUCUAAGACUAUUAUAAAUAGUCAGUUUUGAGUUGAAUAAAGGGAGCAUUACAGAAACAUUUGUCCUCUCUUUUAUCUCUCUACUUCCUUCUUCUUCUUAACUCUUAUUCUAAAUCAUACUAUAUCAUUUUGUUUCAGAUUUUGGCUGAUACUUGCCCUUUUGAAUGACUCGGGGGUCAAGUAUUGCUUCAAGCUGAGGAAGAAUAAUACAAUCGUCUGAUACAAGAGGAAGUUGAUUUGAAGACGAGGUGUGAAUAGGUGCCAAAUGCUUCCGAAGCAUGCUAACAUGAAACAAGUUAUAAAUUUGUGAGCUUGAGGGUAGAGCCAACCGAUAUGCUAUUGUCCCCACCUUCCCAAUAAUUUGAUAUGGCCCAAAAAAUCAAGGAGCAAGCUUAAUAGAAGCACGAAAGGCCAUUGACGUCUGUCGAUAUGGUUGGAGCUUGAGAUACACAUAGUCACCAACCUCAAAGGAUACCUCUCGAUGUUUUAAACCUGCCCGGCUUUUCAUUCGUUGUCUUGCCAAAGAGAGGUUGUGGCAGAGCUCUCGUAAAAUUGUGUCGCGAUCCCGAAGGUACUCAUCCACUGCUUGGAUAUGGGAAGUGCCAGGAACAUAAGUAAGCAAGUGAGGUGGAGGAAUACCUUAGACAGCUUCAAAUGGGGUCAUUUUGGUGGCAGAAUGGAUGGACGUUUUUUAGUUUAAUUCAGCCCAUGGAAUCCAUUCAACACAUUUUCGUGACUGAUCUCCGGCAAAACAUUGCAAGUAUUGCUCUAAAGUACGGUUCACUACCUCAAUUUGGUCAUCCGUCUGAGGAUGGUAACUAGAACUCAUACUAAGUUUAGUUCCUUGUAAUUGAAAUAAUGCUUGCCAAAAUGAACUUACAAAUACUUUAUCCCGAUCACUUACAAUGUCUGUUGGAAUGCCAUGGAGACGAACCACAUUAGCUACAAAUGCUUUAGCAAUCGUGACUGCCGUGUAUGGAUGUUUGAGAGCCACAAAAUGAGCAUACUUGGAUAAGCGAUCAACAAUUACCAUGAUGACAGUAUAACCAUUUGACGACGGAAGUCCCUCGACAAAAUCCAUUGAUACUUCAGUCCAUAUCUGAAGAGGAAUGGGUACUGGUUGCAGCAAACCGGCCGGACACAUAAAAUCAGAUUUGUACCUUUGGCAGAUGGUACAGUGCUAUAUAAAUUCCUUCACAAUUUUAUGCAAGUUUGGCCACCAGAAGCCGAGUUUAAUACGAGAUAGUGUCUCAUGGAACCCAAAAUGCCCACCAACUGGAGACGAGUGACGAUCAGUCAUGACUUGUGAAAUUAAAGUAGAAGUGGGAUUCAAAUAAAUUCUACCCCUUUUAAACCAUACUCCAUCUCGUUGUGCCAACUGUUGUGAUGAAUGAGAAUGACUCAGUUUCUUAUAAAAAGAGUCAUGUUGUACCUCUCCUUGCAAUUUUUGCCACCAAUCUACAUGUGGUCCCAAAAUAGACAUGAACCGAAAUUCAACAACACUAGAGAGUGAGUUAGCAGCUUGAUUUUCAGGUCCGCGUUUAUACUCAAUUUUGUAGUCAUAACCAAGGAUCUUUGAAAGCCAUCGAGCCUGUGCAGGAGUGGUAAUUCGCUGCUCAAGUAAAUACUUGAGGCUUUUUUUAUCGGUGUGGACAGUAGAUGGUUUCUCGAGGAGAUAUGGGCGCCAUUUCCGAAUUGAUUUGACAACAGCCAACAUUUCUUUCUCAUAGGUAGAUAGUAAUAAUGUCGUCCCUUUCAAAGCUUCACUAUAGUAUGCUAUUGGCUGGUUAUUCUGAGUGAGUACUGCUUUCCAAUCCCGCUAGCAUCACAUUCGAUUACGAAUUGUUGAGAAAAAUCUGGAAGGCUUAGGACUGGUGGAGACGUUAGUGCUUCUUUUAGCUUGGUAAAAGCUAACUCGGCUUCCUCGUUCCACUUGAAUCCUUCAUUUGAUAACAACUGAUAUAAAGGGGCUGCUAUACAUCUGAAGUGGCGGAUAAUUUUUCAGUAACAGCCUGCUAGGCCGAGGAACCCCCGUACUUCUCUGACAGUGGUUGGCGAUGGCUAUUCAAGAACAGCUUGUAUUUUGGAGGGACUUACUACUACUUCUUGUUCUGAAAUGACGUGACCCAAAUAAUCCACCUGAGAAACACCAAACCUGCAUUUUGCUUCCUUAACAAAUAAUUUGUUAGUAUGCAAAAUAGAGAGAACAAUCCGAAGAUGUGCAAGGUGAUCAUUCCAUGUCUUUGAGUACACGAGGAUGUCAUCAAAGAAGACUAAGAUAAACUUCCUUAGAUAAGGGCGAAAAAGAUCAUUCACGAGGCAUUGGAAGGUGGAUGGGGCGUUGGUCAAGCCAAACGGCAUACGAGAUAUUUGUAGUGCCCUUCGUGUGUUCUAAAGGUUGUUUUUGGUAUAUCCGCAUCUUAUACUCGAAUUUGGUGAUACCCAGCCCUUAAAUCUAACUUGGAGAAGAGUUUAGCUCCAUGGAGCUCAUCUAGAAGUUCAUCAAUUACAGGAAUUGGGUAUUUAUCUUUGAUCGUGAUGUUGUUCAAUGCACGGUAAUCCACACAAAAUCGCCAAUCACCAUAUGCUUUUUUUACUAAGAGGACUGGUGAUGAAAAUGGACUUUUACUCGGUCUUACCAGCCCUGAUUGCAAAAUUUCUCUCGCCAUCUUCUCUAUUUGUGUUUUCUGGUAAUAAGGGUAACGGUAGGGUCUUACGUUGACAGGGUGUGUAUUUGGUUGUAGUGGGAUGUAGUGAUCAUGUGGUCUCUUUGGCGGCAGGCCCAUAGGUGGCUUAAAAACAUUAGAGAAUUCGGUUAAAAUCUGAAUUAUGUCACCUAGGUAAAGAUUCGGCUGGAAAUUAUUGGGAGAAAGAGAGAUUUGGAAUAAGAAUCCACUACCUUGAACAGAGUUGAAUUCUUUAUCAGAUAAGGUCGCUAAAGGGGUGUGUUUAAGACCUUGGAAUGUGUAGGUCUCUUAUCCAGCUUUGUAGGUCAUCGUCAACUGCUGGUAAUCCAUCUCUAUUGGUCCAAUAGUCUCUAGCCAUUGCACACCCAAAAUCAAGUGAUAGGCUGCCACAUGAAGCACAAAAAAACAGCAGUAAUUGAUUUACCUUGAAUGGAGAUCGUGAGUGCUUGGCACAGGCCUUUGCAUUCGAUUUGUUCUUGGUUGGCGACCGUCACUUGGAACUUUUUUUUUUUGAAGAACAGGUAGCCCAUAUUUAGUGACUACAGCUUGAUCAAUGAAAUUGUGCGUGCUGCCGCCAUCUAUGAGCACCGUUACCGAUUUGUUCUUCAGUUUACCCAUCACACAGAAUGUUUGCGGAUGACUGGCUCCUGAAAUGGCGUAGGUAGAAACUUCAGGCAUGACUUCAUGGUCCUCAGAUUCAGGUUCGGCAGGUUCCUUAGCAAGGUUUAUUUGAUUCGAAUCCUCUAUCAUGAAUAAUUGCGGCCUUUGGCAACAGUGACCGGGAACAAAUUUUUCGUCACAAUAAUAACAAAGUCCAUUUGCCAUCGUUCUCGUGCCUCUUGAUUUGUGAUGCGUCAAAAUGGAAUUGUUGAAUUGCUGGCAUUUUGGUUUAUUUUGGAAGUUGAUGGGGGCCUAAUACGCCACCGGAAUGGUGUGGUAUGAUUCUUUGUGCUCCUGUAAUUGCGGAUGGACGAAAGGAAGUGCUUAUUUUCUUUUGCAGGUUAUUUCAUUCCUCAACUAGUCGAGCAACUCCAAUAGCAUUAGUUAAUGUUCGCGGCUGCUUGAUUUUGACAUCCAAGCGAAUUUCAUCUUUGAGACCUGCAAUAAAACAACCCACAAAAAAUUUUUCAGGUAAUUCGUCAAUACAGUGGCAUAAUUUUUCGAAAGCCUCCUAGUAAGCCUUUAAAGUUGAGGUCUGUUUUAAUCGUGUGAGAGCUUCAAAGGGAUCUUCAUAGUCUAUUGGGCCAAACCUUUGAAGCAUGGCUUUUGUGAAUUCUUGCCAAGAUAAUGGUCCCUUAAAUUUUGUUAACCACCGAUGCCACUGUAAGGCAAUACCUUCAAGAUGGAAAGAGGCAAGUUGAACUUAUAGGCUUGGUGUAAUGUUUUUAAAUUCAACGUAUUGUUCUGCCUUGUAAAUCCAACCGCUUGGGUCUUCUUCGUUAAAUCAUGGGAAGUGAAGUUUGAGGUGGUGAUAUUGUGCAUUUGGUGUGUGGGGUGUGUUAGUGUUUGUGGUAUGUGAGGUUUCUCUGGGGUAAAAAGGGUUGAUUUCAGGCUAGAUGGUUGGUUGAGGUCGAGACUCACAAAGCUUGUAACUCAGUUAACACCUUAUGCAAGGAAUCAUUGAUCUGAUCAAAAUUGGAUUCAUGUCGAGCUAAGGCUUUGUUGACAUCAUUGCGGAAUUCGGCAUUAGAUUUACCGCGAGUGUCCAUUGACAAACCGACUUUGAUACCAAAAUGAUAUGGUAUAAUUUAGAAUAAGAGUUAAGAAGAAGGAGGAAGCAAAGAGAUAAAAGAGAGGGAAAAUGUUUCUAUAAUUCUCCCUUUAUUCAACUUAGAACUGAUUAUUUAUAAUAGUCUUACAGCUGGAAACUAAACAAAUAAUGCAAACAAAAUAGGAAAAGAAUCAAGCUCAGAUCACCUGGUAUUAUAACAGAAAACUCAAAACAGAAUGUUAAAGACUAGCUCCACUAGUUUAUUAACAGAAUUGAUGACCAAGUCUUACAAAGCACAUGUAUCACUGUUGUAGUUAAAAUAAUUUUAAAACAAGUUAAAACAGUUCCAACUCAAAAUCAGUAGGCUGCAAUUGGGUUGUUACACAUAUUUCUAAAUUUCACUCUAAUUUAAUUGUGUAUGGACAAACUAACUUUGUCACUUCUUUCAUAUUAUUACUCAUAAAUUUCAACCUUAUUAUGAUGAUGCACAAUCUAACUUAACAAAAAUAAUGUUCAAAUUGUCACAAAAUGUUUUUUUCUUAAAAAAGAAAAGAAAAUCAUAUAUAGUAGUUAAUUUUUCUUCAUCUUUACUCCAGGAUCCAACUCCGUACUCCACUUUUUUGUUGUUAUUGUACCCAGCCGUUAGAUUUUAAUUACAUUGAUUUAACGGUUUGGAUUUGUAAAUGAAUAACGACGUAGUGUUUGGCUACCAUAUGAACCCACUGCAUCUAAUUGGUUUUGUGAUUUUUUGCUUUCUUCUCUGUAACGCCUGACUAGUUCUGGAAAUAUCGACCGCCAUCGACAACAAAUCUGAACCAUGUAUUAUUUCUUAGUAGUGGGCAAAUAAAGUUUGCCCACUACUAAGAAAUAAAGUUUCCACCACCGUACCAGUGUGUCGAUUUGCGAAUACAUUCAUUCAAAUAUUAAACAUUCAGAGAAGAAAGCAAACCGUGGCAGGAUAGCAAAACCUGCAAAUGGUCAUUCCCAACACGAACCCCUAUGGCUGUUUUCCUUUUAAUUUUCUUCUUUGAAUUCUCCUUUUAUUAAUCAUUCGAAAAACUCCCUUUUUUUAAAUCAUGUGUUAUUAACAUUUACAUGGUUAAUGUCAUCGAAAUCAAAUGGUUGUUAUCUACGAAAAGAGAAUUGCUAGAAAUUUUGUUAGUCCCAUUGCAACAAUAUAUUGUUAUAAAUUGCAUUGUUUCCCAUAUAACAAAUAUAAUAAAAUCUCAAUAAAUUAAUAGUUUUGGGAACAAUAAAAAAAUUUAUUAAAAUUUAACAAAUAUCAAUUAAUCAAUAAAUUAUUAAAUUAUUAAUUUAUGAAAAUAUUCAUUAUUUUGAAAAAAACAUGAUCACGUUUUUAAUAUUGAUUUCCCUUGAGUUAACAUCUAUUAUGUUUUAUUUGUCUAUUAGUUUUAUCUUGGGAAGAUUUUUUAAGAGUUAGCUGCUUUAUAUUAAGUUAUUAACAGUAAUAAAAUUAUUAGUUGAUACUGGCGAAUUUUCUGACCAAAAUCGUACAAAGUAGUUGAAAGUGUUUAUUUUUGUUAUUUCAUGACAUUCUAACAAACUAUAUGGGGUCACAAAAAGGUUGAUACCCCUACUUCUUGUUCUUUUUUUCCUCAAGGGUCAAGCAAAAUACGACGUAAAAUGUGGCGAGUCUUCCCACUUGUUGUUCUUUGCAGCUAACAAAAGAAAAACAGAGCCCGCCACCCAUUAAUAAUUUAGCAAUUCACCAAUCACAACAAAAUUCCAUUAGAUAUUCGUCGAUCAAGUAGUUAAUCCAGUGUCUGCUACGUAGAGCCUUCACUUUACGAAUCUUCAACUCAUAAACCAAGUUAAAUCAAGACGUUUCUCUCUCUGUAUAUAUAUUUUUUAACUCCUAAAACGUUUCUUUUUAGAAAUAUUUUACUUUAUUCAUCUAAUAUGUUAUCUAACAAAUUGACACAGAUGAAAUCACUCUAAAGUGAAGAUAAAAGGGGAAAAAAAAAACAUUCCAACCACCAAUAAUUUAGCAAGCUUCACUUUUAUUCCACCAAAGUGUAAAUAAAGCCAGCCCCCACCACCAUCAAUAAUUUAGCAAGCUUCACACGCUUGUUGUCUUCUCCUUGUCGAACUGGACGGGGUGGACCAAGAAUCAAUGAAAGAAUUUUAAAAAUAAUAAUAAAAGAAAAACAUAAACAUUUUGGACUCAGAGUAGAACCGUAAUUAAUGCUAAAAUUUACUCCGCUAACGUUUUCAAAAUAUUGUUCUUUAUAAUUGUCCAGCAAAUAAGACUAAGUUUUGGACAUUUUCAUUCUUCACUUACUUUCAAAAGCAAUAUUUCGAAACAUUUUACAGAAUCAAGUAACAGUUAUAUAACGAGAAAAGUGCAAAGUUGUGUAAUUCUAAUGUUUUUUUUAUCACAGACACUCAGAUCAUUUUUUAUUUGGGUCGCCAACUCGCCAAUGAACCCAUGAUUGAAUGAGUGUUUAGAAAGAAAAUCAAUAAAAAACAGUUUAUUUUUGGCCGUCGAAAUAUAGUAAGUGAGAAAGAUUAUUCUUUUUUUUUGUUAAUCAGGUUAGUAAUUAUGAUUGAGUGACUCAGAAUUAUAUUCUAGAUUGAGAAUCAAUGGUUCUCCAAUCUCCCACACUGAGAGGCUGUAAGUUUAAGAUUGUCGUUUGCUAUUAAUUUCAUUGACAAGAGAGCACUUGAAUUUAUUAAAAGGAGAAGGCUAUAAAGGUUUUCCUUUAUGAGAAAUGUAUCUGAUCAUUCCUUUUUACUUGAAAAUUUCAUAUAUAAAAACUUAUUAAUAAAUGAAAGAAUAUGCAUAAACUAUUAAUUCAUUUUAUAGUGAUUAUCGAAUGACAUGUGACCCAUGGAAGCAUGGAGUCUAUAAAAUAAUUCUUUUUUUUUUAUUAAACAAAAAAUCGGUGAUGUUGAAAAGUAAUAUUAUUAUUACUCUAAUUGGGGUGAACAUUCAUAAAAAGAAUGCCGUAUGAAACUAAAUUAUUAAUUCGUUUGAUAGUUGGUUAUUGAAAGAGCAAAGCAGUCACUUCAAAACUAAAUUAUUACACGUGCACAUGCAGCACAUCUAUCUAAAAUUUAAAAAACGGAAUUAGAAAUACAGGAUUUAUGGUAGAAAUACAACAGGAAUAAGAGUGAAAUUCCGAUUUUAAAAUUUGGGAGAAAUGAAAUGCGAUAUUUUUUUAUGAAUAAAAUAAUUUAAUUUUUUUUUUUUAAUUCUACCAGCAAAAACCAUUAACUUGUCAAGUUAUUGGUUUCAUUUACAGCUGACAGUCGGUUUCUUAGUUUCAUUCCUUAAUUCUACAAGAAAAAAAUAGAAUACUUAACAUUUUUUAUUUGACAAUUUUUAAGAAAUGUCAAAAAUAUAUGACAUUUUGUGAAAAACUGAGUAAUUGUGAAAUAUAAAUGACAAUUUAUUUAAACGUCAAAUAAUUAUGACGUUUAUCAAAUAAAUGAUAAAUAUAUUACAUAUUUAUUGAAUAAUUAUUAUUUACCUUUUCCUUUUAUUGACUUGAGAAAAAAACAAAAAAAACUGACUAUACUGCUUUUGUUUUUGUUCUUAGAACAGAUUUUAGUUUCUUUUGAGAAAAUUCAAACUCAUUCCCAUUACUUUCUUUUCAAUAAUCACCUCUCAGGUUUUCGUCAAUCACUCAAUUCCGAAUUUCAUCUCCAUUCUCUUUCGAAGAAGAACGCACGGAGAAUUUUAGCUUGCUUUCGCUGCUUCUCGAAUAUUGGGUAUUGUUUCUGUUGAGUACAUAAAAGCCCCAGGUCGGCCAUGCUACUAUUUCCACCCCGGCAUGGAUCACCUCGGCCAAAUGGUAUGAGCAGAACGCGGGAUGAACACGAGCCAACCAGAGACGAGUACCGGCCAGGGUAAUGUACCGACCAGAAUCUUAUACCGAGCCGACACCAAUUCCCCAAAAAAGCGGGAACACGAUCCCACAGAAUCACGGUAGUUGCGCUUUUCCUAGAACCGUUGUGGGAGAUGCGAGAUCCCACGUUUGCCCACAAUGUAGCAGUUAAAAUCCCAUGAGAGGCUACCACUACUCGAGAAAGGGGGGGAUGAAGGGUGAGUGAAAACGUGGGACAGCGGCUAUAAAAGAAGAAGAAACCGAUGAAGAAAGGGACAGAAAAAUUGAGAGAGGGAAAACGCUGCCAAAUUGCAAUCAGGCCAUUUUCUUACAAGACUCCGAAUAAUUUAGAAACCAUUUUUAGAUCUAAAUUGCACUGUUUUCCCAUAAACACCUUGAGCUAACUUAGGCAUCGGAGGGUUUACGCCGGCAAAACCAUUGGCGACUCUGAUCCGUUUUUGGUGAACGCAGGUCUAGUAAGAGAAAGAAGGGUGAUUCCAACCUCAGAGGUUCGCGCAACAGUUGACAACAUAAACGUUGGUGAAAGAAUCUGGUCGGUCAAAAGGCGAGCAGAUUUAAGCAUCAACAUUUUGGCGCCGUCUGUGGGGAGCUGGAUAAAAAGCUACCACCGAAUUAGUAGUUACCGGAGAAACAGCGAACGAUCAGACAUGGAUUUGCCAAGGAAGGACGCUUUGAGGGAGGAUAACGAAUCGGGGGAGACAAUCACCCUUCGGGAAAUUGCAAAUGAAGCCCGAGAGAGGGUGAUGCAAGAUCGAUUGGAACGGAUGGAGAAGCAAAUGGAGACUCUCGCUACCAUACUGAAUGAGUUGAGAGAUGAACGGAGAAGGGAUGGCGAAAUCCCCGUGGGGAGAGAUGAUGUGGGAGCAGAGCCCAACCUCCGGAGGCGUAGAGUCGAGGAGAUCCCUCCGCCGGCGGACCAACCUUAUGGGGUGGAUCCCCACAGAAGUACUGGUCGGGUUCCUGGAGAACAAGUAGAUGAAGGGAGGAACCAACCUCUCCCCAGGCGAGUACCGGAAGCUGAUGGCCGAGGAGCCAGUGCUGAUGAAGGAGAGUUAAGACAGCGGUUGCAGAAUGUCGAGCAUGAGCGAGAUCAGAUAGAUGCACGUGAUCCUGACCGUGUUGUAGAAUUGGAGGGAGAGGUGCGCAGACUGGCGUAGGUGAUGGAGGAGAUACAAGGCAAGAGAAAGCCCCCGAGCUGGAGGAUAAUGCUGGAUGAGGAAUCCCCGUUGUCAGCCGAGAUCAUGGGUACAGUAAUCCCAAGAGAUUUCCGCUUUCCCGACUUCAAAUACUCCGGUCGAAGUGAUCCCCUGGUGCAUAUUGAGCGUUUUAACGACAUGACGGGGGUGCAGGGGUUGACACCAGCUCAGAGGUGUAGGGUGUUCCCGUUGACUCUCGAGGGGCGAGCCCGAGAAUGGUACCGCAAGCUGCCCCGAGGAGGUAUAAAAAGGUACGAGCAGAUGUGCCAAGAGUUGGUCGAACAGUUCCGAGGUGCAGUAGCCCCAGAGGACGACAUGAUGGAACUGAUGGGGAUGAAACAGGAGGAGGAUGAGUCCCUUCGGGAUUUUGUAAAGCGAUAUCACCAGGCCGUGCUAGACUUGGGAGCUUUUAAUCACCCACAGGCGCUGAGGGGAUUAAAAGAAGGUGUAAGAAUCGGCCGAUUGUGGUAUAACUUGAGAAGCCCCCUUGUGCAGAAUUAUUCGACGGGGUAUGAACAGGCGAGGUGAGACAUAGAGAUCAAAGAGGAGAAAUCGGCAAGGAUAAAGAGUGAACAGCUGGAAGAGCUGAGGCGAAAAGAACGGAGAGUCCCGAUCGGGAGCAGAUCGGGAAAACGAGCUGGGGAAUCAUCAGUUAUGGGCGGAAUAUCAGCUCGGUCCCGCCCUUACCCCAUAGCUCAUAGGCCGCAACAGUUCCAACACAGCCGAGCCCAACCUCCGCGCACCCCGUUUCCGGAGCAGCAACGAGAAUUCAGGCAGAUGGCUGCCCACCCUUAUCACAACACUCCCAGAGGGUUACGUGCAACUGGUUCCAGAUCUGGACGACCAGAUCAGCUAGCAACUAUACCUGCCAGAGAUGACGUUCAUGAUAGCCGAGCAGUUCAGCUGGUAGACCAGAGCUUGGCCUAUAGACAGUACACUCCAUUAAAGAUCUCUAUGGAGGAAUUGUAUGAGAGGAUCGAGGGACGAGGCCUGCUGUACCCUCCCACCUAAUAACAAAACCUGCUCAUCGACGGGAUAAGAGCAGAUUCUGCAAAUUCCACGACACUCACGGUCACACUAUCAGCCAAUGUCGUGACCUGAAGAUUCAGGUGGAGGAUUUAGUAAGGAACCGAUACUUGGAUGAGUAUGUAGACGGAGUGUCCCCUAUCAUUGAGUCAGAGUACACACGGGAUGAAGGAGUUGAGAGGGGUCUGGAACGAGAACAGCCGACCAUCCGUGUGAUAGCAGGAGGGCCAACAUUGGCCGGGGAUUCAAACAGAGCACGGAAGAACUAUAGGAGAUACGCCAUGACUGGCAAAGAGGUGCUUCUAAAUUUGCCAGCAGCCAAGAGAGCAAAAGUGCGGCAAGUUCCCAUUAUGUGGACGGAGGAUGACGAAGAGGGUAUUUUGUAUCCUCAUGAGGAUGCCUUGGUGAUUAAGGCAAUGGUGGCCGGUACAGAAUUGCGACGAAUACUAGUGGACAUGGGCAGCUCAGUCGAUAUUCUGUUUAAGUCGGCCCUAGAUGAUAUGGGAAUUUCAGACCUAAAGCUGGAACGGACGAAUACAUCCUUGAAGGGAUUUAGAGGGGGACGGUUAACUCCCAUGGGGAUCAUUGAACUCCCGAUUACUAUGGAAAUAAAGCCGUUUGAAAGAACGACGAUGCUGGACUUUGUCGUGGUAGAGGAAAGAAGCCCUUACCAGAUGAUAUUAGGGAGGCCAUUCAUGAGGAUAAGCCAAUGCGUUGUAUCCACGCAUUACCUGGCGCUGAAGUAUAGAGUAAACGGAAUGGUUGGUGUAGUCAAAGGCGACCAGAGGAUGGCAAGGAGCUGUUAUGCUACAGCAGCCAAAGAGACACUAUAGGUUACUUCUCUAGAUAAUCGAGGAGAUUCAAAAAAGGGUCGCCAAGAACCUGUUGAGAAGCUAGAGGAGGUUGUGGUAAGCAAAAACAACCCGAGCAGAGUGGUUAGGAUUGGAUCAGGAUUGGUCGGGGCAAUAAAAGGAGAGCUGGUAAAGUGCCUACAGUCCCAUGCAGAUAUAUUCGCCUGGUCUCACGAGGACAUGCCAGGAAUUGAUCGCGGGGUAGCUUGCCACAGGCUGGCGAUCAAGAAAGGGGCGAGGCCGGUGAGGCAGAAGAGGAGGUGCUUUAACCAGGAAAGGUAUGAGGCCAUAAAUGCCGAGGUUGAGAAAUUGUUGAAAGCAAGAUUUAUAAGGGAGGCCAAAUACCCGGAGUGGAUUUCCAAUGCAGUACUGGUAAAGAAGGCCAACGGGAAAUGGAGAAUGUGUGUGGAUUUCACAGACCUUAACAAGGCAUGCCCGAAGGACAGUUUUCCCUUACCAAAGAUAGAUCAAUUGGUGGACUCCACAGCUGGUCACAGUCUGCUCAGCUUCAUGGAUGCCUUUUCAGGAUACAACCAGAUACCCAUGGACGAGCAAGAUGAGGAGAACACCACCUUUAUAACUAACAUGGGUUUGUUUUGCUACAGGGUGAUGCCUUUCGGCAUGAAAAAUACAGGAGCUACCUACCAAAGGUUGGUGAACAAGAUCUUCAAGCCCUUGAUCGGACAUACAAUGGAGGUAUAUGUGGACGAUAUGAUCACAAAGUCCAAAGAAUCGAGGGAUCACGUGAAGCACCUUGAAGAAACCUUUGAAUUACUGAGGAAGUAUGAGAUGAAGCUAAACCCGGAGAAAUGUGCAUUUGGGGUCAGCUCGGGCAAAUUUCUGGGAUUCCUGGUGAGCCACCGAGGGAUUGAGGCCAACCCAGAAAAAAUACGGGCGGUUACGGAGAUGAGGUCUCCACGGACAGUUAAGGAGGUGCAGAGCCUUACAGGGAAGUUGGCAGCGCUGAACCAAUUCAUCUCAAGGGCCACAGAUAAAUGCCACCAUUUCUUCCAAACCAUAAAGAAAGGGAGAAAGAUGGAGUGGACGGCAGAGUGCGAGGAAGCAUUUGGGCAGCUGAAGGAAUAUCUAAUCCGUGCCCCGUUGCUAUCAACUCCGAGAGCGGGUGACCAGCUGUUUCUGUACUUAGCAAUCUCUAAAUGGGCUACCAGCUCAGUUUUGGUCAGGGAAGAAGAAGGAAAGCAACACCCGGUAUACUACACAAGCAAGGCCCUGGUAGACGCAGAAACCAGAUAUCCAUUGCUGGAGAGAUGGGCGUUGGCUCUAAUAACAGCAGCACGAAAACUCCGACCAUAUUUUCAGGCCCACCAGAUUGUUGUGAUGACAGACCAGCCCCUUCGUCAAACGCUUCAAAAACCAGAUGCAUCCAGUCGAUUAGUAAAAUGGUCCGUGGAGCUAAGCGAAUUUGACCUAUCCUACAGGCCCCGAGGAGCAAUCAAAGCUCAAGCUCUGGCAGAAUUUAUGGUAGACCGAGCUGAACCGGGGGAAGAAAUUCGGGAGGAGCAACCGAUAGAACAGGAGAAACCAGAGGGGGUGUGGCUGGUAAUGGUUGACGGAUCAUGUAGUGAGCAAGGACCCGGAACAGGAGUUGUAAUACGAACCCCAGAAGGAAUCGAAAUAACAUAUGCAGUGAAGUUCGAAUUUCAGCUCACAAACAACCAAGCUGAAUAUGAAGCCUUUAUCACCGGGCUCAGAGUGGCGCACACUUUAAGAGCAGAGAGGGUAGAAAUUCGAGCGGACUCCGAAUUAGUAUGUAAUCAGCUCAAUGACCAGUUCCAAGCAAGAUGAGAGAAGAUGGGCCUUUAUCUGAAGAAAGCAAAGCAGAUGGUUGAGCUUUUCCAAGAGGUGGAGGUGAAGCAGAUAUCUCGGAACGAGAAUUACCGAGCAGAUAUAUUGGCUAGGAUGCCUGCAAUUGCAGAUCCGAAAUUACCUAAGUCGGUUCCACUAGAGGUAAAGACCUCGCCAAGUAUAGGAGAGGAGAUAGAGGUGAUGAGAGUAAGCAUUGUAGAAUCAUGGAUGGACCCGAUUCGCGCAUAUAUCCGGGAUGGAAUCUUACCAGAGGACAAACGGCAAGCCAGGAAAUUAAAAUGCCGAGCAGCGAGGUACACUUUACUAGAUGGAGUGCUGUAUCACCGAGGGUUCACCUUGCCCCUUUUGAGAUGUGUGGAUGAUGAGGAGGCAGAUUAUAUACUGAGGGAGAUUCAUGAAGGAAUAUGCGGCAAUCACUCGGGAGCAAGAACUUUAGCCAUCAAGGCACUCCGGCAAGGAUACUUUUGGCCAACUAUGCACCAGGAUGCGCAAAGGAUGGCAAAGAACUGUAAAACCUGCCAAAGCUUCUCUGAGGUUCCUGCACAACCCCCAGAAAAGCUGACCACUAUGACAUCCCCGUGGCCUUUCGCUCAAUGGGGAAUCGACUUGAUUGGUCCGUUACCUAAGGGCCGAGGAGCGGCGACACAUGCAAUUGUGGCAAUAGACUACUUCACUAAGUGGGUAGAAGUGGGAAGCCUCAGCCAAAUCACUGAGAGGAAGACAACAGAUUUUAUUUGGAGGAAUAUCAUCUGCAGAUACGGGAUCCCCUAUGCCAUCAUUACAGACAAUGGGAGACAAUUUGACAACAACAACUUCAGGGAAUUUUGCCGAAAUAUGGGGGUGGACCUGAAGUUCUGCACCCCCGCACACCCCCAGGCAAACGGACAAGUGGAAGCAGCCAAUAAAGUAAUAAAGAAGCUCUUGAAAACUAGAUUGGGAGAGAAGAAGGGAGCCUGAGUUGACGAACUACCAGGAGUAUUGUGGGCCUACCGGACAACUCACAAAACCGCCACAGGGGAAACCCCGUUCGCUUUAGCCUUUGGUCAUGAGGCGGUAAUCCCAGCAGAAAUCGAAGUGGGAACACAUCGAACAGAAUAUUUCGCUGAGGAGCAAAACGACGAGCAGAUCUGCUUAAGCCUGGACCUGCUGGAGGAGAAAAGGGAAGGGGCCUAGCAGAGAGUGGCCCAAUGUCAGCAACGGGUCAUGCGCUAUUACAACAAGAAUGUACGCGUGAGGCAGUUCCGAGCAGGAGAUUGGGUACUUAGGAAGGUGAACCAAAACACCAGGGAUCCUAACCACGGUGCUCUUGGCCCAAAAUGGGAAGGUCCGUACAGGGUGAUACGAGCCACUGGACCAGGAGCUUAUAAGUUAGCGCACCAAGAUGGACGAGACGUGAAGAGGUCAUGGAACGCCGAGCACUUAAAGAAGUAUUUCCAGUGAGCAAAGUGCUCUACUAAAUCUUCAUUUUGACAAGUUAUUUGUGUUAAUUGCAUGAUGUCUUGUUGCACAUGUAUGUAUUCAGUAUUUUUGUAAUACAUUCAAAUUCCGAAUAAAGAUGAAUUCAGCAUGAAAUCCCCCUGUUAGCAAGCCCAACAAAAAUUUUACCAAGGCAAGCAAAUGCCUACUUCUGCUCGGUCAAUGAAAGACCAGCGGCUAAUUUUACGAGAAAUUUACCAAGGCAAGCAAAUGCCUACUUUUGCUCGAUCAACGAAAGACCAGCAGCCAAUCUACUAAGGCAAGUAAAUGCCUGCCUCUGCUCGGUCAACGAAAGACCAGCAGCUAAUCUACUAAGGCAAGAAAGUGUCUGCCUCUGCUCGGUCAACGAAAGACCAGCAGCUAAUUUUACGAGAAAUUUACCAAGGCAAGCAAAUGCCUACUUCUGCUCGAUCAACGAAAGACCAGUAGCCAAUCUACUAAGGCAAGUAAAUGCCUGCCUCUGCUCGGUCAACGAAAGACCAGCAGCUAAUCUACUAAGGCAAGAAAGUGUCUGCCUCUGCUCGGUCAAACGAACGACCAGCAGCUAUUCUACUAAGGCAAGUAAAUGCCCGCCUCUGCUCGUUCAACGAAAGACCAGCAGCUAAUCUACUAAGGCAAGAAAGUGCCUGCCUUUGCUCGGUCAACGAAAGACCAGCAGCUAAUCUACGAAGGCAAGUGAGUGCCUGCUUCUGCUCGGUCAACAAAAGACCAGCAGCUAAUCCUACGAAAAUCCUACUAAGGCAUGAAAGUGCCUACUUCUGCUCGGUCAACGAAGGACCGGCAGCUAAAUUUAUGAGACUUUUGCUAAGGCAAAUAUGUGUCUGCUCCUGCUCAGUCACCGAAGACCAGCAGGCAAUUUUGCGAAAAUUUUUACCAAGGCAAACAGAUGCCUAUUCCUAAUUCGAUGCACUAAAGAACCAACAGGCGAAACCAGACAAGAAAGCCAAUAGAGAGCAUUUAAAAAAUUUUAUAAGCGUUCAAAUGUUUACAAAGCAAAUGAAAAACUAGAGUCUUUACAAAAAUAGACCUAAGGAUUAGGAGGAUCAACGGCCUCAGCAGGUGAAGGGUCAGCUAUCUCGGGAGGUAGAAGAUCAGCAAUAUCGGGAGGAGGAGGCACGGACCCCUGCCCCACUUCAAAAACACGCUGCCCAGCUUCUCCCUCCUGCACCCCAUUCAAAGGAACCUCCACCUGCUCCUGCUCAUCUUGCUCCUUAUCUCCCUAGCCGGCCCCAGCCAUAUACCUCUCCACCCCAUAUUCCAGCUUGCUCAUGUCGAGCUCGGGGUAUUCUUCCUUGAGUACAGACAUGAUGCACUUAUAGCUGAAAGCAACCCCGGAGUUAUACUCAGCAUCCAACCGAUCAUCCACAUCAGCGGAUUUGCCUUUCUCUUCAGCCAGCUGGUCACUCAGGGAUUUGAUCUCUCCCUCAAGGGCGGUCCUCAGAGUAUCUCUUUCACUUUGAGUAGCCUGAAGAUCGGACUUCAGAUCACCCAGCUCACCCUCAAGCUUGGAGGAAGUAGACUCAGCAAUCGCAACUUUCUCCUCAAGCUCCGUAAGCUGCUUGUUCAGCUCGGCCAGCUUCUCCUUGGACCAAUCAGCAGAUUCGACUUUCUUUUUCAACUCCUGGUUAUCAGCUUGAAGCUUCCUCUCAUGACGCGCGGACCCGGUCUUGUAGCACGAGACCAUUGUGGCCAGCCUGAAGGAGACUCUUUGAACAGAAGCAGCUAACUCGGAGAGGUUCAUGCUCUCGAUGUCCUUCACCAUCAUAGGCCCAACCGAUUUUUUGUAAUCUUUCUGAUAUGGGCUCAGGUAGUCACCUUGAUCCCGAGAUGGAAGAGGAGAAGAUCGGUCCCCAAACUGCAAGCUGACCUCAGGACUCUUGUCGGAGGUUUUCUCCCCACCACUCUUACGGGAUGGGGGAGGGGGCAGAACAGGGACAGGAGCCUUGGAGGGGCCGACGCUGUUCUUCUUUGGAGGAGGAGGAGGGUUACUGGAGCUGCUUGGAGCCCGACCACGCUUUCGGGAUAGAGUGCUAAGAAUCUUAUUAUCCAUUCCGGCAGCUAUGUCCACCAAACCCGAACCAACCAGGGCUGUCGGUGACAGGAGAUCUUGGCAGGCAGAUGCGUUCACCAGAGCAGUUUCCACCUGGAGCAGAGGUCGGACUUCAAGCCCCUUUAUCAAACCCCACGACUCUGAAAGAACAAACAAGGUUAAAGAACCCAAUAAGUAACAAGUCGAGAAAGAGUAUAUGCAAAAAAUGAACGACCUGGGGUGACAAAAUGUGUUGGAAGAUAAAUAUCACCACCCAACGAAUGAGCUGCUGGACACCAAGCUCCCCCAGCAAAGAAGAAUUUGUUCUUCCAAUUUUUGCACGAGGAGGGGAAGCCGGUGAUUGGUUUCCUCUUCGCAGAGCUCGACAUGAAGUAAUACCAGCCUGCUUCCUUCGGGCUACUCCUCAGCUGGUAUAGAUGCUUCACUUCAACGAGGGAGGGCUCCUCUGAUCCACACCUCUUCCACAACACAUACAUAGCCGAGAGAACCCUCCACCCAUUGGGAUGUAGCUGACCUGGGGCCAGGUGCAUACCACCCAAUAUCUUAGCAAAAUAACGUUGAAGGGGCAGCCGAGCUCCUAAUUUGAAGCUCUCCAGGUGCAUCGUCACAUACCCCCGCGGAGGUCGACUAGGGACAUCACCUUUUCCUGGAACUACCAGGAGAAUCUCCGCAGGAAUGUCGUAAAGGUUCCUCAGCUUGAAUAGAUUAGUUUGGGUGGUGGCACAAGCUGUGUAGUUAAUAGGGUAAGAAUCCGCCUCUACCCUAUGACCAAGGUGCCUUUUCUGAGGAGGUCCGCUCGGUCCGGAGCUGCUCCCCUCACCAUCACUAACUCCUUCAGGGAUCCCAACCCCAUCAAAGCUGUGGUUCUCACCAGAGCCCGACGCAGGUCCACCUCUAUUCCCUACAAGCUCUAGUUCGGGGGAGGGAGAGACAACCAAAGGGCGUGGGUACUCAAGGGUAUCCCUGCCAUGGGAAGGACCUACACUACUGGAGGGACCUAAGAAAUCGGUGGGUAUUGGCACGUUGAGGCCCGAAUCCCCUGAUUCUUCCUCGCCCUCAUCAACAAUUAACUUUCUUUUCCGGUUUCACAUAUCGGAAUCCCAAAAGAAAGCAAAGAAAACUCGAAUAUACGGAUACAAAAGGGGGCAACACGGAACCCAAUCAACAAUAACCAGAGAAGAGAUUAAAAGCAGUACCUGAGAUUAACUGGCCCUGAUAGCGCUGCCGUGACAGAGAAAAAACCAGCAAGUAGAAACUCCAGACGCAGGAAGUGUGAGUAAAGUUCAGAGAGGAGGCUGGUUAACGGUGGAGAAACGGAUAAACAAAGCAAUGAGGAUUUCAACCUAGGGAUUUGAAGUGAAAAGGGAAAAAAUAGAAGCAUUUAAGCGAUGAGGAUGCCAGCUCACUCACCACAUAUCGAGGGUGGAUAGCCCGUCGUUUCAAAUUUCAAAUACGAAGAGUCUGGUGAUGCCACGUCACUAACCGUUACAAGAGGCCAGGAUAGAUGUAAGCCCAGAUAUGCAAUGGACAUGUUCACUUAGGCCCAUGCUCAGGUCGAAGUCUCCCCAGAAGAAAAAUGGUACAUCAGGUCAGGCCCGUCCCAAUAAACAGAGGACCAGAUGAGAAGCUCCCCGGGUUGGUGAGAUUUGACCAUCAGUUUCUACUCUUAACUCAUUUCACUCGCCAGACCAGAAACUGGGGGACUGGUGUUGAGUACAUAAAAGCCCCAGGUCGGCCAUGCUACUAUUUCCACCCCGGCAUGGAUCACCUCGGCCAAAUGGUAUGAGCAGAACGCGGGAUGAACACGAGCCAACCAGAGACGAGUACCGGCCAGGGUAAUGUACCGACCGGAAUCUUAUACCGAGCCGACACCAAUUCCCCAAAAAAGCGGGAACACGAUCCCACAGAAUCACGGUAGUUGCGCUUUUCCCAGAACCGUUGUGGGAGAUGCGAGAUCCCACGUUUGCCCACAAUGUAGCAGUUAAAAUCCCAUGAGAGGCUACCACUACCCGAGAAAGGGGGGGAAUGAAGGGUGAGUGAAAACGUGGGACAGCGGCUAUAAAAGAAGAAGAAACCGAUGAAGAAAGGGACAAAAAAAUUGAGAGAGGGAAAACGCUGCCAAAUUGCAAUCAGGCCAUUUUCUUACAAGACUCCGAAUAAUUUAGAAACCAUUUUUAGAUCUAAAUUGCAAUGUUUUCCCGUAAACACCUUGAGCUAACUUAGGCAUCGGAGGGUUUACGCCGGCAAAACCACCGGCGACUCUGAUCCGUUUUUGGUGAACGUAGGUCUAGUAAGAGAAAGGAGGGUGAUUCCAGCCUCAGAGGUUCGCGCAACAGUUGACAACAUAAACGUUGGUGAAAGAAUCUGGUCGGUCAAAAGGCGAGCAGAUUUAAGCAUCAACAGUUUCCUCUAAUUUAGAUAUUUUUUUUUUUACAUCUCUCUUUCUAGUUUGAUAAUUUAGGGUUAUACUUGAAUUAAUUGUAUUUUUAAUCAACCAAGGUUGAUUUAAUUGAUUCCAAGUCUCAAUUUCCUGUUCAACAAACAAGGAACGCACAAAUCAUUUUCAUUUUCAUACUCAAUUUUGAAAGAAUUAAUUUAUUUUAUCUUUGGUUAGUACACUUUUGUUCAAUUUUUGUUUAUUUAACUUAAGAUAUAGAUUAUAUUGAGAACAGAGCUUUCUCCUUAAUUCCGCCAAGAGCAACGUUGAUUUCAGGUGAUAAUUGUGUAAUAUUUUCAAUUGAAAUUAAUUGAGUCUCGUAAUAAUAAUAGGGAUUUGAGAUUUACAUCCUGUUGAAAUGAUUUUAGAGUGUUAUUUGAAUGCGCAUUAAUUGUUUGAUUAAAUGUCUCUUUAAAAGAUUAUUUUUAUUUUUAGCAAACAUCUUAAUGCACUUUGCAAAUUGAAUCCAACAAGGGAAAAUUAUAGAACUGCAGCAGUUUUCAAAUUGAUUGCAUAUUAGAAGUAAUGUUAAUUUAUGCUGCAACAGUUCAAUGGGCUGGGCACAAGUUUAGGACUUUAGUUGCUCAAUUAAUGAAUCCACCACUCAUCAGACUUGGAACUUAUAUCUAUUGAAUCAAUAAAAAUAGUUGAUGGAAUCAAUGCCGAAAGCUUCAUUUGAUAUUUAUUUAUAACAUCUGUUAGAUUCUGGACAAUCACAAAGAUAUAGUAGCAGAAACUAUGUUAGAGACACUAUAGUUGCUUAAUUAGUGAAAUUGUGCUCUCAUUGCCCCCUUUUUUUGGUUGAUUCUAUAAUCUUAUUAGUUGUUCUUGUGGUUGUAAACAAUAUCAAUUUCUAAUAUUAAUAAAACUGAAUGAAUAAAAUGUGAUGCAUUUGCAGGAAAGUUAAUAGUUUAAAUAUGGAUAAAUCUUGGAUGUUGGUGGAUAGAAGGUCUGUAGAAUAUGAGAACACGGUAAAUGAGUUUCUCAAGUUUGCAGUACUUCAUGCUAGUCAUCCUGAGCUUUUGAGAUGUCCAUGCCAGGCAUGUCUUAGUUUUUAGGCUCAAACAAUUAAGAGUAUAGAAAAUGCAUGAUAGAACACAGAACUCAUAUUUUAGCAACAAUCCUCAGCUCACUGGCCCUUAGUUUAGAAUGACAAUUCUUAUUAGCCAAAGAUUCAAAAUGAUUUUUAGUUGUUUAUAAGUAGAGCACUAGAUCAACAAAUAAUUGAAGACCUGCAGCUUGGCUAUUGAACUAUAAGAUGAUGGCAAUUCGAAGACUAUAACUUGGCUCUGCCAUUCGAAGUAAGCAACGCAGCUGCCCAAAGUCUGCCAAGCCAUCAAGACUAAGUAUACUUCAAAGCUACAUCCAGACAAUACUAAGGGUGCGUUUGGGAUUGAGGUUGGGUAGCUGUAGCUUAAAAGCUACAGCACUAAAGUGUUUGGUAAACACUAACUGCUGUAGCUUUUAAGCUAUAUUGAUAUAAUUUUUCACUUGUAUAAUACAAAAUCUAUUAUAUCUUUAAUAAUUUUAUCAAAAUUAUUAUUUAAAAUUUAUAUUUACUAUAUAUUAUUAACUUUUGUUUCAUAAUUACAGUUUUUUUUUCACAGCAGCUGUAGCUUAAAAGCUACAGCACCUCAAUCCCAAACGCACCCUAAGAUACAACAUCAAUAAUAAUAACAUCAAGAAAUACAUGGAGGCCAUUACAUGUUACACCCACCCCAAUAAGAAAAAUACAGUCCUAGAAAUUUACAAACCCGUGCAGCAGGAAUAACCAAUUAAUUUAUACAGUUCAAUACUCGUUCCUCUGUUUCAAAUCCAAAUACACUGGUCUACUAUUCAUUAUGACAAUGCAUAUGCCGAUAUUGUCUUCCAUCCUUUUUGUACCUUUCAAUUUAGUGAGGUUUAGACAGGGGUUCCAGAUUUGGUAAAUCAACAAUCACCAGAUAUGUAGAGCGGCCGGAAGAGGAAGCAUGGUUCCUAAUCCUAAUCUUGAUUUAGAGCAGAUUAGGUAACACGUGGCAUUCUACAUUCUUGCAAUGCCAUUUCUUGUUAUGGCAGCGGCAUUCUUGGUCAUGGCAUCACAAGCAAAUGCUUUGAUUUGAAGACUUGCUUGGCUAUGAAAAAUAAGGAGAGCAAAGGUAGUUAAUCUUGGUGUGAUCAACAUUUUUAUGGGGUUACUAAGAAAAAUAAAGAUAAUAUAAGGAAUGUUGUUGAGGAGUAUUUUCAUAUUUACACAAGUGUUCAAAGUAAAAAUUGAUUUCUUAAAACCCAUUAGCUAGCGCACAUAAUAAUGGGGAGACAAUUUUAGACUACGAGUGGUCCCACCCAUUUAAUAAUAUUCUUCAAUCAAUUAUGUUUACUUCAAAAAAAAAAACCCCAUCUCUUUAUUACUUUCUAACUAUUCAUAUUAAUGUGUUAAUAAUUAUGAAGAAACGGUGUAAUUUAUAUGAUGUAGGAAGCACUUUAGGCAAAAUCAUUUGAAUCUCAAAAUUUCGUGAUAUUGUGCCAAAUAUCCAAAACAGAGCUUCCUACAUUUCAUUGCGCUAGCUAAUUUCUUGUACCAAAAUUAGGAAUCACUGAAAAAUAGAGUUACGUGACUGAAUAGUAUCAUAUCACAGAAACUCAAAACUCAAAAGUGCAAUAACAUUGAACAUUCAGCUGGCUAGCUUAUAUUAAUUAAUUAAUACUACUACUAGUUCUUUAUGAUUAAUUAAAAGAUAAAAUAUUUGACAAUCACAAAACAUUAUUCUAUCACUGAAGAGUAGAGCUUCCUACAUUGUUACCCAAGCUCUUUUAUAUCUCCCAAACAUUAUUAGAGUCCCACAUUUGUGGCACAUCAUUAAGUAAAAUGUGCCAAUUAGGAAGAGCUGGCUUCUUUGUUUUGUUUUCUUGGAUGUGUUGCAAUUUUCAAGUAUCAUUCAAAAUUUUACGCCAUCAACACAGGAAAAUUAUAUAUAUUCUGUCAGCACUUGCAUAUGUUGCAAGUGCUGACAGAACUUUUCAUUUGAUUUGAUAAUUGGCUAAGGGUGAUUUCGAUAACGUUUCCAAAGAAGAUAUAGAACAUAGAUCAAAAAGAAAAAUAAGUAAUUUGAUCAGUCGAUGCAAAAAAUGAGCGAGCUUCGUAGUCUGACUAACAGGACAUGGCUUGGAGCAAGGAUCAAUGGACAAGUUUGAGGUUUAUGAAAUAUUGGGAAAAGAGACAAAUAAUAAAGCCACUACAAGUUAAGCAGAUCAAAUAAACAGAACAGAGGAAAUAAGUGAUCAAUUUAUUACUUUGUGCAAUGGCCACAGCAACAGCGAAAAUAUGUCUACAUGACUACAUUAUCCGACUGGCAUGGUACUAUAACCGUGCAGCAUUACACUAACAUUUCCUUAUCAAUCAAUUUUGAUGGUAUGAUAUUAAAAACAUCGAUUUCAUAAUUUUAUGUAAUUCAAGAAUAUGACAGCUGUGUGUUGUCGUCUGGAUCACAUGUUCUUCACGUGAUUUCAUUUACCCUAUACGGCACAUUUGUCAGUCGUUUUGGUCACUCAUUGAAGCACGAAUUAAGGACGUCAUUCAAGGUUGUUAAUUGACCUUUACAAGGCGGAAAAAUUCUGGGUUUGUUUUAACAAACCCUGAAUGCAGCUUGUGAGUGGGGGGAACUUUCUAGAUUCUUCAUGAUCUGUAUAUAUAGUCUUAGAGGCUACAGUUGAGACAUAUGAAAAGCUUGUAACUUCUUCUUAAUGCUUGUAGUUUGAUCUCGGUGAUGGAGAUAAGAUUGCUGCUCUGUUCUUCACUUGAUAUAGGCUAUCUCCAAGCGGAACCACUUAAAUUGUGCCUCUGUUUUGCUUGUUUCAGUUGUUAUUCUUGUGAGGUGUGUGAUUUGCUUGUCAUUUCUAAAUCAUCAAUUAGAGAGUUUAGUGAGUUUAAUCGAUCAAGAAUCAACAAGAUGCUAUGAAAACAAAAUAUAUACAAAACUUAUAUCUGGUGGUUUGUCAAACGUACAGAGAAGAGAGCAAACUGUGGCAGGAUAGCAAAUACUGCGAAUGGUCAUUCUCAACACGAACGCCUAUGGCUGUUUUCCUUUUAAUUUUCUUCUUUGAAUUCUCCUUUUAUUAAUCAUUAGAAAAACUCCCUUUUUUAAAAUCAUGUGUUAUAAACAUUUACAUGGUUAAUGUCAUCGAAAUCAAAUGGUUGUUAUCUACGAAAAAGAGAAUUGCUAGAAAUUUUGUUAGUCCCAUUGCAACAAUAUAUUGUUAUAAAUUGCAUUGUUUCCCAUAUAACAAAUAUAAUAAAAUCUCAAUAAAUUAAUAGUUUUGGGGAUCAUAAAAAAAAUUAUUAAAAUUUAACUAAUAUCAAUUAAUUGGCAAAUUAAUAAAUUAUUAAUUUAUGAAAAUAUUCAUUAUUUUAGAAAAACAUGAUCACGUUUUUAGUAUUGAUUUACCUUGAGCUAGUAUCUAUUAUGUUUUAAUUGGUCCCAAUAAUAGUUUAAUUGUAAAUAAUUAAAUAUAUCAGUAAUGAUUUUUAAAAAAGAUCACUAGCAUCAGAUUAUUGGGCGGUAUUAAGGAGAAGUUAUGCUUAGUAUUUAUAAUUUAUGUAAGAUGAAUUUGUAAGACUUAUUAAUUUCUAUUAAAGAGUUUUUCAGUUAUUAAUUCAUUAAGUUAACUUGAAGUAUUAAUAUUUACUAAUUGUGGUGAUUAAUUCAUUAAAUUAACAUGUCAUAAUUUUCAAUGAAGAAUGAAGUUCAAUCAAUGUACAAAAAAAAGAUAUAUAUAUAUAUAUAUAUAAGAUUUUAAUUCCUAGUUUGAUUUAACUUUGUUUCGGUUAUUGACAUUGCUGAAGAGGCAGUAAAAGCUUGUUGAAUGUCAUCAAAUGCACAAAUUGGCAAUAUCGGUUGGCUUCUUUAUAGGCGCAUCCAUCACAAAAUGAAAGUAACAACAACCACCAUCGAAAAUUAAUUUACCUGAAAUCUUUGAAAAGAAAAAUUAACCUGACAUUUAUUGAUUUAUUUUUUUGGGGGCAAAGAAAGAACGGAACAGAAUUAUGAGUUUUGGAAAGCAGAAUGAGAAAAUUGAACAGAUGAGAAAAUGGAUAAUUAAGCAGAAUGAAUUUGCGACUGUGACGGGUCUGGUCCAGCAAGCUUAGUAGAAAUUACGCGCUGAUACUUCAUUGACCAAUGACUAAUAAUUUGGCAAUUCACCCAUCACCAGCACUUGGUAAGCAAAACGAAAAUGCUUAGUAAGUGUCAAGGGUCAAGCAAGAUACGACGUAAAAUGAGGCAAGUCUCCCCACUUGUUGUUCCUUGCAGCUAAGAAAAGAAAAACAGAGCCCACCACCCAUUAAUAAUUUAGCAAUUCACCAAUCACCACCACUUGUUACGAAAUUCCAUUAGGUAUUCGUAUGUCAAGCAGUUAAUCCAGUGUCUAUUACCUAGAACCUUCACUUUACAAAUCUUCAUCUCAAAUACCAAGUUAAAUCAAAACGUUUCUCUCUCACUCUUUCCUUUUAAACUCCAAAAACGUUUCUUUUUAGAAAUAUUUUACUUUAUUCAUGUAAUAUGUUGUCUAACAAAUAGACACAAUUGAAAUCACUCUAAAGUGCAAAUAAAAAAAUAAAAAAAAUCCAAUCACCAGUAAUUUAGCAGGCUUCACUUUAUUCCACCAAAGUGUAAAUAAAACCAGGCCUCACUGCCAUUAAUAGUUUUACAAGCUUCACACGCUUGUUGUUGUGUCUGCUUGACGAACUGGACAUGGGUGCAUCAAGAAUCAAUGAAAGAAUUUAAAAAAAAAAAAAACUGCACAUUUUCGAUUCAGAGUAGAACGGUAAUUAAUGCUAAAAUUUACUCCGCUAACGUUUUCAAGAUAUUGUUCUUUAUAAUUCUACAGCAAAUAAGACUAAGUUUUGGACAUUUUCAAAUUCACUACUUUCACAAGCAAUAUUUUGAAACAUUUUACAGAAUUAGCGAUUAUAUAAAGAGAAAAGUGCAAAGUUGCGUAAUUCUAAUGUGCCUUUGGAUUUAACCUGAAAUGAUCCGAAGGCCAGAAAUUGUAACGGCGGGCUUAAAUGUCAACACGCCAAGACAGUUAAUAGCAGCUAAAUUGGAAAAAAAAAAAAAAGGCAAUAGAAGUAUAGAUGGAGCAAUUUUUCGCUUAGGUCAUAGGUGCAAGAUGAAACUAAAAAAAGGUGGCAGGCAAUUUUAUCACAGAUGCUCAUGAUCGUUUUUUGUUUGGGUCGUCAACUCGCCAUGAGCCAUGAUUGAAUUAGAGUGUCUAGAAAGAAAAUUAAUAAAUAACGGUUUAUAUAUUUGGUCGUCGGAAUAUUGUAAGUGAGAAAGAUUAUCUUGUUUUUUUAUUAAUUAAGAUUAAGGUCAACUUACAAUUUUAUUUUAUUUUUUUAUGAUUUUCAAUCUUUACCAAAAGAAAAAUAUUUAGUGAUCCCUUUUAUCAACUUGCUUUUAUUGACUUUCUUCCAAUAAUAGAAGUGAAAAGAGAAACAGAGGCCACCACCACCAAGUGUUACCGGAUUCUAUAAAGACAAAAUCAGUGCCCAGCAAAAAGAAUCCAACUUUUCGUUAUGUGUUGCUUCCUAUUUAGUACAUGCACAUAUAGAUAUAAGAUAUCCACAUGCAUAUGCAGCGCGUCUAUCUAAAAUUUGAAAAACAGAAUUAGAAACCUUCUUGAAUAGGAAUAGAAAUACUCUCUAAUACUUCCUAAAAUAAUUAACCCUAAAUAAUUUGUCCUGCAUCACCAAACUCCGGAUUUUACAAAGCACGCAUAAAGGAUAAUAGACACGUUUGAGGUUUUUUUUUUAAAAAGAAAAAAAGAUUAUGAAAAUAGACAAAUAAUGAAGACACAAGUUAAGCAGAGCAAAUAAACAGAGGAGAAUGAAUUCAAUACUAUCCUUGAGAACUCAAUUCUUUAAUAAACUCAAUUUUUUAAAUGUAAUUUCUUUUUGGGGGUUAAACUCAUGUCAUAGACUGUAGUCUUUAAUUUGGGUUUGUUGUAUCAAUUUUUUGGAGUUUAUCUUGUUUUAUUUUUUCGUUUUUAUAGUGCAAGAUUUUCGGUGGAGAUAAAUCAGGAAUAAGAGUGAAAUCCCAAUCUUAAAAUUUGGGAGAAAUGAAAUGCGAUAUGUUUUUUCAUGAAUAAAACAAUUCAAUUUGAUUGAUUUUUGAGAAAUUAUAAAGGAAUUAAUACAAGUAAAGUGAGCCUAUUCAUUUGAUUUGAUAGUUGGCUGAGGGUGAUUUCGAUAACGUUUUCAAAGAAGAUACAGAACAAAGAUAAAAAAGAAAAAACAAUUAAUUUCAGUCGAUGGAAGAAAUGAGCAAGAUUCGCACAUGCAUGCAUGCAUCUGACUAACAGGACAUGGCUUGGAGCAAGGAUCAAUGGAAAAGUUUGAGGUUUAUGAAAUAUUGGGAAAACAGACAAAUAAUAAAGCCACUCCAAGUUAAGCAGAUCAAAUAAACAGAACAGAGGAAAUAACCGAUCAAUUCUUUGUGCAGUGGCCACAGCAACAGCGAAAAUAUGUCUGCAUGACUACAUUAAUUAGAAACAUUGAGUUCAUAAUUUCGUGUAAUUUCAUGUACUAGAUAUAUAUAAUUGAUUUGAGUUAGUUUAACAUCUAAAGAAAGAGUAAUGGGGAAUGAUGUCGAUGUGGCAUCUGAUGAGUAAUGAUAGACAAUAAAUACUGAUCAUGUAAGAAUGAAGUCUGUAUUUACUGAAAAAUAUUUGGUAAUAAAAUGAUGCUUUAAAAAUUUAAUAUUAGUUGCAACAAAAUAAAUUGGCAAUUAAAAUUAAUAUAUAUGUAUCCAAUGCUUCGAGUUUAUUUUAUCACUUCGCUAACAAUUUUGUAACUACAUUUUAAUUAUAAUGUGGAAAGGAGAUUUGAUUUUUGUAUUUAAAAAAUUAGGAAUGAAACAAGUCAAAAUCAAUCACAAGAACAACAAUAAGAGCAUAUUUUAUAAAAACCACAAAUACAUAAUAUAAAUUUAGUUUCGAAUUAAGUAAUUAUUAAUUUGCAUAGUAAGAGAGUCUUAUAGAAAAAUAGGAAUUUUUUUAAAAGAGAUUUGCUUAAGGAACAACUUUAGUUUGGUUUAGUUUGUGAAGGCUCAAGUAAUUGAAAGCAAUGCAAUUGAAGGAAAUACAAGCAUGUGUCUAAUUAGCAAAUGAAUUUCACUUUAACAAAGAAUAAAAGCUAAUUUCAUUGAUGGCAUAUGUUGUGCUUUCUUUUAUUUUAUUUUAUUUUUUUUCCUUUUAGUUAUUGAGGUUACUUUGCAAACUGCUCCAAGCUAAAUACAAAAUUUACUCUUACACUAGGAUCUUUGCAAUGGUCCUGCAAUUUGUAUUCCUUUUGGUCAGAUUGGUUUUCUUAUUUAAAUAAAAUUUCAGGGAUGGGAAAUCUUAUCCAUUGAAUAUCAACUUUGAAUUUUAUUAACAUUCAAACUUAGAAAGUACUUCAGGAACAAAGUGCAUUCAUAGCCGAUUAAACUAUGUCUAGCUACUACAAUGCAAGUUUCACUUUUACUUAAUUAAAUAUACAAAAUUAAAUCACAUGAGCUUGUCGUUUCAUUAUACGUCAAAUUAAAAUUAAAACGCAGAAUUGACGGUAUUGGAGUUUCAUAUUUAAUUUUUCUGUACUCAUGGGGAAUCAGAUGGCCAUCCAUUUUUACGUCUAUUUUAUGUCCAUCCCCACUAAGUAGCUUGGUCAUAUACAAUAUAGAAAAUGCAUGAUAGAAAAUGCAUGAUAGAAUAGAGAACUCAUAUUUUAGCAAUAAUCCUAAGCUCACUGGCCCUUAGUUCAAACUGGCAGUUCUUAUUAGUCAAAGAAUCAAAUUGACUUUUAGUUGUAUAUAAGUAGAGCACUAGAUCAACAAAUAAUUGAAGACUUGCUUGGCUGUGGAACCAUAGGAAGGCAAUUCGUGAACAUCCUUGAUAUUUCGUUUGGUUUUAUUUAAUUCUUUGUAAAGUUGUAUUGUAAGUAAAAUUUUUGUUAAAUGAAAUCCGUAGGUGAAGAGAAUUUUUAAAAGCAACCAUCAAAGUCACGAUCAAAAGGAAGAAAUCAGUAUAAAUAUUGAUUGUCUCAAGUUAGAUUAUACAAAGAUGAAAUAAUGCUAAUCUAAAAAAUUCGAUGAUUAUAAUUUGAUUUCCAUUAUAUUAAUUAUAUUCAAUCAUGCUCUUUAAAUGAAGAACACUCUAGCAUUUAUAUACACUCAGCUUAUGAAAUUAAUUACAAAACGAUCUUUGACAAAGUCUGAUGAAAAAAGUACAAAGUUAGACUUCCCGAUCAUGCAACCACCCAUCGAAUUGUGUAUUGUGUCAUCGUUGAGCUCUUAGAAGGAUUCAGCUGCUGAGGAGAAGAUAUAAUCUGUUUUUGUGUGAGAAGUUAUGUACUCUCCUUUUAUGGUGUUUCUCUUGGUAGUUGUCGGACAAACUGUAAUGUGAAUUUCUAUCUAAUGGGUAUCCUUUUAGUUAGUUUGGGAUUGUUGAUUUAUAUAUGAUGUUUGGUAUCUAAAAUUCAGAUGAUGAUAAUCUUGGCAGUACUUUUGUCAAAUUUUCUUGUGUUGUUGUUGGUUUAAUAAAAUAUCACAAAGGUGCAAAAUACAGUAAAAUUAACAUUGAGCUCAUGAGAUUGCCAUUAGAUAUAUUGAAAAAGAAAUUGACACAAGAAACUGAAAAUUAGUUGUUAAUUAUGAUGGGAAUAUAAUCUUGGUAUUUCAAUUAUAUCAUUUGUACUAAUCUCAUUUGUGUCUAUCAUAAAAGCAGAGUGGCUUGAUUGAAUAGUGUCAUAUUACGUCACAGCAAUCACAGAAACUCACCCAAAAGUGCAUGAGCAUUGAACAUUCAGCUAAUUUAUACUAAUUAAUUAAUAAUACUAACAAGAGUAGUUGGAUCUCGUCUUCUCUUGGAUAUAUCCAAUGACUUUGACUCAAAUAUGCUAUUGCAAGAGGAGAUUUCUAUUUUGUCUGAUUUAAGCCAUAAGACGCGUUUCAAGGUUCAUUCUGAUUGGUUAUCUGUUAGCUUUUUUGUUUUAAGAACUUCUUAUUUACGGAAGCAAAAUUCUCCUUUCCAGGAUGAUCUAGAUUUAGAAGUUGCUUUUGUCAUAUCAGACGAAGAGGCCAUCUUUAAGGCCUUGUCUAAGAUUGUUGAAUUUACUAGAAGGGACUACUGCUCUGAUUCGUCAAAACUACUAUGGCUGUCUUUUUCAUGAGCUUCUAAUAUAGAAUCAGUUUUAAUGGUAUGAUAUUAAAAACACCGAUUUCAUAAUUUUAUGUAAUUUCAUAGAAAAUAUAUAAUUGAUUUGAGUUAGUUUAACGUAUAAAGAAAGAGAGAUGGGGAAUGAUGUCGAUUUGGCAUGUGAUGCGUAAUAAUAGACACCAAAUAUUAAUCAUGUAAUAGUGAAAUAUAUAUUUGCUGAAAAAUAUUUGGCAAUAAAAUAAUGCUUUAAAAAUUUAAUAUUAUUUGCAAGAAAGUAAUUCGACAAUUAAAUGUAAAAGAUGUAUAUGCGACGCUUCAAGCUUAUUUUAUCACUUCAUUAGCCAUUUUGUAACAACAACUUUAAUAGAAGUUCAAUUAAUUCUGAUGCAUUCCAAAAAAAUUAGAGAUGAGGUAAGUUAAAAUCAAUUACAAGAACAACAAUAAGAAUAUAUUUUGUAAAACCCACAAAUAUAUAUAAUAUAAAUUUAAUUUCGAAUUAAGUAAUUACUAAUUUAUAUAGUAAGAGAGUCUUAUUGGAAAGCAGGAAUUUUUUAAAAGAGAUUCGCUUAUGGAAAAAGUUUAGUUUGGUUUAGUUUGUGAAGGCUCAAAUAAUUGAAAGCAAUGCAAUUGAAGGAAAUAUAAGAUUCUAAUUUUUUUAAAGUAAUCGCUAAAAUAUUUGACGAAUAGCUACAAGUUGGCAAUGCAAAUAAACGGAGGAAAACAGGGCAAAUAUUUACUUUCUUCCAAAAAUAAUAAAUGCACAAUCUGCUAUUACUACUAUAGAAUGUUAGCUACUAUAUAUGAGCACGUGUCCAGUUACCAAAUAAUUUCCACUUUAAAAAGGAAUAAAAGCUAAUAUCAUUGUUAGCAAAUUUUAUUUAUUUAUUACAAUUUUUUAUUAUCCUUUUUUUUUUUUGCGCUUUUAGUUAUAGGCCUAAAAAGAUAAAGCUAAAAAUCAAUCCCAAAUCUAAAGUGAAAAAUUGUGUCUAGAACAGAAUCUAUGUUUUGAUGUCUUUGUUUACAAGCUUAAACAAUUCAUAGUAUACAAAAUGCAUGAUAGAGAACAGAACUCAUAUUUUAGCAAUAAUCCUCAGCUCACUGGCCGUUAGUUCAGAAUGACAAUUCUUAUUAGUCAAAGAGUCAAAAUGAUUUUGAGUUGUAUAUAAAUAGAGCACUAGAUCAACAAAGAAUUGAAGACUUGCUUUUGCUAUUAAACCACGCGAUGGCAGUUCGAAGACUACAGCUUAGCUCUGCCAUUCGAAGUAAGCAAUUCAGCUGCCCAAAGACUCUCAAGCCAUCAAGACAAUACCAAGAUACAACAUCAAGAAUCACGUACAGACCGUCACAUAUUACAUUUGUCCUCUGUUUUAAGAGAGAUUUACGAGCCCAUGCAGUAGGAGUAAUUAAUUAAUUUAUACAGUUCAGUACUCAUUCCUCUUUCUUCUGUUUCAAAUCCAAAUCUAGUGCUCCAUCAUUUAUUAUGACGCAAGGUAUAUGGGUUAGCAUGUGUCGAUAUUGUCCUCCAUUCUUUGUGUACCUUUCUUCGAACAAGGGACAACCCGAGAUCUCUAAUCGCAAAAGGGAGGCAGGCAGGCCCUUCUCUGGAAAGUACUUGAGCUUGGGACAAUUACAGAGUUUAAUGAAAUGAGGUUUUGAUGAUCAACAAUUGAGGAAGACAGGCGUUCCAAAUUUAGUAAAUUAACAAUAACCAAAUAUGGUAGGGUGGCAGGCAGAGGAAGUGUGGUUCCUAAUCCUAAUCUUGAUUGAUAACUGGCUAUAAAACAUGUGGCAUUCUACAUUCUUGCAAUGCCAUUAAUUUCUUGUUAUGGCAGCAGCGUUCUUUCAUCAUGGCAUCACAAGCAAAUGUUUGAUUUGAAGACUUGCUUAGCUGAGAAAAAUAAGGAGAGCAAAGGUAAUUAAUUUUGGGGUGAUGAAUAUUUUUAUGGGUGUACUAAGAAAAAUAAAGAUAAUAGAAGUAAUGUUAUUGAGAAGCAUUUUGAUAUUUACAAAAGUGUUCCAAGAAAAAAGUUUUUUUUUGAAAUCUAUUUGCUGGUGCACAUAACAAAAGGGCAUUCUGAGUAAAUUUAAAACUACAAAUAGUCUCACUCUUUUAAUAAUAUUCUUCAAUUAAUUCUGUUUAUUUCAAAAUAAAUAUUCUAUCUCUUUAUUACUUUCUAACUAGUCAUGCUAAUGUGCUAAUAAUUAUGAAGAACUAGUAUAAUUUAUAUGAUAUAAGAACCCCUUUAGCACAUUAACCCGAAUUUAGCUAAUACAUGUGCCUAAUAUAGCGAAAUCAACAUUCAGCGCAUUAGAGUGCUAUUAUAUUUAUUGAGAAAGAAAUUAACACAAAAAACUGAAUAUUAAUUGACACUGGAUCAUGUUGGAUUGUCAGUUGUUAAUUAUGAUGGGAAUACAAUCUUCAUCAUUGCAGCUACUUGACUCAGAUAUGCUAUUGCAAGAGGAGAUUUCUAUUUUGUCUGGUUUAAGCCGUAAGAUGGAUUUCAAGAUUCGUUCUGAUUGGUUAUCUGUUAGCUUUUUGUUUUAAGAAGUUCUUAUUUACGGAAGCCAAAUUCUUCUUUCCAGGUUGGUUCAGAUUCAGAAGUUGCUUUUGUCGUAUCAGAAGAAGAGGCCAUCUUUAAGGCCUUGUCAAAGACUGUGGAAGUACUAGAAGGGACUACUGCGCUGAUUGUCUUUUUCAUGAGCUUCUCUUCCAUUUGAACAUGAGAAUAAUCAGAUGGUUGAUAUUUAUGUUACAAAAGUUGGAAGCAACUUAAGCAAUUCAGUAUCAUUGGAGGACUAUAAUAAUAAGCCGAUUCUUUUGCUUCUUGGAUUUUUUUGUUAAUUCACUCGCUGCAUGCUUAUCCCACCUCUGAUUUUUCUUAAUAUUUCUCUGUAGUUCACUUCACAGCACUUUAGCCGCUACAUUGGCAUUUUCUGCUAUUUGUUAUUGUUCAUUGAAGCAAGUUAGCUUAUGAGAUUGCUUUUUGGUAAAUGUUCUUCAGGGGGGUUGUGAAAGGCCAAAUCAACUGAGAUGACCGAGUUUUCUAGAUCAGCCAUCUCUGUCCUCAACAACUGUCAAUUACUGAGACACCAAACUCUAACCUGAUUCAUAUGGAUGUAGACUAAAGCUUCUUGCCGAUACCAUCCCCAGUCAAAGCUGCUAUCCUUGAAAGUUUUGCAAGAGAAAACAUGUCUGAGUCAGACAUUGACGUCCCCCCAAGCAUCAAACAGUAUAUCAAGAGCAAUGUUGGUUUCCCAGUCGAUACAAAUGCAGAAUUCAUAUAUGCAGAUUGCUCUCAAUCUCUGUUUAAUAAGCUAGUCCUCUGCUGUAUCCUACAAAGUGGAACAAUACAUUAUGCUUCCCAGCAGACUCCAAUGGGAAGUAUGUUUCUGCUGCCAAAUUUUUGAAAGCUAUCAUUGUGAAUAUCCCUCCCCAGUCUGAAGUGGGCUUUGAUACUUGUGACAAUACUCGAUCGAGACUGUAAAGAAGCCGUGGGUGUACAUUUCUGGUCCAACAAUCAAUCCAACUGGCUUGCUUUUACAGCAGGAAAGAGAUAGAGAAUAUAUUAACUGUUUGUGCAGAAUAUGGGGCAAGAGCUUGUUUAGUGUCGUGUCAAAAUAAAUAUAACAAAGUUUUAGCUGAAUAUAAAUUCGACUUAGUUAUUAUAGAUAUUUAAUAAAAUAAUAAAACGAUUAAUAUGUUACCUACAAUUUGGAGAAAUGAACUGCGAUAUGAUACUUCAUGAAAAAAAGAUUUAAUUUAUUAUUUCUACUAGUAAAACUAUUAAUUCAUCAACCCAUCAAGAUUUUUUUUCUUUUUUUCUUUUUUUCUUUUUUUUGAAUUCAACCCAUCAAUCUUUGUUUGUAACUGCCAGACCGUCAGUUUCUUAAGGCUCACGCAGUGCAAGGGUAGUGUAUCGUUUCUUUCUAACUGAAAUGGGAACUCGGAUGCUGAGAAAAUAUGCCUGCAUGACUUCAUUAAUCCAGCAGGCGUGGUACUAUCACUAUGCAACAUUACAUUAACAUUUCCUCAUCAAUCAAUUUUGAUGGUCUGAUAUUGAAAACGUCGAUUUCAUAAUUUUGUGUAAUUUCAUAGAAAAGAUAUAAUUGAUUUUAGUUAGUUUAACAUAUAAUGAAAGAGUAAUGGGGAAUGAUAUCACUGUGGCGUUUGAUGAGUAAUGAUAGACAACAAAUAUGGAUCAUGUAAUAAUGAAAUAUGUAUUUACUGAAAAAAAUUUGGCAACAAAAUGAUGCUUUAAAAAUUUAAUAUUAUUUGCUAGAAAUAAUUUGACAAUUAAAAGUAAAAGAUAUAUUUACAAUGCUUCAAGUUUAUUUUAUCACUUCACUAACCAUUUUGUAACUACAUGUUAAAUAGAAGUUCAAUUAAUUCUGACAAAGGUCUCUAGAAGAGAUUUGGUUUUUGUAUACCAAAAAAUUAGAGAUAAGAUAAGUUAAAAUCAAUUAGAAGAACAACAAUAAGGAUAUGUUUUAUAAAAGCCAAAAAUACAUAUAAUAUAAAUUUAGUUUUGAAUUAGUAAUUAUUAAUUUAUAUAAUAAGAGAGUCUUAUAGGAAAGUGGGAAUUUUUUAAAAGAGAUUUGCUAAGGAAAAAGUUUAGUUUGGUUUAGUUUGUGAAGGCUCAAAGUAAUUGAAAGCAAUACAAGUGAGGGAAACAUAAACUUCUAAUUUUUACAAAGUAAUCGCUAAAAUAUUUGACAAGUUUGAGAUGUUAAAAAAGCUGGGAAAAUAGACAAAUUAAUGAAGACCCUACAAGUUGGCAAAGCAAAUAAACAGAGGAAAACAUAGCAAAUAUUUACCAUUAUACAUAUAUAUAUAUAUAUAUUUUUUUGGGAAAAAGGAUACCGACACUUUUAAGGUUUAGGGAAAUGGUCACAAAUACACCUAAAUUUUCAUCAAGGGACACCAAGACCUCUUUUUAACUGUAAUGUCUUUUGUCUCUAUAAAUCCUAAGAAAAUGACGUCAAAAUUUUAUAAUAAAUAGACAUAUGGCAUAGAAGUAAAUGAAAUAACAUAUACAUCUUAAAAUAAUGUUAAUAUUGAAAGCUAUUUUUAUAUUUUACAAUCUAUUAGACCUAUUUUAUUAACUUAAAGUAAUUUUUAAUAAUAGAUAGAAACAUAAUAUUAAAAUAAAUAAGUUAAAAUUAAAAUUAUUUUGAAUAUUAUGUAAAAGUUAAUUUUAAUAUUAUUAAUAGGGAUUUUUUUAAUUGUAAAAUCUAUGUAACCCAAAGAUUUAUUUAAAAUCUUCAUAAUAUCACAAACAUAUUAUUAAAAUAAAUAUAAUAAUUUAAAUUUUUAAUAUUAUUUUAAAUGUAAAAAAUAAUGUAAUAUUAUUAGUCUACUAGAUAGAUUAUAUUAUUUAUAUUAAAUUUGUAUUAAUUAAAAAUCUUUAAGGUCAAUUUUUUAAUUACUAUAAUCAAAGGAUAUUAUGAGCAAAAAGGGAUUUUGGUGUCUCUUUUUAAAUAAAUAUCAUUUUCUCUUUUUUAUCCAAAAACAAAUGUUGCGAUUUUGUUUUUUUAACAUCUCAAACUUUCAAAAACAAUUGAAAGCGGUACACUUAUCAAAAACCUCAACAGCAUUAUCAACCAACCCAUGUUUACCAAACUCUUCGAUGAUGAGAGAUAGAGUUUGAGGAGAGACGGAGAGAUUGUAGGGUUUCAUGAGUUCGAUGGUCUUCCACAUGGACUGGUAGCGUUUGUGGUGGGCGAGGGUCAGGAUGAGCGGUUCGAAUUCGAGGGAGGUGGGGGAGUAUUGGGGCUGGGAGCGGGCCCAGGUGAAGAAGCCGAGGGAUUCGGAAGGGGAAGUGUAUUGAGGGUGCUUUCUGGAUAUAUGUCGUGACGGACUAUGUUGGCGAUGUGGUUUACGGCUGCAAGGUAAUCGUCUUUUGAGGUUUUAGCCGCGACCGCGGUGCUCAUGGUUUUGAAGGAGAGGAUGAGGUAUUGCCGUAUUGAGUUCGGCUUCUGAAUAGAGAAACUAACACCUGGGAAGGUUUAAUGUGGGAACUUCACAUGCGUUCUAUGUAUUCGAAAGAAUUCCGCAAUAAAAACUGCUCGAGCUGGCAAUCGCACUUGCAUGCUAUAUGUUUGAAUAGAUUCUGUAUUCUGAAAUAUAUGUGGCCAUCACACAAAUUGGCAAUAUCGAUUGGCUUCUUGCAGCCAUCACGAAUUGAAAGGAAAAACACCUACUAUCGAAAAUUAAUUUUAAGAAUCUCUUUUACUUGAAAUCUUUGAAAAGAAAAAUUAACCAAAUUCGGCUAGAGAUAUACAUAAAUCCGGUACUAGUUUAAAAUGUGAGUAUGGUUAAUUUAAUAAGAGAGAACAAGAAUCGAUUAUGUCCCAAAAGAGAGAAAAUUAAAUUAUAUAAAUUUUCAUGCAAAUAUAUCAUAUGUUAAUCUCAAUUUUUUGUUGCUGAAAAAUUAAUUAAUUCCACUACUUCCAUUUUUUUAAUUUUGUGUCGUGUACCACAUUUGCCACUCCUGAAUUACUUAAUUCAAAUAAAGGUUCGGCUACGUUGGAUCAGCUCCAACGUAGCGCCCACUAACACCAGCCAUAUGAUUAUAUAAAUCCGAUCUGACGGUCACGAUUACAUGGACUUAAAAUACAAGAUAUGCACAGGAUUAUGAGUAAUCUUCUUCUACUUCGCUCUUCAUCGGUUGUUUGACCAAAUACAAGAAACGAAUCAAAGAAAGCAGGACAUGCAAAUGAACACUAUAUACAAAAGGGGAGUGGGGGUCUGAAUGCCUCUUCAAUUGAAUCGGCCAAGUGUUGCUUGCAUGCGCUCUACAAACUGCUUUGCUGUCAUCUGAAGCUGAAAGAAUUAUCCCUAGCUCCGUCGGUUUUUUCUGCAAUAAAACGACAAUCCCUGCCUUCACUCAUCUUAAUUCAUCCCCCGGUUAUGUUCCUCCUUUUUUAAUCAAUAAUUAAUUGCUGCCCCCUGUUUCCCCUCUCUCUGUAGACUCUACCCACCAAAACCAUUUGCUAUCUUUCUAUUGAAAGUAACUCGGUAAUAUACAUGUAUACGAUGGAGACGGUGCAAGGACUGUUGGGGAAGCUGGGGCGGCAGUGCUAUGCUGUAUUUUGCUUGGGUGUGAUUCUUGUUGUGUCGGUGACAAUCGCUCAUUAUGUUGAACCAAAGGAUAUUUCCGCAUCAGCUGCUGGUGAAAGUAGAGCCAAGGCCACCCGUCGUCGUCUUCGACCUUUACACGGUCCUCCUCUUCCAGCCUCUCUGAAUUUCUACUGAUCAUCACUCCCCACCAGCCAACCAGCUGCUUUAUGCUACCUUCUAGAAUUCUAAAGACUUUAGUUAACUAAUUAACUUCUUCUAGACUUGUUUCUGGGUUUAAUCAAUUUGCUCCCCCCCAGUUUCUCUGUAAAAUUUUUGCUUAAUUUAAUUAAUUGUUAAUUAACAAAUAACAGAAACGCUAAUUUUCGCGCAAGUUUCAACAAUACUUACUUGGUUGCCUUCUGUUCUCCUGUUUGCGUCUCUGUCUUCCAUUACGAGCACCCAAAGAGGUAUAAUCAACGGUUUGCGAGAUAGCUGCGACUGCAGUAGGUGCCGGCGUCGAUCAUCAACAUGGCGGUGCACGGUAGAAUUAGGUGAGGAGAGAUGGAGAGGUAUAAUCAACGGUUGCUGAUCAAAUUUGAAACUUUCCAGCGAACCGACGGUGAUGAUGAGAUUGAUUCCAAUUAUAAAUCCUGUGCAUAUCCUGUAUAUUGAGUCUAUGUAAUCGUGACCGUCAGAUCGGAUUUAUAUGAUCGUAUGGCUGGUGUUAGUGGGCGCUACGUCGGAUUUAUAUGAUCGUAUUCUUCAUCAUUAUGGUUGAUGGCUUAACAAAUGCAGGAGUAGGGGACAGCCAAAAUAAAACACUUUCUCUUGUAUUAACCUUUGCUAGUCGUCGAAGUUAAAAAUUUUUAGAACAAGUUAAAACAGUUCCAACUCAAAAUCAUUAGUGCACAAUUGGGUUGUUAUAAAUAUUUUUGAAUUUCAGUCUAAUUUGACUUAUUUAAUUAUGUAUGCACAAACUAGUUUCAUCACUUUUUUCGUAUUGAUACCCAAAAUUUUCAACCUUAUUUUAUAUUGAUGCACAAUCUAACUUAAUAAAAAUAAUAUUCAAAUUGUCACAAUUUUUUUUUUUAAAUCAUAUACAAAGUUAAGUUUUCUUCUUCUCUAGGAUCCAGCUCUAUACUCCUCUUUUUUGUCGUUAUGCUGCUCAGUCGUUAAAUUUUAAUUACGUUAAUCUAACGGUCCGGAUUUGUAAUGAAUAAUAUUAAAUGCACCGGUAUAUUUUAAUUACGUUAAUCUAAAGCUGCAAUUAUGUGCCGUAAACAUUGACAUGGUUAAUGUCAUCGAGAUCACAUGGUUGUUAUUUACGAAAAGAGAAUUGCUGGAAAUUUUGUUAAUCCACUAUUGCAACAAUAUAUUGUUAUAAAUUGCAUUGUUUCCCAUAUUUAUAGAUUAAUUUUGAAAAGAAGCAAACAAUGCUAAGAACGUAUUUUACAGAAGCUAUAUAGACAUGUCAUAUGAAUUUCGUUUUUAUACUACGUAAUUAUUAAUUUAUAUAAUAAUAUAUUUCCUUCAAAACAUAGUAUUUGAAUUUGAAAUUAUUUUUUUUAAAUUAGCAUUACGAAAAUAAUCAUGAUUUGAUUGGUUUCAGUUUUAUAAGAAAAAAGUUGGGAAAAUAGACAAACAAUGAAGGAAAAAAUUAAGCAGAGCCAAUAAACAGGGGAAAGUGAAUUAAUGUCCUUGUGCACAUUAAUAAUCUCAUUUUUCCAUGUACAAUUUUGUAAAAUAUUCAUCUCAUAUACUAGAGUCUUUUGGUUUUAUGACGAAAGAGUCAUGGUAGCGAUGUAUCUAGAGUAAAAAGAUUUAAUUUAUUUUUCCUUGUUAUUAGCAAAAAUUAUUAUUAAUUAAUCAACCCAUCGAGAUAUAUUGGUUUCAUUUGUUACAACUAGCCAAUUGCUUAAUACAGUUUUGUACGUCUCACUAUUACUUGUAAAUAAAAUCAUAGAUGUGGUAUGUUGUGAUGUGAUAAAUUUAAAUACAAAUCUUAAUUACGUUGUGAUGUGAUAAAUUUAAUUCAUGUUAGGAAAUUGAGCUUCCUUCCAAGAUCUCUCUAAGCAAUUUAUCAAGCAAAAAAUUAAUAAAAAAAAUUAAAUGGAGAAUACAUUAAUCACACAACACAAGAUUUACGUGGAAAACUUCAAAUUCGGAGAAAAACCACGGCCGUUGUCACAAGACAACUAGAGAAAAAUAUUCCCUAUGUGGAAAAUUAUUAUAACCACUCUUAGAAAUAAUUUUCUCUCACCCAAGCCCCAAAUACAUAAUCUCAAGAAAUAUCCCUUAACAAAGCAAACCCGUAAUACCCAUAAUGAGGAGCCAACUUCUCCUUCAAUAUAACUACAUGCUUAAGAACAUUUCUCUCUCUCAAUUUCUCACCAAAACUUGGAUUCCUUCUCUGGGAUUUUGGGAUACUAAAAUAAGGAGGAGCACUCCUCUAUUUAUAGCCAAAUUAUGGCUUCCUUUUCUUCUUUUUUUUUCUUCUUUCCAUAUCUGGAGAUUUUCAUCAUAGUAGUUUAUUGAAAGUGAAGGCAGCUGAAUACACUUUUUUCUGAUGCAGUCUGUCCCUCUUUGGUGUGAUUAUUUGAAAUUUGUGCAAGAAUAUGAUCCAUCUAUACACGAAUGUGCCUAAUAAAAUAUCACAAAGGUGCCUAAUACAGUGAAAUUAACAUAUUCAGCUCAUGAGAUUGCCAUUAUAUAUAUUGAAAAAGAAAUUAAUACAAGAAACUGAAAAUUAAUUGACACUGGAUCAUGUUGGAUUGUUUGUUAAUUAUGAUGGGAUUAUAAUCUUGGUCUUUUAAUUAUCAUCUAGCUAAUGCAUGUGCACUUUCAUUUGUGUCUAUCACUGGAGAAUAAAGUUGCUUGAUUGAACAGCAUCAUAUGAAGGAAACUCAAAACUCAAUUUCGUUGCCUGAGCAUAUCAUGCUAUAUUUAGCUCAAAAGUGCAAUUAACGUUGAACAUUCAGCUAGCUGGCUCAUACUAAUUAAUUUAUAGGAUUGCUAGUUCUUUAUGAUUAACUAAAAGAGAAAAUAUUUGACAAUUACGAAAACAACAACAAUUCACUCUUAUAAACAACAUAAUAGAUACAUGGUCUAUAUUGCAAUUCUUUUUAUGAUUUUAAUUAAAAGAGAAAAUGCAAAGGAAAUAUUAUAUAUAAUUGAAGGUUCUCCUUGAUAAUUAGACAAAAUGACACCAAUCUGGCUAACUAAUACAAUCAUCAUAAUUAUCCGAUUUUCAUUUUAAUUAUGUCCAAUCAUGCUAAUUUAAUAAAGAAUACUGAAUACACGAGUAUUUAUAUGUUCAACAACUUUGACUUCUGAAAAAUAUAGGAGCUGCAUUUAUGCUUUGUGUUAUUAAGUAGGACAUGACCAUAUUAAGUUGCAUUUGUCAGAAAACUGAAAAUUAUUCAAAAGGAUCUUAAAAGAGGUGUUGAAUUGUGAGCUUAAAAAUGAGUUUAGAAGUUUCUGACAUGUCAGUUUGUAUCCUUAAUUGUGCAUGCCCUGUCAGUUUCUGGAUGAAACAGGAGAAUGUGACAUCUGUGUAUUGUCUUUUACUUCCAGUAAGUGAAUCACAUGUUCUUCACGUGAUUUGACAUACUUUAGACGGAUUUGGCAGUUGUUUUGGUCACUUAUUGAAGCACGAGUUAAGCACGUGAUUCAAGGUUGUUAACUGACCGUUAUAAGGUGGGAAAAUUCUGGGUUUGUUACAACAAACCCAGAAGGCAGCUGGUGAGUGGGGGACGUUUCUGUAUAUAUGGUCUUAGAGGCUAUAGUUGAGCCAUAUGAAAAGCUCCUAACUUCUUAAUGUUUGUAGCUUGUUCGUGGUGAUUGAAAUAAGAUUAUUACUCCGUCCUUCAGCGGAUAUAUGCUAUCUCCAAAAUGUGCCACUUAAAUUGUGCCUCUGUUUUGCUUGUUUCUGUUCUUAUUCUUGUGAGGUGUGUGAUUUGUUUAUCAUUUCUAAAUCAUCAAUUAGAGAGACCAACCAGAUCUUGGUGGUUUUAGAUUGAGUUCAAUCGAUCAAGAAUCAAUAAGAUGUAAUGAAAACAAAAUGACAGAAUAAUGCACGCACAUCACAGCAAUGUUUCAUUCAUUUCGAAUCUAUAUAUACAAAACUUUUAUCUGACAGUUUACAUUUGUUUAAUAUAGCGCUGUAACAUGCGUACCAUCAAAAGCUACAGCCGCCAUCUUUGUUUGUCCUCGUAGCAUCCUUGAUCUUAUUUUAUCGUGGUGAUUCUUGAAAGUUCAUCUCAUUCUCAUGUGCUGAGUCACUUGCUGAGAUGAUGAAUACUUGAGGGUCCUUCCUUGAGACAUUUCAGCAGAAACCUGAUUCAUUCUAUCAAACAUCUGCAUCACUAAUCACUAAAUGAUGUAAGAUAGUUCUGUUUUGAAAUAUUAAUAUGCAUGCAUCCCCCGCGUUAGUUAGAGCUGCUUGUCAUCUUCUAUUUUCUUUUGGGUACAGUUUUGAAUUUUUAAUUAAUUGGCUUUCUCGCGGGAUAUUGUUUUCUCCUUUGAUUUUCUAUUUUUUGAUGAUGGUGUACACAUACAAAGAUCGUGUAAUAAAGUGCUUUUAGUAAAUCAUGGUCGGUUUACUAUUAAUUAAUCAAAUUUAAUUUGCUUUGGUAUUUGUUAACAUCAUUGUUAUUAUAAAGCGGACCUAUACAAUUAUAGAAAGAACGCCAACGGACCAAGCUCUACCAGCAAAUUAAUGAGAUUGCUCUUGUACACGAUUAAAAUAAUUUCAAUUUCAUCGUAUUUAUGUGUGUGUCUAUAUAUAUAGAGAGAGAGAUUGUACAUUGACGAAAUAAUGAUAAUUUAGCAAAUCUAAUUUUCAUUUAUAUUAUUAUGUUAAUUUAUGCUAUUUUAAUAAAGGCCACUCGAACAUUUAUAUAUCCAAUAUGUAAAAUUUUAAAACAAUAUUUGCCAAAGUUUGACGAAGCGACUACCAAAGCUUAGUUGUAAUUAAUCAAAUAAAAAAAAUGUUUGCUUUGCUUGAUGUACUGUUUGCUUAUGAUCUUUUCUUGAUUUUCUUGUGGGAUGUUUCUCUUUGGAUGUUUUGUUUAUUAUAUUAACAACAAUAAAGUGCGUUUUAUAAAUCAUGGUCCUACAGUCAGUAGUAAAAGAAAGGGGAUUCUCACUUUCCCCCUACAGUAAUUAAUAUAUAUCAUUUGUCCCCCUUCUGUUUUUAUAAUGGCAUAAAACUCCCCUGACAACAUAAGUUUACAGUAUUACCCUUAUUUUUAAUUACUUUUUUAUUUACAUUUAUUAUAAAUUAAAUAAAUUACAUGAAUAGAAAUUAAAUAAAAAAAUUAAGUAUUAAAAACAAGAAAUAUAUGUUUUGAUAUGAGCAAAAAAAUUAAUAAUAAUUUUUUUUGUAAUAAUUUAUUUUGUGAACAUUUUCUUAUAAUAAACAUUUUGUAAUAUUUUAAAAUUAAAUGUAAAAAGUAUAGGCAAAAUAUUUGAUUAUUUAUCUUAUAAUAAAUUUUUAUUUUUCAUUCAAAUUUUCUUAUAAUAAUUUUUUUAUCAUUUUAUAAUAACUUUCUUAUAUAUUUAUUAUAAGAAAAAUAUGCACAAAAUAAAUAAGUACAAGAAAAAAAUUUUAUUAUUAAUUUUUUUCUCAUAUCAAAACAUAUAUUUCUUGUUUUUAAUUCUUAAUUUUUUAUUUAGUUUAUAGUCAUGCUAUUUAUUUAAUUUAUAAUAAAUAUAAAUAAAAGAGUAGUUGAAAAUAAGGGUAAUUUUGCAAACUUAUGCUAUUAGGGGGGUUUUUGGCCAUUAUAAAAACAGCAGGAGGAAAUGGUAUAUGUUGAUUACUGUAGGGGGGAAAUUGGCAAUCUCCCUAAAAGAAAUAAUGAGCUUGGUUUUUAUUAAUAAAAAUUAGAAAAAAAAUCUUUUUCUCUAGAACUUAUUAUGGAUUUUAAGCUAAAAAAAAAAAAUACUACCCCAAUUUCUAAAGAUAUUCCCUCUUAUUUCAUAUUGAUUUGUUAAUGCGAAGAUUCAUUGCAAUUAUAACAGUUUUGAUGAAUUUAAAUAUUCAAUAACUGAUAAAUUCUAUUUAUAAAUAUUAAUAGCAAUGACACGGAAACAAUUAAAUCAAAUUAAACAAUUGUUCUACUCACCGCUUUUCCUUUUGUUUCCAAAACCCAUUAACCACCGACAUCGAACCAUAUUAAUUUAAAAUAUUGUUCAACUGAGAUUUGAAUUUUAAAAUUACAUACACAAACACACCCGAUUUUUUUUAAAAAAAAAAGAAUACUGCUAAUAAAAUAUUUCAGCCAUCAAAAGCCACAUACCUAAGGUAUGAUGAGCAAAUCCUCCCAAUGAUCCUGAAAUUACUCUCGCACCCUAUCAAAAUAAUUUUAAUUUCAUCAUAUAUGCACACAGACACACACACAAAAUGUAAAUAAUUUUUGUAUAUAAAAUAUUUGAAAUAAUCACUAAACAACAAUUCACAAGGUAGAUUAUACCCAGACGAAAUAAUGCCAUUUUAAUAAAGAACGCUCGAGCAUUUAUAUAUCUAACAGGUAAGAUUUCAAAACAAAUUUUGCCGAAGGCAAAGUCUGGUGAAGAGAAAUGUUAUAUGUAUAUAACCGUACAGGCGCAGCAGAAGGAUAAGUAAAAAAAAACGAAGUUUCAAUAAGAAAUUAAUUCAUUACUUUCCAAAUGAUCAUCUUAAGGCUCAUUUGGAAAAUGGUGUUCUGAGGAUCACUGUGCCAAAGCUUGCUGAGGAGAAGAAGAGGCAGCCCAAGGUUAUUAACAUUGAUGAAGAAUCUGGUAAUUCUUCCGGUGAAGAUAGUAAGGCCACCAAGGCUCAAAUGUAAUUGAUUAAAGAAAGAAGUGCUUGCUUUGCUUGAUGUGCCAUUUGUUUUGUGAUCUUUUCAUGGUUUUGUUGUGUGAUGCUUCUCUUUAGAUGUUCUGUUUAUUGUAUUUUGAUGGGUUUUUGAGGAUGGUUGUAUGUAUUAACAACAACAAGGUGCUUUUUAUAAAUCCGGUUCCUAAUUUUGUAAAAGAAAUUAAUACUCUUGGUUUAUUUUUAAUGAAAAAUUAAAAAGAAAAAGCUUUUUUCUAUGGCAUAUAUUAUGCAUUUUAAGAAAAAAAAAUAUCACAUUCCAAUUGAUGAAGACAUUUCUUCUGUCAUAUUGAUGUGUUAAUAGAAAGAUCUAUAUGAAUUAUAAUGAUGAAUCUAAAUAUUCAAUAACUGAUAAAUUGUAUUUAUAAAUAUUAAUAGUGGUGGCAUAUAAACAAUUAAUUCAAGGACUCGCCUAUAAUGAAUUAAUUUAAAGAGUAUAAAUAUUUUAAUAAAUCAUACUCGAUUUACUAUUAAUUAAUCAAAUUUAAUUUACUCAAAUUAUUCCUCUACAUGAUCAAAGUAAUUUCAAAUAUACACGCACAGACACAAAAAAUGUAAAUGACUUUGAAAUAUAAAAUAUUUAAAAUAAUCACCAUACUAACAAUUCACAAGUCAGAUUAUAAAUGGUCGAAAUAAUGAUAAUCUAGUGAAUUCAGUCAUAAUAAUUUGAUUUUCAAUUAUAUUAAUUAUGUCGAAUCAUACUAUUUUAAUAAGAAAGAGCACUCGAGAAUAUAUAUAUCCAACAACUAAAAUAAUAGAAUAUAUAUAUAUAUAUAAAAACACGCGCACGCACAUAUAUAUAAUCGUACUGCAGAAGGAUAGAUAAAACCAACAGCUGAAUAAUGCAAACUGACUUUUUUCUUUGAAAAAAAAGGCAUUUUAUUGUUUAAUUCGAAAACCCAUUAUAUACAUGAUAAAGACUCACCGACACCGAACCAUAUUAAUUUAAAAUAGUUUUCAACUGAGAUUUAAAAUUACAUACACAAACACACCCGAUUUGUUUUAAAAAAAACUACUAAUAAUAAAAUACUUCAGUCAUUCUCUGUUCUGCCAUCAAAACCCCAUUUAUAUAUCUAACAUGUAAGAUGUAAAAACAAAUUUUGCCGAAGGCAAAAAGUCUGGUGAAAAGAAAUGUUACAUCUAUUUAACCGUACAGGCACAGCAGAAGGAUAAGUCAAAGAAAAACGAAGUUUCAAUAAGAAAUUAAUUACACAUUUACACUCAAUAAGAAAUUAAUUCAUUACUUUCUACCACUUUUAUUUAAAAAAACGUAGUCUAUUAUUUAAUAAAAAUUCGAAAACCCAUUUACAUGAUAAAAACUCACCUACACCGAACCACAUUAAUUUAAAAUAAUUUUCCACUAGGACUUGAAAAUUACAUUCACAAACGCACCCAAUUGAAAAAAAAAAUUAAAUAAAAUAUUUCAGUCGUCCUCUGUUCAGUCAUCAAAAACCCAUUUAAAAUCUAUACAGACAUAAGAAGUCCCCAUAUUGUCCUCUAUCCUUUCUGCACUUCUCUUUCAUCAACGGACAUUCCGAGAUCCAUAAUUGCAAAAGUGAGGAAGGCAGUUAAGUGAUCAAUUGGUAUUUGUAAGCGUCGUUGUAGUACAACAACAUACUAAUCAACUACUACGCUCUGCCAGCCAAUUAAUCAGCAAAUCCUCCUCAAAUUGGGCUUGUAUACGACCGAUUUUAAUUUCAAAUGAUAGAUGUAUAUAAAUAUAUAUCUAUAUAGAUACACACACAUACACAAAAUGUAAAUAACUUUCAAAUAUAAUAUUCAAUAAUCACUAAAUUAACACUUCGCAGGUUAGAUUAUACAUAGACCAAUGGAUAAUGCUAAUCUAUUCUAAUAAAUUAAGAACACUCGAAUAUUUCUAUGUCCAGUCGGUAAAAUUUCAAACCAACUUUUCCCAAGCUCCUCCUAUGCUGAAUUAAUUAAUACAUUAAAAGGUCCGUCUCUGCUAAAUAAUGCAAUUGCGCUAUUCUGCCCUUUUUUUAAAAAGCAUUCUACUAUUUAAUAAAAAAAAAUUCGAAUGCUCAUCAUAUACAUGAUAAAAACUCACCGAUACCGAGCCAUAUUAAUUUAAAAUAGUUUUCAACUGAGAUUUGAAUUUUAAAAUUACAUACACAAACACACUCAAUUUAAAAAAAGAAAAAAAAAAGAAAAUACUAAUAAUAAAAUAUUUCAGCCGUCCUAUGUGUUAUCGCCAAAAACGGAUUUACCAUCUAUUUCAACGCGCGGUAUAUGGGUUAACAAGUCCCAAUAUUGUCCUCCAUCCUUUCUGCACUUCUCUACUAUCAACGGACAUUCCCAGAUAAUUAAUAGCAAAAGUGAGGAGGGCAGGCCCUUCUCCGGAAAGUAUUUGAGCCUCGGACAAUCCCAGAGUCGCAAAAGUGAGGAAGGCAGGCCCUUCUGUCAUAUUGAUGUGUUAAUAGAAAGAUCUAUGUGAAUUAUAACAAUUUUGAUGAAUCUAAAUAUUCAAUAACUGGUAAAUUGUAUUUAUAAAUAUUAAUAGCGGUGGCACAUAAGCACUUAAUUCAAGAACUCACCUAUAGUGCAUUAAUUUAAAGAGUAGAAAUAUUUAAUAAAUUAAUCAUGCUCGGUUUACUAUUAAUUAAUCAAAUUUAAUUUACUCAAAUUACUCCUCUACAUGAUCAAAGUAAUUUCAAAUAUACAACACACAAAAUGUAAAUGACUUUGAAAUAUAAAAUAAGCACCCCACUAACAAUUCACCAGCAAGAUUAUAAAUAGUCGAAAUAAUGAUAAUCUAGGGGGUCCAGUCAUAAUAAUUUGAUUUUUAUUUAUAUUAAUUAUAUCAAAAAGAGUACUCGUGAUUAUAUAUAUAUCCAACAGCUAAAAUUUCAAAACAAUAUUUGCCAAAGUCUGAUGAAGAGAAUUACAUAUAUAUAACAUGCACUCGCACACAUUCUAUUGUUUAAUUAAAAAAUUUGAAAGCCCAUUAUAUACAUGAUAAAGACUCACCGACGCCGAACCAUUUUCAUUUAAAGGAUUUGUUUUCAACUGAGAUUUGAAAUUAUAUACACAAACACACCUGAUUUUUUUUUUUAAAAAAUUACGAAUAAUAAAAUAUUUCAGUCGUCCUCGGUUCAGUCAUCAAAAACCCAUUUAAAAUCUAUAGCAACACGCGGUAUAUGGGUUAACAAGUCCCAAUAUUGUCCUCCAUCCUUUCUGCACUUCUCUGCUAUCAACGGACAUUCCCAGAUAAUUAAUAGCAAAAGUGAGGAAGGCAGGCCCUUCUCCGGAAAGUAUUUGAGCUUGGGACAUUCCAAGAGAUACAAUGAAGUGAGGUAUUGAAGAUCAACAAUUGAAGAAGAUAGGCGUUCCAGAUUUGGAAAAUUGAAAAUCCACAGAGUUGUUAGAGAGGCAGGAAGAGGAAGCGUGGUCCCCGAUCCUUUGUCAUCUGCCUUUAGUGGGAAUGACACCACGUCAUCACAAUUAAUGAUUGUAAGUUGUCGCAGAGAGGAGAAUCUGUGAAAUCCCCGACCCCGCUCAAUCAUUGACUUCCAAAUCUCCUUAUUACUAUUAAUCUCCAGUGAAUGAAGGUUGGUGGGAAGGCCAUCUUCUUCAAGGCUUGGAAGCUCAACUCCUUUUCCUAUUCUUAAUUGUUGAAGAGAGGUCAGAUUGUGCAAUCCCUUGGGUAAGACCUGUAGUCUCUUACAAUAAGAUAUCUCCAGCCUCGUGAGUUUCGCACAAGGCAAUCCCCCUUGGGGAAAGGACACCAGAUCACAUUCCCAUAUCCCUAUCUCUUGAAGCUGGCGGAGAUUAUGUAAAGCACUCGGUAAAAUUUUCAGAUUUCUACAAAAACUAACUGCGAUUGUUUCAAGAGAUGUGUUGUUGUCCAACCUUUCUGCUAUUGACUCCAGCUUUGAACAUCCACCAACACGAAGGGACUUAAGAGACGGAGGUAGAUUGCCAACUUCAAGGGACUCAAGCGUGGCAGGUAACUCGUUUUUUGAAAAUAUACAUGUCAGUGAUAGACAACCACUAAUUUCCAACUCCUCGAGAAGAGAUGAGGCGUACCUUCUGCUGCUGCUACACUGGAUGCCCUCUUCCACUGUCAAAGUCCUUAGAUUAUAACAAAGGUAGAUCUCCAACCUCUUAAGGCUCGGUGGUAGCUGGACUCCAGCAAUAUAUGUCAACGAAUGGCAAUCCCAAAUCUUCAAGAUCUCGAGAGAGGAAUUGUUGUCGCACAUCCAUGCCUCUGGUAACGAUUUCAGUGCAUCACAUUCUCUAAUCUGAAUUUUCUUCAACUUGGAAGGCAGAGCAACCUCAGGAAAGGAAACAAGGGAACUGCACUUGUAGAUUUCUAUCUCUCUCAAGGAACUGAGGCUGAGCGAUGAUUGUGGCAGCUUCACAAGGCCUUCGCAUCCGCUCAAUGCUAGAUAUUCAAGUCUGCAUGACAACUCGCAGAGCUGCUGUUGUUGGUCUUUCUCUUCCUCCGCCACCAAGGAUUGAAGUUUGGGACAGCUUCUUAUCUCCAGACUUUUGAGAGAGCAAAUGUCUUGUAGUAAUCCGUCAUGACUCUUCCAUAUAUAUGUUUGCUCUUUUGUCGACAAAAUUAAUUCUUCCAAUUUCGGUAGUUGUGGCUUUAAUGGCCCUGCGAGAAACACUUGAUUUGAUGUAUCUCUACAAACCACUGAAUUCUGUGAGCCGAGAUGAUCAGUUGCACUUCUCCACACAACCUUUUUACAUCCACCAAUUAUGAAUUUGCAAAGAGCUGGAAGACUCGAAAUUGAAACUGACAAUUCUUCACAUCCUUCAAUAACAAGCUUCUCCAAUGCAAGAAGGUGCUCUGGAAAUGUUCCUUGUAGCUUAGAACAUCUUAAAAUGUGAAGCUCUCUCAAUUUAGGAAACCCUUCAACUCCCUGACUGGAUCCAUGAGGAAUCCAGUCUUCCCAUCCUUGCAUGUCUUCAAAAUGAAGAGUCUCCAAGCAUGGAAAAGGAAUUGGAGUAUCAUUCCCAUAGAACUCUGAAUCCAACCUCUUUACACUAGCCAUUCCACAUACUGCAAGAUGCUUUAGAGAGGGUAGUUGGCCGACUGACGGCAGGGUAGGACACAUGCCACAAUAUUCAAAUUUUAAGGUCACCAAAUUUGAGAAUGAGGAAUCUCCGAACCAAGUUGGAAAUUUUGCACCUCUAUAGCCGCUGAUACAAAAUUGUUCCAAAUUUUUAUGGGGUUGUAGCAUGUCAAGCACAUCCUUUUCAAUUUCCGCCUCCCUUGAAGACGAGCCAUCGGUACUGAGUGUCCAUCCAAGCAAUAAUUCUGUAAGAUUCUUCUUUCCAUCCAAUUGAGCCUCCUUUGCAUCACCAACGUCUUUUACAUUCUCCAAUUUUGAAAUGUUAAGUGUCCCAUGAAGGUGCGUCAACAACUUUAGCUCUCGUAACCCGGAACCACUACCUUUUCCCACAACAAAAUUACACAACGUCUGAAGACUAGUCAACCUACCAAUUCCUACUGGCAUUUCCUCCAACGACUUCGUAUUUGAAUUCUUAAGAUGAUGCAAUUUGGCGAGGUUUCCCAUGUCUGCACACAACUUCUUCAGUUUCCGACAAUCUUCCAACAAAAGACUAUGCAAAUUGUAAAGCUUGUUGACUGAUUCAGGCAGAGCUCUAAUCUGAGUUCCAGAUAGGUUAAGGUACUUUAAAUACCUCAAAUCACCAACUGAAUCCGGCAGCUCAGGGAUGCGGUAUCCACGCAAAGAGAAGACCCUCAAGCGUCGGAGUUUGAGCAACUUAGGAAGAAUGCUAGGAGCCAAGUAGCCAGGCGAACUUUUUGUCAACAUUACUGGUAAAAAAGUUCUCAAAUGUUGGAUAUCAUACAAGUCCCCAAACCUUUUACCGCCAUCAUAAUAUUCAGUACUGUAUGACAGAUGACGAAGAUUUCUGGAAAAACUUUGUUGCUUGUUAACCUCUGAGGUAUACUCCAUUGUGAAGUAUAUCUCCCCCGCAGCCCAUUGAGCAAGGUCAUUGAUAAGAUCGUGCAUCACAAAUCGUGAUGUAUUGUUGCUUGAUUGCUGGAAAAAAGAUCUUGAACGUAGCUCUUGAAAGAACUUUCGACCUAGAUCUUCGUUGGGAUUCCCACUCUCUUUAUGAUCCAAGAAACCUGAAGCACUCCAUAAUAAAAUUAUCUCCUCCUCUUCAAAUUCAUAAUCCUUCGGAAACAACGAGCAGUAUGCAAAGCAUUGUUUCAAAAUUGGAGGAAGAUAAUAAUAGCUCACUGCAAGAGCUGGUAUAAUGGGACAUCUAUCUUCUGGUAAUUCCCAUAUCUUGCUACUGAGCACAUCUUCCCACACACCUCUGUCAUGUUCUCCACAUAAAAGUCCUCCCAGUGUUUUUGCUGCCAAGGGCAAGCCAUUGCAUUUGAUCACUAUCUUCUUGCCAAUGUCCUCCAAUGACUUGUGUGAACUGAAAUCUCUUGUCCCCAAAGAGUGCUGAGCAAACACAGACAGACAAUCCUCAGUGGACAAGUUUUUCAAUUCAUAAGCUUGAUCCGGCCUCAUGAUUUUUGCAACCUGUUGAUUGCGAGUAGUGACAACAAUCUUACUUCCCUGUGCGCCAGCUUCAAACGGACGGCUCAUGUCAACCCAGUCAUUGUAAUUCUCAUUCCAAACGUCGUCUAAAACAAGCAAAAAUUUCUUUUGAGAUAACUUCUUCUUCAGCUCCUCUUGAAGCUUAUUCAAGUCGUGAUCAUCCACUUUCUGGUCACUAGCAAUUGAAAGUAGGAUUGAUUUUGUAAGCCUGAUAAGAUCAAAAUCAUCAGAGACGCAAGUCCAUGCCUUGAGAUCAAAAUGGUCCUCCACUUGCUUAUCAUUGUAGACAAGCUGAGCAAGAGUGGUUUUACCCAGCCCGCCCAUACCUGUAAUAGAAAUAACAGAGAAUCCACCAUCAUUUCUUGAAUCAUCCUUCAACAACAAUUCAAAAAUUUCCUUCUUUUCUGUUUCCCUGCCAUAUACUUUGGCUUCAUUCACCAAAGAGGUUGUCUCUCGUCUUUGCCUGUCUUCUGUGCUCCUCCCCGCUGAACUUACGUUCAAACCCAGCGAGUUUUUCUGUGUCACAAUUUCUUGAAAUCUGCUGUUGAUCUCUUUGAUUUUGGACAUCAAGCCAUAAUCGAAUUGAAUAGAUUGUGGAGUAAAAGUGGUGCAGCAAGCAGGAAUGAGCUUCCGAAACUUACUUGUUCUUGUACGACUGCUACUGGGUUGAUCAUGAGCAGCAGCUGGUUCUCUAUUUCCGAGCACCAACUUCCUCCGGAAAGCCUCAGUUUGAAACUGAUCCAACAAAUCUUCAACAUCAUAAGCCAAGUUCUGAAGCUUGCCAAGCCACUUCUUCACAAACCGAUUAGUCGUCUUCUUCUCCUCAGCAUCAUCAAGCACCGCCUUGAUCAUCUCCAACAUAUUCUCCCACUCCAUUAGAUCGUCUUGGAUCUUCUCUUGGCGUGCAAAAAACAGAAUCCCCUCUGAAGCUAACUUAUUGACCAGCAAGUCAACGGACGCCGUAAGGAUUGCCUCUCCGAUGAUUGACAUUUUUUUUCUUUUUUAUUUUUGGGCAAAAGGAAGAAAGGAGCAGAAUUAUGAGUUAUGGAAAGCAGAAAGAGAAAAUUGAACGGGUGAGAAAAUGGAUAAUUAAGCAGAAUGAGUUUGUGAUUGUGAAGGGUCUGGCCCAGCAAGCUUAGUAGAAAUCACGCGUUUACACUUUAUUGACCAUUGACUAAUAAUUUGGCAAUUCACUCGUCACCACCACUUGAAAAUUCAAGGGUCACGCAAAAUACACGUAAAACGUGGCAAGUCUUUCCACUUGUUGUUCCUUGCAGUUAAGAAAAGAAAAAACAGAGCCGUAAUUAAUGACAAUUUUUAAAAUAAUAAUAAGAGAAAAACCUACAUUUUUUUUAAAUCUCAAUGCGAAUACGUAUCAUAAUGUUAUGUUCCUGUUGUAAAACGAAAUUUUAGAUAAAACAAAUUCGACUCAUUUGUUAAAGAUAUAUAUUUAGUAGAUUUCUAACAUAACUAACAAAAUGUGAUUAUUACACUAAAUGAAAUAAAAGACAGUACUACCUUUCAUAAUUUAGCAAGUUUCGCAUGGUCGUGUUUCUGAAAACAUUAUAUGGAAUCAAACAACAAGGAUACAAAGAGAAAAAUGGUAAUCAAUUAAUAUUCACUAACUGCGGUGCUGAUUAAUUUACUUAACUUGUCAUUAUUUAUAAUUAAGAAUGAGGUUCAAUCAAUUUAUUGGGAAAAAAAACAAAGAUACUUUUUUUUUUAAUUUUAAUUCUAAAAAUUUGAUUUCACUCUCUUUCGCUUUUUGACUUAUUAAAGAGACAGUAUCUCAUCUCACAAAUUGGCAAUAUUUGUUUGGUAUUGACUUAAGAAGGAAACAGAACUUUGAGUUGUGGAAAGCAAAAUGAGAAAAUUGAGCAGUAAGUGUGAAGGGUCAAGCAAAAUGCGUGUAGCAAGUCUUCCACUUGUUUAUUCCAGUAAAGUGAAAAAUAAAAGCAGAGCCCACCACCCAUUAAUAAUUUAGCAAUUCACCAAUCACCGGUCACCACCACUUGUUACCAGAUUCAAUGAAUAUAAAAUCACACCUCGACAUUUGUAGGGCCAUGCAACAUUAAUCCAGUGUCCGGGUAAACGCUGAAUAAAGUGGAAAAUGGAAUGUAUCUUACUACGAACGUCCCCUUUACAAGUCUUCAAACUCAUAAACCAAGUUAAAAUAAAUUAAAAAAAAAAACGUUUCUCUCUCUCUCUCCUUUUGCCAUAUGAUUACUUUAUUUAUUUAAUUAAUUUCCGUGCUAUAACGAAGACUUAAAAAUACACUAUAAUUUUUUAUAAUCACAAUAGUAAUUUCUACCGGCAUGUUAUAUUAUUGUCGUGUCAAAAUAAAUUAUAACAAAAUUUUAACUGAACAUAAGUUCGACUCAUUUAUUAAACAUAUAUACUUAAUAAAAUAAUAUGACGAUUAAUAUGUUAUCAAUGAUGUAGACACAACUGAAAUAACUCUAAUGUGAAAACAAAAAAAAGUCCCCGCCACCAAUAAUUCAGCAAGCUUCACUUUAUUACACGAAAGUGAAAGCAAAAGCCAGAGGCAGCCCCCACCACCAUCAAUAAUUUAGCAAGCUUCACGCGCUUGUGCUUGUCUGCAUGACGAACCGGACAUGGGUGGACCAAGCACCAUUGAAUAAUUGGAAAAAAUGAAAAAUAAAAACCAGUGUCCAGCAAAAAGAAUCCAUCUUCAUUUGUUGCUUCCUAUUCAGUACAUCUACCUAGCAUUUAAAAAAAUGGAAGUAGAAAUUAAAACUCACUCUUUUAGAUAUGGCUCAUAUAUAUUACAAGUAUCAAAAUUUAAUUAGAGUUCACAUAUUUACAAUGUGUCUAGUUUUAAUGGAGAGAUCAACUAGUCAUUAAUAAUGAGGUUUUUCUAAAUGAUUGAAUAAUGAUAUUAAUUAUUGAUAUUUACAAAAUUUCUAAGAAGUGAUAACUAAUACGUUGGGGAUAUGUAUUUGUGCGGAAUGGCAAACAUAGAGAAUAGCAAUAAAAAUGGUGGAACUUUAAUAUAAUGAAAAAGGUAAACAGUAGAAAAUUAAUAUGUAAUUCAAGACACAUUACAAAUAUUACUUUUCUUAAGACAUUAUUUGCCCCCGCCAAUUCAGUGAUACACAUGAGUUAAGCAAAUAUGUCUUUAGGAUAUAAUGAAACAUUUAUUUAUUUGCUUCCGUUGUGCAUCAACGAAAGUAAACCUGAAUACUCUUGAAUAUUGCAAGUCUGCUAGGAAUCAAUAUGUUGAUUCUGUUAAAAAACAAUGUAUUGGAUAUUUGAUGCAUAAAAAAUAUAUGUUAUUUGAUGAAAUUCAUUUUAAGAAAUAGGGGUAAGAAAAGAGUAGUGCAAGAUUAUCUUAUUCAUAUCUAAAAUUCUAAAUAUAUGAAUUUAUUUAUUAUGGUGACAUAAUAAUAAUUGUAAAUUAAAAAUAAAUUUACUAUUAAAAAAAUAAAAUUUAUUAAUAAAAAUAAGGGUUAUAUAUCUUUUUUAAAAUGUUAAGAAGUUUUAUAUCUCUUUUUUAGAUUAAAUUUUCUAUUUCCUAUUAAGCAAAACCCACGUCAAAAGUGAAAAGGAAAAACAGAGCCCACAGAAUAGAGCCCAUUACAAAUAUAAAAUCGGAGGAGCUCAUGAUCAUGCCUUUUGCUUUACAUACUAAAUUAAAUAAAAGCCAAACCAGAAUCUUGCCUUUCCUUAACAUGAUUAAUUAGGCCCUGCAUCAGAGAGAACAUGAAAGCAAUGAACCAUUUUGUUAAUCUUAAAUGUCAGGAAUAUAAUUAGCUUGGAAUAAAGUUGCAUUCUUCUCCUCUGACUGUCUCUUCAGGUUCAUUUUAAAAGUUUGAAGAGAGUUUCAAUUCUUCUACACUUUAGAAUAUCAAUGUUCUUGCUUUCUUCAAAUGUUGAAUAAAGAGAAAAAAAAAUUGUUGACUGUAGAAGGAAAAUAGAAUGCAUCCACCUUCGCUUUGGAAGUCUUCUACUUAUAAAAGCAAGCUAAAUUAAAAGAUUUUAAUCUCUCUUUUUAUUAUUAUAAGUGCACUGCAUUUUUUUUAAAUAAUCACCUAUACAAAUUUGUAAUGUAAUGAAAUAUUCAUAUUCCUGUAGUGUCGAAAUGAGAUAAAAUGAAAUUUUAAAUAACACAAUUUCGACUCGUUUGUUAAAGGUAUAUACUUAAUAAGCUAAUAACAUAAUUAACAGAACCCUAUUAUUACACUAAAUGAAAUAAAAGACGGUAGCCACCAAUAAUUACACUAGCAAGCUUCGCAUGCUCGUGUUUAAGGAACUGGACAUUGGUGAAUUAAUCACGGAUAAGAAACAAUUUCAAAAAACAAAAUGGAUACUAUACAUUUUCUUUUUUUAAAUUGUACAGAAAAUGGGACUAAUUUUCAAAUAUUUUCAAAUUCACUUAUUAACAAAAGCUAUACAAAAUGAUUUCCUUUUUAUUUUGAAAUAUUAUACGGAAUCAAAUAACAGUGAUUGAGAGAGUGUAAAGUGGUAAUUCUCCGAUUGUAUUUUCUCUCUUUUUUAAAAGGAGAUGGUGGGGUUUGGUUGUUUACAAAACUAUUGGUGUGAGGGUCUAUUUGUUUUUGUUUUCACUUUAUUAAUUAAUUACGAAGCAAACAUGUAAUCAUUUGUAAAGGGGCCACUAGCAUCGGAUCAUGUAAGAUGAAUUCGUAGGACUUAUUAAUUUUGAUGAAAAUGUAGCAUUAUUAAGUUAUUAAUUCAUUAACUUGAGGUACUAAUAUUUACUAAUUGUGGUGAUUAAUUUAUUUAACUUUGUCAUAAUUUUCAAUUGAGAAUGAAGUUCAAUCAAUGUAUAAAAAAAUAAUUUUUUUAGAUUUUUAAUUCCUAUGAUUUAAUUUCUCUCUGUUUCGAUUAUUGACGUGUUAAAAGCUUGCAGAAUAUCAUGAAAUGCUUGUAUCUCACCUCACAAAUUGGCAAAUAUCGGAAGGCUUCCAUGACGAAUUGAAAUUAAAAACAACUACCAUCGAAAUUUAAUUUUAAGAAUCUUUUUUACUUGAAAUUUUUGAAAAAAAAUUAACCAGAUUAAAUUAGAGAUAUCAACCUUAACUUAGUGUUGUGCACCACAUUGGCCACUUCUAAUUGUGAAAAGAAAUAGAACUUUUGUAUCGAUGAAACUUAUUUUAUUAGUAUUAUUCAUCAUAUGGUUAAUGGCUUAGCCGAAGGAGAAGGGGUCAGCCAAAAUAAAUAAAGUACCUUCUCAUGCAUUAACCUUUAUUAACUGUUGUAGUUAAAAUAAUUUUAAAACAAGUUAAAACAGUUCCAAUUCAAAAUCAGUAGGCUGCGAUUGGGUUGUUACACAUAUUUCUAAAUUUCAGUCUAAUUUAAUUGUGUAUGGACAAAUUAACUUUUAUCACUUCUUUUAUAUUAAUACUCAUAAAUUUCAAUCUAACUUAACAAAAAUAAUGUUCAAAUUGUCACAAAAUGUUCUUUUCUUAAAAAAGAAAAGAAAAUCAUAUAUAUAGUAGUUAAUUUUUCUUCUUCUUUACUUCAGGAUCCAACUCCGUACUCCACUUUUUUGUUGUUAUUGUACCUAGCCGUUAGAUUUUAAUUACGUUGUUUUAACGGUUUGGAUUUGUAAAUGAAUAACGACGUAGUGUUUGACUACCAUCUGAACCCACUGCAUCUAAUUGGUUUUGUGAUUUUUUGCUUUCUUCAAUAAAAAAACAGUUUAUUUUUGGUCGUCGAAACAUGGUAAGUGAGAAAGAUUAUUCUGUUUUUUUUUUUGUUAAUUAGGUUAGCAUUUAUGAUUGAGUGACUCAGAACUAUAUUUUAGAUUGAGAAUCAAUGGUUAAGAUUGUCGUUUGCUAUUUUAUCGACAAGAGAGCACUCGAUUUUAUUAAAAGGAGAAAGUCAUAAGAUUUCCUUUAUGAGAAAAUGUAUCUGAUCAUUCCUUUUUACUGGAAAAAUUAAUAUACAAAAACUUACUAAUAAAUGACAUAAUAUACAUAAAUUAUUAAUUCAUUUGAUAGUUGAUUAUCGAAUGACAUUUGAUCCAUGGGAGCAUGCAGUCUAUAAAAUAAUUCUUCUUUUUUUUUUUUUAAACAAAAAAUCGGUGAUGUUGAAAAGCAUUUCUGUAUAUUAUUAUUACUCUAAUUGGAGUGAACAUUUCAUAAAAAGAAUGCCGUAUGAAACUAAAUUAUUAAUUCGUUUGAUAGUUGGUUAUUGAAUGACAUGUGACCCACAGUAAAUAGUUAAAUUUGGCGGCAACAAUAAUUACAAGACGAACUUAAAGCAGCGCAUAGGUUUUUCUUAAAAAUACAUAAACAAUUCGAUAUUUGAAAUUCUAAUAUCUCAAUAAUAUUGAUCAUGAUUCAGUUACCAAUUAGAUCCACUUACAAUUUCUUUUUUUCUUUUUUUUGAUUUCCAAUCUUUACCAAAAGAAAAUAUUUAGUGACCCCUUUUAUCAACUUGGUUUUAUUGACUUUCUUCCAAUCAUAGAAGUGAAAAGAGAAACAGAGGCCAGCACCAAUAAGUGUUACCAGAUUCUGUAAAGACAAAAUCAGUGCCCAGCAAAAAGAAGCUAUGUUUUCGUUAUAUGCUGCUUCCUAUUUAGUACAUGCAUAUAAAGAUAUACACGUGCACAUGCAGCACAUCUAUUUAAAAUUUAAAAAACCGAAUUAGAAAUACAGGAUUUAUGGUAGAAAUACAACAGGAAUAAGAGUGAAAUUCCAAUUUUAAAAUUUGGGAAAAAUGAAAUACGAUAUUUUUUUAUGAAUAAAAUAAUUUAAUUUUUUUUAAUUCUACCAGCAAAAACCAUUAACUUAUCAAGUUUUUGGUUUCAUUUACAGUUGACAGUCGGUUUCUUAGUUUCAUUCCUUAAUUCUACAAGAAAAAAACAGAAUACUUGACAUUUUUUAUUUGACAAUUUUUAAGAAAUGUCAAACAUAUAUGACAUUUUGUGAAAAACUGAGUAAUUGUGAAAUAUAAAUGACAAUUUAUUUAAACGUCAAAUAAUUGUGACGUUUUAUUAAAUAAAUGAUAAAUAUAUUACAUUUUUAUUGAAUAAUUAUCAUUUACCUUUUCCUUUUAUUGACUUGAGAAAAAAAAAAACAAAAAAAUUGACUAUACUGCUUUUGUUUUCGUUCUUAGAACAGAUUUUAGUUUCUUUUGAGAAAAUUCAAACUCAUUCCCAUUACUUUCUUUUCAAAAAUCACCUCUCAAUUUUUCAUCAAUCACUCAAUUCCGAAUUUCAUCUCCAUUCUCUUUCGAAGAAGAAUGCACGAAGAAUUUUAGCUUGCUUUCGCUGCUUCUCGAAUAUUGGGUAUUGUUUCCUUUAGUUUAGAUAAUUUUUUUUUUAUAUCUCUCUUUCUAGUUUGAUAAUUUAGGGUUAUACUUGAAUUAAUUGUAUUUUUAAUCAACCAAGGUUGAUUUAAUUGAUUCCAAGUCUCAAUUUCCUGUUCAACAAACAAGGAACGCACAAAUAAUUUUCAUUUUCAUACUCAACUUUGAAAGAAUCAAUUUAUUUUAUCUUUGGUUAGCACACUUCUGUUCAAUUUUUGUUUAUUUAACUUAAGAUAUCUUUUUCUUUCUUUUCUUCAAGCAGAUUAUAGAUUAUAUUGAGAACAGAGCUUUCUCCUUAAUUCCGCCAAGAGCAACGUUGAUUUCAGGUGAUAAUUGAAUGUGUAAUAUUUUCAAUUGAAAUUAAUUGAGUCUCGUAAUAAUAAUAGGGAUUUGAGAUUUACAUCCUGUUGAAAUAAUUUCAGAGUGUUCUGCUAUUUGAAUGCGCAUUAAUUGUUUGAUUAAAUGUCUCUUUAAAAGAUUAUUUUUGUUUUUAGCAAACAUCUUAAUGCACUUUGCAAAUUGAAUCCAACAAGGGAAAAUUAUAGAACUGCAACAGUUUUCAAAUUGAUUGCAUAUUAGAAGUAAUGUUAAUUUAUGCUGCAACAGUUCAAUGGGCUGGGCACAAGUUUAGGACUUUAGUUGCUCAAUUAAUGAAUCCACCACUCAUCAGACUUGGAACUUAUAUCUAUUGAAUCAAUAAAAAUAGUUGAUGGAAUCAAUGCCGAAAGCUUCAUUUGAUAUUUAUUUAUAACAUCUGUUAGAUUCUGCACAAUCACAAAUAUAUAGUAGCAGAAACUAUGUUAGAGACACUGUAGUUGCUUAAUUAGUGAAAUUGUGAUCUCAUUGCCCCCUUUUUUUGGUUGAUUCUAUAAUUUUAUUAGUUGUUCUUGUGGUUGUAAACAAUAUCAAUUUCUAAUAUUAAUAAAACUGAAUGAAUAAAAUGCGAUGCAUUUGCCGGAAAGUUAAUAGUUUAAAUAUGGAUAAAUCUUGGAUGUUGAUGGAUAGAAGGUCUAUAGAAUAUGAGAACUUCAUGCUAGUCAUGCUAGUCAUCCUGAGCUUUUGAGAUGUCCAUGCCAAGCACGUCUUAGUUUAUAGGCUCAAACAAGUAUAGAAAAUGCAUGAUAGAACACAGAACUCAUAUUUUAGCAACAAUCCUCAGCUCAUUGGCCCUUAGUUCAGAAUGACAAUUCUUAUUAGCCAAAGAUUCAAAAUGAUUUUUAGUUGUUUAUAAGUAGAGCACUAGAUCAACAAAUACUUGAAGACCUGCAGCUUGGCUAUUGAACUAUACGAUGGUGGCAAUUCGAAGACUAGAAGUUGGCUCUGCCAUUCGAAGUAAGCAACGCAGCUGCCCAAAGUCUGCCAAGCCAUCAAGACUCCAUCAAGUAUACUUCAAAGCCACAUCAAGACAAUACUAAGAUACAACAUCAAUAAUAAUAACACCAAGAAAUACAUGGAGGCCAUUACAUGCUACAGCCACCCCAAUAAGAAAUUAAUAAAGACAUUCCUAGAAAGUUACAAACCCAUGCAGUAGGAAUAACUAAUUAAUUUAUACAGUUCAGUACUCGUUCCUCUGUUUCAAAUCCAAAUCCACUGGUCUACCAUUUAUUAUGACGCAAUGUAUAUGCCGAUAUUAUCCUCCCUCCGUUAUGUACCUUUCAAUUUAGUGAGGUUUAGACAGGGGUUCCAGAUUUGGUAAAUCAACAAUCACCAGAUAUGAUAGAGCGGCCGGAAGAGGAAGCAUGGUUCCUAAUCCUAAUCUUGAUUUAGAGCAGAUUAGGUAACAUGUGGCAUUCUACAUUCCUGCAAUGCUAUUUCUUGUUAUGGCAGCGGCAUUCUUGGUCAUGGCAUCACAAGCAAAUGCUUUGAUUUGAAGACUUGCUCGGCUAUGAAAAAUAAGGAGAGCAAAGGUAGUUAAUCUUGGUGUGGUCAACAGUUUAAUGGGGGUACUAAGAAAAAUAAAGAUAAUAUAAGGAAUGUUGUUGAGGAGUAUUUUGAUAUUUACAAAAGUGUUCAAAGUAAAAAUUGAUUUCUUAAAACCCAUUAGCUAGCACACAUAAUAAUGGGGAGAAAAUUUUAGACUACGAAUAGUCCCACCCAUUUAAUAAUAUUCUUCAAUCAAUUAUGUUUAGUUCAAAAAAAAAAAAAAAAACCCAUCUCUUUAUUACUUUCUAACUAUUCAUAUUAAUGUGUUAAUAAUUAUGAAGAACCGGUGUAAUUUAUGUGAUGUAGGAAGCACUUUAGGCAAAAUCAUCUGAAUCUCAAAAUUUCGUGAUAUUGUGCCAAAUAUCCAAAACAGAGCUUCCUACAUUGCUAUAGCAGUUUUUAAAAGUUGAGGACUCCAAAUAUCCAAUAACUGAUAAAUUGUGUUAAGAAAUAUAAAUAUUAAUGGUGACGACACAUAUGUAUGGAAUUCCUCUGUUUUGAGUUUGACUAAAACAACCUGAAUAAUUUCAAACAAUCCAUCAGCCCAAAGUCCUUGAGAGAUUGAACUGGAUUUCAGUGCAUCACAUUUUGAAAUUGAAACUAACAUUAAUUAGAAAGGCCGAACAGCCUCUGUUUUUUACUAUAAUACAAAAUGGGAAGUCAAAAACCAAUUCAAGGAACUCUCCUGUUUUUGACUGAACAUACAUAAUCCGAACAAUUUACAAUUAAAUAAAUCGUCCAAAAUCUCCUUUAGUCCAACCCCCAUUUCCAUGGUUUAAUAGAAUAUCAUAAAGGUAUCCAAUACAGUGAAAUUAACGUUCAGCUCAUGAAGUUUCCGUUAUAUAUAUUGAAAAAGAAAUUAAUAAAAGAAAUUGAAAACCAAUUGACACUGGAUCAUGUAAGAUUGUUAGUUGUUAAUUAUGAUGGAAAUAUACACUUGGUCUAUCAAUUACCAUCUAGCUAAUGCAUGUGCACUUUCAUUUGUGUCUAUCACUGAAGAGUAGAGUUACUUGAUUGAAUAGUAUCAUAUCACAAAAACUCAAAACUCAAUUUCAUUGCGCGAGCAUACCACGCCAUAUGUAACUCAAAAGUGCAAUAACAUUGAACAUUCAGCUAGCUAGCUUAUACUAAUUAAUUAAUACGACUACUAGUUCUUUAUGAUUAAUUAAAAGAUAAAAUAUUUGACAAUCACGAAACAUUAUUCUAUCACUAAAGAUUAGAGCUUCCUACAUUGUUACCCAAACUCUUUUAUAUCUCCCAAACGUUAUUAGAGUCCCACAUUUGUGGGCACAUCAUUAAGUAAAAUGUGCCAAUUAGGAAGAGCUAGCUUUUUUGUUCUGUUUUCUCGAAUGCGUUGCAACUUGCAGGAAAUUUAAACCGUCAACACCUGCAGGAAAUUUAUAUAUAUUCUGUCAGCACUUGCAUACAUUGCAAUUUUCAACGAAUUCCAAAUCUUCAGAUCUUGAAUUAGCUGGACUGACGUCCGACCAACUCCACUGGCUAAAACAAAGGAUUAAUUUUUGAGAAAUUAUAAAGAAAUUAAUACAAGUAAAAUGAACCUAUUCAUUUGAUUUGAUAUAAUUGGCUAAGGGUGAUUUCGAUAACGUUUUCAAAGAAGAUAUAGAACAAAGAUCAAAAUGAAAAAUAAGUAAUUUGAUCAGUCCAUGCAAAAAAGGCGCAAGCUUCGCCCACACAUGCAUGUGUCUGACUAACAGGACAUGGCUUGGAGCAAGGAUCAAUGGACAAGUUUGAGGUUUAUGAAAUAUUGAGAAAAUAGACAAAUAAUAAAGCCACUGCAAGUUAAGCAGAUCAAAUAAACAGAACAAAGGAAAUAAAUGAUCAAUUUAAUUCUUUGUGAAAUGGCCACAGGCCACAGCAACAACGAAAAUAUGUCUACAUGCAGCAUUACAUCAACAUUUGAUCAUCUAUCAAUUUUCAUGAUAUUAGAUUAGAAACAUUGAGUUCAUAAUUUUAUGUAAUUUCAUGUACUAGAUAUAUAUAAUUGAUUGGAGUUAGUUUAAAAUAUAAAGAAAGAGUAAUGGGGAGUGAUGUCAAUGUGGCAUUUGAUGAGUAAAGAUAGACAACAAAUAUUGAUCAGGUAAUAAUGAAAUAUGUAUUUACUGAAAAAUAUUGGCAAUAAAAUGAUGCUAUAAAAAUUUAAUAUUAGUUGCAAGCGAAUAAAUUGACAAUUAAAAUUAAUAGAUAUAUAGGCAAUGCUUUAGGUUUAUUUUAUCAUUUCACACCAUUUUGCAACUACAUUUUAAUUAGAAGUUCAAUUAAUUUUGACCAAAGACUCUAGAGAAUGUCAAAAAGAGAUAUGAUUUUUGUAUACCAAAAAAAAAAUAGAAAUGAAAUAAGUCAAAAUCAAUUACAAGAACAACAAUAAAAGCAUAUUUUAUAAAAGCCACAAAUACAUAAUAAGAGUUUAGUUUUGAGUUACAUAAUUAUUAAUGGGUAAAAGUCCAUUUAGUCACUGUAUUUUAAGAUUAGUGUCCAUUUAGUCCCUGUAUUUUUAAAAAUGUCUCGAAACAUUCCCGUCGUUAAAGUAUUGAUACCCUACUGUUACUUUUUAUUUUUUUGACUUAUUUUUACAUUAUUACCCUUUUAUAAUAAUUUUUUUGUCUGAACAUUAAUAAAAAAAAUUAAAUUACCAAUUUAAUCCUAGAAAAUUAAAAAAAUUAUAUUAAAUUUUUUUUCAAGCACCAUUUGCACACUUGGUAGUUUGCAUACAAUUUUUAACAAUAUAAUUUUUGACAAUUAGAAAUUAAUAUAAUUUUUUUUUAUUUUUAGGGUUAAAUUGGUAAUUUAAUUAUUUUCUUUUUAUUAAUGUCCAAAAAAAAAUUAUUAUAAAAGGGUAAUAUUGUAAAAGUAAGCUAAAAGAAAUAAAAAGUAACGGUAAUAGUAUCAAUACUUUAACAGCAGAGAUGUUUCGAGGCAUUUUUAUAAAUACAUGGAUUAAAUGGAUACUAAUUUUAAAAUAUAAGGACUAAAUGUGCUUUUACCUACUAUUGAUUUAUAUAGUAAGAGAGUUUUAUAGAAAUGUAGGAAUUUUUAAAAGAGUUUUGCUAGAGCAAAAAGUUUAGUUUGGUCUAGUUUGUGGAGGUUUAAGUAGUUGAAAGCCGUGCAAAUGAAGGAAACAUAAACUUCUAAUUUUUUACAAAGUAAUGGCUAAAAUAUUUGAAAAGUUUGAGAUUUUAAAAAGGCUGGGAAAAUAGACAAAUAGUGACGACACUACAAGUUGGCAGAGCAAAUAAACAGAGGAAAACAGGGCAGAUAAUUACCAUUAUACCUAUAAUUUUUAUUUUUUCCAAAAACAAAUGUUGCGAUUUUUUUUUCCAAAAAAGAAGCACAGUCUGCUAUUACCACUAAAGAAUGUUAGCUACUUUAUAUAAGCAUAUGUCUAAUUACCAAAUAAAUUCCACUUUAACAAAGAAUAAAAGUUAAUUUCAUUGAUGGCCCGUGUUGUGCUUUCUUUUUUUAUUAUUUUUCCUUUUAGAUGUUGAAGUUACUUUGUAAACUUCUCCAAGCGAAUUAAAAAAUUUCCGCUUACUCUAGGAUCUUUUCAAUCGGCCUGCAAUUUGUAUUCUUGUCUGUAAGAUUGAUUUUUUUCUUUAAAAAAAUUUAAAAAGGGAUGAGAAAUCUUACCCACUAAAUACCAACUUUGAAUUUUGUUAUUAUUCAAACUUUGUAUUUCUUGCUCAAAGCCAGUUAAACUGUGUCUAACUGUCAUGCAGGUUCCAUUUUUACUUGAUUAACUGUAUAUACAAAACUAAAUCACCUGAGCCUCUGGUUUCACUAUUUUCCAACUAGAAACUUAAACGCAGAAUUGAUGGUAUUGGAGUUCCUUAUUUAUUUUAUGUACUAUUGGCCGCUAGGUAGCUUGGUCAUAUACGUGUAUGGGGAUGUCAUGUUAGGAAAUUGGUGGGUAAAGCAGACACGCAGCUACAAUAAAAUUGGAAGAAAAUAAAGAACAAGCACAAAAGAGAAUACCAGAAAUUACGUGGUUCGGCUUUUAGCCUACGUCCACGGGCGAAGACAGGAGGAAAUAUUAUACUAGUGAAAAGGAGUUACAAGUAUUGUAGUAUUUUAGCUCACUACCCAAAACCCCAAUACACCCAAACUCUCAAAUCACUAAGCACACAAAAUUCUUUGCUCUUGCAAGAAUUACUUCUCUCAACUCUCAAUUCUCUCUACAAAAAUUGCCUCUCAAGAUUGGAAUGAAAAAUGAGUUAGGGAGCUCUUCCUUUUAUAGCCAAAAAAAUGGCUAUUAAAUUAAUAUAUAUAUGUAUAUAUUUCAAAUGUUGUUGCCAACUUCUUCUUUUUCUCCAUUUGGAUGGCACCAUUUUCUUUGGCCGGCUGCACAUUUUCUUUGGCCGGCUUGUCAAAACCAACUUGAAUUGGUUUUGUGGCCACCGGCCUUUGACAUUUCUCCCACUUGGAGAUUUGAUUGAAAAUCAAUCAAUCUCCACAUCAUCCUUUCUGCUUCGCCAUAAUCAUGUUGCCUACGUUUUCGUUAGGCCACUAAAGGAUCUACUCCAGACAAACUUAUCAGUAUUGAUUGGCUUGGUCAAAACAUCUACUAGGUUCUCUUUGGUAUGGAUUUUCUGCAAAUCCACACUUCCGUCUUCCACUACUUCUCGUACGAAGUGAUACUGAACUCCUAUGUGCUUUGUCCUGGAAUGAAAGGCUGGAUUCCUUGCAAUGUGCAAGGCACUCUGACUGUCACAAAACACAGAAAUUUUCUGUUGUUUGUGCCCGAGCUCCUCCAAUAGCCUUUGUAUCCAAAUAGCUUCCUUGCAAGCUUGUGUAGCUGCCAUGUACUCUGCUUCUGUUGUAGAUAAUGCCACAACGGUCUGCAGUUUCGAAACCCAGCUUACAGCUGCUCCCGCAAGUUCAAACACAUAACCAGUAGUGGAUUUCCUUUUAUCAAGGUCUCCUGCAAAAUCUGAAUCCACAUAACCCCUGACAGUAAACUCUGAUCCUCCAUAACAUAAUGCAACAUCUGAGGUUCCUCUGAUGUAUCUCAGAAUCCUCUUCACAGAUAUCCAAUGCUCUUCACCAGGAUUCGCCAUGUAUUGACUGACUGCUCCCACUGCUUGUGCAAUGUCCGGUCUUGUACAUAUCAUAGCGAACAUUAAACUUCCCACUGCUGAUGCAUACGGUACUCGAGACAUCUCCUUCCUCUCUGCUUCAUUGCUAGGACACAUACUUGAGGAUAAUUUGAAAUUAACAGGAAGUGGGGUAGAAAUUGACUUACAAUCUUGCAUGUUGAAGUGUCGCAAGAUUUUCUUCAAAUAAUUCUUCUGCGAAAGCCAAAUCUUCUUGUUAUUUCUGCCUCGGUGAAUUUGCAUCCCUAGAAUCUUGUUUGCUGGUCCCAAGUCCUUCAUUUCAAACUCCCUAUCCAACUGUGCCUUUAAUUCUUGGAUUCGAUCUUUGUUGGGACCUGCUACCAACAUGUCGUCCACAUACAACAGUAAAAUAAUGAAAUCAUUAUCUUCAAACCUCUUGUAAUAUGCACAAUGGUCUGAACUGAGUCUGUUGUAUCCAAGGCUCAUGAUGAAGGAAUCAAAUCUCUUAUACCAACACCUCGGCGCCUGUUUGAGACCGUAAAGAGAUUUGUUCAACUUGCAAACCAAGUUCUCCUUUCCUGUUUCUGCAAAACCUUCUGGUUGAAGCAUAUAUAUUUCUUCUUCAAGUUCUCCAUGAAGAAAUGCAGUUUUCACAUCUAAUUGCUCAAGAUGUAGGUCAAAUGUAGCACACAUCGCCAAGACUAUUCUGACUGUUGUGAGUCGAACCACGGGCGAAAAUAUCUCGUUGAAGUCAAUACCUUCUUUCUGAGCAUAUCCUUUCACCACCAAUCUUGCACGAUAUCGCUCCACUUGGUCAUUGCCAUCACGCUUGAUCUUGUAGACCCAUUUGUUUCCAAUGGCUUUUCUUCCACGUGGUAGUGGUACAAGUUCCCAUGUCUUGUUCUUGUGUAGAGCUUCAAUUUCUUCCUGCAUUGCUGUCAUCCACAAAGCAAUAUCUGAGCUUUCUAAAGCUUUAUGGAAAGUUGAUGGCUCUCCAUCCUCCGUUAGAAGACAGUACGCAACGUUGAUCUCUGUGACAUACUCCGAGUGCCACGUUGGUGGUCGUCUCUCACGAGUUGACCGACAAACUUCUGGAGCCUCGGACUCGACUGGUUCUUGUUCCUUGUGCUCUGGUGCUGCUUCAGAAGAAUCUGAAUCUUCUAGAUUAUUUUCCACAUAUACUGGCACGGUCUCUGACUUUUCUUUUGUAGUGCUAUCAUCCUCAUCUCUCAUUUGCAGUUGAUCUUCUACAAAGAUAACAUCUCUGCUGAUGACGAUCUUGUGGGCAGUGGGGUCCCACAACGAUACCCCUUUACUCCAUCAGCAUACCCCAAGAAGAUACAUCUUCUAGAUUUUGGAUCUAGCUUUGUUCUUUCUUGGGCAUUGUACAUCACGUACACAGGACAUCCAAAUGCAUGUAGGUAGGAAUAAUCAGCUGGCUUUUCAGUCCACAUUUCCAUCGCUGUCUUCAGCCCAAUAGCUGUAGAUGGCGAUCGAUUUACUAUAGAACAUGCAGUUGGCUGCUUCUGCCCAGAAUGAAUUGGGUAGACUAGCAGUCCUCAACAUAGCUCUUAUUCUUUCUGUAAGAGUUCUGUUCAUCCGCUCUGCCACUCCGUUUUGUUGAGAAGUGUAUGCUACCGUGAACUACCUCUGAAUACCUUCUUGCUUACAGAAAGCAAGAAACUCGCCGUCUGUAUACUCUCCACCAUUAUCUGUCCUCAAGCACUUGAUCUUUUUACCAGAUUCAAGUUCCACCCGCGCUUUGUAUUCUUUAAACAAAGGAAAUACAUCUGACUUUUUCUUAAUUGGAUACACCCAACAUCUUCUGGAAUAAUCAUCAAUGAAAGUCACCAUGUACUUUGCACCUCCCAUGGAUAUAUCUGGUGAUUCCCAAACAUCAGAAUGAAUCAAGUCUAGAAUGCAUUUACUUCUAGCAAUAGAUCUACUAAAUUUUAAUCUAUGCUGCUUACUUGUAACACAAUGCUCGCAAAAUGGUAAACUUACCGAUUUGAGCCCCGGAAGCAAUUUUCGCUUAGAGAGAAUCUUCAAGCAUUGUUCUGACAUGUGGCCAAGUUUGAGAUGCCACAUCAUCGUUGAUUCUUCUCCAUUUGACGCGACACACGCAUCAGCCUCCUGUAGUGUUUCUCCUCUAAGCAUGAAUAGAUUAAAACCGAUCUUUUCUGCUUUCAUCAAUACAAGCGCGCCUUUAACGAUCUUCAUAAUUCCAUUCUCCACAUGAGUUUUGUACCCAUGACAAUCCAUUUGUCCCAAAGACAAUAGAUUUUUCUUCAGGCCGUUGACAUAUCGUACCUCCCCAAUUGUGCGAAUUGUACCAUCAAACAUUUUUAUUUUGAUAGUACCAAUACCAGCGAUCUCCAAGGCAUGAUCAUCUCCCAUAUAUACAGAUCCUCCUGAGAUAGGUUCAUAUGUGUGGAACCAUUCUCUCCUAUAGGUCAUGUGCCAGGUAGCUCCUGAGUCUAUAAGCCAGACAUCAGAAAGUCGUUUUCUGCCUUCUGAAAUAGUUGUUGCCUCGCUGUAAAGAAUUUCGCCAUCAUCCGAGGUACUUGCUACACAACCCUGAGCAUUUGAUGACUCAGGUUCUUUGCCCUCUCUUUUCUUCUGGUUACUCCAACACUCUUUCUUGACGUGCCCUCUCUUGCCACAGUUGUAGCAUUUAACAUUCUUCUUACUUCUGGAUUUUGAUCUACCAUGAUUUUGACUCCCACUGGGGCCACGUUCCGUUGAUCUCCCUCUUGUCACCGAUAGCGCUUCUGCUUGCUGCGAACUUGCUUGUCUGUUUUCCUUAUUUUUCCGCCUGCUCUCCUCAUUUAAUACUGAGGUUGCAACAUCGUCGAAAACUAGACUAUCCACUGGAUUGUUGUUCGUCAGGUUGAUGAUGAGUUGAUCAUACGAAUCUGGUAGACUUUGAAGUAGAAGCUCUGCACGUUCAUUUUCCUCUAUAUUAUGACCCAACAUUGUGAGUUGUGAAAAUAGAGUCUUCAAUGUGUUGAUGUGGUCGGUCAUCAUUGUAGAUUCCGCCAUUCGAAGAGUAUAGAGUUUUCUCUUCAAGAAGAUUUUGUUGUGUAGUGACUUGGCCUCGUACAAUUUUGUGACAGUAUCCCAUAUUUCCUUCGCCGUAUUUUUCUCUGCCACACUGGAUAAUACUCCGUCUGCAAGUGCCAAGUGUAGAUCAGAAAUGGCGUUGCCGUCUACCUCGUUCCACUUGUCAUCAGUUAUCUCCAUGGGCCUUUCUCCAAUUGCUGCCAAGCAAUUAUUUUUCCUCAAUACAGCUUUCAUCUUCAUUUUCCACAACGAAAAAUUAUUUCCGUUAAACUUCUCAAUUUCAUACUUUGCCGCCAUUUUGUUGAUAAAUACCGCACACAAGCUAGUGUACCACCUUGAAUAGUUGUGAGUAUGUGUGAGAAUGCACACCAGGAAAGUUCCCAGGAAAGACUGGAGGGGUCACAAUGGUCCCACUUAAAACCCAGACUCCUUAAGCUCUUAUCGCCUUUGUGACAGAACUUUCCUAGACAUGUACAAAACCACACAGUUGCUUUACUCACACCACUAUUCCCUGCUUUGCACCGCAAAAUUCUUGGAUCGCUUCCACCGUUUCACGUGAAUAGUACCGUAUACGUGAAUAGUGCCGUAUACGUGAACAGUAACUGACUCCAAAAAUAUAACCAAUAGCUCUGAUACCACUGUUAGGAAAUUGGUGGGUGAAGCAGACACGCAGCUACAAUAAAAUUGGAAGAAAAUAAAGAACAAGCACAAAAGAGAAUACCAGAAAUUACGUAGUUCGGCUUUUAGCCUACGUCCACGGGCGAAGACAGAAGGAAAUAUUAUACUAGUGAAAAGGAGUUACAAGUAUUGUAGUAUUUUCGCUCACUACCCAAAACUCCAAUACACCCAAACUCUCAAAUCACUAAGCACACAAAAUUCUUUGCUCUUGCAAGAAUUACUUCUCUCAACUCUCAAUUCUCUCUACAAAAAUUGCCUCUCAAGAUUGGAAUGAAAAAUGAGUUAGGGAGCUCUUCCUUUUAUAGCCAAAAAAAUGGCUAUUAAAUUAAUAUAUAUAUAUGUAUAUAUUUCAAAUGUUGUUGCCAACUUCUUCUUUUUCUCCAUUUGGAUGGCACCAUUUUCUUUGGCCGGCUGCACAUUUUCUUUGGCCGGCUUGUCAAAACCAACUUGAAUUGGUUUUGUGGCCACCGGCCUUUGACAUGUCAUGGGGCCUAAAAAAUAAAGGUGAAAAUCAGUCACAAAUCUGAAGUGAAAAACAGUAACUAGAACAGAAUCUAUGUUUUGAUGUCUUUAGUUUAUAGGCUCAAACAAUUAAUAGUAUAGAAAAUGCAUGAUAUAGCACAGAACUCAUGUUUUAGCAAUAAUCCUAAGCUCACUGGCCCUUAGUUCAGAAUGACAAUUCUUAUUAGUCAAAGAAUCAAAAUGAUUUUUAGUUGUUCAUAAGCAGAUCACUAGAUCAACAAAUAAUUGAAGACUGGCUUGGCUAUUGAACCAUACGCGGCAAUUCGAAGACUGAAACUUAACUCUGCCGUUCGAAGUAAGCAACUCAGGUGCCCAAAGGCCGUCAAGCCAUCAAGACAAUAUGAAGAUACAACAUCAAUAAUAAUAACAUCAAGAAAUACAUAGAGGCCAUUACAUAUUACACCUAUCCCAAUUAGAAAUUAGUUAAUACAGUCCUAGCUCCUCUGUUUUAAAAGAAAUUUACAAACCCAUGCAGUAGGAAUAAUUAAUUAAUUUAUACAGUUCGGUACUCAUCCCUCUUCUGUUUCAAAUCCAUAUCCACUGCUCUGCCAUUUAUUACUACGCAAGGUAUAUGGGUUAGCAAGUGCCGACAUUGUCCUCCAUUCUUUGUGUGCCUUUCUUCUAUCAAGGGACAACCCAAGAUCUCUAAUCGCAAGAAAAAUAUUUCAGAGUAAAAAGUGAUUUCUUAAAAUCUAUUAGCUAGUGCACAUAAUAAAAGGGCAUUCAUGGUAAAUUUUAGAUUACAAGUAGUCCAACCUUUUAAUAAUAUUCUGCAAUCAAUUCCGUUUGUUUUAAAAUAAAAGAAAUCCAUCUCUUUAUUACUUUCUAAUUAGUCAUAUUAAUGUGUUAAUAAUUAUGAAGAACCAGCGUAAUUUAUAUGAUGUAGGAAACCCUUUAGGCAAAAUAACCUGAAUUUUUUAGAGUAGCGGCUAGACAUAUUGGGCAUAACCUCAGUUUCUGUUACUUCUUUGACCCUGCCUAAGCUCUUUUAAGGGCUAAUAUCAAAAUUUCGUGAUAUUGUGCCUACAGAGCUUCCAAUUCAAGGAGCUCCCCUGUUUUUGACUGAAACAUAUGUAAUCCGAACAAUUUGUAAUUAGAUAAAUCAUUCAAAAUCUCCCUCAAUCUAACCCACAUUUCUAUGGUUUAAUAACAUAUCACAAAGGUGCCUAAUAUAAUGAAAUUAGCAUUAGUUCACGAGAUUGCCAUUAUAUAUAUUGAAAAAGAAAUUAAUACAAGAAACUGAAAAUUAAUUGACACUGGAUCACGUCGUGUUGUUAGUUUGAUUAUGAUGAGAAUAUAAUCUUGGUCUUUUAAUUACCAUCUAGCUACCGCAUGUGCACUAGUUUCAUUUGUGUCUAUCACUAAAGAGUAGAGUUGCUUGAUUUGAACAGUAUCAUAUCAUAGAAACUCAAAACUCAAUUUCGUUGCCCGAGCAUACCAUGCCAUAUGUAGCUCAAAAGUGCAAUAACAUUGAACAGUCAGCUAGCUAGCUUUUACUAAUUAAUUAAUACGACUAUCAGUUAUUUUUUAUUAAUUAAAAGAGAAAAUAUUUGACAAUCGUGAAAACAACAACAAUUCACUCCAAUAAACAACAUAAUAAACACAUGAUAUAUAUUACAAGUCUUUUUAUGAUGUAGAUUAGAAGGGAAAAUACGAAGGACAUAUUAUAUAUUAUAUAUGAUUGAAUUUAAUCCAUGAUAAUUAGACAAAAUAACACUAAUCUAGCUAACUAAUCCAACCAUCAUAAUAAUUUGAUUUUCAUUAUUUUAUUGUGUCCAAUCAUGCUAAUUUAAUAAGAAAAACACAGAACACUUGAGGAUUUAGAUAUUCAACAACUUUGGCCAAGUUUGAAAAAAAUUAGAGCUUCCUUCAUGCUUUGUGUUCUUAUGUUACACAUGAUCAUAUUAUGUUACAUUUGACAGAAAACUGAAAAUUAUUGAAAAAAAAAAAUCUUAGUUAACACAUAAUCAAAAUGAGAGAAUAAUGCACACACAUCACAACAAUGUUUCAUUCAUUUUGAAUCUAUAUUUACAAAACUUGUAUCCGAUGGUUUACAUUUGUUUAAUCUAACGGCUAUGACGUGUACUGUCAAAACGCUACAGCUGCCAUCUCUGUUUGUCCUUGUUGCAUCCUUGAUCUUAUAUUAUCCUGGAGAUUAUUGAAUGUUCUUCUCAUUCUCAUGUGCUCGAGGGUCCUUUCUUGAGACAUUUCAGCAAACACCUGAUUCAUCCUAUUAAACAUCAGCAUCAUUAAUCAGUAAAUGAUGUAAGGUAGCCCUGUUUUGAGAAGUCAACAUAAAUCAGUCACCUUAGAUUUUCUCAGUCUCAGAGCACAACGGGUGAUGAUUUGAUGAAAAAUGUUAAUAUGCACGCAUCCCCUGAAUUAGCUAGAGCUGGUUGUCAUUUUCUUCUUUCUUUUGGUACUGUUUUAGAUUUUUAAUCAAUCAGAUUCAGCUGCAUGUUUGCUUUUAGUCCAAACCAAAAUAAGAUAUUAAGUACUUUUGCCAGAAUAGACGCAACCAAAAUUCUAUGGGAUCUGUAGUUCCUAGUUCAUGCAGAAGCGGCCGAAUGCUUCCGGCAAUCAGGAGCAGUGGUCACCCAAAGUAAAAGACUUUCUCUUGUAUUAACCUUUGCUAGCCGUCGAAGUUAAAAAAUUUUUUUGAACAAGUUAAAACAGUUCCAACUCAGAAGUAGUAGUGCCCAAUUGGGUUGUUAUAAAUAUUUCGGAAUUUCAGUCUAAGUUGAUUUGUUUAAUUAUGUAUGCACAAACUAGCUUGACCACUUCUUUCAUAUUGAUACCUAUAAAUUGCAACCUUAUUUUACGUUGAUGCACAAUCUAACUUAACAAAAACAAUAUUCAAAUUGUCACAGAAUGUUUUCUUCUUAAAAUAUAUAUAUAUAUAGUAGUUAAUUUUUCUUAUUCUUCACUCCAGGAUCCAGCUCCAUACCCCUCUUUUUUGUCGUUAUGCUGCUCAGCCGUUAGAUUUUAAUUAUGUUAAUCUAACGGUUGAGAUUUGUAAAUGAAUAAUGAAGUGGUGUUUGGCUACUAUCUGAGCCCAUUGCAUCUAUUUGGUGUUGUGAUUUUUCGCUUGACUAGUUCUGAAAAUAUCGGCAGCCAUCGACGGCAAAUCUGAACAAAGGCAACAUGAGGUGAUCGUGGUGAAAAUGUUUUUUGGCAUGCGAAUCUAAUGACUUUCGAAUACGUUCAUUCAAAUAUUAAAUGCAAUUCAGGCAAAUAGAAGCUUGGUUGAUUGAUUGCUCUUCAUGUGAAAUUCUACCUAAUGGCUAUCCUUUUAAUGGUUUAUAUUGUCUUAUAUGCAAAUUAAAUUCGGAAUUCGGAUGAUAAUAAUCUUCAUUUAGAACAGAUUAGGUAACAUGUGGCAUUCUACAUUCUUGCAAUGCCAUUUCUUUUUAUGGCAGCGCCAUUUUUAAAACGGCAUCGUUUUGUCCAUUAAGAUGUUUCAACUUGUCCCGGGCUGGACAUAUGACUCACUUAAUGAUAACAAAACGGCGAGGCAUGAUAUGAAGGUGUUUUGGCUAAAGGCUUAAGUUCUGCAUGUGACAAGCACGUGAGAGAAGAAUCAAGUUAGUUAUAAGUUGUUAUACACGUGGCUGGAUCUGGUGCAAUCUGGGGUAAUGAACACCCGUUAUAUAAGCUGAGCUUUCAGGCAGUUUCAGCAAGAUGUAAAGAGCUUCUAGUGAGAAUGAAGAGAUAGAAAAAGUAUCAUUUUAUUCCUUGUUAGUUUCUCCGUGUGAGCUCUGUAAAAUAAUUAACCCUAAAUAAUUUGUCCUGCAUCACCAAACUCCGGAUUUUACAAAGCACGCAUAAAGGAUAAUAGACACGUUUGAGGUUUUUUUUUUUAAAGAAAAAAGAUAAUGAAAAUAGACAAAUAAUGAAGACACAAGUUAAGCAGAGCAAAUAAACAGAGGAGAAUGAAUUAAAUACUAUCCUUGAGAACUCAAUUCUUUAAUAAACUCAAUUUUUUAAAUGUAAUUUUUUUUGGGGCUUAAACUCAUGUCAUAAACUGUAGUCUUUAAUUUGGGCUUUGUUGUAUCAAUUUUUUGGAGUUUAUCUUGUUUUAUUUUUUCGUUUUUAUAGUGCAAGAUUUUCGGUGGAGAUAAAUCAGGAAUAAGAGUGAAAUCCCAAUCUUAAAAUUUGGAAGAAAUGAAAUGCGAUUUGUUUUUUCAUGAAUAAAACAAUUCAAUUUUUUGUUAGCACUUGCGUAUGCUGCCAGUUAAUUACACCGUCAACACCUGCGGGAAAUUUAUAUAUUUUCUGUCAGGACUUGCAUACGUUGCAAUUUUCAAUGACUUCCAAAUCUUCAUAUCAUGAAUUAGCAGGAUUCACGUCCGACCAACUCCCCGCGGCUAAAUCAAAGGAUUAAUUUUUGAGAAAUUAUAAAGAAAUUAAUGCAAGUAAAGUGAGCCUAUGCAUUUGAUUUGAUAAUUGGCUGAGGGUGAUUUCGAUAACGUUUUCAAAGAAGAAAUAGAACAAAGAUCAAAAAGAAAAAACAAGUAAUUUCAGUCGAUGGAAGAAAUGAGCAAGAUUCGCACAUGCAUGCAUGCGUCUGACUAACAGGACAUGGCUUGGAGCAGGGAUCAAUGGACAAGUUUGAGGUUUAUGAAAUAUUGGGAAACAGACAAAUAAUAAAGCCAAUCCAAGUUAAGCAGAUCAAAUAAACAGAGGAAAUAACCGAUCAAUUCUUUGUGCAGUGGCCACAGCAACAGCGAAAAUAUGUCUGCAUGACUACAUUAAUUAAUCCUACUAUCACAUGCAGCAUUACAUCAACAUUUGAUCAUCUAUCAAUUUUCAUGAUAUGAGAUUAGAAAUAUUGAGUUCGUAAUUUCGUGUAAUUUCAUGUACUAGAUAUAUAUAAUUGAUUUGAGUUAGUUUAACAUCUAAAGAAAGAGUAAUGGGGAAUGAUGUCGAUGUGGCAUCUGAUGAAUAAUGAUAGACAACAAAUACUGAUCAUGUAAGAAUGAAGUCUGUAUUUACUGAAAAAUAUUUGGCAAUAAAAUGAAGAAUAUUUGAUUUUUUUAUUUUUUAUUUUUAUAUCUCCCAAACAUUAUUAGAGUCCCACAUUUGUGACACAUCAUUAAGUAAAAUGUGCCAAUUAGGAAGAAUACUUGACAUUUUUUAUUUUACAAUUUUUAAGAAAUAUCAAAUAUACAUGACAUUUUGUGAAAAAUUAAGUAAUUGUGAAAUAUAAAUGACAAUUUAUUUAAAUGUCAUAUAAUUGUGACGUUUUAUCAAAUAAGUGACAAAUAUAUAAUAUAUUACAUAUUUAUGGCAUAAUUAUCAUUUAUAUUUUCCUUCUAUUGACUUAAGAAAAAAAUUUAAAAACUCACUAUUACCGCUUUUGUUUUCGUUCUUAGAACAGAUUAGUUUCUUUUGAGAAAAUUCAAACUCAUUCCCAUUACUUCCUUUUCAAUAAUCACCUCUCAAUUUUUUCAUCAAUCACUCAAUUUCGACUUUCAUAUCCAUUCUCUUUCGAAGAAGAACGCACGAAGAAUUUUAGCUUGCUUUAGCUGCUUCUCGAAUUUCAGGUAUUGUUUCCUUUAAUUUUGAUUUUUUUUUCUUCUCUCUUUCUAGUUUGAUAAUUUAGGGUUAUAGUUAAAUUAAUUGUAUUUUUAAUCAACCUAGAUUGAUUUAAUUGAUUCCAAGUCUCAAUUUCCUGUUCAACAAACAAGGAACGCACAAAUAAUUUUCAUUUUCAUUCUCAAUUUUGAAAGAAUCAAUCAAUUUAUUUUAUCUUUGGUUAGUACACUUCUGUUCAAUUUUUGUUUAUUUAACUUAAGACAUUAUUUUCAUUCUUAUCUUCAAGCAGAUUAUAGCGUUGCUCCUCUCAUUGAUUAUAUUGAGAACAGUGCUUUCUCUUAAUUCCGCCAAGAACAACGUUGAUUUCAGGUAAUAAUAAUAAUAGGGAUUUGAAGUUUACAUCCUGUUGAAAUGAUUUUAGAGUGUUCUGCUAUUUGAAUGCGCAUUAAUUGUUUGAUUAAAUGUCUCUUUAAAAGAUUAUUUUUGUUUUUAGCAAACAUCUUACUGAGAUGCCUCUCGUAAUAGUAUUACCGUAAUGUAUUUUGCUUCAUUUUGGUCUGUUUAUACACUUUAACCAGGGAAAAUUACAGAACUGCAACAGUUUUCAAAUUGAUUGCAGAUUAGAAGUAAUUUUAAUUUAUGCUGCAACAGUUCAAUGGGCUGGGCACAAGUUUAGGACUUUAGUUGCUCAAUUAAUGAAUCCACCACUCAUCAGACUUGGAACUUAUAUCUAUUGAAUCAAUAAAAAUAGUUGAUGGAAUCAAUGCCGAAAGCUUCAUUUGAUAUUUAUUUAUAACAUCUGUUAGAUUCUGGACAAUCACAAAGAUAUAGCAGCAGAAACUAUGUUGGAGACACUAUAGUUGCUUAAUUAGUGAAAUUGUGCUCUCAUUGCCCCCUUUUUUUGGUUGAUUCUAUAAUUUUAUUAGUUGUUCUUGUGGUUGUAAACAAUAUCAAUUUCUAAUAUUAAUAAAACUGAAUGAAUAAAAUGCGAUGCAUUCGCAGGAAAAUUAAUAGUUUAAAUAUGGAUAAAUCUUGGAUGUUGAUGGAUAGAAGGUCUAUAGAAUAUGAGAACGCGGUAAAUGAGUUUCUCAAGUUUGCAGUACUUCAUGCUAGUAAUCCUGAGCUUUUGAGAUGUCCAUGCCAAGCAUGUCUUAAUUUAUAGGCUCAAACAAUUAAGAGUACAGAAAAUGCAUGAUAGAACACAGAACUCAUAUUUUAGCAACAAUCCUCAGCUCAUUGGCCCUUAGUUCAGAAUGACAAUUCUUAUUAGCCAAAGAUUCAAAAUGAUUUUUAGUUGUUUAUAAGUAGAGCACUAGAUCAACAAAUAAUUGAAGUCGUGCAGCUUGGCUAUGGAACUAUACGAUGGUGGCAAUUCGAAGACUACAACUUGGCUCUGCCAUUCGAAGUAAGCAGCGCAGCUGCCCAAAGUCUGCCAAGCCAUCAAGACUCCAUCAAGUAUACUUCAAAGCCACAUCAAGACAAUACUAAGAUACAACAUCAAUAAUAAUAACACCAAGAAAUACAUGGAGGCCAUUGCAUGCUACAGCCACCCCAAUAAGAAAUUAAUAAAUACAGUCCUAGAAAUUUACAAACCCAUGCAGUAGGAAUAACUAAUUAAUUUAUACAGUUCAGUACUCGUUCCUCUGUUUCAAAUCCAAAUCCACUGGUCUACUAUUCAUUAUGACGCAAUGCAUAUGCCGAUAUUGUCUUCCAUCCUUUAUGUACCUUUCAAUUUAGUGAGGUUUAGACAGGGGUUCCAGAUUUGGUAAAUCAACAAUCACCAGAUAUGAUAGAGAGGCCGGAAGAGAAGCAUGGUUCCUAAUCCUAAUCUUGAUUUAGAGCAGAUUAGGUAACAUGUGGCAUUCUACAUUCCUUCAAUGCCAUUUCUUGUUAUGGCAGCAGCAUUCUUGGUCAUGGCAUCACAAGCAAAUGCUUUGAUUUGAAGACUUGCUUGGCUAUGAAAAAUAAGGAGAGCAAAGGUAAUUAAUCUUGGUGUGAUCAACAGUUUAAUGGGGGUACUAAGAAAAAUAAAGAUAAUAUAAGGAAUGUUGUUGAGGAGUAUUUUCAUAUUUACAAAAGUGUUCAAAGUAAAAAUUGAUUUCUUGAAACCCAUUAGCUAGCGCACAUAAUAAUGGGGAGAAAUUUUUAGACUACGAAUUAGGGGUGGGCAUGGGUUGGUAAAAUCCAACCCAAACCAAACCCUAAAAAUUUGAAUCCAACCCAAACCAACCCAAAUAUUUUUAACCCAACCCAAACCAAACCAUUUGGGUUUGGUUUGAAUUUUAUUAUCAAAAUAAUUUUUAUUUUAAUAAAAUUUAAUUAUAUCAAAAUUAUAAUAAUUAUUAAUUGUUAUUAAUUAUUAAAUUGAUAUUAAAAUAAAUGAAAUAAAUGAUAUUAAAAAUUAACAAUAAUAAGUGAAAUAAAUGCUGAGUAAAAUUUGUGGAGGGUAGCUCCUUAAAAAUGCCACCUAUUAAUGUUAAAUCAUUCAAAUGAGGACACCCAACCGUGUGAUACUUUUGAUACUUUUGGGACCAUCUUCAUCUUUCCUCAAGCAAAUGGCACUCACUAGCAUCUUCAUCCUUAAAUAAGAUAAAUAAAUAAUUUAUAAUGUUGAAUAGUUAUAAAGAUGAGUAAAUUUAAAAAAGGAACAUGAUUCAUACCAAAAUUGUAAGAAUAACAUCAAUCUAAAGUCAUUGCCUCCGUUGUUGCACUUGAUCCAAACUCUACAUUAAAUAAAAAUAAAUUAAUAAAAAAAGACUAGUGAUAAACAAAUAUAUAAUUUUUUUCGCUUGUUAUGAUAAACAGUAGUUACCUGACAUCAUGGCUUCAUAAAACUCAAGCUCCUCCAUCGUUGGUUCAUCUUGUAAUGGGACAAAAGUGUGAAGUAACCAAUUUUGUGAGCAUAUCAAAGCUUCCACCAUCUUUGGACUUAAAGAACUACGAAAUGAAUCAAUGAUGCGUCCUCCAGUACUAAAUGCAGAUUCUGAAGCUACUGUAGAUAUUGGAAUUGCAAACACAUCCUUUGCAAUAUGUGAAAGAACUCGAUAUUUUAUUGAGUUCAUUUUCCACCAUGCCAAAAUCUCAAAGUCAUCGUCAUCAACAUGUUCACAUGGCUCCAACAAGUACCUCUCUACUUCAUUUUUCAUCUCAACACAAUCAUAUUUUCGUAUUCUUUGUUUGAACUUUGCAACACUUGAAAGUUUAGAAAACCCCACCUUUUUAUCAAAUUUCCUACUAUCAACAAUUGACGACUUACCAACAUCACUAGAUGAUCCACAACCACCAAUCUUAGUGUCAAGAUCUUUAUAGUAUUCAUAAAGACGUAUUAAAAGAUUUUUCAUCUUUUCAGACUUCUUCCCAACCUCAUCAAUAACAAAAAUGUCACAUAUUUUAACUUAUAACGUGGAUCAAGAAUAACCGAAAUAAGCAACAAAUUAUUUAACCUAUCAAUUGAACCCCAAUAUUUGUCAUAUUUAUUUUUCAUACUUGUUGCCAUUUUAGAUAAAACAAGAUCAUCACUACUUUCAAUUAAUGAUGUCAAAUCGGAAUGAAUUGAGCACAUUUCAUGAAAAUAUAAGUUUGAAGUCACGUACAUUGAACCACUAAAUUUCAAAAUUAUAUCAUAAAAUGACUUCAAAAACAACACAAAAACAUUAGCAUUUUCCCAAUCAUCACUAUUAGGGGGUCCUCCAUCUUCUUUGAAAUAUGAAACAUAAUGUUGAUCAUCAUCCUCCAUUCUCUCAAAAGCCUUUUGAAAUUUUAAAGCACUCUCCAACACUAAGUAGGUGGAAUUCCACCUAGUGGACACAUCUUGAACCACAAGACCAGCACCUUCAAUUCUUUCAUGCUCCACACAUAUUUUAAAUUUUUUUAGCCUUGCAGGAGAUGACUUUACAUACUUGACAGCAUUACGAAUUCUAGAAAUUGACACAUGUAAGUCUUUCAAUCCUUCAUUCACAAUUAAAUUCAAAAUAUGCGCACAACAUCUCAUAUGUAAAAAAUCACCAUCUAGCACAAGCCCAUUCUCACUCCAAUUCUUCAAUUUCUUUUUGACAUAAUUGAUAGCUAACUCAUUUGAACUAGCAUUAUCAACAGUAAUGGUAAAUACCCUUUCUAUACCCCACUCAAGCAAACAAGAUUCAAUUACCUUUCCAAUUGUCUCCCCCUUAUGGUCAGGUAAUGUGCAAAAAUUUAAAAUUCUUUUCUGCAAUUUCCAUUCACUAUCAAUGAAAUGGGCUGUUAUCACCAUAUAGUAAUAAUUUUGUAUAGACGUCCAUGCAUUUGUGGUUAUACAAACUCUUUGCUUAUUUGAAACAAAAAAGUUCCUUAAUUUUUGCUUUUCUUCCCAAAAACGUUUGUAUACAUCUCUAGCAAGGGUUCUCCUAGACGGUAGAUCAAAGUUUGGCCCCAAUUGCUUACUAUAUUGUUGAAAGCCCUCUUUCUCCACAAAACUAAAGGGUAAUUCAUCAAUAAUAAUUAACCGUGUAAGGGCUUUUCUACAUGCUUCUUUGUCAAACACAUGAGACUUAGAUUCAUCUUUCAUUUCAUGUGAAGUUGUUUGAUUUUCAUCCUCAAAUAUGCUCAAAUAAUCAGGACAACGUAACAAAUGAUUCCUUAAUGUACUAGUCCCAAUUUUAGUCCCAUGUUUAUUCUUACAAGCAUAAUCAUUACCACAAUAAUUACACUUGCAUCUAUUACCUAGAUCGUAUUUAGUGAAAUGAUCCCAUAUUUAUGAUCUCUCUGAUGGCUUUUUCCUCUUGCUUUGAGUAGUUGCAAGCGUGUCCAAGGAACUAGUACCAUGACAACUUGAGUUCUCAUCCAUCUAAAAUUAAAUGAAAAAAAAAAUAAACAACUUUAAGCCAAUUCAACAAAAACUUUUACCAAAUAUAAGGAACAACAACAAUAGUGCCAGUAAGAGCAUCAAGUUUCAAUCCAGCAGGAACAACAAUCUGCAAAUAUUCUACUAGACGAAAAUAUGCCAGAGAAACUAUUAAGUAUCCAACUUUCAUUCCAGCUUUGGAUUCAAAUAUAUUCUUAGUUAUAACCAACAAUCAUCUACAAACGAUAGGAAAAAAAAUUCAUUAAAAAAUAUCUUGAUUUAGGGCCAUCAGAACAGAAUCGAAGCAUUACAGGGCCACACCACAACAACAAAAGAAAAAAAAAAUUGAAGCAGAGCCUGAUUUCAAAUUCAAUUAAACUUUUUUUUUUGGGUCAUCUACAAGCUCCCUCAAAAUUCAAAAACUUUUGGAUUUACCCACUAUCAUAUAUACUUAAUUUAUUAAACAUCUUAUUAUAGAAUAUUUUAUGUUAUUUGUAAUGUAGCAGGGGAGGCUAGCUAUCUGUGGCUAAUCCAAUGUUCAUCUCUCUUCUACUGAAUAAUUUAUUAUUGUAAAAUGAUAGGAGCCCAGCUCUUAUUGCUAUUGCUAGCUAAUAUUGGAUGGAAUAAGUGUCAGGAUGAAGCUGAAACAAGAGUCAAAAUUUCACUAUUAUCUAAAAAUAAGAGCCACCACAACAAUAACAAAAGCAAAAAAAAUUGAAGCAGAGCCUCACCUUAAAUCAUUAGGACGAUAGCAAUCGAAGUGGGGACUUUAGGAGUCGAUGACAAUGAGAGAUCCACCACGUCACUUUUGUCGAUAGGGAUUGUAGAAGAUGGAGAGAGAUUCAGCGGUUUGUUUAUUUUGUUUUCAGCGGUUUGUUUAGUUUUGGAAAUUUUUUCUUAACCCAUAGGUUAACCACACCCAAACCAUUAUAAAAUGGUUUCAUACAUAAAAACCCAAAUUCAACCCAUUUUUUUAAUUUACCCAACCCAAACCAUUUUAUUUGGUUUGAGUUUGGGUAAACCCAUGGGUUGUGGGUUUAUGCCCACCCCUACUACGAAUAGUCCCAUCCAUUUAAUAAUAUUCUUCAAUCAAUUAUGUUUACUUCAAAAAAAAAAACCAUCUCUUUAUUACUUUCUAAUUAUUCAUAUUAAUGUGUUAAUAAUUAUGAAGAACCGGUGUAAUUUAUAUGAUGUAGGAAGCACUUUAGGCAAAAUCAUCAGAAUCUCAAAAUUUCGUGAUAUUGUGCCAAAUAUGCAAAACAAAGCUUCCUACAUUGUUAUAGCAGUUUUUUUAAAGUUGAGGAGUCCAAAUAUCCAAUAACUGAUAAAUUCUGUUAAGAAAUAUAAAUAUUAAUGGUGAUGACACAUACGCAUGGAAUUCCUCUGUUUUGAGUUUGACUUAAAUAACCUGAAUAAUUUCAAACAAUCCAUCAGGACAAAGUCCUUGAGAGAUUGAACUGGAUUUCAGUGCAUCACAUUCUGAAAUUGAAACUAACAUUAAUUAGAAAGGCAGAACAGCCUCUGUUUUUUACUAUAAUACAAAAUGGGAAGUCAAACCAAUUCAAGGAACUCCCCUGUUUUUUUACUGAAACAUACAUAAUCCGAACAAUUUAUAAUUAAAUAAAUCAUUUAAAAUCUCCUUUAAUCGAACCUCCACUUCUAUGGGUUAAUAGAAUAUCAUAAAGGUGCCCAAUACAGCGAAAUUAAUGUUCAGCUCAUGAAGUUGCCAUUAUAUAUAUUGAAAAAGAAAUUAAUACAAGAAACUGAAAAUUAAUUGACAUUGGAUCACGUAAGAUUGUUAGUUGUUAAUUAUGAUGGGAAUAUAUACUUGGUCUAUUAAUUUGUGUCUAUCACUGAAGAGUAGAGUUACAUGACUGAAUAGUAUCAUAUCACAAAAACUCAAAACUCAAUUUCAUUGCGCAAGCAUACCACGCCGUAUGUAGCUCAAAAGUGCAAUAACAUUGAGCAUUCAGCUAGCUAGCUUAUAUUAAUUAAUUAAUACCACUAUUAGUUCUUUAUGAUUAAUUAAAAGAUAAAAUAUUUGACAAUCACGAAACAUUAUUCUAUCACUGAAGAGUAGAGCUUCCUUCCUACAUUGUUACCCAAGCUCUUCUACAUCUCCCAAACAUUAUUAGAGUCCCACAUUUGUGGCACAUCAUUAAGUAAAUUGCUUACGUUGCAAUUUUCAACGAAUUACAAUUCUUCAGAUCUUGAAUUAGCAGGAUUGACGUCCGAUCAACUCCACGUGGCAUGUGUCUGACUAACUGGACAUGGCUUGGAGCAAGGAUCAAUGAACAAGUUUGAGGUUUAUGAAAUAUUGGGAAAAUAGACAAAUAAUAAAGCCACUCCAAGUUAAGCAGAUCAAAUAAACAGAACAGAGGAAAUAACUGAUCAAUUUAAUUCUUUGUGCAAUGGCCACAGCAACAGCGAAAAUAUGCCUACGUGACUUCAUUAAUUAAUCCGACUGGCGUGGAUGUUACUAUCGCCGUGCAGCAUUACAUCAACAUUUGAUCAUCUAUCAAUUUUCAUGAUCUGGGAUUAGAAACAUUGAGUUCAUAAUUUUAUGUAAUUUCAUGUACUAGAUAUAUAUAAUUGAUUUGAGUUAGUUUAAAAUAUAAAGAAAGAGUAAUGGGGAAUGACGUCAAUGUGGCAUUUGAUGAGUAAAGAUAGACAACAAAUAUUGAUCAUGUAAUAAUGAAAUACGUAUUUACUGAAAAAUAUUGGCAAAAAAAUGAUGCUAUAAAAAUUUAAUAUUAGUUGCAAGCGAAUAAAUUGACAAUUAAAAUUAAUAGAUAUAUAUAUGCAAUGCUUCGGGUUUAUUUUAUCGUUUCACACCAUUUUGUAACUACAUGUUACUUAGAAGUUCAAUUAAUUUUGACCAAAGACUAGAGAAUGUCGAAAAGAGAUAUGAUUUUUGUAUACCAAAAAAAAAAUUAGAAAUGAAAUACGUCAAAAUCAAUUACAAGAACAACAAUAAAAGUAUAUUUUAUAAAAGUCACAAAUACAUAAUAAGAGUUUAGUUUUGAAUUACAUAAUUAUUCAUUUAUAUAGUAAGAGAGUCUUAUAGAUAUAUAGGAAUUUUUUUAAAAGAGUUUUGGUAAAGCAAAAAGUUUAGUUUGGUCUAGUUUGUGGAGGUUCAAGUAGUUGAAAGCAGUGCAAGUGAAGGAAACAUAAACUUCUAGUUUUUUACAAAGUAAUGGCUAGAAUAUUUGAAAAGUUUGAGAUUUUAAAAAGGCUGGGAAAAUAGACAAAUAGUGAAGACCCUGCAAGUUGGCAGAGCAAAUAAACAGAGGAAAACAGGCAGAUAAUUUAUAUUAUACAUAUAAGUUUUAUUUUUUCCAGAAACAAAUGUUGCGAUUUUUUUUCCCCUAAAAAAGAAGCACAGUCUGCUAUUACCACUAAAGAAUGUUAGCUACUUUAUAUAAGCACGUGUCUAAUUACCAAAUAAAUUCCACUUUAACAAAGAAUAAAAGUUAAUUUCAUUGAUGGCACGUGUUGUGCUUUCUUUUUUUAUUAUUUUUCCUUUUAGAUGUUGAAGUUACUUUGCAAACUGCUCCAAGCUGAUUACAAAAUUUCCGCUUACUCUAGGAUCUUUUCAAUGGGCUUACAAUUUGUAUUCUUGUCUGUAAGAUUGAUUUUUUUUCUUUAAAAAAAUAAAAAGGGAUGAGAAAUCUUACCAACUAAAUACCAACUUCGAAUUUUGUUAUUAUUCAAACUUUGUAUUUCUUGCUCAUAGCCAGUUAAACUGUGUCUAACUGUCAUGCAGGUUCCAUUUUUAGUUGAUUAACUGUAUAUACAAAAUUAAAUCACCUGAGCCUCUGGUUUCACUAUUUUCCAACUUGAAACUAAAACGCAGAAUUGAUGGGGUAAUUCAUGGGGAAUCAGAUGGCCAUCUAUUUUUAGGUCUAUUUUAUGUACUAUUGGCCGCCAGGUAGCUUGGUCAUAUACGUGUAUUGGGAUGUCAUGGGGCCUAAAAAAUAAAGGUGAAAAUCAGUCACAAAUCUGAAGUGAAAAACAGUAACUAGAACAGAAUCUAUGUUUUGAUGUCUUUAGUUUAUAAGCUCAAACAAUUAAUAGUAUAGAAAAUGCAUGAUAUAGCACAGAACUCAUGUUUUAGCAAUAAUCCUAAGCUCAAUGGCCCUUAGUUCAGAAUGACAAUUCUUAUUAGUCAAAGAAUCAAAAUGAUUUUUAGUUGUUCAUAAGCAGAUCACUAGAUCAACAAAUAAUUGAAGACUGGCUUGGCUAUUGAACCAUACGCGGCAAUUCGAAGACUGAAACUUAACUCUGCCGUUCGAAGUAAGCAACUCAGGUGCCCAAAGGCCGUCAAGCCAUCAAGACAAUAUGAAGAUACAACAUCAAUAAUAAUAACAUCAAGAAAUACAUAGAGGCCAUUACAUAUUACACCUAUCCCAAUUAGAAAUUAGUUAAUACAGUCCUAGCUCCUCUGUUUUAAAAGAAAUUUACAAACCCAUGCAGUAGGAAUAAUUAAUUAAUUUAUACAGUUCGGUACUCAUCCCUCUUCUGUUUCAAAUCCAUAUCCACUGCUCUGCCAUUUAUUACUACGCAAGGUAUAUGGGUUAGCAAGUGCCGACAUUGUCCUCCAUUCUUUGUGUGCCUUUCUUCUAUCAAGGGACAACCCAAGAUCUCUAAUCGCAAGAAAAAUAUUUCAGAGUAAAAAGUGAUUUCUUAAAAUCUAUUAGCUAGUGCACAUAAUAAAAGGGCAUUCAUGGUAAAUUUUAGACUACAAGUAGUCCAACCUUUUAAUAAUAUUCUGCAAUCAAUUCCGUUUGUUUUAAAAUAAAAGAAAUCCAUCUCUUUAUUACUUUCUAAUUAGUCAUAUUAAUGUGUUAAUAAUUAUGAAGAACCAGCGUAAUUUAUAUGAUGUAGGAAACCCUUUAGGCAAAAUAACCUGAAUUUUUUAGAGUAGCGGCUAGACAUAUUGGGCAUAACCUCAGUUUCUGUUACUUCUUUGACCCUGCCUAAGCUCUUUUAAGGGCUAAUAUCAAAAUUUCGUGAUAUUGUGCCUAAAGAGCUUCCAAUUCAAGGAGCUCCCCUGUUUUUGACUGAAACAUAUGUAAUCCGAACAAUUUGUAAUUAGAUAAAUCAUUCAAAAUCUCCCUCAAUCUAACCCACAUUUCUAUGGUUUAAUAACAUAUCACAAAGGUGCCUAAUAUAAUGAAAUUAGCAUUAGUUCACGAGAUUGCCAUUAUAUAUAUUGAAAAAGAAAUUAAUACAAGAAACUGAAAAUUAAUUGACACUGGAUCACGUCGUGUUGUUAGUUUGAUUAUGAUGGGAAUAUAAUCUUGGUCUUUUAAUUAUCAUCUAGCUACCGCAUGUGCACUAGUUUCAUUUGUGUCUAUCACUAAAGAGUAAAGUUGCUUGAUUUGAAUAGUAUCAUAUCAUAGAAACUCAAAACUCAAUUUCGUUGCCCGAGUAUACCAUGCCAUAUGUAGCUCAAAAGUGCAAUAACAUUGAACAGUCAGCUAGCUAGCUUAUACUAAUUAAUUAAUACAACUAUCAGUUAUUUUUUAUUAAUUAAAAGAGAAAAUAUUUGACAAUCGCGAAAACAACAACAAUUCACUCCAAUAAACAACAUAAUAAAUACAUGAUAUAUAUUACAAGUCUUUUUAUGAUGUAGAUUAGAAGGGAAAAUACGAAGGACCUAUUAUAUAUUAUAUAUGAUUGAAUUUAAUCCAUGAUAAUUAGACAAAAUAACACUAAUCUAGCUAACUAAUCCAACCAUCAUAAUAAUUUGAUUUUCAUUAUUUUAUUGUGUCCAAUCAUGCUAAUUUAAUAAAAAAAACACAGAACACUUGAGGAUUUAGAUAUUCAACAACUUUGGCCAAGUUCGAAAAAGAUUAGAGCUUCCUUCAUGCUUUGUGUUCUUAUGUUACACAUGAUCAUAUUAUGUUACAUUUGACAGAAAACUGAAAAUUAUUGAAAAAAAAAAAAAUCUUAGUUAGCACAUGAUCAAAAUGAGAGAAUAAUGCACACACAUCACAACAAUGUUUCAUUCAUUUUGAAUCUAUAUUUACAAAACUUGUAUCCGAUGGUUUACAUUUGUUUAAUCUAACGGCUAUGACAUGUGUACUGUCAAAACGCUACAGCUGCCAUCUCUGUUUGUCCUUGUUGCAUCCUUGAUCUUAUAUUAUCCUGGAGAUUAUUGAAUGUUCUUCUCAUUCUCAUGUGCUCGAGGGUCCUUUCUUGAGACAUUUCAGCAAACACCUGAUUCAUCCUAUUAAACAUCAGCAUCAUUAAUCAGUAAAUGAUGUAAGGUAGCCCUGUUUUGAGAAGUCAACAUAAAUCAGUCACCUUAGAUUUUCUCAGUCUCAGAGCACAACGGGUGAUGAUUUGAUGAGAAAUAUUAAUAUGCAUGCAUCCCCUGAAUUAGCUAGAGCUGGUUGUCAUUUUCUUCUUUCUUUUGGUACGGUUUUAGAUUUUUAAUCAAUCAGAUUCAGCUGCAUGUUUGCUUUUAGUCCAAACCAAAAUAAGAUAUUAAGUACUUUUGCCAGAAUAGACGCAACCAAAAUUCUAUGGGAUCUGUAGUUCCUAGUUCAUGCAGAAGCGGCCGAAUGCUUCCGGCAACUCAGGCAGAUAGAACCCUGGUUGAUUCGUUUUUCUUCAUCUGAAAUUCUACCUAAUGCCUAUCCUCUUAAUUGGUUUAAAUUCUUCUUUUUUUUCUUUGAAUUGUUGAUUUAUAAUGUCUUGUAUGCAAAAUUUAUAAUUUCGGAUGAUGAUAAUCUUGUUUAAGAAGAGAUUUCUAGUUACGGCAGCAGCAUUCUUGAUCAUGGCGCUCUGGUUUGCUUAGUUUCCUUUUUGUCUCUGAUAUUUUCUUGGCAUUCUUGUUCUCUCUUGUAAUAAAGUGCUUUUGAUAAAUUCGCCUGGUCGGUUUACUUCACUGACCAUUAAUGAGCAAAUCCUCCCAGUGACCCUCAAACUCUUCUACACAAUUAUAAUAAUUUCAGUUUUACAUAUACAAAAAUGAACAGCUCUCAAAUAUAUUAUUUGAUAAUGACAAAAACAAUAAUUCACUCCAAUAAAUCUCAUAAUAAAUACAUGAUCUACAUUGCAAGUCUUUUUAGGACGCAUUCAAAGAGAAAACAUAAGGAAUGGCAUUGCAAGAAUAUGGAAUCAGAAUAAAAGGGGAUGGUCGAGUUGGGUUGCUUGCAAAAUUAUUGGUGCGGGGUUCUACUUGUUUUUGUUUCACUUUAUUAAUUAAUUAGCGAAGCACACACGUCAUCAUUUGAAAAAGAAUCACUAGCACCAGCUUAUGAAAAAUAAAUUUGUAAGACAUAUUAAUUUCAAUGAAAAUGUAGCGUGAUUAUGUUAUGAAUUCAUUAACUUACUUCAUAAAUAUUCUUCAUCAUUAUGGUUAAUGGCUUAGCAAAUGCAGGAGCAGGGGUCACCCAAAAGUAAAACACUUUCUCUUGUAUUAACCUUUGCUAGCCGUCGAAGUUAAACAAGUUAAAACAGUUCCAACUCAGAAGUAGUAGUGCCCAAUUGGGUUGUUAUAAAUAUUUCGGAAUUUCAGUCUAAGUUGAUUUGUUUAAUUAUGUAUGCACAAACUAGCUUGACCACUUCUUUCAUAUUGAUACCUAUAAAUUGCAACCUUAUUUUACGUUGAUGCACAAUCUAACUUAACAAAAACAAUAUUCAAAUUGUCACAGAAUGUUUUCUUCUUAAUAUAUAUAUAUAUAUAGUAGUUAAUUUUUCUUAUUCUUCACUCCAGGAUCCAGCUCCAUACCCCUCUUUUUUGUCGUUAUGCUGCUCAGCCGUUAGAUUUUAAUUAUGUUAAUCUAACGGUUGAGAUUUGUAAAUGAAUAAUGAAGUGGUGUUUGGCUACUAUCUGAGCCCAUUGCAUCUAUUUGGUGUUGUGAUUUUUCGCUUGACUGGUUCUGAAAAUAUCGGCAGCCAUCGACAUCAAAUCUGAACAAAGGCAACAGGAGGUGAUCGUGGUGAAAUUGUUUUUUGGCAUGCGAAUCUAACGACUUUCGAAUACGUUCAUUCAAAUAUUAAAUGCAAUUCAGGCAAAUAGAAGCUUGGUUGAUUGAUUGCUCUUCAUGUGAAAUUCUACCUAAUGGCUAUCCUUUUAAUGGUUUAUACUGUCUUAUAUGCAAAUUAAAUUCAGAAUUCGGAUGAUAAUAAUCUUGAUUUAGAACAGAUUAGGUAACAUUUGGCAUUCUACAUUCUUGCAAUGCCAUUUCUUUUUAUGGCAGCACCAUUUUUUAUCAUUGUUUGUGUGGACCUAUUUGCUGAAUUCAAAACUUGGCGUGUUAAAACGGCAUUGUUUUGUCCAUUAAGAUGUUUCAAGUUGUCCCCGGCUGGACAUAUGACUCACUUAAUGAUACCAAAACGGCGAGGCAUGAAGGUGUUUUGGCUAAAGGCUUAAGUUCUGCAUGUGACAAGCACGUGAGAGAAGAAUCAAGUUAGUUAUAAGUUGUUAUACACGUGGGUGGAUCUGGUGCAAUCUGGGGUAAUGAACACCCGUUAUAUAAGCUGAGCUUUCAGACAGUUUCAGCAAGAUGUAAAGAGCUUUCUAGAGAGAAUGAAGAGAGAGAAAAAGUAUCAUGUUAUUCCUUGUUAGUUUCUCCAUGUGAGCUCUGUCAAAUACUUUGAUUCAUAAAUAAAACUCAUUUUAGUCGAUUCUCCCUUGGAUGCAUGUUCUGCCUCAUUGCACGGCCGAACCACGUAAACAGUGCUCGUUUCUGGGUGUGAUUGUUUGUUAAUCUUGCUUAUUUCUUGGCUGAAAUCUUGCUUUAAGUUCUUAAGUCAUCUAUUGAGUUCAUCGAGGUCAUUCAAUUGUUCAUAUGUAGCUAGUUUGAUCUUGUACAGGGUCUUAGGCAGUGUUUUGAUAGCUUGAUUAGCAUUAGCGGCUAUCUUGACAGUACAAUUGGUAUCAGAGCUAGUUCUUCAGAUCAAGAUCCAAGUAUGGCUCCAUCAAAGAUUGAUCUUGAGAAGUUCAAUGGAAAGAAUGACUUUAAUAUGUGGAAGGUUAAGAGGGAAGCAUUGCUGGUAACACAGGGUCUUGGGUAUGCUAUUCAACAAGUAACCAAAAAACAGGAAAGGAGGUAUCUUCGUCAAAGACCCCAGGGCAGGUUGCUGAGAUAGACAAAAGGGCUGGGGGACAAUAAUCUUGAGCCUUGCAGACUCAGUGAUAAGGGAAGUGGCAAAAGAACCACGGUUGUUGACUUAUGGGCUAAGUUGGAGAGUAUGUACAUGAAAAAAUCCCUUGCUAACAGAUUGUACACAUAAAGAAGAGCAUCCCUUGCUAACAGAUUGUACACAUAAAGAAGAGCAUGUUUACAUUAAAGAUGAUUGAAGGCUCAUCUCUUGAUGAUCAUAUUGAUGGGUUCAACAAAGUGUGUGACACUUUGAAAGCAUUGAUGCAGCAUUAAAUGAUGAAGAUAAAGCCUUAUUAUGAAUGAGCUCCCUUCCCAAAGUCCUAUCAGCAUUUUGUUGAUGCCUUGAUGUACACACACACACAUAUAUAUAUCAUAAAUUUUAUUUUAUUUUGUAGUUAAGUCUUUAUGUUUUUUUCAUUUGUGUCUAUCACUAAAAAGCAGAGUACUUGCUUGAUUGAAUAGUGUCAUAUUACAUCACAUAAACUCUCUCAAUUAUUGAAAAAAAAAAAUCUUAAAAGAUCCCUACUUUGUGCUUAAAAAAUCUUUAAAAAAAUCUUUAAAAAUCUUCAAAGUUUUCAAUUAUUGAUAACUGAAAAUUAUUGAAAAAAAAUCUUAAAAGAGAUGUGUUGAAUUGUGAAAUUAAAACUGAGUUUCAGACAUUUCGGACAUGUCGGUUUAUAUCCGUGAUUGUGCAUGCCCUGUCGGUUGCUUGAUGAAACAGGAGAAUAUUGACCUGUGUGUAUUAUCGUUUACUUCCUGCAAUUAAAUCACAUGUUGUUCAUGUGAUUCCAUUUACUCUAUACGGCACAUUUGGCAGUCGUUUUGGUCACUUACUGAAGCACGGGUUAAGUACUUGAUUCAAGGUUGUUAACUGACCUUUACAAGGCGGGAAAAUUCUGGGUUUGUUAUAACAAACCCGGAAUGCAGCUAGUGAGUGGGGGAGUUUUCUAGACUCUUCAUGAUAUGUAUAUAUAGUCUUAGAGGCUAUAGUUGAGACAUAUGAAAAGCUUGUAACUUCUUCUUAAUGUUUGUAGUUUGAUCUCGGUGAUGGAGAUAAGAUUGCUGCCCUGUUCUCCAGGCCGAACCACUUAAAUUGUGCCUCUGUUUUGCUUGAUGACUACCAGUGGUGAGAAAACAGCUACAGAACAAAUCAAGCUUGAUGACUCAAAUAUUAGGGAAGCCAUAGUCAAGGCAUCUGGUUUAUGCAUCAACAGUGGUUCGUGGACUAGAAUUCCUAGCUAUUGCCGCUUCACAAUUGCACUGGAAGAAAGCGAAUUUGAUCGAGCUUUGGAUCGCAUAGCUAAAUUCAAAAGCAUCGUACAAAUAGUUAACUAAAAAACGGUAUUGUCAUUUGUCAUGAUUUAUUUCUAUUGCCUGAUGAUGAUACCCAUCACGCCUUAGUUGUCGUGAAUAAAUCUAAAAUCAACAUUUGUGACGUUAAUAUCCAUUUGUGACGUUUUGAGAUUAUAAUAUAUGACAACACUGAUUAGUGUUGUCUCCCAUGUGAAUUGAGACAAAUUAUUUUCCCAAUUGCGCUUUCAUUUGAACAAUUCCACUGUAGAUUUAUAAAAUAAUGAUCAAAUUGUGUUUUUUAUUAAGUUACGAGUAAUUGGUUAAAUAUUAAUACAAAACUAUUGUGAGAUGAAUGAAUCAAGUUGGUUCUAGAAACGACCGUGUUUUGGAGCUGUAAAGCUUCAUUAAGCUCACGUGCUUCUCAGCUGGUUCUUAACAGAAAACGAACUGAUCGAAACGACAGAGCUCAAGCGCGUUUUGUGUAUCAGUUUAAGUGACCACGUGAGGAAGCAUGUGACAAAGGUUUUCAGAGUUCGUUAAGGUUGUUAAACCACGUGUCAACGAGCGGCUUAUUCUGGAAAUCAAGGAAGCUACCCAAACAGAGUAUAAAGGCUGGUUUUUUGGGGUGAUUCAACAACGAUUUUCAUGAGUCUUGCAGAGAGGGUUUUAUGAGAGAGAAAGUGUGAACUUGUUCUCUGAAAAGUCUGGUGUAAGGUUCUGUAACAAUCUCCAUUACUGUUUCAAUAAAGCUCAUCUUGAGGCUUCUCCCGUGGAUGUAAGCUGAGCAUUCCAUGCUUAGCUGAACCACGUUAAUCUUGGUGUCUGUGGUUCUUUUCUUGGUUCUUGAAUCUUCAGUUUCUUGUUUGUGUUCAUAGCUAUUGUGCUUUGUUGUUCUUGGGUGAAUUAGUCUAAGUAAAUCUUGGGGGUGUGCAACUUGCAUUGACUAAAUCACAAGCAUCCUAGGGCAGUGGCCAGUUUAGCUUUGUUAUAGGCUUGCUGUUUCACUACAACUAUUUUAAGUAACAUGUGGCAUAUUCUAAUUCUAGCCAAGCUUCCAACUAAGAUUCCCAAAUCAAAAGAAUUUCAACCUUCAGAACAUUCUGCAAAACGUUUAGUCUCUACGCAGUGCUAGAAUUUUCCCUAAGUUUCUAUCGCAAAGACUUCUAAAGAACUAUUCAGAUAUCGAGCUAUAAUCCAGUCUAAAGUGUAUAUAUCUCUCUAAUUCACCUCCCUCCAUUUCACCAGAAAAUCGACGAACACUUAGCUUCAAACAAACACUCUCAAAAAGCUAGCUAGCUACCCAGAUGGCAAAACCAAGAAUUCUUGCAAUGACAAUGUUGUUUCUUGUUAUGGCAGCAACAUUGAUGAACAUGGCAUCACAAGCAAACGCUCUGAUGCCGUGCACACAAUCACCUUUCUUUGACAUGAUGUUCCCAAUGACGGAAGAGCCUUUCAGGGUUCUUGAACAAACCCCUUUAACAAUCGCAAAAGGAGCUGAUCAUCAUCAAACUCUAGCCCCAGCGAGAGCAGACUGGAUGGAGACACCAACAGCCCACAUGAUCACGCUCGACAUUCCAGGGAUGAAGAAAGAUAAUAUGAAGAUUGAAGUUGAAGAGAACAGAGUACUGAGAGUGAGUGGGGAGAGGAAGAGUAAUGAUUAUUAUAAGGAGGGAGUUGAAGGAGAGAAAUGGCACAGAGCUGAGAGGACAUUUGGCAAGUUUUGGAGGCAGUUUAGGAUGCAUAUGAGUGCUGACUUGGAUCAUAUUAAGGCUCACAUGGAAAAUGGGAUUCUGAGGGUCACAGUACCAAAGCUUGCUGCGUAGAAGAAGAGGCAGCCUAAGGUUAUUAACAUUGAUGAAGAGUCUGGUAAUUCUUCCAAUGAAGAUAUUAAGGCUACCAAGGCUCAAAUGUAAUUGAUUAAAGAAAGAAGUGAUUGCUUUGCUUGAUGUGCUAUUUGUUUAUGAUCUUUUCUUGGUUUUGUUGUGAGAUGUUUCUAUUUGGAUGCUCUAUUUAAUGUAUUUUGAUGGGUUUUUGAGGAAGGCUUGUAUGUAUUGACAACAAUAAACUGCUUUUUAUAAAUCCUAGUCCUACAACACUAGAAGAAAUUAAUACGCUUGGUUUAUAGUUGAUAAAAAUAUCUUUUUUUUAAAAAAAAAUCUUUUUCUUUGGCAUAUAGUAUGCCUUUUGAGGGGAAAAAUAUUUAUCCCACUCCUAAUUCGUCCUCUUCUGUGAUAUUAAUGUGUUAACACGAAGAUUCAUUGUAAUUGCAACAAUUUUGACGAAUCCAAAAGUUCAAUAACUGUUAAAUUGUAUUUAUAAAUACUAAUAGCGAAGGUACAGAAACGAUUAAUUCAAGAAGUUGCUUAAAGUGCAUUAAAUUAGGGAGUAUAAAUAAUUGUGUGAUACAGUCCAGCCUUCAUCUGCUUAUAAUUAGCAACCAAAAACCACUUUGCAACGCCAUUAAAAAAACAUUUUAACAUUAUUGCUGAGGGAAGAGUCAGCUUAGGCUUAUUAACUCGUAUUAUUAAUGCUGAUGACGCAGCUGGUAAUCCUUUUGGUGAAUAUAUUAAGGCAGCUGAAGCUUAAAAUUAAUUAAGCCCACUAAAGCUUAAAAGUAAUUCUUCUAGUGACGAUGCUUUGCUUAGUUCGCUUUUUGUUUUUAAAUUUUUUUGGGGCCAACGUUUUGCUUAUUUUGCUUUUUAAAUUCUAUUCACUUUCUCCUUCAAUUUUCUGUUUUUGUUGUUAUCGAAUUUGAUGAUGGUUUAUAUGUACGAAGAUUAUGUAAUAAAAUGCUAUAUAUUAUGUAAUAAAGUGCUUUUGUAACUAUAUAUAUAUAUAUAUAGAUAUUUCAACAACUGAGGAAGAGAUGGCCAUUAUACAUUACACAUUUGCACUCAAUAAGAAAUCAAUUCAUUAAUAUAGCCAAUAACAAGCCUGGUUUAUUGUUAAUGAAAAUUAAAAAAGAAAAAAAAAGUCUUUUUCUUUGGCCUUUAUUAUGCAUUUUAAGAGGAAAAAAAUUUAUCCCACUCCAAUUCAUGAAGAUAUUCUCUUUUUUGUCAUAUUGAUGUGUUAAUAUGAAGAUCCAUUGCAGUUGGUGAAUUCAAAUAUUCAGUAACUGAUGAAAUUGUAUUUAUAAAUUCAUACUAAUAGCAAUUGAAGAUUAUAAUUAAUUUUGUAAUAUGGUCUAGCCCUCGUGUGUUUAAUUAGCACUCAAAAACCACUUUACAAUAGGCAUUAAAAGAACAUUAUAACGUCAUUGCUGAUGAGUUCUGGUGAAGAUAUUAAGUUAAGGCCACAAAAAUCGAAAUGUACGUAGCUUCGUUUGUUUUUUGUUUUUGAUUUUUUUUGGGGCAAAUGCUUGGCUUCGUUUGCUUUUUCGUUUUUGAUAUUUUCUUGGCUUUAUUGUGUGGCAUGUUCUUGUUUUCUUUUGAUUUUCUGUUUUGGGUGUUAUAGAAUUUGAUGACGAUGUACAAACACUAAUUAAUUACUAAUAAGAACAUUAACAAUUUUUGUCGAAGUUUGAUCAAGAGAAAUAUUACACAUAUAUAACCGUACAGCUAAAUAAAAGAAAAUGAAGUUUAUUUCUAACGGCUAAGCAUGAGAUACGCAUAAGAAAUUAAUCCAUUAAUUAAUUAAUUAAUAUACAUGUCCCCCGCUGCUAAAAUAAUGCGAGCCCCUUACUCUACUUAACAUUUUUCUUUUUAUUAAUUUAUCAACUGAGAUUUGAAUUUUAAAAUUACAUACACAAACACGCUUGAUUUAAAAGAAAAAAAUUCUAAUAAUAAAAUAUUUUACAUAUGUAACCAUACGGCGGAAGAACAAAUAUAAGAAACUUACAGCUGAGAAUGAGAUAGGCAUAAGAAAUUAAUUAAUAGAGUCCUCCUCCUUUGCUAAAUAAUGCGAGCCCAUUGUUCUUUUUAUUUCGAAAACCCAUUAAUCACCAACACAUAAUACACGCCCAAUUUAAAAAAAAAAAAAAACUACUAAUAAAAUAUUUCAGUCUUCUGUUGAGUCGUCAUCAAAAACCCAUUUACGAUCUAUUACAACAUAAGGUAUAUGGGUUAACAAGUCCCAAUAUUGUCCUCCAUCCUUUCUGCACUUCUCUGCUAUCAACGGACAUCCCCCGAUGUAUAAUUGCAAAAGUGAGGAAGGCAGGCCCUUCUCCGGAAAGUAUUUGAGCUUGGGACAAUCCUCGAGAUACAAUUCAGUGAGGUUUUGAAGAUCAACAAUUGAAGAAGAUAGGCGUUCCAGAUUUGGAAAACUGAAAAUCAACAGAGAUGUUAGAGAGGCAGGAAGAGGAAGCGCGGUCCCCAAUCUUAUGUCAUCUGCCUUUGGUGGGAAUGACACCAUGUCGUCAUCGCAUCCGCUGAUUCUAAGUUGUCGCAGAGAGGAGAAUCUGUGGAAUCCCCGACCCCACUCAAUCGUUGACUUCCAAAUCUCCAUAUUACCCGCAAUCCACAGUGAAUGAAGGUUGGUGGGAAGGCCAUCUUCUUCAAGGCUUGGAAGCUCAACUCCUCUUCCUAUUGUUAAUUCUUGAAGAGAGGUCAGAUUGUGCAAUCCCUUGGGUAAGGCCUCCAGUCUCUCACACCCAUGGAUCCUGAGCUUACUCAGUUUCGCACAAGGCAAUCCCCCUUCGGGAAAGGACUCCAGAUUUCCACACCUUCCAAUACUAAUCUCUUGAAGCUGGUGGAGAUUAUGUAAACCACUCGGUAAAUUUUUCAGAUUUCCACAAUAACAAAUGUCGAUUGUUUCAAGAGAUGUGUUGUUGUCCAACCUUUCUGCUAUUGACUCCAGCUUUGAACAACUAAGAACAUGAAGGGACUUAAGAGACGGAGGUAGAUUGCCAACUUCAAGGGACUCAAGCGUGGCAGGUAACUCGUUUUUUGAAAAUAUACAUGUCAGAGAUCGACAACUCUCAAUUUCCAACUUCUCGAGAAGAGAUGAGGUGUACCUUCUGCUGCUGCUGCUCCUCUGGAUGCCCUCUUCCACUGUCAAAGUCCUUAUAUUAUCACAAUCGCUGAUGCUCAGCUGCUUGAGGCUCGGUGGCAGCUGGACAGCAGCAAUAUAUGUCAACGAAUGGCAGUACAAAAUACUCAAGAUCUCGAGAGAUGAAUUGGUGUCGCACAUCCAUGCCUCUGGUAACGAUUUCAGUGCAUCACAACUGCAAAUCUCAAUUUUCCUCAACUUGGAAGGCAGAGCAACCUCAGGAAAGGAAACAAGGGACCAGCAGCCGUAGAUUUCUAUCUCUCUCAAGGAACUGAGGCUGAGCGAUGAUUGUGGCAGCUUUACAAGGCCUUGGCAGCCGCUCAAUCUUAGAUAUUCAAGUCUGCAUGACAACUCGCAGAGCUGCUGUUGUUGGUCUUUCUCUUCCUCCGCCACCAAGGAUUGAAGUUUGGGACAGCUUGCAAUCGUCAGUCUUUUAAGAGAGCAACUGUCUUGUAGUAAUCCGUUAUGACUCUUCCAGAUAUAUGUAUGCUCUUUCAUAUCAUUUAUCUCCAAUUCUUCCAAUUUUGGCAGUUGCGGCUUUAAUGGCCCUGCGAGAAACACUUGAUUUGAUGCAUCUCUACAAACCACUGAAUUUUGAGAUCCGAGAUGACCAGUUGCACUUUCCCACACAACCUUUUUACAUCCGCCAAUCUGUAAUUUGCAAAGAGCUGGAAGACUCGAAACUGAAACUGACAAUUCUUCACAUCCUUCAAUAACAAGCAUCUCCAAUGCAGGAAGGUGCUCUGGAAAUGGUCCUUUCAAUUUAGAACAUCUUAAAAUGUGAAGCUCUCUCAAUUUAGGAAACCCUUCAACAACUCUUUGACUGGAUCCAUGGGAAAUCCAGUCUUCCCAUUCUCGCAUGUUUUCAAAAAUAAGAGUCUCCAAGCAUGGAAAAGGAAUUGGAGGAUCAUUCCCAUAGAACUCUGAACCCAACCUCUUUACUCUGCUCAUUCCACAUACUGCAAGAUGCUUUAGAGAGGGUAGUUGCCCGACUGACGGCAGGGCAGUACACAUGUCACAAUUUUCAAAUUUUAGGGUCACCAAAUUUGGCAAUGAGGAAUCUCCUAACCAAGCUGGAAAUUUUGUACCUCCAUAGCCACUGAUACAAAAUUGUUCCAAAAUUUCAUGAGGUUUUAGCAUGUCAAGCACAUCGUUUUCAGUUUUUGCCUCCCUUGAAGAUGAGCCAUCGGUAUUGAGUGCCCAUCGAAGCAAUAAUUCUCUAAGAUUCUUCUUUCCAUCCAAUUGAGCCUCCUUUGCAUCACCAACACAUUUUACAUUCUCCAAUUUUGAAAUGUUAAGUGUCCCAUGAAGGUGCGUCAACAACUUUAGCUCUCGUAACCCGGAACCACUGCCUUUUCCCACAACAAAAUUACACAACGUCUGAAGACAAGUCAACCUACCAAUUCCUACUGGCAUUUUCUCUAAAGAAUCUGUAUUUGAAUUCUUAAGAUGAUGCAAUUUGAGGAGAUUUCCCAUGUCUGCACACAACUUCUUCAGUUUCCGACAGUCCUCCAACAGAAGGGUGUGCAAAUUAUAAAGCUUAUUGACUGAUUCAGGCAGAGCUCUAAUCUGAGUUCCAGAUAGGUUAAGGUACCUUAAAUACCUCAAAUCACCAAUUGAAUCCGGCAGCUCAGGGAUGUGGUAUCCACGCAGAGAGAAGGCCCUCAAGCGUUGGAGUUUGAACAACUUAGGAAGAAUGCUAUAAGCCAAGUGUCCACGCGAACUAUUUGACAACGUUACUGGUAAAAAAGUUCGCAAAUGUUGGAUAUCGUACAAGUCCACAAACCUUUUAACGCCAUCACAAUAUUCAGGAAUGUAUGAUAGAUGACGAAGAUUUUCGGAAAAACUUUGCUGCUUGUUAACCUCUGAGGUAUACUCCAUUGUGAAGUAUAUCUCCCCCGCAGCCCAACGGGCAAGGUCAUUGAUAAGAUCGUGCAUCACAAAUCGUGAUAUACUGUUGCUUGAUUGCUGGAAAAAAGAUCUUGCACGUAGCUCUCGAAAGAACUUUCGACCUAGAUCUUCACUAGGAUUCCCGCUCUCUCCGUGAUCCAAGAGACCCACAGCACACCAUAAUAAAAUUAUCUCCUCCUCUUCAAAUUCAUAAUCCUUUGGAAACAAUGAGCAGUAUGCAAAGCAUUGUUUCAAAGGUGCCGAAAGAUAAUAGUAGCUCACUCUAAGCGCAGGUAUAAUGUCACAUCUCUCUUCUGGUAAAUCCCAUAUCUUGCAACUGAGCACAUCUUCCCAAUCACUUCGGUCACGUUUACCACGUAAGAGUCCACCAAGAGUUUUCGCAGCUAAGGGUAAGCCGUUGCAUUUGAUCACUAUAUUCUUGCCAAUGUCCUCCAAUGACUUAUGUGAACUGAAAUCUGUUGUCCCCAAAGAGUGCUGAGCGAACACAGACAGACAGUCCUCAGUUGACAAGCUUUUGAGUUCAUAAGCUUGAUCCAGGCUCAUGAUUUUGGCAACCUCUUCAUUGCGAGUGGUGACAACAAUCUUACUUCCCUGUGCGCCAGCUUGAAAUGGAAGGCUGAGGUGAACCCAGUCAUUGUAAUUCUCAUUCCAAACGUCAUCUAAAACAAGCAAAAAUUUCUUUCCAAAUAGUUGUUUCUUUAGCUCCUCUUGAAGCUUAUUCAAGUCGUGAUUAUCCACAUUCUGGUCACUAGCAAUUGAAAGUAGGAUUGAUUUUGUAAGCCUGCUAACAUCAAAAUCAUCGGAGACGCAAGUCCAUGCCUUGAGAUUAAAAUGAUCCUCCACCUGCUUAUCAUUGUAGACAAGCUGAGCAAGAGUGGUUUUACCCAGCCCGCCCAUACCUAUAAUAGGAAUAACAGAGAAUCCACCAUCAUUUCUUGAAUCAUCCUUCAACAACAAUUCAACAAUUUCCUUCUUUUCUGUUUUCCUGCCAUAUACUUUGGCUUCCUCCACCAAAGAGGUUGUCUCUUGCCUUCGCCUGGCUUUUUUGGAUCCCCCAGCUGAACUUUUUAUCAAAUUCAGCGAGCGUAUUCCUUCUUCAAUAUCUUGAAAUCUGUCGCUGAUCCCUUUGAUUUUGGACAUCAUGGCGUAAUCGAACUGAAUCGAUUGUGGAGUAAAAGUGGGGCAGCAAGUAGGAAUGAGCUUCCGAAACUUACUUUUCGUGCUUGUACGACUGCUGCUGGGUUGAUCAUGAGCAGCAGCUGGUUCUCCAUUUCCAAGCAGCAACUGCCUCCGGAAAGCCUCAGUUUGGAACUCAUCCAACAAGUCUUCAACAUCAUAAGCCAAGUUCUGAAGCUCGCCAAGCCACUUCUUCACAGACCGAUUAGUCGUCUUCUUCUCCUCAGCAUCAUCAAUCAUUAUUUGUAAUUAAAGAAUGAGGUCCAAUCAAUUUAUUGGAGAAAAAUUAAUUUUAAUUCUUAGGAUUUGAUUUCACUCUCUUUUACUUUUUGACGUUGCUAAAGAGACAGUAAAAAACUUACUAAAUGUCAUCAAAUGCUUGUAUAUCAUCUCACACUUUAGCCACAAAUGCUUGAUAUUUUUUUUUUCUUUUUUCCCGUACAGAAAGAAACAGAAUUUUGAGUUCUAAAGCAAAAUGAGAAAAUUGAGCAAAAUGCAUGUAGCAAGUCUUCCGCAUGUUUAUUCCAGUAAAGUGAAAAUAGAUAAUUGAAAAAUGAUAAACGAACGAAAGCGCACGAAGGGACGACAGAAAACGCGUUUCCUCAUCCAAUUUUGUUCUUGUGGACCGAAAAUAAAUAAUAAAAUAUUUUUUUUGGGAACCGAUAACAAAUAGUAAAAUAAAGAAUAAAAAAAAUGGUGUGAACGAACGAAAGCACAACGAAGGAGGAACGACAGAAAACGCGUUCCCUCAUCAAAAUUUUCUUUUAUGGGACCGAUAAUAAAUAAUAAAAUAUUUUUUUGUGGACCGAUUAUAAACAGUAAAAUAAAAAAUGAAAAAAAGGAUAGUGACGACGAACGAAGGCGCGAGGAAGGGACGACAGAAAACGCGUUCCCUCAUUCAAUUUUUCUUUUGUGGGACCGAUAAAAAAUAAUAAAAUAUUCUUUUAUGGGACCGACUAAAAAUAGUAAAAUAAAGAAUAAAAAAAUGAAAAAAAGGAUGUGUGCAAUUUUUCUUUUAAUAAUUUGGCAAUUUUUCGUUGCCAGAUUCAAUGAAUGUAAAAUCGCACCUCGAUUCAAAAUAAAUUUUAGCUGAACAUAAAUUCGCCUCAUUUAUUAAAUAUAUAUACUUAAUAUAAUAACAACGAUAUAGACCCAACUGAAAUAACUCAACGGAGAAAUUGAAACUUACUUUUUUAGUUAUGGCUCAUAUAUAAUACAAGUAUCAAGAUUUAAGUAGAGUUCACAUAUACACAUGCGGCUAGUUUUAACCGAGAGAUAAAUUAAUCAUUAAUACUCAGGUGUUUCUAAAUGAUUGAAUAAUGAUAUUAUACGAACCUUCCCUUUACAAGUCUUCACACUCAUAAACCAAGUUAAAAUAAAAUAAAAUAAAAAACGUUUCUCUCUCUCUCUCUCUCCUUUUGCCAUAUGAUUACUUUAUUUAUUGAAUUAAUUUCCAUGCUAUAAAGAAGACUUAAAAGUACACUAUAAUUUUUUAUAAUCACAACGGUAAUUUCUAUCAUCAUAGUAUAUUAUUGUCGUGUCAAAAUAAAUUAUAACAAAAUUUUAGAUGAACCUAAGUUCGACUCGUUUAUUAAAUAUAUAUACUUAGUAAAAAUAAUAAGACGAUUAAUAUGUUAUCAGGUAUAGGAUCAUUUGGCCACUUGGGCUUGUAGCCCAAUGGUGAACCAUUGUCCUUAAAGUUAAGCAUGACUAUGAGGACAAUGGUUCGAGUCCCCACGGACUCAACCUUCCUCAAUUAAACAUAAUUGUGUGGAGACUUCUUAUAACGUCUUUCUCCCUUGCGAAAUGCGAGUGGAGUAGAGACAUCCCUCCUCUAUGAGGGGUAUUUGGAUGGGCAUGUACUUUAUAGAAUAAAAAUAUAAUAAUAUAAAUCCCAUGUGAGUGGAGUAGAGACAUCCCUCCUCUAUGAGGGGUAUUUGGAUGGACAUGUACUUUAUAGAAUAAAAAUGUAAUAAUAUAAAUCUCAUGUAUAUAUAUCUGAUUGUAAAUAUCAGUAUAAUGACCUGCUAUCAUAACAGUUGUAUAUAUCUCUGUGUAAUUUUAAGUUUAAAAAAAAAAAAAAAAGGUAUAGGAUCAUUUGGGCAAUCCGAAGAGUAUUCCAGAAACCGAACGUGAGAGGCAGAUCUUUUGAUCCAACCAUGGCUUUUAUUGCCCCGUACAAAACUCUACUAUUAAUGUUUUUGUGAACAUUGAAGCAUAUGGACCAUUGACUAAGACAGCGGGACCCCUGAAAAUAGACCGUGGAGAAACGAUAGCAACUUUUAUCGAGAUGUGAACGUACUCACACUCACUACUGGAUCCCUGCCGGCCUUUUAUCUCACCCACCUUCAGACAUUGCCGCUCAAAUCACGAAGGAAAGGCAGUGGAAAGGGUAUGAUUGCUAUCAUUGUCCUACGUCCAUUGGAAAGUUAUAUUUUAAAAAUCACCAACAAGGUAUUUUAGGUCCCCCGUGAAUUAUGUCGUUUUUGUCACCCAUAUUUGCACCGACACUCGGUGGGGUGGUGCGAGGGACUAUUAAGAAUAAAAAUAUGGAGACACCAAUUAGGGAUUAUUAUUAUUAUUAUUAUUAUUAUUAUUAUUAUUAUUAUCAUUGCUUAAAAUCUCUUAAAAAAAUAUAUGUUAACAUUGGGAAGGAUAUAUAAUCUCUUUUUUAUUAGUAAAAUCUGUUUAUUUUAGUAGUAACUUAAUCUUUAAUUUACAUUUACUAUCAUGUCCCUAUAAUAAAUAAAUUAAUAUAUUUAACUUAAGAGAGUGAGCCUUCCAAUUUUACUUCCCAUUUGUCCAAUUGGCUUUCAUUCAUUUACAACCAUGUUUAACAUCUCAUUUUUCCUAAUUGGCAUUGGAAGAAAAUAAAUUUGAUUUUAUUUUUAUCUAUUAUUCAUCAUUUUUUAUCAUUGGUAAGGAUAUAUUCAUAAUUUAAAGUGAAUAAUUUGGACAAAAGAUAAUUAUAUCUUAAUUUUAAGUUGUAAAUAAAAAGUUGUUAGUUUUAUUAUACAUGUCAUCGAUGACAUGUCUUAAAUCAAUAUAUUUAUUUAUUUAUUAUAGGAAUAUAAUAAUAAUUAUAAAUUAUAAAUAAAUUUAUUAUUAAAACAAAUGGAAUUUAUUAACAAAAAUAGGAAUUAUAUAUCUUUUUUAAAAUAUUAAAACAUUAUUUUUUUUUUAGGGUAUCACUGUCCAUUUCCCAUUAAGCAAAAGAAAAAUCAGAGCCCACUAUAAAUAUAAAAUCAAUGGAGCUCAUGAUGAUGCAUUUGCUUUACAUACUAAAUUAAAUAAAAGCCGAACCAAGAAUCUUUGCCUUAGCUUAACAUGAUUAAUUAGGCACUACUUCAUAGAAAACGCAAAAGCAAUGAACCCUUUUUUUAAUCUUAAAUGUCAUGAAUAUAAUUCUUCUGCGUUAAUUAAUCAUUCUUCUCUGACCGUCUCUUCAGGUUCAUUUCAAAAGUUUGAAGAGAGUUUAUCAAUUCUUCUACUUAUAAAAGUAAGUUAAAUUAAAAGAUUUUAAUCUCUCUUCUUAUUACUAUAAGUGCGCUGUGCACGACAUUUUUUUACAAUAAACAAUGCCAAUUUGUAAUGUAAUGUUAUAUUCAUAUUCCCAUCGCGUCGAAAUUUUAAAUAAUGCAAAAUCGACUCGUUUGUUAAAAGGUAUAUAUUUAAUAAACUAAUAACAUAAUUAACAUAACGUAAAUAUUACACUAAUUAAAAUAAAAGACAGUAUCCGCCAACAAUAAUUAAAUUAGCAAGCUUCGCAUGCUCAUGUUUCAAUAAUUAAAUUAGCAAGCUUCGCAUGCUCAUGUUUCAAGAACUUAACAUUGGUGAAUUAACACCAAGGAUCAAUGAAAGAAUUACAAAAUAACAAAAUGGAUACUAUGCAUUUUUUCUUUCAACAGAAAAUGGGACUAAUUUUCAAAUAUUUUCAAAUUCACUUAUUUACAAAAGCAGUACAGAAUGAUUUCCUUUUAUUUUGAAACAUUGUAUGAACACGAAUAACAAUGAUACAAAGAGAAAAGUGGUAAUUCUCUGAUUUUUUUUCUUUUUUCCCUCUUUUUUGAAAGGAGACGUUGGGGUUUGGCUGUUUGCAAAAUUAUUGGUGUGGGGUUCUAUUUGCUUUUGUUUUCACUUUAUUAAUUAACUAGCGAAGCAAACAUGUAAUCAUUUGUAAAGGAGUCACUAGCAUCGGAUUAUGUUAGAUGAAUUUGUAAGACUUAUUAAUUUCAAUGAAAAUGUAGUGUUAUUAAGUUAUUAAUUCACUAAGUUAACUUGAGGUUCUAAUAUUUACUAAUUGUAGUGAUUAAUUUAUUUAACUUGUCAUAAUUUUCAUUUGAGAAUGAAAUUCAAUCAAUGUAUGAAAAAAGAAAAAGAAAAAAGAUAAUUUUUAAAAAUUUUUAAUUUCUAUGAUUUGAUUUCACUUUUUUCUGAAUAUUGACGCUGUAAAAGCUUUCCGAAUGUCAUCAAAUGCUUGUAUCCCAUCUCACAAAUUAGCAAAUAUCGUUUGGUUUCUUUAUACGUGGCCAUCACAAACUAAAAGUAACAACAUCCACCAUAUAUGGAAAAUUAAUUUUGAGAAUACUUUUUACUUUUAAAAGAAAAAUGCGAGUACAAUUUAAUAAGAGAGAACAAGAAUUCAUCAUGUUCCAAGUAACUGAAAAUAAGAUUAUAUAAACUUGAAUGCAGACAUAUCAUAUGUUAAUCUUAAUUUUUUUUGUUGCUGAAAAUUAAUUAAUUAGUUCCACUAUUCCUUUUUUAAUUGUAUGGUGAGAAACACAUUGACCACUUCUGAAUCAUGUUGCAUAUUUGUUAACUCAAAGAAACAGUAUAUUUUUGUAUCAAUCAAACUCACUUUGUUAAUAUUCUUCAUCAUUAUGGUUAAUGGCUUAGCAAAUGUAGGAGGAGUCAACCAAAAUGAAUCACUUUCUCUUGUAUUAACCUUUUAUUAAUUGUUGAAGUUAAAAAAAAUGUUAAAACAAAUUAAAAUAGUUCCAACUCAAAAUCAGUAGGGUGUAAGUAGGUUGUUAUAAAUAUUUUUAAAUUUUAGUCUUUUUUUUUAUUACAUGAGACUAUUGUUUAAACUACAACUCAUAUUACAUGAGACUAUAACUGAUAUUUACAAAUCAGACUAUUAUUGAGACAAACUUUAGCCUAAUUUAAUUGUGUGAUGCACAAACUUUCUCACUUCUUUUAUAUAAAUAAAGGGUAGAACUAUUUGAACUCAUUAAAUCACUUUUUAAAUCCCUCUACUUAUUAAGAUCAUCAUAAAAAUUCAAAAAUCCUUUUUAUACUCACUGCAUCUCUUAAAAAUAUCGCAAAUAUGACACAUUUGUCUUCACCUUCUAUUUAUCUUCAACAUUAACAAUUUUUAUUUGAAUCUGUAAUAUUUUUAACACUGUUCAUUCACUCAUUAGAGUUCCAAUAAUAGAAUAUAGAGAUUAAAAAUAUCAUUAGCAAAUUAUUUGUUUGUGUUCUAUAUGAUAUUCUUGGUUUGGAAAAAGCUUUAUCGGCAAUAUAUGUAAAUAAAAGACUAAGAACUUCCAAUAAUUCAGAUUUGAUCGAAACUUCACAAACUUAUUUUCACUUAAAAAAAUAAAAUAAAGUAAAAGAAAUUCUUGUGUUUUAAAAGAGAAACUGCCAGACAUGUUUCUAAGACAACUAGAAACCAAACUAGGCUUGAAGUAGUGAGUUUUGAAUUAUAAAAAAUACAUAAGUGUAAUUUCACCUAAAUCAAAUGAUGAAUUUCGUGACAACGGAUUUAGACUAUAGACCAAUACACAAAGAAUUGGAUGUUCAUCGCAUUUGUUCUUGAAAUUGUUUUGCGCAAAAAGGUUAACUAUUGUAUUAUAUUGUAUUGCAUUAUUUUAAUACAUGUGUAUUGUAUUAUGCUGUAUUGCAUUAACACUGUAUUAUAUUAAUACUAUACAACGUUUGGUUCUCCAUUGUACUCUAUUAAUUUUUAAUUAUACAUACAUUAUAUUAUGCUAUACUAUAUUAUUUUUUUGGUGGUUAAUUUCAAUUAUAUGUUUGGAAAUAAUAUUUAUUAGUACUUAGCAAAAUAUAAAAUAUAGAACCUUAACUUUUAGAAUAUUUACAUCAUUUUUUUUAGUAUAAAUGUAAAUAAUUAUAAUAAUUCUUCAUAGAACUUAUGUAAAAAUAACAAAUUCUGAAUUUUUGAUAUCGUAACAUUUUUUUUUAACGGCGUUUUUCAAAUGUAUACCUUAUUGAUGAUGCACCAUAAAAAUAAAUAUCAAAAUUUGCGAUCAUGAUCAAGUCGAGUUUUACAUGAUGAAAGCAUGACACAAAAAUUGAAAAAAAAUAAUAGCCGGCAAAAAGUUAUACAAGCAACAACAAAAGUGCUAAUUACUCGGAAAAUAAACAAUCAAGAGCCGCUGAUAGAUAUGAAUCAUAUGACAAGGUAGAGGAAUACAGAUAUCUGCAUACAUUUUUAACAAAGAUCAUCUUUGUAACCAAUUGUUGGCUUUGGCAUUAAAAGAUCAUCUUUGUAACCAACUGGGUAGCUAUAAAAUGAAUACUAAGUCAAUCAAAGGGGAAAGCUUGCUACAAGACUUUGAAGCAUUAUUCUGUUGCAUCACCUUCCUCCUCUGCCUCGCUUCCUGCAUCCCAAAUUAAAGAACAACAAAUAUUAAAUAACAAAAACAAAAUCUUCAAUAGACUUUUCAUACUCCAUAGAGCAAAUCUAUGGGAAUCCACAAAAUAAUUGAAAUACAUCAAUCCUGCAGGUCAUAGUAACAAAUUACAGAUACACAAUCAUGCAUAUGCAACUAAAAAAUGCUUAUGUAUUACAGCCGCUUUUUGGCAUCACUACUUCAUAAGUUAUAUAUGAUAAGAUAACAUUAUUAUUCUAAUCACAUGGUUAUGAUUUUAGUUGGACAUACAAAAGCUACGUGCAUGAAUCUGUAUGAUGCCACCUUUCAUGAGUCCAAAAUUUAAAUCAAAUCAAUUUGGUUGAGCCUUGAAAUUCCUAUUCCAGUCAAAGGAGAUGAUUUUUCCAAAGGUAAAGAAUGAGUCCGAUUACUUAAGCAUAUCAACCUUUUUUCUAGGCUAAAGUUUAUCCCUUUCCAUUUCACUAACUCUCCUCGCAAUACCUUGCGUCAACAUUUGCAUACUUGAUAUACUUUCACAACGGCUAAAAACUCAUUUAGUCUAUGUAUUUUAAGAUUAGUAUCUAUUUAAUCCCUAUAUUUUUAAAAAUACCUCGAAACAUCUCUAUCAUUAAAGUAUUAAUACCCCUACCGUUACUUUUUAUUUUUUUUCGCUUACUUUUACAAUAUUACCCUUUUAUUCUUAAUAAAUCCACUCAUUAAAUUAAACUCAUAUAGAAAGGUUGUAAAAAGAUCCCAAACUAAUUAAAAUUUUUAAAAAUUACCCUACAUCAAAUUAUUUUUUUUGUACCAUAAAACAAAACGAUAGUCGCAAACUUAUUUUGUACUAGGAGUAAUGAUUAUGUACAAAAAUGGGCACAGAAAGGUCUUUGGCUCUACAGUCUACUCGGUGAUUCGUGAAAUGCUUUCAAAGAGGGGGCAAAAAGAAAAAAGAAAAAAGAAAAAAGAAAAUAGAAUAUAUUCUAAUUUUUUAAUUAAAAAAAAAAAACCCUACUAUGUACUUUUAUAAUAACUCCCUCGAGUGCAAUGUCUCAAAGGUUGUCUUCUUCGUCCCGCUGACAACCCAAAAGGCAGAAACGCAAUGUCGUCGAAUUCGAUGGAGUCAUUGAUUCUCCAACUCCACGAGAUCUCGGCGGUUAAAUUCGGAAACUUUAAGCUAAAAUCCGGCAUAUCGUCUCCCGUUUACAUCGACCUCCGACUUGUCGUUUCUUACCCUUCCCUCCUCCGCCAAAUAUCCAAAACCAUCAUCUCCUCCCUCCCCUCCACAACCAAAUACGACCUCGUGUGCGGCGUUCCGUACACCGCCCUCCCAAUCGCCACCUGCGUCUCCGUCUCCAACGACGUCCCCAUGCUCAUGCGGCGCAAGGAAAUCAAAGACUACGGCACCGCCAAGGCCAUCGAAGGCAAUUUCAAGAAGGACGAAAUCUGUCUAAUCAUCGAAGAUUUAGUCACCAGCGGCGCGUCGGUCCUCGAAACGGCGGUGCCAUUGAGAGCGGCGGGGCUGGUGGUGACGGACGCCGUCGUAUUGAUCGACAGAGAGCAGGGAGGGAGGGAGAAUCUGAAGGAGAACGGAAUUGAGUUGCAUGCGAUGAUAAAGCUGAGCGAAAUGGUUAGGGUUUUGAGGGAGAAAGGGAAGCUUGAUGAGGAAACGGAGAGAGUGGUGAUGAAGUUUUUGGAGGAGAACAAGAAAGUGGCGGCUUCGAAUUUAGGUGGGGUUAGGGUUAGCGUUAAGGGUUUGAAGUACGAAGAGAGGGCGAAUUUGAUGAAGAAUGAGACUGGGAGAAAAUUGUUUCAAGUGAUGGUGAAGAAGGAGAGUAAUUUGUGUUUGGCUGCUGAUGUUGCCACUGCUGCUGAGUUGCUUCAAAUUGCCGAGAAGGUUUCUUGUUUUAAGUUAUUCAAUUUUCAAUUUUUGUGCUUUAAAUUGUAGGUACAAAUACUUAUAGCAGAGUGUACAGCUACUUCACAGCAUAAAUUCUGUUGUGAAAUUAUUAUUUUUUUUAAUUUCUGUUUUACAAAUUUCUUUUCCCUGAAAAUUGAGUUCAUUCCUUUCAUGCCCAUUAUUAGAAAUUAGAAACAUCCUAGGCUAGGUCUUGGACACGUGGCACACAUGUGGGUCAUGGCAGCCGCUGCUGGGCCUGAAGUUUAGGCCCAAUCUAUUAAUGGUUUUGUUGCUGGCAAUGCCAUUUGUUAAUUUUUUUUUUUUUUUGGGUUUGACCUUUGCCACCGAAAAAAAAAGAUGAUGUUGACUACAUUAGAGUACUUUACUCUGCCUACUGCCUGUUGCCUGUGGUUUGGUUGUUGAUUUUGUGACAUUUGGAUGUAAUAAUGUAUAAGAAUGUCCAAUAUAAUCAUUCUGGAUUAUCUUUUAGAGUGAUAAAACUGUGGUGCAACUGUGGUACCGUGCCACAGUUGCACCUGGAUUCCCACUUAUUCAAGUGAACCCCACUCAUUUGAGUGGAUCCAACGGCUGGUGCAACUGUAGCACGGUACCACAGUUGCACUGUAGCCUGACCCCUUUUAGAGUGCCAUUUAUUCUUUUGUAGUAGUUCAAUUUUUUCUCACGCAAUUUAAGGGAAAAAGAGGGAAAAAAGAAGUAUAUGCAUCGGUGAUAAUAUUACUUAACUAAUUUAAUAUUGAUUUGUUAAUCAUUAAUAUUUCGUGAAUGAUUUACAUUCAUGUUUUUCACAGGGUUCAUGAUAGCACUGCACAUAAUACGAUGCUUUAUUCAUCUGAUUUUCAUAAGAAAGAUAGUUUGUUUGUUUUUUCUUCUCUCUAAUUCUCAUUUGAGAUUUUCAGGUUGGACCAGAGAUCUGCUUGUUGAAAACCCAUGUCGAUAUAUUGCCUGAUUUCACCCCAGAUUUUGGUUCCAAACUUCGUGCGGUAUAGCUCCUCAACCCAUUUUCUAGGGAAAUAAACUCGACUAUAUUCUGAUUUUGUGGAUUCUUAUGAAAUGUUAAUUAAGCAAUACUAGUUAUAGCUAAAAAAUUUUCAACUCUUGAAGAUUGCAGAAAAGCAUAACUUCCUGAUUUUUGAAGAUCGCAAGUUUGCGGACAUUGGUAACACUGUGACCAUGCAGGCUGAAGGGUAAGACUCUGCGCUUCUAUAUUUCUUAAUUUCUUUGUUCUUUGUGUCCUUGCUUCCUCUUGAGGGUUCCUGUCUCUGUGUCUGCAGUGGUAUAUUUCGUAUAUUGGAUUGGGCCGAUAUAAUAAAUGCUCACAUAAUCUCUGGACCGGGAAUUGUGGAUGGUCUGAAAUUAAAGGUUAGAAUCAACUAUUUGGUAUAACUUUUGUUUGCCAUGAAGUAAUCAACUAAUCUGUUUCUAAUGUCACGCAUACUAUUGAUUUACCAGGGAUUGCCUCGUGGUAGGGGUCUGUUGCUGCUGGCUGAGAUGAGCUCAGCUGGUAACCUAGCAAAGGGAGACUAUACAGCAGCAGCUGUGAACAUUGCCGAGGAUCAUUCUGAUUUUGUCAUUGGAUUCAUCUCAGUUAAUCCAGCAUCAUGGCCAGGGGCACCAGUCAAUCCAGCCUUUAUUCAAGCAACCCCUGGAGUUCAAAUGGUAAAGGGAGGUGAUGAUCUAGGCCAACAAUAUAACACUCCAUACUCGGUAAGUUCUGUUCGUUCACUAGCUCCCCUCAACAUGUUAUUUUUCUAGCAAUACUAUCCAUGAAAACUAUUAAUACAAACUUAUCUAUGCAAAUGAACAUGGGAAUACAAUUAUUAAGGUAAACGUUAAAAGAAAGUCAAUUUAAUUGCCACAUCACCCAUUUUCAUUUGUGGUUUUUUUUUUUUUUACUAAUCAAAUUUCAAUGUGCCAGGUUAGUUUAUAUUGGUUGAGUGUGUAUGUCUAGUGUUUUGAUAAAUUUGUCACAAGUUGUAAAAUAGAUGUAAACUUGAGUGAAGAAUUAGCAAUUGAACAACCAGCUCCAAUCGAAUUAGCAUUUUUGCCUUAUGUUCAAAUUUGAGAAGGCCUAACUGAAACAUUUUUUCUUAGGGUCCCAGGUGCAUUGAGCUAGCCGAAGGACUAAUGGGUGCUAGUUACUUAAUAUAAUCUAAGAAAUAAAAUCAGCAUUUUACAUGUAAUGGAAUUUUAGGCAUGUCAAUGAGGCAUAAGGGGAAGAAGUUUUGAUUGCAAAUUUGGGAGGCCAUCAAAAUGAUUUGUUUUGGUGUGAUAACAAAAAAUUCUAAUGAAUAAACCCAAACCCUGGAAUGUUUUGCCAUAUAUCACUAGAUCCUCAAAAGGUUAGGAAAAUGAGGUAAAGAAGAUCCAUUUUCCUCCUGUUUUAUAUAUGUAGGAACUUUAUCUUUUCAUGGGUACAUCAUUGCUAUCACUAGAUCCCCAAGAGAUUAGGACAAUAAGAUAGAAAAGAUCCAUUUCGUCCUUUUUUUUUCACAUAUAGGAAUUUCAUCUUUUCAUGGGUACUUCAUUUCUAUGGAGCCAAAGAUAUCAUUUGCUCUAGUUUCUGAAAUUGAGCUUCGUAUACCAUGCUUUGAAAUUGACCCUUGACUAGAGAGAAAAAAUUUUCGUUUAUGACCAGAAAUUUUCUGUAAAUUGAAAUGAGAAAAAGUUGGAGAGGAAAAGCUUGGGAUUUAUAAUUUGGUAACAUGUUUUAUCUUUUCUUCAGGCAGUAAGCUUUGCUUAGCUGUGUCUAGAUAUCUUUUUGUCCUUGAUUAGCUGAAUUCCUAGAUAUUUCAUCCUAAAGACUUAUUCGUAUCCAUCUUUUCCCUCCAUACAUUGAACCAAUGUUGUAUCUUGUUUCAAAACAGGUAAUUUCUCCAACUUCAAAUUUAGCCUAGCCAACUAUAAUUUAACCAGGGAACAAGCUAGAAGGGGCAGAGCUAAUGAACUAAGGUUAACUGGUGUUUAAAAUAGUUGUAACUUGUACCUCAGUGAUUUUAUUCGAGAGCCUCACAGCCAUGUGAUAUUCCCUUUGUCACACAUAGUAUGACUAUUAAGAUGCUUCUUGCAGGCUAACUAAUCAAACUUGUUACACCAACAAAACAAUAGCUGAGUGCUCGACUGCUCUUAACCUGUUCUAUUUGGUUGACACUGUUGCAGCUUUAAUAACUUUAACGUAAAAUUGUUCUCCAGGUCAUCUACGAUAGGGGUAGUGACAUAAUUAUUGUGGGUCGUGGAAUUAUAAAGGCAGCAGACCCUGCAUUGGCAGCCCGUGAGUACCGGCUUCAAGGAUGGGAGGCCUACUUGGCUAAGUGCAGCUGAUCCUCCAUUUAGGUCUGGACUUCUGCUCGCUUCAACGGUUGCGAUAAUGAACAGAUGAGUCAAGUUCUGUUUAAUAUACCAUGCAUUGGUAUGUCUUAUGAAACCGAGAGAGUUUGAAGCUUUUGGCUGCAUUGUACUUAUAGUAACUUCUCAAGUCUGGUAAUGCUGCUUGUCUGGUUUUCCCAAUGAAACAUGGUUGCAAGAUUUCUGAGUGUUGUGUUAUCAACAAUAUAUGAAAUUUAUGAACGUGGUGUUUGGAGUUGCCAACCAUCUCAUUCAAAAUUAUCAUAUUGAAUGAUUCGGAUGAUUCCUCUUUUGUGGUUUGGAUGGACACGUGGCAAUGCGCAGUAGAUGCCUUGGAAAUUGGUAUCGGGCAAUCAUCUUUAAAUGUUGAUAUGGUAAAAUGACCAGGAUUACUUUAUGUUUAGCAAAACGAAUCCUUUUCUCUCUAAUAUUUUAUAACCUACAAAUAAUAAUGUUAAAAUGUCAGUUUUUCCAACCGAAACAACUUAUAAUUUAAAAAAAAAAAAUUGAUAGCAGAAUAUUAAAUAAAGGGAUAUUUUUUUUAGAAAAGGAAAAUAGUUAAUUUAGCCAAAUAGAAAGAAGAUACUCAUUUUCCCAAUGGUUUUUUUUAAACUCUCAUUUUCUCAAUAUAUAACUAAUAAUUUAACAAAGUGUUAUUAAUAUUUUAAAAUAUUUCUUAGGAUGAAUUGAUUUUUAAACGCGAGCGAGAAGAAAUUGAUAAGAUUUAAGGGUAAUUUUUAAAAACCUCCCCUGAGGUUUGAGGCUGUUGCAAGUAGAUGGUGAAAAUCAUUUUAUUUGUAAAAAGCCCCCUACCGUUAGUUAAAAUUUUCAUUGACUAACUGUUGACUUUGAAAAGACAAUAUUACCCCCAAUAUUUACAAUUCUAAAUAUUUAUAAUUUCAUAAGUAAUUAAAAUAAUUAUUUUCACCAUGAUCAAGUUAUUGAUAUUUCUUUAAAAUCUUAAAAAAAUAAAAUUACAAAUCUUAAAAUAAUUUUUUUUAAGUUUGUAAUAAAAUUACAAAUCUUAAUUAUUUGAUAUAAAAAUAUAAUUUUUUUUAAGUUUGUAAUUUUAUUUUUUUAAGAUUUUAAGGAAAUUUUAACUGACGUAAACUAUUAUUGGGGGUAAUAUUAUCUUUUUAAAGUCAACAGUUAGUCAAUGAAAAUUUUAACUAACGGUAGGGGGUCUUUUACAAAUAAAAUGAUUUUCACCAUCUACUUGCAACAGCCUCAAACCUCAGGAGAGAUUUUUAAAAAUUACCCUAAGAUUUAAUUAGUAACAUUAAGAUCGGUAAAUGAUAUAAUAUAAAACAAAACUAGUAAAGAACAAAAAGGGCCAACAUGAAGAAAACCCAAAAUUGAAACCUGUCCUUUUUGUAUUUUCUCGAGAAAUUUCUCUCUCCGACUUACAGCUCAACGGCUUUAGUUUGAAAUUCUUCACACUCUUUCAAUUGUCUUUCAACGCGCACACUUCGUAUCCUUCGUUAUUAAUUGUUCACACACGCUCCCCCAACACCGAGCAGACUCUCUCUCUCUCUCUCUCUUCUGUCCGAAUUAGGGUUCUGUUGGGCCGUGAAACAUUAUAAUGCGCUUCUGAUUUCAAAUACUUUUCCAGGUAAUUUAAUCUUUUUUUCCUUUCUUGCUUUCUGGAAUAUUCUAAGAUCUUAAUCUAGAUUUGUUUCCUCAUUUCGGCAUUUUAAAAAAUUUGCUUUUUUUUUUCUCUUACGGUUUAGGGUUCUCAAAAUCAUAUACGAUGCUGUUUUACUGCCACAUUUGUAAUUCGGCCAUUUUUCUUUUUCCUUUUUUUUUUGUGAGUGUUGAAAAGGAAAAAAGUGAUAUUUUCCUUUCUGGGUAUUGCUGGAUUUUGUCCCCAGAAAAAAAACUGUAAUUCCGUCUCUUUGCGUGUAUAUAUGUAUAGGUAUCUUCUACAUUACCAUCUUAUUGGCUUUCCGGGUGACGAAAAUGGGUAGCUUAACUUUCUUAUAAUUGAGUUAUGCUAUGUGGGUUUGUUGUGGUGAUUAAAUACUGAUGGCAGUGUCUAAUGAGAUGAUGAGGGAACUCUAUCUAUGCGAAAAUGCAUGGUGUAUUUCGUGUUUAAAGAUUUUUAUGCAAGUUUUAUUGUAUUACGUUGUUUUAUUAAUAUUACUGUCUCCCAAUAUUUGAGUUCUUGUGUUUAUCGAAUGAUAGAAAAGAGUUUACCCUGAUUUAUGGUUUUGAUUGAGAUGUAAUGGAUAUUUUUAUUUGAUUAUAGGUUGGGAAGUCAAAACUUGACCUUGGUGCCUGCAAGGAAGAAGUCAAGAAGAUUGACUAGGAAACAAGAUCUGUUGGUAAGAAUUCCUUCCCAACGAAAACUUUAAUACUGAUUAAUGUCAUAAACUUGUUGGUUCAUUUUUUUUAAAUUUAAAUUUUCAUUUGCCUGGGCAUGUUUGCUGUACUAUUAUUCAUAAAUUGGGAAUUGAUCUUUGAAUGAGUAUUGGAAUCAAAUAAUGACGAAAGUAUAUAAUGAACAGUUGAAUGUUCUUUGGCCAAAAUAAAUUCACUUUGGCAUGACUCAAGGCUGAAAGAAAAGAUUAUGUAAUGAAAAGAAGACAAUUUUUAUGAUGAUUAUGUAUACAUGUCAAACAAUGUCGUAAAAAGGAAAUAUGUCAUAGAAUGCAGAAAAUGUAGGAAACUACAUUGCCCCUCUUAGAGUUUAUCUAUAUAUAUAGUUUCCUUAUAUAUAUAUAUAUAUAUAUACCCUAAGGACCGGAAAGAGUUAAAGCUUAGGGUGACUGGUAGAAUUUGGAAAGAACAGUGAUGGAUGGAAGUGCUUUUUGUCUUGCAGCUUCGUGCAAUCAUGUUUUGCCGUCAUAGCUGGUAGUUGAGUUUUAUCUUGUUGGUGGGUAGUCCAGUGAGUCCUCUUGUUCAUGUAUUUUUUUGUUAUGUAGAAAGCAAAUUUUCUUUGCAUGUCCUUGCACUGAAUGCAUGAGUGGGGAAGACGUGUCGUGACUCUUUAUGCCUACAAUUGUAAUAUCUAUCUAAAUAUAUUUCAAUGUAUUGCAUUGCUGCAGUGCCAUUAGUUUUCUCUUUGCCUAUGAUGCAUAUGAACGAAGUCAACAGGAAUUAAAGCUUUGUGUCAUUAGUUUAACCAUGAAGCACUUGAAAGAGUUUUGUGGAAAGUUUUUCAAAGAAACAAAUUUUCUUAUUAUCAAUUUGCAAUUGAAUAAAAAAAUGACACAUUAAAUUCUCAAAAAUGACACAUUAAAUUCUCUCUUUUUAAUUAAAAAUUUUAUUAUCAAAAUAAUUUUUAAAAAUUACUUAAUUAAUUCUUUCUUUUUUUUUUCUUCUCAAUUUCAUAAAUUCUCAUAAAUUCAUUCAGAUAUCCUUUUUUAGCUACAAAUAAUCGAUAUCACUAAGUAUUUCAUGUUUGCUUUAUAUGAAAAAAAGGAAUUAUGAAUAAAGUACUUUAGAUAUAUUAUUAUUAUUAUUAUUAUUAUCAUUAUUAUUAUUAUUAUUAUUAUUAUUAUUAUUAUUAUUAUUAUGAUAUACUAAAAAAGGACAAAAUUAAACUAAAAAUAUAGUGAAAUUGAGUGUUUAAUUUGUAAAGAAUAGAGAAAAUAUGCAAUUGUAAGAUAAAGAGAGAAAGUGACAAGUGAAGAGUAAUUUUGAGAAUUUUAAAUUUUUAAUAAUAAAUUUAUUUUUUAAAAUAGGUACAGAGAUAAAUUUAAUUCAAAUAGGAGAGGAAUUUAAUGAGUUCAAAUAGCCUCACCAUUGUAAUAAUAUUAUACAGAAUUUAAUGUUAUACUAUAUUAUAUUUAUUUUUUAUUGAUAUUAUUUAAAUUUAUUAUUAAUUAUAUUAAAUUAUUAACUAAAUAAUUAUUUUAUGUUAAUUAUUUUUAUGUUAAUCAUUAAUAUAUAAAUAUAAUAUAAAAUAGCAUUUUUAAAUAAAACUACAUGAUACCAUAAUUUUAUUUUUAAAUUUUAUUUAUUAUAAUAAUAAAAUUAAUUAAAAUAUAUUUAAUGCCUCAAUUAAGGCAAAAGCUGGUAAUGUUCCACAAUGCAGUUUCCAAAACUUUCAAAUAUAGGUAACCAAUAAAUUAAUGUAAUCCGUAUUUAUAAUAUUAUGCAAUGUUAUGUUCCAAACACACCCUUAAUUUAGUUUUUGCCGCAUUAUCAAAUCUCGUGCCCUCCUUUGUAAAUUGUAUUGGUAACUUUACAACAUAAAAUUAUUUAGUCAAUUAGAAUAUAUUUAAUUCUUACUAUUUUAUAAAAUAUUAAAUUUAAAUGGUAAAAAUAUUGACUAUUGCCAACCAUCACAAUCCACCGCUUGCGAUAUCAUUUUGAUAUCCUUUGACAUCAAUUUAGGAAUUAAUAUAAUCCUUAUUAUUGGAGCUAUACAACGAUAUAUGUAAAACCGAAAAUAGAGCUUCAUUCAUUGUAGAUUUAUGGUCAAAGUUUUGUAUCUCUAAAUUUUGACCGUAUAUUUAUUAUAAUGAUAGGAAACUCUGUUGCUGAUGAGAUAUGCACCAUUGUGUAUAUCGAAUGAUGAAAAUUAUAAUGGUACCGAAAUUGACAUCAAAAGAUACUGGAAUAUGAACACCGAAGAUAGCUCAUGGUGGCCCAUGGGUGACGGUGGUGAGUAAUCUUCUGUCGUUUAUAAAUUUUAAAUAAUAAAUUUAAUAAUUAUAAAUAAUAAAAUUUUUAAGACAUUUAUAAUUAUAAAAAAUAAUUUAAUAUAAGUAAUAAUAUUUAUAUUAUUACAUAUAAUGCUAUACAAUAUAACACCAAAUAUUGUACAAUAUUAAUAUAAUAAAAUGAUAAUGCAAUAUGUCUACACUAUAAUACAAUAUAGUGUGCCAAACACUCUCUACGACUUUACUUAAUGUUGCUCAAUGCCUUUUAUUUCAAUUCCCAAUCAUGAGUUCAUCUCAAUUAAUGCUGGGCCCAAAUGUAGUGUUGUGCAAUGCUGCAAGUCAAACAUACCCUUUGUGUAAUACAUUCACACACGCACUCUCUUUUUUUAAGUAAGAGCAUCCCCACAUUGUUAAAGUAAAAAUGUCACUAAAAUACAAAAGAAUAAAAAUUUCAAUAUAUAUAUUUUUUAUUUGUUAGUAUAAUGAAAAUUGUGUUUUUUGUUUGUUAGUAGCUUCCUCAUUUUAACAAAGUUAGGAUGCUCUCACUAAAAAAUGAUUAUAUAUAUCGGAGUGAGUUUUCAAUUAAAGAUCCAUUAUUAUAUUAAAGUCAAUGAUAAAUUAAAAAUAAAAAAAUACUGGUUAAUAAUAUAUAUGCAUCAGAGUCUGUAAUUUUAUUUUUUAACUUAUUGUUGAUUUUAAUAUAGUUAAGAUUCAUGUAUAUAUAUUUAAAAAGUAGAAGAAGAAAUCAAUUUAAAGGGCCAUUGAGAUCUGGAUCCAAAAGCCCAGAAAACUUCAAAUUGGACUAUGACCCAAACAGAACCCCAGAAUCAACUUACACUCGACCUCUCCCGGAAGCAGUAUCGAGCUGAUUUUGCAGGUGAAAAUCCGUUGAUUUUAAUUUCUUUUUCUCCAAAAUUUUCAUUUCAGUUAUUAUUAUUAUUAUUAUUUUUCAAUAAGUUCAUCGAAUUUGUUCUCUGUUUCUUAACCAAGAAAAUGAUCAAAUAAAGUCUUCUUGUUGAUUCAGGUUUAUACUCGUAAAUAAUAUAUCAUGCCGGACACUCAGGCUCUUGUGAAUGACUUUCUUAACAAGCUUAAAAAACGGUGACGUUUCAGACAGUAUAUUUUAAUUAUUCUUUUUUUUUUUACUGAUUUUAGGAGCUGAUUUUGUUUGUUUGUUUUGUGAGUGGCAGUAAGAUCGAGGGCUCGCAAGCAACGGCAAGGCAGACCGCGGAGCUGCUUCGCUCUGUGAUUUCGCAGCAGCGCGUGCCGUACACAAAUCAGGCUGGAGCUUUAAUUGAUGCUGUCAAAGCUAUUGGCGAGCAGCUCGUUGCUGCCAAUCCUGAUACAAAUAUGGUACUUAGUCAUGUUAGUUAUUUUUAAUAUCAUUGUAAUGAUAUCACCUUUUUUCAGCUGAAUUGAUUUUUAUCAAAAUGUUAUUAACUUGAACUAUGUUAAUUGUUUUCAUCGCUCUUAAUUUAGUUUUGUUGUAAUCCAGCAUCCUCCAAUUAGUAGUUUAGUACAGCUAAUAUAGUGUAUGUGCUGUAGGUAAUUUGGCAUAGUUACCUCUGAGGUUGGGGUCUUGUACAAUUAUUUAUGUUAGGCACCAGAACUUGCAUUUGUUUGGGGCAUGCAUUAGAUAAUCUGGUAUCUACAAAUUUAUUGUACUUCCAUAGCAAAUAUUCUUCUUUUCUUUUUGAAUCACAUGGAUGAAACUAUGCAUUCUGCUGUUGAAAAUUAGUACUGUUGCUAUAUUCACUAUCAAAUGGAUUCGGCAUCGCUAAGAAACCUUUUCUACAAAGUUAUACUUGUUUUUUUAUUUAUGAUUUGUUUCUUUUAUUUCUUUCCCUUUUGUGGCUUUUCAAUUCUCCCUAGCACUUUUUUCCAGAUCCUCUUUCCAAAAUUAAAAAUGAUUAAUUUUCUUCUUUGUUUGUGAUUUAUGUUUUCUUCACUUUUCUGAUUGAUUAAAUGAUAUAUCAAUGCAGAGCUUGCCGUGGGUAAUAUUGUGAGGCGUGUUUUACACAUCAUUAGAGAGGAAGAUCUGUCUUUGACUACGGCUGCUAUUGGUGGGCUGAACUUAUCUGCUGUAAGUGAUGAUGAAAAUGAUGAUGAUCGAGAUGGCGACUCAACUCUAUCAGCAGCUGCUGUUGCUGCUGCUGCUAGAAGUACUUUGCGUCCACCUUCUUUGCAAACUCUGCUCGAGGACACACCUGUCUCUGCAGCUGUUCCUCAGACUUCCUCAUCUGGGGGUGAUUCUGAAGGAAAAAGCAAAUGUGUGUUACUUUUUUUUUUUUUUUUUUAUAAAGUGUUUUUGAUAAUUCUUCAAUCACAGCAUCUUCUGUUAUUUUCCCUAAAUAAGCUUGUCUUAUGUAACACAUGUUUUAAAUAUGCAAUCGGAUGCAUCUUGGUGAUAAACUGGUGUUCCUGAAUGUUUUAGCAUUGAUGAUUUAGUUAAUUCAGCCUUAUGAUGGUAGAUAGUUAACAUACUAGUUUCCUUCACAGCUGCUGAUAAAAGUUCAAGAAGUCGGAAGCUGAAGCAUGAUGUUAUUGAAGCGGUUAAUGAACUUAUUCAAGAUAUUGUCACUUGCCAUGAACAGAUUGCUGAACAAGCAGUGGAGCAUAUACAUCAGAAGUAAUUAUUCCUUUUCCUGAUUUCAACUAGACAAUAUGUUUUUUCUCCAUACUUGGACUUUAUUUUCAGGAGAAUUGGAUGUCUACAUAAUUCCUUUUUACCUGUUAAUUUAGGAUAUAUGUAUUCAGUUUGUUGUUUAUGAAUGUACUACACUUAAAAAUGCAUGCAAUAUCUCAUUUAGAAGCAUAUAUAUAUGCUCUUUUCAUUCUUGUUAGGUUUUUUCUAUGUCACUUUCUUAAGUCUAAAAGAAUAAUGUUGUUUGUCUAUUCUCAUGUUGUCUUCCCAAGGAAUUGUAGGAUGAUAAUUUCAUGUAUCGAUGAUGAACUGUAAGCAGUUUUCAUAUCUGGCUUGCAAGCAUUCCCUUUUAGUAUGAUGUGGAGGUUAGGUUGUCGGAAUUGUUGGUGAUUCAUUGACCUGAGGGCUAAUUACGGUGCUGGCAUGAGUAUAAUUGACUUUAAAUGACUUUUCUGCACAGAACUAAGCUGGGCUGUGUAUUUCUGUAUUGAUCACUCAUUUGUGCUCUUUAGAACUUAGAAGUGCAGGAGGGUAGGUUAUGAGGGGAUUUGGAAAGUAGGAAUUCAAAUGCUUAAAUUGAUAGGCAUACUUGGGCAAUAAGGCGUUUAAAUGCUUCACUUGUAUGAUUUAACUACGAUUUGCAACAAGAGCGGCAUCAUUCAUUUAAACAUAGAAGAUUUAGAAAAAUUGUAUUGGAUGUGUUAGUGCUAAUGAACUUUUAAGCAUUUGGUGUUUCUGCUUUUUUCCUUCUAGGUGAAAGUGAAUAUGUUUUAUUUAACUCAUUCAACAAAUUGCAAAUUUGGUAAGGUGGUAACUGCGACUUUGCUCAUGUUAUUGUUUGACUGCGUAACGAGUUCAACUGUGUGCUUUACUGCCGAGAGAGCUCUAAUGAAGCUGUUUUUUGAUUUUGAGGGGCAACUUCAUUAGCUCUUUCAUUAGGAUAAUAAUAUAUGUAUUAUAUUCGUAUUCUCCUUAGAGAUAAGGAUAAGAGUGUAAUAAGUGUGAUGUGACUUAAAGUAGGUAAUGAGUUGUAAAGUAGAUUCCUUAGUGAUAAGGAUCAAUAAUGCAAAUAGUGGAUCCCUUGAGCCUAUAAAAGAGAGUCCAUGGUUUGUAUCUAGGCAUCGAGUCUUGGAGUGCAAAUAGUGGAUCCCUUGAGCCUAUAAAAGAGAGUCCAUGGUUAGCAGGGGAAAUAUUGUGAUUCAUGGCCUUUAUCUAGUUUGGGUCAGCUAUGGCAUAUUAUAUAUGUUCUCUUGUGUCUUAUCUCCUAUAUUGUCCAAUACAUGUAUAUGCUUAUUUUUAAAUUCUUCAUCUAUGUUUCUUCCUACCAUUUGCUACUUCCAUUAAUUUUAGCUAUUAAAUGUAUUUUCAGUGAGGUAAUAUUAACUUUAGGCAGUUCAAGGACGGUGUUGGAAUUUCUUUUUGCUGCAAAGGAGAAAAAAAGAUCAUUCCGGGUAUUUGUCGCAGAGGGUGCUCCAAGGUUUGUGCAAUGGCUUGCUAUUUGUUGAUUGCAAAGAAAUAUUUCACUGGCUACUUUGGCUCUGAUGUUCUCUCUCUCUCUCUCACAUUCUCUGUUUGGUUGCUGUUCUGCUACUUCUUGUUUUAUAGGUAUCAGGGGCAUCUGCUUGCAAAAGAAUUGGUAGCAAGAGGUUUACAGACCACACUGAUUACUGAUUCUGCAGUUUUUGCCAUGAUUUCCCGAGUAAACAUGGUAUGUUUGGGCCACUUUUCUCGUUUGGUUUUGGAUUUCCUGAAAUGUUUUUAGCUUGAUCUAAAAUUUUGCAAUGUAAAGGUUAUAGUUGGAGCUCAUGCUGUCAUGGCCAAUGGUGGGGUUAUAGCACCUGUUGGGAUGAAUUUGGUUGCACUUGCAGCUCAGAAGCAUGCUGUCCCUUUUGUUGUACUUGCCGGAAGUCACAAGGUAGUUUGGUGCAACAAACUGCUUAACUAGAAAAUUAAGUAAAAUUUAGAAAGCCCAUUUUCCUUAACUGCCAUUCCUAAAUUCGUUGGUCUUGUGUAUGAACUGGUGUGGAGUUUAAGAUGGUGCUCAGUUAUUCAUGUGAAGUGAACUUCCCUUUCAGAUAAAACUGAUCACUAAUGUAAGGAGUAGUAUGUGCAAGAUGCAAAUGUGUUUAUGAAUAGUAUGUGGGUGUAAAAGCUCAUAUUCUUUGUACCAAAUAUUAUUGAAUGUUGGUUGAAUUAAUCUCUGUAGCUGCAGUCCUUUUUAAUGCAUCAACAUGUUUGCUGGGUAUUGAAUUGCAUCUGGUUGUAAUAACAUUGUAGUUGGAGAUAAAUCAUUGAACUCUGGUACUUCAGUUCUGGGUAUGAUCUUUUUGACAAAUGUGGUUGGUCUAUAUGACAGUUAUGCCCCCUCUAUCCGCACAAUCCUGAAGUUUUACUGAAUGAGUUGAGAUCCCCAUCAGAGCUGCUGGACUUUGGAGAAUUCUCAGACUGCAUGGAUUUUGGGAGUGGCAGUGGUUCCCCUCUUCUUCAUGUGGUCAAUCCAGCAUUUGACUAUGUUCCACCGAAACUUGUUAGUCUUUUUAUUACUGACGCGUAAGUUCAACUGCCCUUUUAGCAUGAGACAGAGACAAUCUACACCUUACGUGCAAUUUUUAUGCAAUAUAUAUAUAUACAUUAAGAUUACUUAUUUGAUUUCAUUGUAGAGUACCAGUUUUCUGGCCCCUUUAUUUUCCAUUGGUGUUCCAGUUCUAUCUCUCAAUAUAUUUCAUUUUUUUUCCUCUGCUAUUGCUGUGUUGUUCUGCUAAUUUCUUUUCUUCUUCACAGGGGAGGGCACAAUCCUUCAUACAUGUAUCGGUUGAUUGCUGAUUAUUACUCGGCUGAUGACUUGGUUGUGCAGCGAAGAGCUACUGCUGGGAAUUGAUUUUGGUUUGUAUCAUCUAUUGUGUAAGUAGUCUUUUUGUGCCAAUGCUCUGGUGGAAAAUUGUUGAUUUUAACAAAAAGGAUAAUCUUUUUAAAUUGACAUAACAAUUGGUACUCUUUCUGAUUGUUAUGAUUCCAAUAAACUUAAUUGAUGUUGCAAACUGCUUCAUCUCGGGAUAUACAAUAAUUAAAAGAUGACAAUGAGUGAAUGCUGUAACUUGGUAUAUCAUUUUGAGCUUUGACUUUAUCUAAUCUUUGCCCUAUUUUAAGGUCAGGAAUUUAUUAUGGCAAGAGCAUUAGCUUUGGGUUUGAGAAAUUUCAAAUCACUGAAUUUGGAGCUGAGCUGAUGCUGUAAAAGAACUCAGGGACAUAGCGAUUGCGAGGCAAUGGUGUGAACUUAGUGCAAAUUUUAGGGACGCAAACAAUGAUAGGAUAAUUUUUGUUGGCAGAAAUAUUAAAAUGUAAAAUAGAGGCUAAGAGUUGUACUGAGAUAAAAAGGUGGAUACGGUUGGAUAAUAUUUUUUGAUUGUAUCAAGGUUGGUGGUCAAGUGCUGUAUUCUUCUUCAUCAGUGAUUUUCAGACGGACGGUAUAACAUUGUUGUAUUGCUUGUUGCUUAAAAUUUUCAUAGCAGAACGUAGCUGUUGAGAUGUUUCCUAGAAUAAUUUUCUCGUCUUUGCAUGAAUAACAUUGGAGAAUAAUUAUCUGUUUAACUGUGUGUUUUCUUUCGUUCCUCGACGGUUGAGACAUGUUACUUUUGAGUAAUGAUAUGAGCCCAAAGGUCGACAUAAAUGAGUGCCAUGUGGAUGCCUCCAAGAAAGAAACAGGGCGUCCAAACCGCAUCAUGAGAGUGACAUAACGUUUGUCGGGCUCAAUAUAUCAUUACAUGUUACGUUUUGGAACAUAAACCAAGGAUUUGAAAUGCAUUAUUAUACAUUAAUCCCCCUGACAUAAUAGGCCGAACCCUUUAAGCCAUUUGAGAAGGGUCGAGUGUUAAAAAGGGAGUAACAAGAGCUACGAGACUAGUCUCUUGACUCGCAUUACAAGAGGUUACAUAAAACUUCGAAUAUUAAAAUUAAGGCGCACAUAAUGCAACUUAGAUAAUGAGAAAUCAGCAGUAACUUUGCAAACAUUGGAAAAUGUUACAUAAAAAUGAGAAUACAGUUUUCAUUGAUGGUCUACAUCGAACCAGAAAUACAGAUAAGUCCUGGCAUAUAUAACUCGAACUCGCUGCAGCACUAGAUCUCCACUAGUCAAAACAGCCUUGGCACCUCCUUCAAUUCGAGUAUGCAAAACAGUAACACUAUCACCAUUACUCUUCAUUGGAGUAGAUGUAAUACAGCUACGAGCUGUACUCACGAUUGGGCAUGAGAGGAAGUCCAGUGGAUUCGUCUCACACUGAAGUACACACCCAUCUAUAGUUAACCUUCCACUCCGAUGGAGAAAGCAGCAGCCAAGCUCUGCUUUCACUGUUAAAUUCGCCAGCUUGCAUGUGGAUAGAAACUCCAAGGCACUGCCCAAACAAAACAAAUAUUGCAUAGCAAAUUUUGUUGCUUGAGAUAUUAUGCCGGUCAUUUUCGAGGAUCCUACUUCAUAUUUUUGGAUAACUAAAUCUAAAGGAAGAGGCUUGGUAUAAAACAGCUCAACCUUAAAAUAUAUAACAAGAUCUUGAAAAAGAGCAACCAGCACAUCACAAUUAUUCAUCUUAUGUGAUGAUUUAUUAUAUCUACUUGUGAACCAUGCAUAAAGUCUGUUGAAUUAAAGUGUCACUCCUAUUAACGGUAUCUUCUGUAAAAUCCAACAAUAUGAAAGGGUCCUCAUGUAAUUCUAAUUAAUCUCCACAAAACAGUAUAACUUAAUCUGAAAUAAAAACCAGAAAAUUUACAAACCUGUCCGAACCUCGAGAACAGAUGAGGGUUGUUUCAUCAGGAAGCUCACCUCCACCGACCUGAAAAGUAAGUUCAGAGAAAAGGAAAAAGUGGAAAACAUUUAGAUGACAGAGAUCUUAUUUCUCUCUCUUCUGCUUUCCAACCAAGAAUAGAAAGUGAGAAGCCAUGUUUUUAUCUUCAGUAGGCAAUUACUUUGCGAUCAUAAUACAAAAAGGAAACCAAGGAAAUAAGUGACAAUAGCCAGCUUUCAUGAGUUGCGCUGAAGGCAGAUUUGUCACUCAGACGAAGCUGGUUUACUCAAUCAUAUCGUUUCUCAUAUUGGAUUGAUUCCUUGAACCCGCAUGAUAAUGGGAUAAAUCUGAUGUUGACUUGUGCAAUAAAGUUCCCUAAGGUUAACCAAACUAUGAAUUUCAAAUUCACCAGUCCUCGUAUGACUGCAAAACUUAAUUAGACAUUAUGAGCCCUAUAUGAGAAUAGGGUUUAAAUUUUGGGAUUUAUGGUUUAGGUAUCUGCAUUAAUCUGUGUCUCUAGUAUAGAUAAUUUUUAUUUACUUUUUUUUUUUUUUUGAUGACAUGAGACUAUUGCUCAAAUUACAACUCAAAUUACAACUCAUAUUACAUGAGAGUAUAACUGAUAUGUACAAUCCUAUAUAUAUACUGAGACCUAUUGAUAUUAAUGCUGAUAUGACACUGCUCAGAUUUUUUUUUGUAACCCUCUCAAAUAUUCGAGGGACGUCAAACUCCCCUUCUAGGAGAAAGACUGCCUUCACUCGAGCUCUGGGGCUCCAAGGAAGGAAAUAUAAAUUAAACCCCUACAAUACGCAUGCGGAGGCUCGAACCCCUUCCCUCACAUUUGUGAGGGAGUGGCUCUAGCCACUUGGGCUAAGCACAAGUGGUUUUAUUUACUUUCUAUAUGAGCAUGCCAUUCACUCUUUUUUUCAUUUUGGGAGAAGAAACAGUCAACCUACAAAGAUAAUAAAAUUCAAGCAAAUAUAAUAACAAUUAAUGUCAACAAUAGCCCCAAGAGGUGAAGAAAUUUUACCCAUCACCUCACACAGUUUUACCACAAGUCAGAGUUAAUCCAAAUUCAUUAGUUGGGGGCAACGCCUCAUGUCAACUUUGAAUCAACUUCAGAAGAAUAACCUUCCAUCAAUAACUUAUACAAUUCAUUUUUAAAUUAAUUUUAACAAUAAGUCUGUAUCAAACAUAUCUUGCAGCUCAUUAUGUAGAAUAUAAAUUAAAGAAUAAGAAUUCUGUUGGACUAAAUGACUGUAAUGAAAUAUGUACAGUAAAAGGACAAAUAGUGUGCCCCUCUUUUUUCUUUUUGCCUUUUUAAAUUUUCAUGAUAUUAACAGUCCAAGAGACUUUCCUAACCAAGUUUCUAUAGUGUAAAUUACAUCGCGGAAUGGGAAUAAUCCUUUAAUUGUUCACAUGAGUGUAUUAUUGAGAACAAGGAACGAUUGAAUAACGACCAAAUUAAGUCAGGCACAGUGGUUUGUAUUCGCACACAUAUAUGAAAUAAUGUUUUAUAAAACAAACAACAUACCAGGCACAGUUAUUUUUUUACUGAAUAUUAGAGACAGGAUGACUAUCGCCUGCUGCAAUUAAAAUGGUGUCGCCCGAUCUAUGAGGAACAAUAUGAAGAUCAGGUUUUAUAGUCCUAGCGUAUCCCACUUCUAUUGUUAUAGUUUAGAAGUUAAGUUAAUUUUAUUCCAUAAUUUUAUGAUAAAAAUUUAUAAUGUCUUGACUAUUUUAUUAAAAUUAUUAAAAAUUAUAUUUACUACACAUUAUCAAUUUUUAUUUCACAAUUAUAUGAAUUUUUUUACAGCAAUCGUAAUGUUUGAGUUAAAGCACCUCAAUAUUAAAUAAAUAUUUAACCUACAUCUUUUGUGUAAAAAAAAAAAACCACAAUUCUUGCUGAAUGUUUGAUAAAUCACUUGCCAUACAAUAAAAUUUCAUGAUAUUUAUAAAAAAUAAUUAUGAAAAUUUAUCAAAGAAUUUGAUAUUAGUAACAUUUUUAUUCAAUAAUACUAACUAUACUUUUUUUAAGAAAAAGUUGGGCCAGAUAUCAAAGCCCAGCUGGCUCGUUUUGGGCGAAAACUUAAAAGCAACUCUGGUGGCCAACAUUGGGCGUAACUCAGAAGUAAUUUCGUGGGUGGCGUGGGUCAUGUCGGUUUCUUGUGGGUGGUGAAUGAGAAUAUUGGGUGCUGUUAGUGUUGUCGGUUAGUCAAAUACUUGAUGAUGGUCAAACAUAGCAAACCUUAAAAGAAAGAUUUUGAUUCAGUGAACAGUCGACUUGGAGUUUGUUGAACAAGUGGAAGAUGAAGAGAAGAUAAACAGUGAACGAAGUACUAAACGAUUCAAAAGCAAAACUAUGAAAAAUAAUUCUUUUAUUGCUCCAAUAAACAAUCUUGAUGAUGGCUGCCUUAUGCACGUAUUCAGCUUCUUAUCCCCAAUUCCAGGUGACUAUCUUUUUUUGGGGAAUUAUUUGUAUUUAAUUAAAAAAAAUCUUCUCUUUCUUAUAAAUGUUUAGUGUCAUUAAGUUAUGUAGUAUUUGUGACCUGAAUGUUGCUGGCCUUUUUAGAAGUUUGCUUCGGGUUUUUGACUUUUGUGUUGGGAGUCUUAUUUAUUUUCCCUAUUGGGUUUUGCCCAAUUCAUCACUUUUCCUGAAAUUUAUUUUGUACAUUGAGAGGAUUAUUUAUUUUUUUAAAAAAAACAAAAAUUUUAUAUUUAUGCGGAAUUUCAGAAUAUGGGCAUUUCUGUUGUGAACAAUUGUCUAUUAAUUUUAAAUUCCUGUUUCAAAAACUCUAUGUGCUAAAUUUAUGUUAUUGAUACUCUUUUGUGCGUAAAAUAGUAUAUUGUGUCCCUUAGAAGGGCUGUAUAUCCUCAUUCUUCACAUGCCUUAAAAGAAAUCUAGAAGGAUCGGAUAGAAAUUAUUGUCAAAGAACAUGAUAAUUACAUCAAGAUUUCUGGGGUUUAAUAGAUAUUGUUGAGUAAGCUUGACAUAUUUUAUGCAUAAUUGUCUUUAUGAUGAUUUUGACAUAUUUUAUAUGUAAUUGUCUUUAUGAUGAUUGUUUGGCAUUGAGAUGGAUGUUUUAGAUGUUUGCCAAAUGCAUGUAUGAUAUAAUUUUGUGCGAUCUCUUUCACAGUUGUUAUGGAGCUUGCAGAUCGGUAUAACACAGCACUCGUUUGCCACAGAUGGAAUUAUUUGGCAUGUCAUCCUCGCUUGUGGCUGCGGGUAGAUCAGUCUGUUAAGGAUCUCUCAGAGCCUGGAGUUUUCCCCGACCUUAAGACAGCCGUAUCUGUGGCAAGGUUUGUAAUGUUGUGACUGCCUGUAUGUGAUUUUAAACACUUUAGGCCCUAUUUGGAGUGUUGUCAAGUAGCUUGAUUGCCAUAAUGGAGUACUUACUCAUUUAUUGCUACAACUUUUAAGGUACAGUGUCCAGCACAAUACUAAACAGAAUUAAAUAAUCCAAAACAAAUUGUAAAUGUUAACAAUGUUUAAAUAUAGCUAAGAACAUCAAUAUAUAUAGAGUUUGUAAAUAACACAUACCCAAAAAAGUAUAGAAAGGCAAAGAUAGCCUCAAGUUUUGUACUAAAUUGGAGAAAAAAAAUAAAAUGAUUUUUUCCAAAAAUAACCACAGAGUUGUUAGUAAUAAGUAGAGAUGGUAAAAUGAGUUGUUAUCAUGACACGAUAACACAACAUGGAUGUGGCACGAAUUUUGUAUAUUCAUGUUGAUAAAUAUUGAUACAAUUAAUUAAAUAGUUGAUACUAUACGACACAAUAAAUAACCGUAUGGUUUUCAUGUUGGAUCACCUCAGCAUGAUUACAUGUUUAUGGCAUGAAUAUCAAUUAAUAUAAGUAAUAUUAUUAAAAAAAUUCACACACACACACACACACAUAUAUAUAUUUGUGUUGAUAAAUAUUGAAAUGAUUAAUAAAAUGGUUGAUACGAUACGAGACGAUAAAUAACCGUAUUGUUUCAUGUUAGACCACCCUAACAUGAUUACAUGUUUAUGACAUGAAUAUCAAUUAAUAUAUGGUAAUAUUAUUAAAAAAAUUAACAUAUAUAUAAACGAUCAAUAAAUGAGUCAUACCCAUAUUUUGGUAUUUUAAUAUUGAUGUUUUGAUAUUUUGAUACAAUUAAAAAAAAAUAGAUCAUGUCAGUGUUUUCUUAACUUGAUACGACAUAGUUUAACUCAAUUAAGUAACUCACAUGUUAAAAAUUCUCUAGUAUUCUCACAAACUCUGUAGCUCCGCCAGUGGCUAGUAGUGUGGGAGUCAUUGUGUGAGCCUUUGUUAUUGUCUUUGACACUAUUUGUUUUUUAAUUGUUAUUUAUGCCUUUCUAAGUUUCUAACUAUUUUUAUAAGUUCGCGAUGAAGAUUUCAAACUAGUUAAAUUGUGUGGCUCACUUUUGUUGAAAGAAACAGUUGCUAUGAUUGCGGUUUCAGACAAGACAUAUCGUUAUGGAAAUGUGUUGGCUGCCACUAGUUUAGUGAGAAACGUUUUGACGUAAUCGGUGAAUAAGGAUGUCUUUAUUUGUAGCGUUGCUCUGAUUUGAAAGUUCAUCAAGGAUGUUGGGAGUAGAGCAUUUAGAACAAAAUAUAUUCUUGUUUCCUUUUCCUAAUGAGAAUGAUCACUGUCAUAGUUUGUUAGUGAGACCUUGGCAUUUUUUUUUGAAUUACAUGAGACUAAUGCUCCAAUUACAACUCAUAUUAUAUGAGAUUUACAACUGAUAUUUACAAUCAGACAAUUAUUGGGCCUAAUUUACAUUAAUUCUUAUAUAGCACUACCCAUAUUUUACCCUCUCUAAUAUUCGAGAGGUGUCUACUCCACUCACAUUUCGAAAGGGAGAAGACUGCCUUCACUUAAUAAUUAAGGAAGGAAAUAAACCCCUACAUGCGUCGCGGGGGCUUGAACCGCUGCGCUCACAGUUGUUAGUGCAGGGUCCUAGCCACUGGGCCAAGGCCCAGUUGGUUAGACCUUGGCAUUUUAAUCGUUCUUUAUUGGCUCUCUUUCCUUUAGCUAGCAAUAGAGAAUAGUCUAGUCAACAAUUUACUAUAGUUUUUUUUUGGGUUCAUAUUUACAAUAUGUCGUUAUGUUACAUGUCGAAGGAAAUGGUUGAUUUCCUCGGAGGAAUGCUUGGAGGAGUGAAGAAUUUGGAUGCUGGUCUUAGUUGUGUUUUGUAUGAAAGUUCUUUUGCAUUCAAGUUUUAAUUGAUGUCUCUAGGCCACUUAAACUUGGUUUGCUAAUUCGGUUUCGCACUAAUGAUGAUGUUCCUGUGCUCCUAGUGGUUUAUAAAAGGUUAUCAUAUUUUUGUUAAUAUUGCGAUUGUAUAGAUAAUUUAUUUCCAGAUUGUUCCGCAUUUGACUUAUCUAAAGUGGAGCAGGGUGUGGUCAUGGAGUAUGGAUGCAGGCUAAUGCUGGCAGUGUUUGUCGGAAGUCAGAGGGUCGUAGACAAGUAAAUCAUAGUGGUAGAGAAUUGGAUUUGGGAUAUCAUGAGGUGGUUUUUAACGCGACAAUAAAUGCUUCAAGUGUUACGAAUAAUCAUGAGAGUAAUGAUAUAAGAAAAGAGGAUAGUGGGAGAAAUGAGCAUGUCUGUGUGAAUAAUGCUUAUAUUUAUGAGAUAGUGAACGAGAGAAAUCAAGUUCAGUAAUAAAAAGACAAAUCGUGGAUGCGUUUAUAAGAAUUUCAAAUUUUGAUUGUAUAUGUGUUUUACAACCUUUUAUUACUAAUAGUCACUUGCCUAAGGAAACAAAGAAGGCAUCAUGCGCAGAAUUUGUUAAAGAUUUUGUGAAGGAUUGAAUGGAGUUGAUGGUAGUGACGUGGUUGGCCAUGGGCCUUAUGUGCCCCAAACUGGAGCUAUGGCUUCUUGUCUUGGUGAUGAUUCGAGUGACAAAAAUGAAUCUAGUAAUGUUGCAAGAUUGAAAAAUUAGAGAGAGUAAAGAGAAAAAAUUUACCACAAUGUGAAGGGGCUAUGAAAAGGAAAAAAUGAAAGCGACUGGCACGAAAAAUUCUAAAAGAAAAAUCUCAUAUUUCUCUAACUUUGGGAUCUAAGUAUGGUAAUGAGAAGGAUAUUAGAGAUUGGUCUAAUCAAUGGAAAUGAGGCAGGAUGGUUGCUAUUGAAUCGGAGGACGGUGAUGAUGGCGUUUGUGCAGACAAUAAUUUGGUUGUGUAGUCUAUGGCUUUGUCAAAUUUAUCAACAAGAGUUAACGUUGAUCAGCCCCACCGAUUGCCAUGAUAUCCUAACCUAAAAUGUCCAAGGUUUAGGGAAUCCUUUGGAUCCCACACUCUUUAUAAAAUGCUCCGUGAGGUUAGACCUUCUGUUGUCUUUUUAUGCGAAACUAGAUUAAUGGCGGCAAAGAUGAAUUGUAUUAGUAUGACAUUGGGUUUGGACAAUUGUUUAGAUAUUGAUUUGGUUAGUUUUUGGAGUGGCUUAGCAUUACUUUGGAAAAAGAAAGCUCAGGUUGUUGUGAAUUCCUAUAGUACCCAUGCAAUAUAACAGUGAUCAAUUGUUAUGCUAACAUUAGAUAUAGCAUUAAAUGUUCUAGGUUUCAUUUACCCUACAAGGUCAAUCCCCACGUCAAGUUCUUCACUAAUUUUAUAUUAAGUAUUACCCUAUUCAAAUUAAGAUUCACUCAACUUGGGAAACCCAAUCUAAAACCUAGUAUUGUCUUAAUUUGUUCCACUAAGUUGGCCAUUUUCAAGGCUCUUUAUUAGCUAGUAUCCAUUAAAUGUGUGAUCAGCCAAAAUAGAGAAUUGAAAUAAACACAAUUAAGACAAAAUGCUAUAACAAAUACAGAGCAACACACCUAUGUCAGUCAAACAGAUCGUUUAUCACUCAACCACAACAAAUUCAAUUUGUGAUUUGCGAUAGAACAGUAAAUAAAAUUGUUUCAGCCAUCAAAUACAUCCCCAUAAUUAAAUAAACAACAAGAAGAUAAGAAGAAGAACUGAAGUAUGCUCGAUCUUAGUGAUAUCUUCUUUAUUUCCUCUUUGAAUCUUCUAUUACAUCCUUCGAUUUAUCUCUUAAUGUUUUGUUUUCUUAUUGUUUCUUUUCGGUAUUCCCCUUAGGUGAUGGCUCUUUAAUUUUUUUCUUUUCAUGUGUGCUCAUUUUAUAACUUAGAAUUAAGGCAACUAAAAGUGUGUGACGCGUAUCCUCCAUUUUUAGAAACUUUAUAUCGCAAUAUUUUAGUUAUUGCGCACGAAAUCCAGUCUGUCAUUGCUCCAGGAUUGCUACAGCAACUGCUAUAGCAUCUUCAGUGUUCCAGACUUAUUUCAAUUCCUCUGCAGUCAAGAUAUUUUGUCACUUUUGCAAGUUUGUUGCAGCAACAUUUCAUCCUUAAAACUUGAGCUUUUCGGUCACCUACAAUUAUGCACAUAAUCUAAGCACAAAAUAAUCUAAAAACAAACUUAAUUUAUUAAAAAUAAAUUAAAAUGGAUGCUUAUGCCAAAUGUAACUAAUAUGUCAUAAAAAUACAUUAUUUACUUUCUAAGUAAUAUUGAUUUAAGUCUAAAAGUAUCAUGAUAACUUUCAGUUCAUAAAGUUAUCAAUUAGCAAAUUGAGUAAUUUGAAAUUAGCUUCCCAAGACUAAAUUGUUUACUUUCUUUUAGGAAUUAUCUCUAUAAAUUGUGAAUCUCACGUUGCACAUAGUCACUUGGAUGCAUCUUAAGAGAUCGCAAGAUAUCAUCUAAUGCUUGUUUACAUGGACCAUCCUUAAUAAAUUUAAUUUUAUCUUCACGAUUUUAAAAACCAUUCCUAAAGUUGUACAAUACGCUUCACAAGAAAGUCUUUCACAUUUAUGAUAUUUAGAGCCAAUCCAUUUAGCUCUUCUUUUUUUAGCAAAUAAUAUCAUAUAAGUCCAAUGAACCAAUUAACACAUACAAUCCAUUCUUCUUUUCACCUUUCAUCACAAUAGAACCCUCCUUAGUCACUUUUAUGCCAUCACUAUCUAACUUAAAUGAAUAUCUAGAGCUGUCCAACAUGCCUGAAGAGAUCAAAUUUCCCUUUAACUCAGGAGCAUGUCUAAGCCUAUGUAAAGUUAUGAUGAUCCCAUCAAAUAUUUUAAUCUUAACAAACCUUAUUCCAACAAUUUAACACUUAUUGGUGUUUCCCACAAAACCUCUACCACCAUCAAUAAACUCAUAUUGAUGAAAAAGUGACUUAUUAGGCAUAUGUGAAAAGAACAACCCAAGUUUAAUACCCACUGACCUUCUAAGUUGCCUUUUGAGGUUAUAAAUAUAUCAGCCCUAUAAUAACCAUCAUCAAAGGAGAUAUUUAAAGCCACAGCCACACCUCCUAACCUUUAUUGACUUUCCUUCUUAUUUUUCUCUGCACUUUCUCUGAUGUAAUGCAUUUGUUUCUUACAAAAAAGCAUUUCCUCUUGUUUUUCUUCUUUUUGCAUUCUCUUGGUUCUUUCCUCUUUUUGAUUCUUGUUCUACUGUUCCUUCUUCUUUCGGUUCUGGCAAUUAGCCCUUCACCAUUACUUACUUCACGGCCAUCAUGCUUUUCAAUCUCUUUUGAGCUUAGUGAUGUCGUGACAUCUUCCAAAGUCAAGGUUUUCUUCUAUACAACAUUGUAUCCACAAAACCUUCAUAUGAUUGUGGCAAUGAACUUAAAAAGAAAAUGAUUUUGUCUUCAUCUCUAAUCUUCACAUUUUCAACCUCUUCAAGAUCAAGAAUGAUCUUGUUGAAAGUGUCAAUGUGUUCUUAAAUAGACACCCCUUAUAUCAUUGAAAAAGUGUACAACUGUUUCUUCAAGAACAACUUGUGAGCCAAAGAUUUCUUCAUACAAAGGCCUCCACCUUAUUCUAUAUCCCAAGGUAUGUUUUUGUUUAGAGAUUUCCCUCAAGAUUGAGUCAGUAAGACUCAAAAUUAUUGUUUUGAAGGCUCUAUUUUAAAUAUGUUUCUUCUUUUCAUCAGGUUUAAAGCUUGUUGCCUUAUCAGGAUCUUCUUCUUCUAAGACGAAUUCAAGGCCCUGAUGCACAAGUAGAGCCCUCAUCUUCAUCUUCCAAAGUGAGAAAUCACCACUCAGCUUCGCAAUUUCUGGUUUUAAUAAGUGACAUGGUCAAGGUUCACUAAGUCUCUGAUACCAAUUAUUGUAAUUAAUGGUUAACAAUCAAGAACUCAACCAAUCUUUCGAGCUUUAAUCAAACAAGAUUAAUUGAAAUCAAGAUUGAAGAAAAACAUAGCAAGAACAAAGAAAUAGAACUCAAUCACAAAGAACAAACUUCUCUGUUUGAAGGGAAAAACUGGCACACUUUUACUAAUCCAGCUUAUCACAAAUUGAUCACACAUUACAAAAGAGGUUGCAAGCUUUAGAAAUAAACAAAAAGCACAUAAUUUGGUUAAGAAACAAGAGAGAAAAGGUUCACACAUUAGAGGUUGUGCACUAGCCUAUUUAUUUUGGAAAUUUUCAAAAACUAUCUAACAACCUUUAACGAACUAUAGCCAUGUCAGCAAAAAUUUACAAAACGACCCUAAGCUAAAGUCGAUCUGUACAAUGGCCCAACAAAUCUCCUUCAUUUUACUUUAAUUCCCAAAAACAGAAUAUAUAUCUUCACAUUUAUAAUGGUUGGCUUAAAAGAAAAUAUAGAGAUUGUAUAUAAAAUAAAAAACUACUAAAUUGUAAAAAUGAAAAAUAGGCAAACUCAAAAAAUAAUAAUAAUAAUAGGUUCAAAAACUCGCUUCAAACUUGUUAUGACAUAUACAUUCAUUCAAAUAACUUAAUCAAUUUCACUCAUCAAAUCUCUUAAUUCAUAGUUGUCACUAACAUCAUCAUGCAAAGUUGCUAACGCGGUGUAGCGUAACUCAAAACCAAAGAUAAUAUAAGUCAUCAUGUCAUCCAAUGUCAAAUGAUCAUACAAGAUGCCUAGAAAACUUUAAUAAUCUUUUUAAUUUUUUUUAUAAAAAUACCUCACCCUCAAACUUAUUCUAAACAUUAUCCUUAAUGUUUCUUAUUCUAAAGAAGUGCAUGUCAAUGUGUAAAAAUACAAAGAAGAUAUGAAUGCCAAUAGUAAGAGAAAUAAGUAGGAGAGAUUGCACCUAAAUUGGCGAUCGCUCUUAAAUUGGCUGCAAAAUAUUCUAGAAAAAAAUCUAAAGAAAACGUUAAAAUAAAUAUAAAGAAUAAAAUACAAAAAGCAAAAUAUUAGAGGUUUUUAAUCUAUAAAAGGAUGAUGGUAGUGAUACUCUUUAAUGUCAUACAGCUUAGGCCACACCUGUCUUAAGCUUAUUUGAAAGCUAUCUUACUACUUUAUUCAUGUCAAAAUGUGACUUAUCUUGUGCUGCUUUAGGAAGUAGCUCUAGUUUGAAUGGUUUUUCUUCAAGAGGAAAUAGCUUAAUCUUUUCUUUCCACUUAGUUAAAACCAUGAUAUGGGCAAAGAAAGUAAAAUAUUAACUUCUAGGAAAAUUAUCAUUCGUAUACUUUAAAUUUGUACUUUUAUCAAAAAUACUACAACAUUUUAAGGGUGUAUGAAUCGUCCACCUUAAAUUGACAAACGUUAUCUACCGACCACUAAACCUCUAGCUACCAUUUGAAAGUUAAUGGAACUAUAGUGAAUUGACGAUUUUACCCUUGAAAAUUAUCACUUGUAUACUCUUAAAAUCUCUUAUUAUCAUUUAGAUACCCUUAAAUUAUCACUUGUAUCAUAUGAAAAUACCAUACUACCCCUCUAAUGUUAUCAUAUUUAAACAGCAACUAACGGUUUGGUAGACGGUAGAUAUAUUUUGUCAACUUAGGGUGGACGAUUGAUAUACCCUAAAAGUGUUGUAGUAAAUUUGAUAAAAGAGUAAACUAAGGGUAUACGAUUGAUAAUUUCCCUAACUUCUAAAAUAGCACUAUCAACAUCAAAAGAUAAAACAAAGUGAAUUAAGUAUGUCUUUAGAAGAUCAUCAUAAUGGUUAGAAAUAAAUCAAUCAUUAACUUGUGCUUCUAUCAUAUCUACUUCAACACUUCAUCAUCUUCUUGUGCCUGCUUGAGAACAUUAAAAAUAUUCAAUUUCAUACCCGUGUUACCAACAGACAAUUGCAUGUUUCUAGUCCUACAACUAAUAUAAUCAUCUACUAUCGCCCAAAAAGGACAACUUAAAAUAACAAGAGUGUGCUUUGUAUGAUUCUGCACAGGUUGAGUAUCAAUAAUAAUAAAAUCAAUAGAAGAAUAAAAUUUAUCAAUCUGCAUGAACACAUCCUCUAUAAUACCACAAGAUAUUUUUAUUGACCUAUCAGUAAGUUGUAAAAUAAUAGAAAUUGAAUGUAAUUGACCUAGCCCAAGUUACUUAUAAACAGAAUAAGGCAAAAUAUUAACACUAACUCGUAGAUUCAACAAAGCUUUAUCAAACAAUUAGAUCCUUAUAACAUUUGAGAUAGUAAAAGAACCUAAAUCCUUAAAUUUUGGUCGCAUUUUAUAUUGAAAUAAAUUGCUAGUUUGUUCAAUUAGAAAUGCCUUCUUAAUAACAUGCAAAUUUCUCUUUCUAGUCUUCAAAAACUCAGCAUAUGAGGAACGUUGCUUGAUAGCGUCAUGUAAAGCAAACUUUAUAUUUACCUACUUGAAGAUUUUCAUGAUCUCACCUGUUUUUUUUUCUCUCUCUCUCUUCCUUUCUGCCAUAAAAUUACUUUAUUGAUUGAAUUAAUUUCCAUGCUAAAACGAAGACUUAAAAAGUACACUACAUUUUUUUAUAAUAAUCCCAAUGGUAAUUCCGACCGUUACGUUAUAAUACUGUCGUGUCAAAAUAAAUUAUAACAAAAUUUUAGUUCGACUUAUUUAUUUUUUUGAAAUUGAUUAAUCAUCAUGUUAUUAUAUUACAUAGAGAUAUAUAUAAUUGUUAUGACAAUAGAUCAUUACACUGAUAUUUACAAUCAGAUAUAUAUACAUGAAAUUUAUAUUAUUAUAUUUUUAUUUUAUGAAGUACAUGUUCAUUCAAAUACUCCUCACGGAGGAGAGAUGUCUUUACUCCACUCGUAUUUUAUAAGGAAGAAAAACAUUAUAAAAAAUCUCCACAUAAUUAUAUUUGAUUGAGAGAAGUUGAGUCCGUAGAGACUAUGAUUCACCACUGAACUACAAGCUCAAAUAACAAAUUCGACUUAUUUAGUAAAUAGAUAUACUUAAUAAAAUAACAAAACGAUUAAUGUGUAUCAAUGAUAUAGACACAACUGAAAUAACUCAUAAUGUGAAAACAAGAAAAGUCCCGCCACCAAUAAUUCAGAGGCAGGCCCCACCGCCAUCAAUAAUUCAGCAAGCUUCACAUGCUUCUGCUUGACGAACCGGACAUGGGUGGACCAAGCACCAUUGAAUAAUUGCAAAAAAAUGAAAAAUAAAAAUCAGUGUCCAGCAAAAAGAAUCCAUAUUCAUGUGUUGCUUCCUACUCAGUACAUCUACUUAGCAUUUAAAAAAAAAUGGAAGUAGAAAUUAAAACUCACUUUUUUAGAUAUGGCUCAUAUAUAUUACAAGUAUCAAGAUUUAAUUAAAGUUCACAUAUUUACAAUGUGUCUAGUUUUAAUUGAGAGAUAAAGUGAUAAACUAUUCAUUAAUAAUGAGGUUUUUCUAAAUGAUUGAAUAAUGAUAUUAAUUAUUGAUAUUUACAAAAUUUCUAAGAAGUGAUAGCUAAUACGUUGGGGAUAUGUAUUUGCGCGGAAUGGCAAACAUAGGGAAUAGUAAUAAAAAUAGUGGAAUUAAUAUGAUGAAAAAAGGUAAACAGUAGAAAAUUAAUAUGUAAUUCGAGGCGCGUUACAAAUAUCACUUUUUUUAAGACAUUAUUUACGCCCACCAAUUAAGUGAUGCAUAUGAGUUAAACAAAUAUAUCUCUAUGAUAUAAUGAAACGCUUCUUCAUUUGUUUGCGUUGUGUAUCGAAUAAAGUAAACCUGAAUAUAUAUAUGAAUGUUGCAAGCUUGCUAAGAAUCAAUAUGUUGAUUCUGUUGAAAAACAAUGUAUUGGAUAUUUGAUGCAUAAAAAAUAGAUGUUAUUUGAUUAAAUUCAUUUUAGGAAAUAGGGCUAAUAAAAGAGUGGUGUAGGAUUAUCUUAUUCAUAUCUAAAAUUUUAAAUAUAUUGAUUUAUUUAUUAUGGUGACGUAAUAGUAAUUAUAAAUUAAAAAUAAAUUUAUUAUUAAAAUAAAUAAAAUUUAUUAAUAAAAAUAAGGGUCAUAUAUCUUUUUUAAAAUGUUAAAAAAAUUUAUGUCCUUUUUUGGGAGUGAAUUUUCUUUUCUCAUUAAGCAAAACCCACCGCAAAAGUGAAAAGAAAAAAUAGAGGCCACAAAACAGAGCCCACUACAAAUAUAUAAUCGGAGGAGCUCAUGAUCAUGCCUAUGCUUUACAUACUAAAUUAAAUAAAAGCCGAACCAAGAAUCUUGCAUUUGCUUAACAUGCUUAAUUAGGCACUACUUCAAAGAGAACUUGAAAGCAACGAACCCUUUUGUUAAUCUUAAAUGUCAGGAAUCUAAUUAGCUUGGAAUAAAGCUACAUUCUUCUCCUCUGACCGUCUCUUGAGGUUUAUUUCAAAAGUUUGAAGAGAAUUUAUCAAUUCUUCUUAUAAAAGCAAGCUAAAUUAAAGGAUUUUAAUCUCUCUUCUUAUUACUAUAAGUGCACUGCAUUUUUUUAUAAUCAACAAUGUCAAUUUGUAGUGUAAUGUUAUAUUCAUAUUUCUGUCGCGUCGAAAUAAGGUAAAACAAAAUUUUAAAUAACACAUAUUCGACUUGUUUGUAAAAGGUAUAUAUUUAAUAAGCUAAUACCUUAAUUAACAUAACACUAUUAUUACGCUAAAUGAAAUAAAAGAUGGUACCCACCACCAAUAAUGACAUUAGCAAGCUCCGCAUGCUCGUGUUUUAGGAACUAGACAUUGGUUAAUUAAUCAAGGAUAACGAAACAAUUUCAAAAAACAAAAUAGAUACUAUGCAUUUUCUUUUUUUAGUCGUACAGAAAAUGGGACUAAUUUUCAGAAAUUUUCAAAUUCACUCUUUUACAAAAGCCAUACAAAAUGAUUUCCUUUAUAUUUUGAAACAUUCUAUGGAAUCAAAUAAUAGUGAUACAAAGAGCGCAAAGUAGUAAUUCUCUUGUUGUAUUUUUUUUUUCUUUUUUAAAAGGAGAUGGUGUGGUUUGGUUGUUUGCAAAAUUAUUGGUGUGGGAUCUAUUUGUUUUCAAUUUCACUUUAUUAAUUAAUUAGCAAAGCAAACAUGUAAUCAUUUGUAAUGGGGCCACUGGCAUCGGAUUAUAUAAGAUGAAUUCGUAAGGCUUACUAAUUUCGAUUAAAAGGUAGCGUUAUUAAAUUAUUAAUUCAUUAACUUGAGUACCAAUAUUUCCUAACUGUGGUGAUUAAUUUAUUUAACUUGUUAUAAUUUUCAAUUGAGAAUGAACUUCAAUUAAUGUAUGAAAAAUUAAAAAGAUAACUUUUCUUUUUUUUUUUUCAAAUUUUUAAUUCCUAUGAUUUGAUUUCACUCUUUUUGUCGAUUAUUGACUUGUGAGAGCUUGUUGAAUGUCAUCAAAUGCUUAUAUCUCUUAUCCAAAUUGGCAGAUAUCAUUUGGUUUCUUUAUAGGCGGCAAUCACGAAUGAAAGUAACAACCCCACCAUAUAUCGAAAAUUAAUUUUAAGAAUUUUUUUACUUGAAGUCUUUGAAAAGAAAAAUUAAUCAGAUUAGAUUAGCGAUAUACAUAAAUUCGGUACCAAUUUAAAAAUGCGAGCAUGAUUUAAUAAGAAAGGAUGAGAAUUGAUCAUGUCCCAAAAGACUCAAAAUAAAAUUAUACAAAAUUACAUGCAGGCAUAUCAUAUGUUAAUCUUAAUUUUUUUUGCGGCUGAAAAUUAAUUAAUUAAUUCCACUACUUCUUUUUUUUAAUUGUAUGGUGUGUAACACAUAGUGAAUUAUGUUGUAUAUUUGUUAAUUCAAAGAAAUAAUACUUUUGUAUCCACCAAACUUUAUUAAUAUUCUUCAUCAUUAUGGUUAAUGGCUUAGCAAAUUUAGGAGGAGGAGUCAGCCAAAAUAAAGUAUUUUCUAUUACAUUAACCUUUAUUAAUUGCAGAAGUUAAAAAAAAUUAAAACGAGUUAAAACAGUUCCAACUCAAAAUCAAUAGUUUAUAACGCAGGGGUGUAAAAAAUAUCUGUCCGGACUGAAUUCGGACCGGAUCCGAGCUAGUUUAGGGAUGUGCCGGUCUAGUCUCGGGCAUCAUUGGAGAAGUCCAAUGUCCUCCAAGUCCAAGGUCCGGCCAAGAACUUAAAUUUUAUAGAAAAAAUAAUAAAUAUAUAUUAUUGUAAGUAAUUAUGUUUAUUUGACUCGUCUAUUACAUAUAUUUAAAAUUUUAAACAUUUAUAUUUUGUGUCCAGUUUCAUUUAAAUAAGAUUUAAAAAUUAUAAAAUUAUGAAAUAAAUUUAAAAAAUACAUUCAUACAUAUAAUGUUAUAAAAUAUAAAAUCCAACCUUUCUAGGGUGAAAUAAAAAGCCUAGCCCAAUGUGUCCAAAAAAUAUGUCUGGGUUGGAUCCAGGCAUUGCCAUACCUGAACUUGACCCCGAGUUUUGCAAUUAUUCUAGAUCGUUAUAAAUGUUUCCAAAUUUCAGUCUAAUUUACUUGUGUGAUGCAAAAAUUACCUUUAUCACUUUUUUCAAAUAAAUACUCAUAAAUUUCACCUAAAUUGUCACCCAAAAAAAGAGAAAAAUCGUGUAGUUAAUUUUUCUACUUCUUUACUCUAUUAUUUAAUGGGAAUAUAAUAAGUUAGGAGAAAGGAGAAAUUAAGGAGAAAAUUAGAGUGCUUGUUCAAAUGAUAAAAACUCAUGCAAAUGCGUAUUUCAGAUGUAAGUGUGGCAUUCAUUAAUUUGACAAAAAAUAAGUGAAUUUAUUUAUAUUUUAAUCCAAAUCGAGGGAUAUAAACAAAAUUUUCCCGCUCCAGAUAUUUAUCAUUUUCUUGUUAGAAAAAAAACUGCAUAAAAUUAAGGAACCAGUAGGCACUGAAAGAGAGAAACAGACUGAGAAGAGAUCAAAAGAUGGAUUUGGAACUGAAAGAGAGAAACAGACUGAGAAGAGAUCAAAAGAUGGAUUUGGAACUGAAAGAGAGCUUGGGCUGAUCAUUCAUGAUAAUAUUCCGCGUUCGCUAUUAUAGAGACGAAAGUUUGCUUUUUGUAUGGUUCUCCACUGACGGUGCCAAAUGUCGACGCCAAAAUUUGGACUAGUUAGUUACAUAUUGGAAACCAAAUUUUGCGUCAGCAUUAAAUUUAUUUGUUAGGGAAGCGACUUACCAAUCACCAAGGACGCCCUGCGAUCACUAGCAAAUAACUCUCAAAUACCUGAAAUCAUAAAAAAAAUGGUAAGAGACGCCAGAAGUUUUUCCGGCGUGAACCCUCCAGUGUUCAAGUCAGUUAUCGGGUUUACAAGAGAAACAAAAUAUGCAAUUUCUAGUUUUUUUAAAAAAUAAUCUUAAGUCAAUGUAAUAGAAAAAUCAAAAUUGAGAAAGAAAGUUGAACCUCCCUCUUUAUUCAUUCCCCUAGGGAUUUUUUUAUAAAGGUUUAAGUUUCCCCCCACUCCAACCCCCCCAAAAAAAAUCUUUGUGAUCAUAAGAUGGAUGAGAUAAAAUAUGAGCCCCCAAAAUGAUCUCAAUCAUGGAGGAGUCCUCCCUGGUUUGUUGCCCUAUUUUCUUAUUUGUUCUCCUCCACUCUCGAAAGUUAAGAAUGAGAUAAAAGUAACCUUUUCACUCUCUAUUUUUUCCUCCAUUUUUUUUCCUCACCAAAUAGUUACGAAUUUAAAAUAUGAGUAUGAUUUAAUAAGAGAGAACGAGAAUUGAUAAUGUCCCAAGAGACUGAAAAUAAAAGAUUACACAAAUUUGCAUGCAGGCAUAUCAUAAGUUAGUCUUAAUUUUUUGUUGUUCAAAUAAUAAAUUAAUUCCACUAAUCCUUUUUCUAAUUAUAUGGUGUGUAACACAUUGGCCACUUCUGAAUUAUGUUGGAUAUUUGUUAACUCAAAGAAAUAGUACACUUUUCUAUCAAUCUAACUCAUUUUAUUAAUAUUCUUCAUCAUUAUGGUUAAUGGCUUGGCAAAUGUAGAAUAAGGAGUCAGCCAAAAUGAAUUACUUUCUCUUGUACUAACCUUUGUUAAUUGUUGACAUUAAAAAUAUUUUAAAAUAGUUCCAACUCAAAAUCAGUAGGUUGUAUGUAGAUUGUUAUAAAUAUUUCUAAAUUUCAGUCUAAUUUAAUUGUGGAUGCAUAAACUUGACUUUUUCACUUCUUUCAUGUAAAUGGAGGGUAGAACUAUUUGAACUCAUUAAACUACUUUUUAAAUUCCUUUACUCAUUAAACCCAUCAUGAAAAUUCAAAAAUCUUUGUGUAUACUCAUUGCACCUCUUAAUAUCACAAAUAUGAAUCAUUUGUCUUCACUUUUGUUUGUCUUCAACAUUCACAAAUUUUAUUUGAAUCUGCAAUAUUUUUACCACUAUUCAUUCAUUUAUUAGAGUUUCAAUAUAAGAAUAUAGAGAUUAAAAAUAUCAUUAACGAAUUAUUUCUUUGUUUUCUAUAUGAUAUUCUUGGUUUGGAAAAAGCUUCAUUGGCAAUGUAUGUAAAUAAAAGACUAAGAACUUCCAAUAAUCCACAUUUGAUGGAAACUUGUUAUACUUGUUUUCACUUUAAAAAAUAAAAGGAAAAUUAUCAUCCGUAUACUCUAAAUUUACAUUUUUAUAAAAAAUACUACAACACUUUAAUCGUAUUUCAAUCGUCCACUCUAAAUUGAUAAAAGUUAUCUGCCGACCAUUAAACCGUUAACUGCAAUUUAAAAGUUAACAGAACUGUAGCGAAUUGAUGAUUUUACCCUUGAAAAUUAUCACUUGUAUACCCUUAAAAUCUCUUAUUUUCACUUAUAUACCAUUAAAUUAUCACUUGUAUUAUAUGAAAGACCAGAUUAUUUCUAUGACGUUAUCAUAUUUAAACAGUAACUAACGGUUUGGUGGACGACAUAUACAUUUUGUCAAGACGACUGAUAUACCUUGAAAGUGUUGUAGUAAAUUUGAUAACGAAGUAAAAUAAGGGUAUACGAUUGAUAAUUUUCCAAAAUAAAAUAAAUAAAACAAAAGAAAUUCUUGUGUUUUAAAAGAAAAAAAACUUCUAAAACAACUAUAAACCAAACUAGGUUUGACGUGGUGAGUUUUGGAUCAUAAAGAAUACAUAAUUGAAAUUUCACCUAAAUCAAAUAAUGAAUUUCAUAACAAUGGAUUUAGACUAUAGACCAGUAUACAUAGAAUUGGAUGUUCUUGGCAUUUGUUCUUGAAGUUGUUUUGCCCAAAAAAGUUAACUAUUGUCCUUAGGAGUAAUUUUGGUUAGGGAGAAAUUUGUAAUAAAUUUUUUAAUGAAUUAAUAUUUUUUGUGAGUAAAAUUAUGGGUUCAUAUACACUCAUUCAUAAAUAAUUAUUCAUAAAUUGAACCCUUCUUUUAUGUUGAUGCACAACCUAAUUUAACAAAAAUAAUGUUCAAAUUGUCAUAAAAUUUUAAAAAAAUCAUUAAGCUAAUUUUUCUUCUACUUCACUCCAUUAUUCAAUGGGCAAAUAAUAAUUUAGGUGAGGGGAGAAAUAAUGGGGAAAAUUAUAGUGAUUGUCGCUAGAUACACCGGUACAAAUGCUUGGGUGUGCGCGCGCGUGCAACGUUCUUUAAUUUGGCAAAAAAUAAAUGAAUUUAUUUGUAUUUUUAAUCAAAUUCAAGUGUCCAAACAAAAUUUUUCUGGGAAAAAGAUAAACAUGUACACCCUCAAUAUUUAAAUAAAGAGAUAAAAAUAUUCCUAACGUUUUAAAAAAAUAUUUACACCUUAAUUUACUAACAAAAACAGUAAUUUUUAACAAAAAUUACUAUUAUACCCUUUUAACAUAUAAAAAAAUUAUAUAUACAAGUUUAAUUUAUAAUAUUAAUACCAUAAAAUUUUAUUUAAAUUUUAAACUUAUAUAUUUAACAAUUCUCCACAUGUUAUUAUUUAAAUUUGUAUAUUUAUAACUAAUUUUUUAUGUUAUUUAUUAUGGUAUUUAAAAUUGAAAUACAAGUCAUUAAUAACUAAUUUUAUUUAUUUUUAUUCUUAAGUAAUGAAUUAAAUUUAUUUAACUUGAAGAGAGAAUUUGAUAAAAAUUUAAAUAAAAAAAUUGAAUAAUGAGGAUAUAUUUAUAAUUUUAUUAAUAAUAUAUAGAUAAAUUAAAUAAUUAAUAAUUUUUUAUAUACUAUAAAGGUAUAAUAAUAAUUUUCAUUAAAAAUUACUGUUUUCGUUAAUGAAUUAAAAUGUUAAUUUUUUUUUAAAAUGUUAAAGAAUUUUUACCUCUUUACCUAAACGUCGUGACUGUAUUUUGCCCUUUUCCCAAAUUUUCCACUCUGGAGUCGACAUUUAUCAUUUUCUCGUUAACAAAAAAAAUUGCAUAAAAUUAAAAAACCAUCAGGCACUGAAAGAGGGAAACAAAGAAGAUGGAACCUAAAGAAGAAACCCUAGCAACAAUCCCAGAAGAAGAAGAAGAAGAUGGAGACACGGUUAUUCCCGACGUUGAGAACAACCCUAAACCAACAACAAAAGACAACUCUUCGGACUCGAGCGAUGCCUCUGACUCAGACUCCGACUCGGACUCUGAAUCAGAAGACGAAGCAAAACAGAGCAUGGAGCUUCAAACCCUACAGUAUCAACUAUCCAACGAACCCUCCAAUUACGACACCCAUGUUCAAGUAACUUCAAUACACAUAUUUAUUGAGUGAUUUUGUGGAUACCCGUUUGCUUGUUCUUCUUGGGUUGCGAUAAAAAUGGUUUUUAUUUUUAUUUUUUCAGUAUAUAAAGGUUUUGAGAAAAAUGGGUGAGAUAGAGAAGUUGAGACAAGCAAGGGAAGCCAUGAAUGAGAUUUUUCCAUUGACUCCUGCUAUGUGGCAAGAAUGGGCGAGAGAUGAAGCCUCUAUUUCAACUGGGUAUCUGUCAUUUCCUUUUUGCAGUGGUUUUUGAUUUAACAAAUGUUUUUUCGCUUAGAGAUAUGGAUGUUUAUGCUAGUUAUUUGCUAAUGUAAAAAGGAACAAAACCUGCUUAAAAGGUAUUAAAGAAAGAAAAAAAAAAAGAACCAAUUUGAAGAAGGGGAUACUUAUGGUGGGAGUUCUAUUCUUUGGGGUUUAAUUGAUGGGAAGAAGAAAUAGCUUAUAUGUUUACAGAAUUAGACAUUUGAUCGCGGAGUUAGUUGAGGUAGAUAAUUAAUCAGAAUGUCGGAUGUUUUUUCUGUUGGCCUCAGCUAAUUGUUAAGAUUUCAUACUUUUUUUCUGGUUUUACAUAGCUGUGACCUAAAGCUUAAUGUAUAUAUUGAUAAUUACACAAUCCGUUUCUUGCUGAUACUUGGCUUUAAUUUGUAGACCUGAGGCUCUUUUGGGAGUUGAGAAGAUUUACGAAAGAGGAGUUUCUGAUUAUCUGGUUUGUUCCCUUUAUGCUUACAGAAUUUGAAUUAACACUAUGCAUGAAUUUAUGAUUCUUUUUAUUUUUUAUUUUUUAUUUUUUGAGAAAGAUUUUAUCAAAUUGAAGCAUUGUAGUAAAGCGUACUAGUUGUAAUCUUGAUUCACUUUGUUUUUAUUUUAUUACCAAGAGGUGCUAACAGUUCAUGAUGCACAAAAGAUUGGGGGGGGGGGGUUGGGGGAAUCUUGUUGGUACAUACAUAAAUUUUAGUACCAAAAAAAUAAUUUUACAGUGGCUGAAGAGCAGCAUUUUCAUUUAUAUGAAAGUUGAAUUGUUGUAUCAUCUGUUUCCGUCUCCUUUGCGGUAAAUAAAGUCCUUGAUGAUGGCAAUAAGAAUCACAGAAGAAGUUGUUAAGUUCAUAUCUGGAGAUUUUCAUCAUAGCAGUUCAUUGAAAGUGAAGGCAGCUGAAAACACUUUUUUCUGAUGCAGUCUGUCCCUCUUUGGUGUGAUUAUUUGAAAUUUGUGCAAGAAUAUGAUCCAUCUAUAUGCGAAUUUUUACCCGAUGGCUUUUGAAAGGCAAGGAAUUUAUUUGAGCGGGCUAUUACUGCUGCUGGUCUGCAUGUUUCAGAAGGCAGUAAAAUAUGGGAAUUGUACAGAGAAUUUGAGCUAGCCAUAUUUUGUAGGAUCGAUGAGACUAACUUGAAGGUGAGAUAUUUCAAUUUAUUUUACUUUUUAUUUGGGGGGUUAAAUAACGAGUUUAUUGCCAUCUAAAGAAAGAAAAAGGGAAGACUUUUUUUUUUGGGGGGGGGGUUGCCAACCCUAGCACAUGAGAAGCAUUCCAAGAUCCUUCCUGCUUGUUUUGCAGGAAAAGGAAAAACAGGUUCAGCGGAUUCGAAGUAUAUUUCGUCACCAGUUGUCUGUUCCCCUUGCUAACUCAAGUACAACUUUUCUUGCCUACAAGUCUUGGGAGGUCGAACAGGGGGCUGUUCUUGAUGUUGAAUCUAGUAAUCUAGACGGAAUGUCUUCUAAUGUUGCCUCAGCAUACCAAAAGGCAUUGGAGAUGUGUAAUGCACGAGCUUAUCUUGAAGAGCUGAUUUCCAGGCAGGAUUUAUCUGACUCAGAGAAAUUUCAGCAAUACAUGGUAGAUGACUUUACUAUCAUCAUUUGAUAGCUUUUUAUAAUAAGUAAAAUCUAGCUGUAAAAAUUUAUUAAUUUCAACUUUUUUUUGGUGGAUUUCUUCUUAUGGCAUUAGUAUUUUGGUUUUUGGUAGCUUACAAAUAAUAUCUGCACUUUAAAUAUCAUCUGUUGUUUCUUAGCAAAUAAUAGUAAUAAUAAUAAGUAAUAAAUAAUUAAUAUCUGCUCUUUAACUCUUUGGCCCGGGGGGGGGGGGCGCCUGGGGGAUGCAGUGUCAUUAUUUUCCUUCUUCUCCUUUUUCUGUUUUGUGCUUUUUCAAGUCCAAUAUUAUUAGAUUAAUCUGUUAUUGUGGUAGAUAUACUUGAACUAUGAGCAAUCUUCUGGAGAUCCUGGUCGAGUUCAACUUCUUUAUGAACGUGCUAUUACCGGCUUUCCUGUAUCAAGUGAUCUCUGGCUUGAUUAUACUCGUUAUCUUGACAAAACAUUAAAGGUUUAUCCUUCUAUUUUCUAUUUUAAUUCUUCUGUUGCAGCUUUUUGUAUACUAAUCCACUCUCCUCUUCAGGUAGGUAAUGUUGUGAGAGAUGUUUAUUCCAGGGCUACAAGAAAUUGUCCCUGGGUUGGAGAACUUUGGGUACGAUCUUUGCUUUCUCUGGAAUGUAGCUGUGCUUCUGAGGAGGAGAUAUCCACUGUAGGUUUAAUUGUUACCCUUCAUUCUGAGCUUAAUCUAUUUUUCUGAAUGUAAUUAAUUUUGAUUGUUUGAAGUUAAAGAAAUAAUCAGCUUCCUAGGCAAAUUUCUUGGCAAGCACUUGAUUGUGGGAGUAACUGAGGAGAAGCAUUCCCUAGUGUUUUUUUGUUCUUCCCCUCCCCUGAAAUUGCACUAUAUUUCCCUUGAAGACUAAUUUUUGCUUUAGCAUUUACACUUCUGUACAGAAGCAAACAUGAAUCAGAGAGAUUUAGUGGGCAAAUACACCUGGGCAAAAAAAUUAAUGCAUAUUAAAUACCGUGGUGGUUGUUGGAAUGCUUCAAAAAAAGUGUUUUCUUGGUGCUCCUGCUCCUUUUAUACUUUCAUAGCAUUUUAAUAACUGGGUUGUUUAAACGUCUUGUACUUAUUUUCUUUACAAAUGUCUGUAUUUUUUAAAUUUAUACAAGAUUUUUCUAAUUAUAUUAAUAGCAAUAAAUUGCAUAAACUCAAAUCUUAAUUUCAUUCUGCCCCUAUUGCAUACAUAUGGGAUUCACCCAUUAUUUCAUCAAAUUUUCCGUUGCUAAUUUCAGGUCUUUGAGAAGUCCCUACUAUGUGCAUUUUCAACCUUUGAGGAGGUAAAGAUAUAAAUUUAUGUCUACUGUACAUACCUUGAUUUCUUGAGCUGUAUGAUUUGGUAUAUAUCUACUUCUGAUUCAUCAUGUAUUUUUUUGUUAACUGGUUCUUUUUUAUUUCAGUACCUAGAUCUAUUCCUUACUUGAAUAGAUGGUUUGAGGCGGAGAAUUUUAUUCUCUGGUGAAGUUGAGGGCGUCUUGGAUUAUUCAUUGAUAAGGGAAACUUCAGGUUUGUAAACUUAUACCGUUUGCUAUUCAAUAUUAAAAUUGGUUAUACUCCUUAAUAUCAAGAAAUUGAAGCUUUCCAAAUCAUACCCAAAAAAUGCUCAAUUGUGAAUUACUGGAUGGAGCUAGUUGCUAGAUGAUACUUCUAAGAUUCAAGACAAAUGUUGUUUUAUGUAUGGCUAUCAAGUACUUUGGCCCACAAUUGUGGCAUAUUGGUCUUAUGCCAGCAUCAGGUAUAACAUUGUGUCUGGCAUAUAUACCAUUGGAAUUCUGGGUUUCUGUUGAAUGGGCUCCAACAGCUAUAUCUGUGUCCAAUGUUGUGGGGUCCUCUUCUUUGGUGCUUUUAAGUGAGGUUUUAAGUUUUCUUGUUAAAAUUUUGUUACAUAUCAAGUAGAAGGCACUGCACUGAAGCAUUGGUACUUCUAGAUCGCUUGUUCUGGAUGGUAGAUUUCAAUCCAUUGCUUUUAUUUCUUGGAUCAUGUGUAUCAUUGAGGACUUUCCUGGCCAGUGAUAGAGCUGGUAGGGGAAAAAAGUCAAAAUUCCUAUGGGAUGCUUUCUGACUUAGGGAAGAUGUCUUCAACAAUUUGUGGAUUUAAGUCUUCACAUGAUGUUAACUCUUGAUAGUCUAACCUUGGUUCAGGAUGUAUAGCUGUCUUCAAAGUUUGUGCUCAUAAACGAGUAACCUCUCUGUCUUUAUGAUACCAGUUAAAUUUGUUAGCUUUCUAGGAUUUGGAGGGUGUAAAUGUCCAUAAACAACAAUGUAUUCUCUUCCUUACAGCGUGCAUCAGAUUACUUGUCAGAACAGAUGAAGAGUACCAACGGUUUGCUGCAUUUGUAUGCUUAUUGGGCGCGUCUUGAACAAAGUAUGGGAAAAGAUAUGGUUUCAGCUCGUAGUGUCUGGGAGAGGCUACUUAAGAUCAGGUUCAACAAUUUUAAUUUUUGCCAGUGCAUACAUAGCAUAAUUUCUUUAUAUCUAUAUAUAUUUUCAGAUAACUUAUGCUUCUCUUAAUGCAGUGGUACAAUGUUGGAAGCCUGGCAAAGUUAUAUAUCUAUGGAAAUUGAAUUGGGUCAUAUUAAUGAAGCUAGAUCCAUCUACAAGAGAUGCUACAGUAAAAGAUUUACAAGAACAGGUUCAGAGGUAAAUUUCCUUCGUCCAGCUUCUUUAAUUAAUAUUAACUGCUUGACAACGUACCUUGUUGUUUCCAUCUUGUUUGUUUAAUUGGUCUUAUUUGUAAACACCUGAAAUCAUACAUCUUAAUUUCUGAUAAUUAGAUGUUAUUUUAGAUAUCUGUAUCUGUUAACGUUCUUUCAAGUCUAAUUCCAAUGCAUAUUUAGUUAAACUGCUCUUUACUGCAUUUUGGAUUAGUUAAUGUCUUCCUUUCCUAAAAAACAGAAUCAUUCAGGACAUAUGCCAUGCUUGGCUGUGAUUUUAACGGGAAUUUUGUAAUCAAAUUUUUAAUGAAUUUAUGGGUUUGUUGAGUAAAAUUAUGGGGUCAUACAGACUCACCCAUAAAUUGAACCCUUAUUUUAUGUUGAUGCAUAACUUAACUUAACAAAAAUAAUGUUCAAAUUGUCACAAAAUUUGAAAAAAAAAAAUCACAGUUAAUUUUUCUUCUACUUUACUCCAUUAUUCAAUGGGCAUAUAAUAAAUUAGGAGAGGGGAGAAAUAAAGGGGAAAAUUAGAGUGAUUGUCGCAAUGAUACACUGAUACAAAUGCUUAUGUAUGUGUAGUGUGUGUGUG
rnacentral:lncRNA from 1 species